rnacentral:lncRNA from 1 species
UAAUAUCUCUGCUGGUGCAGUAUAGCACUUUAUAUAAAAUAAAUUUCCUUUUGUUAUUCUUUUAUAGGUAGUGAAUAUCUUAUAUAAUUCCUCCAUAGCUGUUAACAAUAAAAAAUAUUUUUACUAGGAAAAAAGAUGAAUAUUAUGUAGUAUGCCAAAAAGAACAUGUAAUAGAUUGCAGAUAUGCAAAAGGAAAAGCUAGUAUACCACUGGUAACAAAAAGAAUAAUUAAUAAAGAAAUAAAUGAUAUAAAAAGUAAAGGAGAUCCAAUAAAAUAUGUACACCUUGGAGGUACAGAGAUAUUAAUAAAAGCAUGUUUUAGAGAAGGAAUAGAUACACCAAUAGAAUUAUAUUUAGCAGACGAUAGAAUUAUAAAACCUAUAGAAAAAAGCAUAAUAACUGCCGUAAAAGGAAAUCUAAUAUACCAAAAAUUUAAAUUUAUAAUAAGUGCAAAUUAUUCAGUAGCAGUAACAGAUAGGAAUAUAGAUAAAUCAUUAGUAUUAUAUUGGAAAAUAUCAGGAAUAGAAUUAACCCCAGGAAGUAAAAUAUUUACAGCAAGAUGUAAAAAUCUAUAUGUAUUAACAACAAAACAUAAAAUAACAGGAAAAAAUAAGAUUAACAAAAUACAAAUAGAAAGCCCAUUCGAACAAAUAGUAAAAACAAUAGAUUAUAAUGAUUAUACCUAUAGAGACAUAGAUACAGAAGAAAAUUUAGAAAUAGUAAAUGAUAGAAUAAGUACAACGAAAAGAAUAGCUAAUGAAAAGCCAGAAUCAUCAAGCUCAUCAAAAAGAACAAGUUAUGAAACAAACUCAAUAAGUAAUUUAAACCAAUAUUACAUAACAGGAAAAAUAAAUGAAAAAGAAUAUUUAAUACUUUUGAAUACAGGACAAGAAGAAAAUUAUAUAGCAAAAUAUCUAGUAAAAAAUGAAGAAAUAAAAACCGACAAUAAUAUAUGCCCAGACUUACCAAGAAGUUUAAUAAAUAAUAAAAAUCUAGCAGAAAAAGAAAUAAUAUUAGGAGUUAGAAAAAUAAAAAUAGAAUUCGAAGUAAAGGAAGAAAUGCAAAAAGCAGAUAUAAUAUUAGGAAUAAAAUGGUUGGAACAAGUAAAACCAUAUAAUAUAGAACAUACACAAUUAACCUUAACAUAUAACCAAGAAAAGUUAUUCUUAAAAAGAGCCUUAACAUGAAAUGAAGAUACAUGUAUUAAUGAAGAUAGUAGUAGAAGGAUAUUACAGUAGAUAUUAUACGCCUAUGAUAGAUACAGGAGCAGAAGCUAAUUUAUGUAGAUAUAAUUGCUUACCAGAAAGCAAAUGGGAUAAACUAAAAACACCAAUAAUAGUUAAAGGAUUUAAUAAUGAAGGAAGCUUAAUUACUUAUAAAGCUAGGAAUGUAAAAAUACAAGUAUGGGAUAAGAUAUUAACAAUAGAAGAAAUUUAUAACUAUGAAUUAACAUCAAAAGAUAUACUUUUAGGAAUGCCAUUUUUAGAUAAAUUAUACCCACAUAUAAUAACUAAAACAGACUGGUGGUUUACAACACCAUGCAAACAAAAAGUAAGAGCAAAAAGAGUUAAUAAUAAAAUAAGAAAGAAAACUGAUUGGAUAAAAGGAAGUGAAAAAAUUACACAAAAGUUAGAAAAUAUAAACAAUACUGAAGAUACAGUAGAACUAGUAGUAUUUUCGAUAAAUAAAACAGAAAUAACUAUAUUUUCAAUAAAUAAAAUAGAAAUAAUUCAGAAAAAAUUAGAACAAUUAUAUAGUGAAGAUCCAUUAAAAGGAUGGGAAAAACACAAAACUACUAUAAAAAUUGAAUUAAUAGAUAAGAAUAGCAUAAUAACACAAAAACCAUUAACAUAUAAUUUUGAUGAUUUAAAAGAAUUUAAAAUGCACAUAGAUGAAUUAUUAGAAAAACAAUAUAUACAAAAAAGUAAUAGUAAACAUAAUAGUCCAGCAUUUAUAGUAAAUAAACAUAGUGAACAAAAAAGAGGAAAAAGUAGGAUGGUUAUUGACUAUAGAAAUUUAAAUGCAAAAACUAUAACAUAUAAUUAUCCGAUACCAAAUAAGAUAUUAAAAAUAAGACAAAUCCAAGGAUAUAAUUAUUUUAGCAAAUUUGAUUGUAAAUCAGGAUUUUACCACCUAAAGCUAGAAGAAGAAUCUAAAGAAUUAACCGCAUUUACGGUACCACAAGGAUUUUAUGAAUGGAACGUGUUACCAUUUGGAUAUAAAAAUGCACCAGGUAGAUAUCAACAUUUUAUGGAUAAUUAUUUUAAACAAUUAUCUAAUUGUAUAGUAUACAUAGAUGAUAUAUUAUUAUACACCAAAACCAAAGAAGAACAUUUAAAAUUAUUAGAACAAUUCACAGAUAUAAUAGAAAAAUCAGGAAUAAGUCUAAGCAAAAAGAAAGCUGAAAUUAUGAAAAACCAGAUAGAAUUUUUAGGAAUACAAAUAGAUAAAAGUGGAGUAAAAAUGCAACAACAUAUAGUACAAAAAAUAAUAAAUUCGAAAGAAGAAUUAGAUACAAAAAAGAAAUUACAAUCAUUUUUAGGAUUAGUAAACCAAGUAAGAGAAUAUAUUCCAAAAUUAGCAGAAACCUUAAAACCACUGCAGAAAAAAUUAAAAAAGGAUAUAGAAUAUAAUUAUGAUGAAAAAGAUAAAAAACAAGUUCAAAAAAUAAAAUUACUUUGUAGAGAAUUACCAAAAUUGCAAUUUCCAGAUGAAAAUAGAAAAUUUAUAUAUAUAGUAGAAGCAGAUGCAAGUGAAUAUAGUUACGGAGGAGUACUUAAAUAUCGAUAUGAAGCAGAAAAAAUAGAACAUCAUUGUAGAUAUUACUCAGGUACGUUCAACGAAACAGAAAUAAAAUGGGAAAUAAAUAGAAAAGAGUUAUGUUCAUUAUAUAAGUGUUUAUUAUCAUUUGAGCCAUAUAUUGUAUAUAACAAAUUUAUUGUACGAACAGAUAAUACACAGGUACGCUGGUGGUUAACAAAGAAAAUACAAAAUUCAGUUACAACAAAAGAGAUUCGAAGACUAGUUUUAAAUAUAUUAAAUUUCACAUUUACAAUUGAAGUGAUCAGUACUAACAAAAAUGUUAUUGCAGAUUACAUAUCAAGACAAAGCUACACAGACUGAUAUAGUAGAGGAAGAUACUCUAGAAAAAAUACUUAACACCCUAACUACGCUUUCAAUGAAAGUGGACAGUAUGGGUAAUGAGAUAGAAAAGCUAAAGACUAAUGAAGGUAAACUGAAGUCUAUAGCUACAAAUCAGCUAACUCAGCAGUGUGCAGAGCUAUGUCGAUCGGAAGCCAUUAAAAAUCCAGAGCUAGAAGGAGACGUUGGGACACUCCAUAAAACCCAUAACAUUUAUCAAUCUACUUCUGCAGGUACAAGCAAAGGAGUUAAUAGACCAAGAUACCAAAAUGCAAAUAUGAAUAAAAUAUUCGAAAAACCAUUUACCCCUAAAACACAAAAAGACCAUUUAUUCAUACCCCCACAAGUUAAUACAUACCGAGACAGCCUAAACCAAGACAAGAAAAUAUACAACUACACAGCCCAAAAAUACAUAGAAAAUAUAUACAGAGUACAAACUUUUCUAAACCACAACCCCAGAGCUACAGAUAUCAAAGAACCAAAUACCAAUUAUAUAACCCAAAAAUUACAAGGAUACAACAAACUGAUAGCACUACCCAAAACUAACCCAAGCCUAGUUAAAACUUGUUUUGACUAUGGACUACUAAAUACCAUAUACACCCAAGACGGAGAAGAGUUAACAGCUAUGGAGGAAUUAUACAAGAUAUUUACUACCUAUAAAAGAAUAACAAAAGGAACUUUAUUUUAUAUAAAAUGUUAUACUGCACCAGCAGAGAUAUUAUAUGAUGAGAUAAAACCAGUGAUACAAGUUGUAAAGAUAGGACUGACAAGAGACAUGAUUAUACCGGAAGAUAUAUCGCGACAACCGGAGAUACCUAGAAUAGAGAUACCAGAUUUUUACGCAAAUAAAAGACUUAUUGGACUAGCUACGAUCAUACAAGAACUAGCAAAUAACUACGCUAACGGAAAUCCAAUAUGGAGCUACUAUUCAAGAGACCACCAAAUGAUAUAUUCAAAUUCGAAAGAACUAAGACAAGCAGAUAUGGAAGAUGUAAGACAGUGGAUAUUGACACUACUCAACCCAGAAAAACAAUCUACCGCACGAGCAAUAAAAAAGGGAUUUAUUUCAGACGGACUACUAACGAGAUACUGUAAGAUAAUUGGACAUAAAUAUCCAGACCACCAAUGUUCGAGGUGCAAUGGGGAAGAUAAUAUUAUUCCAGAGGUACAUUUAGAAUAAAGAAGAUAAAAUGCCAGCUGGAAGGAUAAAGAUAAAGAGCAAUAAUGGAGCAGAUACAGAGCAAUAAUGGAGCAGAUACAGAGCAAUAAUGGAGCAGAUACAGAGCAAUAAUGGAGCAGAUACAGAGCAAUAAUGGAGCAGAUACGACAAAAUCAACGGAGACAAGAUACUGUACAUUAAUUAAUUUGUUAGACUUUUUACGUAGAAAAAAUGUAUAUGUAAGCCACUAUUGUUGACUAUUUUUUUUCUUUAGUUUUAGAAAUUGUAAGUUAGAUACCUUUUUGACUUCUUAGGCUUAGUUUUAAUUGAGAAACUUUACGUAACUUAGAAUUUUAGGAAAAGUUAGAUGGGGAUAGGCCCACCUUCUUUAAUUUUCAUUACUUCUUAGGCACAGCAGAUAUGUAAAUUCAUUCUAUAAAUACAAAGGACGAGGGUAUUGCGAAAGGCAAGCCUUCUUUUGAAGCAAACCUUUCUCUCUCCAUUCCACAAAAAUUACUCAGUUAAUUAGAUAAAUAUACUCCAAUGGAAAAAGCUAUGGAACAACAGGAACAACAAAACUCAGAAACAUCAAAGCUACCGGAACAGGUAUAUCUAUUUAUAAUUAUGAAUAGCUAAUUUCAUAAUUCCCAACAAUCAUGAUAUGAUAAAAUAAUUCAUAUUAGUUACUUUAUAGUAGAAUUAUUCGAAGAAUAAUAUGUUAAGAAGUUUAUUAACAAAGAGGAAACGGAGAAAUAUCCCUAAGGACUAUGCCAUCCUAAAGGUGAAACCAAUGAGGCAAGAAGCCGUGGCGGGGAGUAACCAGAGUAGAGGCGCUGUUUAAGGGAAAAAGUAUCCGGAUUACCAUGUUAAUAGUGACGGAAGAACAUAUUAUUUAAGAAUAAUCUAGUAUAUAGUAAGCCAAUAUGACCAUAUUUUGUUGUGUACGUGAUUGAAGGGAAUAUUUUGAAAAAAGCAAAUUUAUGAAAAAUGAAUGAUAAUAUAUCUGAUGUGAUGGUAGAUAAAUUCAAGAUACUUAUUUUGUAUGCACUUAGAAAUAUAAAAGUAGCAGAUAUAAGAAAAAUCAUAUUAGAAAAAGCUUUUGGUGAAUAUUAUAUGACUAGAGUAAGUUAUAUACCAUAUCUACCUAACUACUCUUACAAAUAUUUACGAUGAUAAGUUACAUAAGAUUUUUAGAAAAAGAUAUAAAAAAUAUGCAGUUACUAGAAAAACAUAUAAAAAUAAAUAUAGAUAAAUACAUGGAAAACAAAGAUAUAAAAUUUCUUAAUAAAAAUAUGCAAAAACUACUAAGACUAAAACAAACAGCUACAAAACAAUUUUAAAAAUAGAUCAUUUAGAUUAUCUUAAAAUUUUAAUAUUAUAUAUACUUAAAAACAUAGAAAUUAUAGAUAUUAAGAAAAUAAUAUUAGAAAAAGUAAUAGAUUACGAAACUGAAACUAUAAAUUACCUAGAACAGUUAUACGAAGAAAUUUACCCAGAAGGAUAUUAUUCAGAUUAAGAUAUGUUAGAAUAUAUUAGACAAACUAGAGAAAAUCAAGAAAAUCUAAAUAAUGAAAUUAAUUAUAGAAACCGAAUUAGACAAAUAAUGAAAGACCUAAAAGAAAAAUUAAUAUGGAUAGAAAAAACCUUAGAAAAUUUAGAUAAAAGUACAUGUGAUAGUUUAUAUAAUUUAAAAAACUCACUACGAGAAGAACAACAUAAAAUAAUAAAUAACAUUGAAAAUCUAGAAUUAGAUAUAUAUUAUAGCACAGAUAGAAUAAAUUAUUAUACAAGAAUUUGUAACUCUGUAAUUACUACAGGAUAAAAUAAUUAAUGAAUAUAUCUUACGAAAAAAGUAAAUUAUUAAAAGAUAACAUCCACGCACUAAAUAAAAAUAGAUUCACUACAAAUAUGUACCAAAUCUAUUAUACCUAUUUAAUUAAAUCCCAUUUGUAGGGGGGUGCGCGGAUUUAAUAGGUAGGUAUAAUAGAUUUGGUACAUUUUGUAGUGAAUCUAUUUUUAUUUAGUGCGUGGAUGUUAUCUUUUAAUAAUUUACUUUUUUCGUAAGAUAUAUUCAUUAAUUAUUUUAUCCUGUAGUAAUUACAGAGUUACAAAUUCUUGUAUAAUAAUUUAUUCUAUCUGUGCUAUAAUAUAUAUCUAAUUCUAGAUUUUCAAUGUUAUUUAUUAUUUUGUGUUGUUCUUCUCGUAGUGAGUUUUUUAAAUUAUAUAAACUAUCACAUGUACUUUUAUCUAAAUUUUCUAAGGUUUUUUCUAUCCAUAUUAAUUUUUCUUUUAGGUCUUUCAUUAUUUGUCUAAUUCGGUUUCUAUAAUUAAUUUCAUUAUUUAGAUUUUCUUGAUUUUCUCUAGUUUGUCUAAUAUAUUCUAACAUUAAUUUGAAUAAUAUCCUUCUGGGUAAAUUUCUUCGUAUAACUGUUCUAGAUAAUUUAUAGUUUCAAUUUCGUAGUCUAUUACUUUUUCUAAUACUAUCUUCUUAAUAUCUAUAAUUUCUAUGUUUUUAAGUAUAUAUAAUAUUAAAAUUUUAAGAUAAUCUAAAUGAUCUAUUUUUUAAAAUUGGUUUUAUUAUAAUAUUCUGUAGUUGUUUGUUUUAGCCUUAGUAGUUUUUGCAUAUUUUUAUUAAGAAAUUCUAUGUAUUUUUUUUAUUAAGAAAUUUUAUAUCUUUAUUUUCCAUGUAUUUAUCUAUAUUUAUUUUUAUCUGUUUUUCUAGUAACUGCAUAUUUUCUAAAAAUUUUAUGUAACUUAUCAUCGUAAAUAUUUGUAAGAGUAGUUAGGUAGAUAUGGUAUAUAGCUUACUCUAGUCAUGUAAUAUUCACCAAAAGCUUUUUCUAAUAUGAUUUUUCUUAUAUCUGCUACUUUUAUAUUUCUAAGUGCAUACAAAAUAAGUAUUUUGAAUUUAUCUACCAUCACAUCAGAUAUAUUAUCAUUCAUUUUUCAUAAAAUUGCUUUUUUCAAAAUAUUCCCUUCAACCAUGUACAUAAAAUAUAGUCAUCUUAGCUUACUAUAUACUAGAUUAUUCUUAAAUAAUAUAUUCUUCCGUCACUAUUAACAUGGUAAUCCGGAUACUUUUUCCCUUAAACAGCGCCUCUACUCUGGUUACUCCCCGCCACGGCUUCUUGCCUCAUUGGUUUCUUAUAUGUUGCCCACAGGUGAUGACCUAGUAUGAUAGCUUAUCAAAUAUCUAAUAGCUUCUUUGGUCAGGUCAUCAAAAAUGCUUCAGAUUUCUUAUUCUCAGCUUAUGGGUAACGGCCAGUUGUGAUAACUUAUUAAAUUGUUGAUAAGUUAUCUGGCAAGUCAUCAACUAACAUUUUUCUAUCUGUUUCAAUCAAAACUUGUCCUUCUUGUCGUUGUUAUCAUAGGUUUCCAUGCAUCUCUAUUUCCCUGCAAUAUCACAUGAAUAUAAUAAUAAAAAAACAACAAAGUUACUUAAGAACUAACAAUUAUUUCAAGUUAAAAGUCUUAAAUGUGCUAACAUAAGUCAGCAUAUCAACACCCUCAACUUAAAACAAUUACUUAUCCUCAAGCAACUAUAUAAUACCAUACUACGAUGCUUAACCAAUUGAAACAUAUGUUAUCUGUGGAAGUCAAUCAUCAAUUUUAGCUCAAAACACAUUACCCUCUCUAAGUUCAUUCACUUUAAACCCAACUGUGUAUAUUAAUGAAGAUUAACAAUGUGACAUAAAGGAAUCAAGUUAUGGCAUCACAUUAGUGAAAAACAACUACGCAUCUGUACAAGUUAUACUACCCAAAUAAGUAAGUAUCUAGCAAUACAACCCAUGUGUCCUUAUAACAAAGAAGUCCUUCCUCACUUAUAUAUGAACUCAAUCAUGUUAAUGCGGGGACUGUCAAGAGACACACACUCGCAGAAACAAGUUCCAAUCAAGAUAUGUCAAAGACCACAAGCUUGCCCUUAUUUUCAUUACCUAAGCUUUCAGACAGUUAAGUUAGGAUGACUAUAGGACUUUUCAUCAGCUUGAAAUGCAGGCUUGGGGCUGGUAUGAUACGUCAAGAUAUUUAAAGUGACUAAGCCUCUUUGGCACUAUGAUAACUUUUAGGGUCUGACUUAUUAACCAUUUUUUAAACCUUAUUUCUUCCCUUUCUUUAUUAAAGCAUAUUCAGGUUGGGUGCGGUCUUUUUCACUUUCAUUUUCUUCUUUUCACAACUUUUCUUCUCUUAUUCUUUUUUCUACCACACCCAACCUUGCAUUCUUUACUCUUAUUUUACCCAUCUUCAUACUCAUCUUACAUCGUGUACCCCUAUGAUAGCCACCCUAAACUUAGGCUAUUUUCCUAAGUCGAAGUGCACAAUGUCCAAGGAGGACCAGGGCUAAAACAGGUUCAUUAUGAUACAAAUAGGAAGGUUAUAGGUUUAAUAAGAAAAAUAGGCAUACAAGCUCAAAAUUAGGAUCAAGGGGUAUCAUUCGCACAUGGAAGGUUAUUUAGGUUAAAAGGACUAAUAUAACAAAUGGCCUAUGAUCCUUUCUUAACCACUAUCCUACAAUCUCAGUAAGACUAACUGGGUCUAGAUUUAAUACAUAGAGAGAACUUGGUAAUAUCUCUCACACAAUUAGCAUAAAGGUAUAUCACAAGCUACUACCUAUUCGGUUUAGGUAAUUGAUAGAAACGAUUAUCAUGUCCCUAAUACUAAUGCCAUAAAAAGAUUCACAUUAGUCGUAUAUAGAUGCAUAUCAUAGAGUCACAAAAUAGACAAUUGGAGAGGUAUUUAUCACUUAUCCCAAAAAUAAACAAAAAAAUAUGCCAACUGCCCUGGAUACUUAUUUUUCUCCCAGUUAACCAUACGACAUCACAAAACAUAACAUAAUACACCUAAACAUGCUGGCACAACUAAGAAUAAGACUCUGGGGAAAAGAGACACGACAAUAAAAAACUCAAGAGGACAUUGAAACCCAUAAGUAUCCUUACCCUAUAAUUAAAAUCAUGCAUUAUCCCCAAUGCGUCAAACUAAAACAAGAGAGUUAGAAACUUACCUGUGGUACCAUAGGUGAGGAGAUUUGAUGCCAAUCAUACAGUAUGAAUACAAAUAAUAAUAUACCUUGGGUUUCAUACCAAGCAAUGCCUGAUUUCACGUCGCGGCAUGACGAGACAUUGUUGGGUACUCAGACUCCCCAACAAGUCCAUGGGUAUCUUACUUACUGAGAAUUCAGCAAUGUAGCCCAAUAUUCAGCCUUUAAUAAACAAAAAAUAAAAGAAAAACUAGGAAACUUAACUAAGAGUCAAUUAUCACAGAUAUACUGAAUUGACAACCAUAGUCCCGACAACAGUGCCAAAAUUUGAUACGCCUAAAUUACACCUCUCUUACGAGAGAGUAAGGGGUCGUUGUUAAAUAUAUAAUUCAACUAGAUUGGGGUCGAAUCCCACAAGGAGUAUGGUGUAUAUCAAAUCUAUUUGUUAUUAAACCGACUAAUAUAUAAUGGUUUCCCUUAAUUGGGGUGGUUUUAUAAAUCAACAAUUUUUAACAUUUCAACUUGUUUUAGAAACUUAAAGCUAAAAUUCCAGUAUUUCAAAUCAAUAAUAUAGAUGAACUAGAGUUGUGAUAACUAUGAUUAUUAAUCAUCAUUGAAUAAUAGUUGUAGCAUUGGAUUCUUGUAACUUCUGGAAAACACCAAAUUAUCAUUAUUGACAGCACAUUUAAGUGUUUCUCAAUCUACCUAGAUGUUGAGUUUCCUAAUUCUCUCGAACUUAGGAAAACCUUCUAUUCACACUAAUUUUAUCUCGAGCUGAUUAAUCUUGUUACAACAUUAAUAAUUAGAUAAAAAAUUAACCUUCCCAAAUCCUCGUUGGUAAUUCACUACCUUUAGUUGAUUUCUCAGUUCAAGCAAAUCAAUAUAAGGCUAUAUCUAUUAUUUGCAAACAAUAAAAAACAUUCAUUACAAAGGAAUUGUCAAGAUGUUCCGACAAUCACUCAAAUCUUGUCCAACUAUUAAAUCAAUAUCGAAAUAAUCAUAGAUCCCACAACUCUUGUUGUGGUUUAGUUCCACAUGAGAUAGAAAGAGAUAACAAUAAUUUAAUCCAUAAUUCAAAGUAAUUAAACUUACAGAAAAUGUGAUCAAAGGUUGAUUCUCUUCCAAGUUCAAGAAGAAUUUCCCAAAACUAAAUCCAAGAUUAGAAAAUUAAAUUCAAAAUUUAGGGACCUAAAAGGAUGUAAACUAUUCUUUGGAAUAAGAUCAAGAUGAUAAUAAAACCCUAAAGCUGCUACUUAUAUCCGUAACUUAAAGAAAAUUUGGAAUUUAAAAUCUAUAUUUUCGCCACUUUAGCUGACAACCUAGUCUGAUAGCUUAUCAGAUCAAGUUGUCACAAAUGCUUUAGAUUUCUUAUAUGUUGCCCACAGGUGAUGACCUAGUCUGAUAGCUUAUGAGAUAUCUGAUAGCUUAUAAGAUCACGUCGUCAGAAAUGCUUCAGAUUUCUUGUUCUCUACUUAUGGGUAAUGACCAGCUGUUAUAACUUAUCAGAUUAUUAGUAAGUUAUCAGGAAAUUCAUCAACUAAUAUUUUUCUAUCUCUUUCAAUCAAAAUUUGUCCUUCUUGACGUAGUUAUCAUAGGUUUCCAUGCAUCUUUAUUUCCCUGCAAUAUCACAUGAAAUAUAAUAAAAACAACAAUAGUUACUUAAGAACUUACAAUUAUUUUAAGUUAAAAGUAUUAAAUAUUCUAAUAGAAGUCUAGCAUAUUAACUCACCGCGAUAACGGGGCUAGAUCCUAAUCCUACUUCAGCUUGUCCAGCUUUUGCACUUGAAUUCCCUUUUUAAUCCUUUUUAGCUCAAGUUUGCUUCUUUUCUUCUAAGCUCUUGUACACCUACAAAAUAUGGCUAUUAGUACAUUUAAUUGCAAAUAUGUCUUAGACAUGGAAAUCAUAGUAGUGUGCAUGAAUGUUAAGUGCAAAGCGAAAAAAAGUGUUGAAAAAGUGAAAUAAAGGAUGUUGGGUAUAGGAAGUGAUUUAGGCAUUUCUUUGCUAGCCGAAUUUUUAAGACUUUAUUUACCUACCCUUAUGCAUAUCCCUAGUUAGCCCCUUUGAGCUAAUAGCCAGAUUUAUUUUUGGUAGCCCUGUACUUAGCCUAAUCCUUUCUUUGAUAGACUUUAAUUUGAUCCAAAGUUCCUAAGCGCUUUAGUAUCGAAAAGUAAUUGAGUGAGGAAUGUGAAAUUUAAGUGGAAAAAAGGUGAAAGUGAAGCCCUAAAAUUGUAAGUUAUUGUUGCAAAGUUGUUGUGGUUGGGAGUUAGAGAAAUUGUUAUAAAGAAAGUUCAUUUUUUUUCCUAGUUGCGUUACAAUGAACCUAUUUUGGCCCUGGUUUAUUUUGGACACUGUGCACCUUAACCAAGGCGAAUAGCUUUAGUUAAGGGUGUCUAUUAUAGGGGUGUGUAAUAGUAAAUGGGUGUGAAGAAGAGCUGGAAAUUAAAUCAUGAUAUAAAGAAAAAUACUCCUACCAUAGGUUGUGUUAGUAUACUUAAUCAGAUAGGGAUAAAACAAAUGAUGUGUGAAGGUAAUAUCGUUAAAAUUGUGUUGAUAGAAUGUGAUUUUGAUUGAAGAUUAAGAUAUAUUAAAGAACUUAGGAAGAUCAGUCACUAUUUCCGAAAUAGUUCCUACCCAUCCCUUAGCCUACAUAGCAACCAUAAAAGACCUAGUUGAUCCUACAUUUCAACAUCCAACUAGUGGAGUAGUACACUAAGGACAAUCUUAUGGUUCAUUAUCUAUCAUGUAUGAAUUCUUUAUUGAGAGUGAGUGAUUGAAUUAUGAUAUUCCUCUCAUGAGAAAAAUUGAAAAAUUAUGAGUUGUAUAGGGAAACCUUUUUAUUGUGAGGGUGUAUUUGGAUGAAAGUUUGGAUUACUUAUUGCAUGAUUAGAUUUAGUGAUUUGAUUAAGUUUGCCAACGAAUUGGAUGUCACUGUUGAGAUAUUGAGGUUUGAAACAAAUUUUCCAUGUGCAUAAAAAUAAUUUGACAUGAAGUCAUUGUUAGAAUUGUAAGUGAACAAUGCAAGCAUGACUCUUAGGUUGUGGUGUGAACCUUGAGUGAUUGUGUUGAUUGAGAUUGUUCGAGGACAAUCAAGGUUUUAAGUGUGGGGUGGUGAUCUUGGGCAUAUUUAUAUGUCCAAUCACCAAUGUUCACCCAUAUUUGGACUUGUUCUAAGUGUUAAAAUGUGUUAUUCUUAUUGCAUUUAAGCUUUAAUUGUGUUUCGUAUCUAACCGACGUGAUUAGUGAUGCAAGCUAAAAUUCUAACGGAUUUGGACAAAAUCGGAUGCAUAUUAUGAAUCAAGUUGUGAUUGGUGUUGUGGACUUAAUUAUCGUGAUAAGGAGAGACACUUUUAUUAAUUCAAGGAACAUGCGGAGAAGAGCUGGAGAAAAUAUAGGAAAAAAGGAUCAUACCUUAACCAAAUUUUGGAGGUGGAAUUCCAGUAAGUCAAUGCGGAAUCGACGCAAUGCGAUGCCUAGUUGACGCGAUAAGCAAUGCGGCGCGUCGAUUAUUCCAGUGUAGGCUAAUUUUGUCCUACUAUAAAAGGAACAUGUGAGAAAAAUUGCAAUCACUUUGGAAAGCAUAGCAGUGGCGGAAAAAUAGCAAAAUCUCUCUUUUAGGGUUCGUAGAAUUUCUUUUGAACUUCUUUACUUCAAGAUUAAUUCUUGGUAUGAUUAAUUACUGAUUUUUUAUGAUGAAUUCAAACAUGACUGGCUAAACACCCUUGUUCUGAGGUUAAGGCCAAGAACAUGAUUACUCUUUGAUAUUCCUUAUCAUAGUUUCUUGUUGGAUUGUCUUAGGGGUUGUUCUUAAUUUCUUGAGCUUACUAUUUUAAUGAGUGGACACCAUUAAAAAAAUCUAUAUUUCUAUGUAAAUCCGGGAGGGGAAUCAUGGGAUUGAAUGAAAAAAUUAAGGAGCAAGGUUCUUACCCUUUUAUAAAAAAAGGGGUUUGAAUUAGCAUCUACGAUAGGGAUGUAUCUAGGAGCCUUGCUUGGUUCAACUGCAAGAAGAUAGUUGUAUGCAUCUAGAUGGACUGUUGCAUCUCUUUUAGUAAAUGUAGUUGCAAUAUUUAGAUAGAUAAAAGAUUUGAGGUCAGAAGACCAAGAUCGUACCAUAAAUCCGGCGAAUCAGUAACCCGAUAACCUACUAGACUGCGAUAAGAAUAGAAAUUUGUAAGACUGUUAGAAGUGCCUCAACCCUAGAAUUCUCAUCACUACUAUUUACAACCUUUGCUUGCUUUGGUAUUGUCACAAAUUACUAUUUAUUAUUUAUUUACAUUUGUCUUAAACUAAAGUUUGUUAAAUUGAUAGUUGCUUAGUACUCGUGGAAACAAUAUUUGACUAUCUAAGUCACUAUAUUACUUGUACGAUCAUGUACACUUGCGAAUGCAUUUGAAUGCAACACCUACACAUAAACAUUUUCAAGUCACUAAUUCACUUCUCAAAUGACCACACAACUAAGUUUAAAAAAAAUUUCACCUUUCAAAUACCUUCACUUAGACAUUUUGAAAUCACUAAUUCACUUCUAAAAUGAUCACACUUUACUAAAUUCAAACCACAAGUUCAAAUUUCAAGUACCUAAAUUUAAAACACAAGUCACUAAUUCAUAAUUCAAGUAACUACACCUAAACAUUUCAUGUCACUAAUUCACUUCUCAAGUGACCACACUUUACUAAAUUCAGAACAAAGUUCACCUUUCAAGUAACUAAACUUAAGCAGUUUGAAGUCACUAACUCACUUCUCAAGUGACCACAUAUUACUAAAUUCAAAACAAAAGUUAACAUUUCAAGUACCUACAGUUAAACAUUUUAAAGUCACUAAUCACUUGUCAUGUGACCACACUUUACUAAAUUUAAAAAACAAGUUCACAUUUCAUGUACCUAAAUUCAAAACACAAGUCACCAAUUCAUAAUACAAGUAACUACACCUAAACAUUUCAAAUCACCAAUUCACUAAUCAAGUGACCACACUUUACUAAAUCCAAAAUAAAAUUCACCUUUCAAGUAACUACACAUGAACAUUUUGAAGUCACUAAUUCACUUCACAAGUGACCAGACUUCACUAAAUUCAAAACAAAAAUUCACCUUUCAAGUAACUACACAUAAAACAUUUUGAAGUCAGUAAUUCACUUCUCAAGUGAUCACACUUAACUAAAUUCAAAACACAAGUUCUCAUUUCAACUACCUACACUUAAACAUUUUCAAGUAACAAAUUCGAUUCUCCAGUAACCACACUUUACUAAAUUCAAAACAAAAAUUCUCCUUUCAAGUAACUACGUUUAAUCAUUUUGAAGACACUAAUUCACUUCUCAAGUGACAACACUUUACUAAAUACAAAACAAAAGUUCACCUUUCAAGUAACUACACAUAAACAUUUUUAAGUCACUAAUUCACUUCUCAAGUGACCACACCUUAAGAAAUUCAAAACAAAAGUUCACAUUUCAAGUACCUACACCUAAACAUUUUCAAGUCACUAAUUCACUUCUCAAUGACCACACUUUACUAAAUUCAAAACAAAAGUUCACCUUUCAAGUACCUACACUUAAACAUUUUGAAGUCACUAAUUCACUUCUCAAAUGACCACACUUUACUGAAUUCAAAACACAUGUUCACAUUUCAAGUACCUAAAUUCAAAACACAAGUCACUAAUUCUUAAUUCAAGUAACUACACCGAAACAUUACAAGUCACUAAUUCAUUUCUCAAGUGACUGUACUUUACUAAAUUCAAAACAAAAGUUCACCUUUCAAGUAACUACACUUAAACAUUUUGAAGUCACUAAUUCACUUCUCAAGUGACCACACUUUACUAAAUUCAAAACAAAAGUUCUCCUUUAAAGUACCUACACUUAAACAUUUUGAAGCCACAAAUUCACUUGUCAAGUGACCACACUUUACUAAAUUGAAAACACCAAUUAACAUUUCAAGUACCUAAAUUCAAAACACUAGUCACCAAUCCAUAAUUCAAGUAACUACAGCUAAACAUUUCAAGUCAGUAAUUCAUUUCUCAAGUGACCACACUUCACUAAAUUCAAAACAAAAACUCACCUUUCAAGUAACUACACUUAAGCAUUUUGAAGUCACUAAUUCACUUCUCAAGUGACCACACUUUACUAAAUUCAAAAUACAAGUUCACCUUUCAAGUACGUACACUUAAACAUUUUUAAAUUACUAAGUCACUUCUCAAGUGACCACACUUUCCUAAAUUCAAAAUGAAUGUUUACAUUUCAAGUAUCUACACUUAAACAAAUCAAAGUCACUAAUUCACUUCUCAAGUGGUCACACUUUACUAAAUUCAAAACAAAAAUUAACCUUUCAAGUACCUAAAUUGAAAACACAAGUCACUAAUUCAUAAUUCAAGUAACUACACCUAAACAUUUCACGUCACUAAUUCACUUCACAAGUUACCAAACUUAACUAAAUUCAAAACACAAGUUCACCUUUCAAGUACCUACACUUACACAUUUUCAAGUCACUUAGUGACUUCUUAAGUAACCACACUUUACUAAAUUCAAAACAAAAGUUCACAUUUUAAGUACCUACACUUAAACAAAUAGAAGUCACUAAUUCACUUCUCAAGUGACCACACUUUAUAAAAUUUAGAAUACGUCACUAAUUCAUAAUUCAAGUAACUACACCUUAACAUUUCAAGUCACUAAUUCACUCCACAAGUUAGCGAACUUAACUAAAUUCAAAAAAAAGUUUAAUAGACUUAAAGAAGAAAAUAAGUUGAGGUGUCUCAUGUCCCUCUCACACCAUCUAAGAAUCAUAAAACCUAUGGCUUUCGAAGCCUUCUAUAGCAAGCAAUCCCAACAUUACACUACAUUUACAAACUUUACUAAAACAAAAUAGAGAGAAAUUAACUAACCUUUGUUUGGCCUAAAUAAAAGAGAAGAUACACCCGGUCACACAAAAAUAACAAAGCAAUCCUUUUCACUUCUCUCACAAGAAAUAACACCUACUAAAGCCGAUCUAUAAGUAAAAGUAUAAAACUAUAAAUAGAAAAAAAAUUACUUUUAAAGUAUCAAAGCAAAAUCAAACUAGUUUGCACUUAAAUUUGAAGUUCAACAUUAGGUUAAUGGUCUACAAUUAACUUGGAAAACCAUAAAAUCCCAUUUUAAACCUAAUAUGCUAAACACCCAACAUUUGGUAAUAUAGUUACUUAGCAAUCUACCCAUUACUAAAGGCUUGAAAAUGAAAAAUUAUAAGGCAUCAUCAAUUAUAUACAUAAAUAAACAGUAAUUAGUAGCUAUAUCUGAAUUUCAAAAAUAAAUACAUACAUUGUAACACCCUAAAAAUAGGUCCCGAGACGUCACAUAGUGCUCCAAACUACAACUAGUCCUGAGCUAACCCUAAAAGCCUAUUACUCAUUCUGAAGACCCAAGGAAAAAUAAUAUAAGCAUGUGGUACACUAAAAAUACCGAAACACUGUCUGGACUGGACUAAUUUCAACUGAACAUAAUAUCUGGAAAUACUUAACUAGGAAACCUGAAACAACCAACACUGAAAAACUAAAAUGUAUCUAAUAGUCGGACAAACCUCUAAAACUACUACUAAAGAGUCGUUGGGAUAGACACCCAACUGACUUGAAUCGUCUGACAUAACUAGAUAAACAAAUCUAAAAAAUUGGAAAUCUGAAUAACUGGGUCCCCAAACUAUGAGGACCACCAACUGUCAGGAUGUAGGUAGGUAUGUCUGGGUCAAUCACGUUCUUGGAGCUAAGCAGCUAGACCUACAUUAUAAGACAAUGUAGCACAUAGACAUAUAUGUGGAUCAAUACUUUUGGAAUGUACUGAGCAUAUGAGGGUGAAUGCAUAAGUAAAUCUAUAUCUCAACAUUUCUAUGUACUCAUAAAAUAAUGCAUGAUAUAUGUAAAUGGCUCACAUUAGCUUGAAUAACUGAAAACUAAAAAUCAUAAAUCAUGAACAAUAAAACAUAUUGUAUAAAUCUUGUGAGCCACAACAUUUUGUUCUAAAAGAAGUACUUGAAAUUUAGUUUAAAUUUAUGCAAGCUAAGUGUAAAAGGACUCACCUUUGUAUCUGUAAAGUAAAAGCAGGAAUCUAAUGGCUAAUGACGUAUGUUAAACAAUUUCUGAAUGAAAUCGUGAGCCAUUACACAUAGUUUUUUAAAGUUAUUCUGUUAUUCUUUUCUAUUAAGGUUGCAAUUUUUUAUAAGGAGGUUCUUCUAACCGACAUACAAUAUGUGAGCUAUCAUCAUUUCCAAUGUCUAGUUACCUUAUAGGAAAACCUCAUGUUAGAGAGAGGUGUCAUAUUUUUGCCAAGGAGUAUAACCUAAUCUAAGUAAUCACAUCUAUAACUGUCAUCCAUAUAGAAAUAGGAAUAAUCUACAUAAUUUGUACCAACAUUGGCUCGUAGUUCUAGGGCAUAUAAACAUACCCAACUCGGUGCUAAAUACUACUCCCUUUAAAUUUGUAUGCUCAUUCUAUAGAAAAUCCACUUUAAAAGCUAGCAUAAGGGUUUGUAAUGAAAACUAGUUAUGCAUCUGUCUAUUUUAAACUAUAACAAAACUAAUCUAUUUUUGUAUAAACUAUAAUAAAACUCUAAUGUGGAUUCCAUAUCUAAGCUGAGGAUUAAAAUAUCAAAUCUUUCUUAAAAUCUGAAAAUAAGAUAGUCAUAGGGUGCUUAAGAGAAAAAUCUUCUAAAAAUAUCAAUACUUAACUUAGGGCUUUAAACCCAUGCUUUAAACUCAUAUCAAAUCAUCACAAAGUCUAUGCUCAGUAAUCAAAAUCCUGAAAUUCUUGCAUAAUUCCUAUCAAGAUAGUGAAAUUCAAUUCUUAAUGUAUAUAAAAUCACUUCACACACAUAAACAUGCAAAAGUAGAGAUGCAAUUCAACAUUUAAUCACUUAUAACAUCAACAUCUUCAAAUAAUGAUAAUUGGGUAUGAACCCUAGACUGCAAAUCAUAUAAUUUCAUGUAAAUCCAACUUUAAAAAUUAGUUGUGGGCACAAAUAUGAAAGAAGUAUCUUUGUUCAUAACCCCACAUACCUUGCUUGAUGAAUUGAAUGUAAAGGCAUGAACUUUUGAAUCUCUAAUGCUAUUCUUGAAGCUUCUUCUUUAAGUUAUUGAAACAGAACUUUUGAUUAUAGGCUUUCUUAGAGUAGGAGCUAUGGAUUUGUUCUUGAUUCUUGGAGCUAGGGUUUUUGUUCUUGGAGAAGAAAAAGUGAAUAAUGAAGUAUUUAUGCUAUUUGGGGCUAAAAAUAUGUGUUUUGGGCAGAUUUGGGUAAGGGUGAAUGACUCAAUUGCCCCCAUAAUUCCUCAUUUAACAACAUAAAACUGGGUACCAAUAUGAUUAGUGACGCAUCACAUUGCUCACUUCGAUGCGAUUAGCGAUGUGUCGGUUCCCUACCCGACGCGGCCACCGAUGCGGUGCAUCUACAUCUCAUCGAUGUUUUGUUUUGGCCAACCAAACAUGCCCCAAACCUUCUCUAAAAAUUUUGAAACUUACCCCGGAGAUACUAUGGACUACCCUGAUCAUGAAAUAACUUAGAAAUUGACAUUCUAAGGUGGAGAAGGUCAAGAAUACAAUUAUCAAAGUUUAGAGGCCAAAAAUGAGACUAAGUCUCCAACACUUAUCUAAAAUUUUAGGUCCUAAGUCUCUGGUGUACCUCUUUUAAGCUGAAUUGAACUAGAAAGAAUACGAGGUAUUAAAUUAUCUCCCCCUAGAGAACAUUCAUCCUUGUAUGAGACUAGUUAAACUGAGGAUACUGAGGAACUAAGACUAUGUACUGGCAUGAAUAACUGAAACAAAACUGCAUGACUGAAUCUAAAGCAUAAUGAGCGACUGAACUAAUUUGUGAGUGCAUGAAUUGACAUAAAAUAACUAUAUGGCUGAAAUUGAGACUGGAAAAAGAACUGAGUUAAGAAAGACUGUUACCUUAGGUUGGGUCUGAGUUUUUAGAGAAGAGAUGAGGGUACUUGGUUUGUAUGUCUGCUUUUUCUUCCCAAGUGUCACCCUCUACAGACUGAUUUUGCCACAGAACUUUGACUAUGGGAACUUCUUUGUUCCUUAGUCUACGGAUAUGGUGAUCAAGAUUCUCUACUGGUAUUUCUUCGUAUGAAAAGGCUAUUAUUAAUAUCUGUGCUUUCUAGAGGUACUACAACAGUUGAAUCGUCCAUACACUUCCUCAAUAAAGAUACAUAAAACAUUAGGUAAACUGAUGAAAAGUCUGACGAUAGNNNNNNNNNNNNNNNNNNNNACACGACUCAAUAUCCUGUAGGGACCCACAUAUCUGGGACUAAGCUUCCCCUUUUUGCCAAAUAUCUUCACCCGUUCAUGGGUGAAACCUUCAAGUAAACAAAAUCUUCAACUUCAAGUUUAAAAUCUCUCCUUCUUAUUUCUACAUAAGUUUUUUGUCAACUCUGAGCUGCCUUUAAUCUUUCUUGAAUAAGCUGGAUUUUCUCCAUCACUUUAAACACCACAUAUGGCCCUAUCAAAGCGGCCUUACCCACUUCAAACUAACCUAUAGGUGACCUGCAUCUUCUCCCAUAAAGAGCCCCAAAUGGUGCCAUCUGAAUACUAAAAUAGUAACUGUUAUUGUAGGAAAACUUGAUCAACAGCAAAUGGUCAUCCCAACUGACUUUGAAGUCUAUAACACAUGCUCUCAACAUAUCCUCUAAGGUCUGAAUGAUCCUCUCUACCUGAACAUCUUUCUGCGAGUAAAUAUUCUAUAUUGAGAUGAACUUUGGUACCAAUUCCCUUCUGAAAGGCUUUCCAAAACUGAGAGGUAAACUGAGUACCCCUAUCUGAGAUGAUGGAUAAGGGAACUCUGUGUAAUCUAGCCAACACUUUGAUAUAUAGCUUAGCAUAAUCCUCAGCUGUGAAGGACCUUUAAACUGGCAAAAAGUGGGCUGAUUUGGUCAAUCUAUCUAUAAUAACCCAAAUUGAAUCAUCAUGCCGACAUGAGUGGGGUAAUCCUGACACAAAGUCCAUGUUCACCUCUUCCCACUUCCAAGUGGGUAUACCAAACUCUUGCAAUGUGCCACCAGGUCUUUGGUGCACUACUUUAACCUGUUGAAAAGUUGUAUAUUUGGCCACAAAUUUUGCUAUGUCUCUCUACAUACCCUUCCACCAAUUGACUUCCCGUAAAUUGCGGUACAUCUUAGUGGCUCCUGGGUGAAUCAAGUAGUGCACACCAUAUGCUUGAGCCAUAAUCAGCUGCCCAAAUUGUCAAUACACGGCAAACACAGUCUACUCUGUUACAUCAACACACCAUCUCCCUCUUAAGAGAAAACCCCUUCAGUUUGACCAAACUAGAGUCCUCAUCCCGCUUCUCUUUUACUUCAGAAACUAGAGAAGACUCUGAGCUACUCUGAACCCAAACGUUCCCUUAGCUGAGUCAACCAACCUCACACCCAGUCUAGCUAACCGGUGAACUUCUUAAACUAAUUCUCUCUUAUUAUUCUCUACAUGAGCAACACUACUCGUUGACAGUAUACUAAGGGUGUCUGCCAUAAUAUUGGCCUUCCCUCUAUGAGACAAAACACUCAUGUCAUAAUCUUUAAACAAUUCUAGCCACCUUCUCUAACAAAGAUUUAACUCUCUCUGCAUAAACACAUACUGUAAACUUUUAUAGUCUGUAAAUAGAUCAACAUGCACCCCAUAAAGAUAGUGUCUUAGAUUUUCAAAGUAAACACAACAAUAGCUAAUUCAAGAUCAUGAGUCUGAUAGUUCUUUUCAUGAGGCUUAAGUUGUCUAGAGGCAUAGUCUAUGACUCUACCUCUCUGCUUCAAAACACAACCCAUACCAACUCUAGAAGCAUCACAAUAGACAAUGAAUCUAUUUGUACCAUCAGGUAAUGCUAAGAUUGUGGCUGAAGUGAGUCGAACCUUCAACCCCUGAAAACCCUUCUCACAAGAAUCUGACCACUAAAACUUAACUUUCUUCUAAGUCAAUCUGGACAUAGGAGAUGUAAUGGAUGAAAACCCCUCAACAAACUAUCUAUAAUAGCCAGCUAAACCCAAAAAACUCCUGAUGUCUAUGGAGAGAUGGGUCUAGGCCAGUUUCUCACUGCAUUAGUCUUUUGAGGAUCAACUCUAAUGCUAUCACCAGAAAUAAUAUGAUCGAGGAAGGCUACUGACCUUAGCCAAAAUACAGACUUACUGAAUUUGGCGAACAACUGGUGGUCUCUAAGAUUUUGGAACAUAAUUAUAAGAUGGUCUGCAUGGUCAUCCUCACUACGAGAAUAGACAAGAAUAUCAUCGAUAAAUACUAUGACAAACAUGUCUAGGUACUGUUUAAACACUCGGUUCAUUAAAUCCAUGAAGGCUACUGGGGUAUUUAUAAGCUUCAAGGACAUGACUAGGAAUUCAAAAUGACCAAGCGACUUCUGAAGGCUGUCUUAGGAAUAGUACAUUCCCUUACUCUAAGCUGGUGAUAACCAGAUAUAAGGUCUAUCUUGGAGAAGUAACUUGCACCUUGGAGUUGGUUAAAUAAGUCAUCAAUUCUAGGAAGAGGAGGAUAUCUAUUUUUCACUGUGACUUUAUUCAACUAACGAUAGUCAAUACACAUUCGCAAAGAACCAUCUUUCUUUCAUACAAAUAGGACAGGAGAGACCCAUAGAGAAAUACUGGGCCUUAUGUAACCUUUAUCUAAGAGAUCUUUAAGCUGCUCUUUUAACUUCUUAAGCUCAGCUGGAGCCAUAUAAUAUGGAGGAAUGGAUAUGGGCUGAGUAUUUGGAAGAAGGUCAAUACCAAAUUCUAUUUCCCUAUCAGGAGGCACCCCUGGCAAAUCUUCAGGAAAAACUUUAGGAAACUCAUUGACUACUCGGACUGACUUAACUAUUGGAGCCUAAGAUUGAGUGUCUUUGAGUCAAACUAGAUGGUAGAUGCACUCUUUUGAUAUCAACUUUUUGGCUUUGAUAUAGGAUAUAAAAUAAAUCUUGGGAGACACUAAAUUACCCUUUUACUCAAAGGCUGGCUCAUUAGGAAACUUAAACUUCACAACUUGAGUGCAACAAUCUAUAGAUGCAUAAUAGGAAUGAAGCCAAUCCAUACCAAGAAUAAUGUCGAAAUCGACUAUGUCUAACUCUAUUAAGUCUGCUAGUAUGAUCUUAUGAAGGAUAGUGAUAGGACACUUUCUGUAGAUCUAUUUGGCAACAACUGGCUCACCCACUGGGUAGAAACUAAGAAGGGCUUAGGGAGUUUUUUAGUACCUACUUCAAAAUUUAUUGCAACUAAUGGGAUCGCAUAAAAAAGAUUCUAUUCAGGGUAUAACAACACAUAAACAUCAAGAAAAAAGACAUAAAGCAUACCAGUAAUAACAUCUGGUGAACUCUCCUACUCCUGGCGGAAUGGUAAAGCAUAAAACCAAUUCUGGCAUUAACCGUCACCGAUACUAGAAGAUGCGCCUUAAGGGACUAGAUGACCCAAAGGAGUUGGUGCACUAGUAGCCUGAGCCUGAGAAUGAACAUCCCUAUUUCCCUGCUUCACAUACGGACACUCUUUGAUUCCAUGACCCAACUUACCACAACCAUAACAACCUUUUUAUCCCAACAAGUACUCAACAGGAUGAUUCUUACCACACUUAGCACGUGAAAGAUAAUUGCAUUUUCCAGUCACUCUAUUUUGAGACCUGGACAUAGAAAUUUUAUCCUACUACUCUUGUCUAGCUCUGGGGGAUGGAGCACUGGCUAAAGAUUGCAUUGGCAUAGAAGAUUGACCCUAAAACUAUGAAUGAUUUCCCCUUCCAAACUUUGUUUGGCCAUAUUCAACUGAUUCUAGCCUUUUUAUUUCCCCUCACUCCCCUUUUAACUUUUCUAGCUCAAUCUGUUAAGCAUGAGCCAUUAGACUAGAAAGAUCCAUAUCCCUAAUAUGCAUGGCAGUCCGACACUCCUUGACUACUAAAUAAGAUACUCCAGUAACAAACUUACUUAUACUCGACCUAGGGUCAGCCAUUGUAUCAGGGGUAUACUUAGACAACUGAUUAAACUAAAGGUAAUACUCUUUCAUUAUCAUCAAGCCCUGCCUCAGGUUCACAAACUCCUCUACCUUAGCUUCUUUUAAUUCAAGUGGAAAGAACCUAUCUGUAAAUAUGUCCUAAAAUACCUGCCAACUUAUAGGAUUAGCAUUCUCUCCUCUACUAUUCUUCCAUAUAACCACCCAAUCAUACACUAUAUCCUUCAGCCUAUAGGAUGCCAAUUCUACACUCUCCUCCUUAGUGACAUACAUAAUUUAGGUGAUCUUUCUCACCUCAUCUAAGUAAAGUUAUAGGUUCUCACCUGCUUUUGACCCAAAGAACUCAAGUCGAUUCAUUCUCAUGAAGUCAUAAAUUUUGGCUGUUGCAAAUCACUAUUUUGUUGAAGCGUGACUGCUACCUGAUGGUUGCCCUAAAUAUUGGAAGUCACAUCUUGGGCCAACACCUAAAAGGUAGCCCAAAAUUUAGCAUGGGAUACAUUCUCAUUCAGAGGGUCAACAAGCUGGGGUAAAUGGUUAUCAUUUCUGCGUUCAAUAGCUCGAUAAGGAGGCAUAUUCAACUGUCACAUAAGAGCAUGAGUUAAAAGAAGAUAUAGACACUAUAAUCAUAAUAGCUAAUGAAAUAAAAGGAUGAUUUCCUAAAAUAUCCCAUAGCCUCUCGCUCAUAAAUAUGGCGUGCUUCACAUCCAUGAUCAAGACUCUACGUAACACGGCUUGUCUGACUCUCUAGGACUCUUUAAAUCUUAGGCACUACUACUAAGUUUGUAACGCCCCAAUAAUGGGUCUCGAGAUGUCACAUGGUGGUUUAAACUACAAGUAUUCCUGAUAUAACUCUGAAAGCAUGUUACUUAUUUUAAACACCCAAGUAAAAAUAAUAUAAGUAUGUGGUAUGCUAAAAAUACGGAAAAAUUAUCUGAACUGUACUGAGUCCAACUGAACAUAAUGUCUGGAAAUACUUAACUUGGAAAUUUGAAAAAACCAACACUGAAAAACUGAAAUAUAUCUAAUAGUCAGACAAGCCUCUAAUACUACUGCUAGAGAGUCGUUGGGAUAAACCCCUAGCUGACUCAAACCGUCUGACAUAACUAGAUAAGCAAAUCUCAAAAAUUGGAAAUUUGAAUAACUGGGUCUUCGAACUAUAAGGACUCACCAACUUUCAGGAUGUAGAUAGGGAUGCUCUGGGUCAAUCACACUGCUAGAACUGACAACCUGAACCUACAUUAUGAGACAAACAUAGAUAUAUAUGUGGAUCAGUACCUUUGGAAUGUACUGAGCAUGUGUGGGUGGAUACAUAAGUAAAACAAUAUCUCAACAUUUACAUAUACUCAUAAAAUAAUGCAUGUUAUAUGUAAAUGACUCACAUUAGCUUGAAUAACUAAAAAUUGAAAAUCAUAUAUUAUGAAAAAUAAAGCAUACUGUAUAAAUUUUGUGAGCCAUAACAUUUAGUUCUAAAUGUUUUACUUGUAAUCGGUUUUCAAUUUAUGUAAGAUAAGUGUAAAAGGAAUUACCUUUGUAUCUGUAAACUAAAAGUGGAAAUCCCAUGGCUAAUGACUUAUGUAAAACAAUAUCUGAAUAAAAUCGUGAGCCUUUACACUUAGUUUCUAAAAGUUUUUCUGUUAAAGUUACUCUUUUCUGUAGGGAGGUUCUUCUAACUAACAUACACUAUGUGAGCUAUCAUAGUGUCCAAUGCUUACUUCCCUAAUGGGAAAACUUCACAUUGGGAAGAGGUUUCAUACUCUUUCCAAGGAAUAUAACCUAAUCUGAGUGAUCACAUAUGUAAUUGUCAUCUAUAUAGAAUGGGAAUAACUGAAUAAUUUGUACCUAUAUUGGCUCGUAGUUCUGGGGCAUGUAAACAUAACUAACUCAGUGCUAAAUACUACUCCCUUUAAAUUUGUAUGAUCAUUCUAUAGGAAACCCACUUUAAAAGCUAGCAUAAGGGUUUGUAAUGAAAACCAGUUAUACAUCUGUCUAUUUUAAACUAUAACAAAACUAAUCUAUUUUCUAAAAACUGUAAUGUGGAUUCCACAUCUAAGCUGAGGAUCAAAAGAUCAAAUCUUUCUCAAAAUCUAAAAAUAAGCUAGUCAUAGGGUGCUUAAGAGUUAAAUCUUCUCAAAAUAUCAAUACUUAACUUAGGGCUUAAAACCCAUGCUUUAAAGUAAUAUCAAAUCAUCACAAAGUUCAUGCUCAAUAAUCAAAAUCUUGAAAUUCUUGCAUAAUUCUAGUCAAGAUCAUGAAAUUCAACUCUCAAUGUAUAUAAAAUCACUUCACACGUAUAACCAUGCAAAAGUAGAGAUGUAAUUUAACAUUUAAUCACUUGUAACAUCAACAUCUUCAAAUAAUGAUAAUUGGGUAUGAAUCCUAGACUGUAAAUCAUUUAAUUUCAUGUAAAUUUAACUUUAAAAACUAGUUUUCGGCACAAGGAUGAAAGAAGUAUCCUUGUUCAUAACCCCACAUACCUUGCUUGAUGAAUUGAAUGGCUAAGCUUGAACUUUUAAAUCUCUAAUGGUGUUCUUGAAGCUUGUUCUUGAAGUUCUUGAACCCGGAACUUUGGAUUAUAGUCUUUCUUGGAGUAGGAUUUUUGGAAUUGUUCUUGAUUCUUAGAGCUAAGGCUUUUGUUCUUGGAGAAGAAAAAGAUGAAUAAUAAAGCAUCUAUGCUAUUUGGGGCUAAAAUUGUGUGUUUUGGGUGGAUUUGGGUGAGGGUAAAUGACUCAAUAGCCCCCAUAAACCAUCAUUUAAUAACACAAAAACUGGGAACUGACGCGAUCAGCGAUGUGUCGCAUUGCCUACCCAAUGCAGCGCAUCUACAUCGUAUUGAUGUUCUGUUUUGGCCAACCAAACAUGCCCAAAACCUUCUCCAAAAAUACCGAAACUCACCCCGGAGAUACUAUGGACUAUCCUGGUCAUGAAAUAACUUAGAAAUUGACAUUCUAAGGUCGGGAAAGUUAAGAACAAAAUCAUAACAGUUUAGAGGCCAAAAAUGAGACUAAGUCUCCAAUACUUAGCUAAAAUUUCAGGUCGUAAGUCUCUGGUGUGCCUCUUUUUAGCUGAAUUAAAAUAAAAAAAAAAUGGGGUAUUACAUACACAUACCUCCAACCCCACCUUCAACCCUACCCCUCACCCCCACACACACAAAAAGAGGGGGUAAAUAGACAAAAGAGUACCAAUUGGCUCAAUUAUGUCAUAAAAUGAAAAAGGCAUAGUCAAAUGUGCAUCAGCAUCCGUAAAAACAUAGCAAUAAGCAGCUAUGUUUGUUAGAAUGCACAUAUAUACACAUACCCUCUCCUCUCCCGACUCACCCCCAAUCCCAAAAAAGAACUCAGAGAGAGAAAAUAGAAAGUGUACUAUUGUUCCACUGCUUUUGUCGAUGUGUCGGUGCUUUUCCAUCGCUGUGUUGCUGCUUUUGUUUGUGAGGUCGCCGAUAUUUUCAUUGUUAAGGUCGCUGAGAUUUUCAUUGGUAGAGAGCUGUGUGAGAGUUAUUUGUAAAAGAAAAGUGUAUUAUCCAUUGGUGCUAGGGUAAUAAAAAGGGAAAAAGGGCAAGUAGGAUGGGCUGGCCAGGUCGGGUCAAAUUACUGGGCUGAAUUAGGUAUUAUAAAAAUUUUGGGAAAACCGAUUACAAGUGGUCCGUUUAAAAUUUGUAAAAACAAAUUUAUUCAAAAAAUUGAAAUUUAAAUAAAUUAUAUAAUAUGUAUAAUAGCAUCUAAAUAAUUUACUAUAUUAAUCGGAUAAUUGGUUAUUUUAUCAUCAUAUUAACAUGAGUAGUAUAUUUCCUGAAUCAUAUAAUAAUAUCAAUGCAUUUUAUAAAUCGGGAUAAAUAUUUGGUUAAUUAGAUUUUAGAUACGAUAUUAUAUAUAUACCUCAUAAUACAAUGUGUUAAUCAGAUAAAUUAUCGAUUAAUUAUCUUACGUUAUUAUAAUUUCAACAAUAUACCAUUGUCUACACUGAAACAAUUAGUAUACGUAUUUCCUCAAUAGUAUGAUAUCAACGUAUUAUUCAAAAUAUUUUGAUAUAUAGAUUCAGUUAUAUAGCUUUUGAUUACUGCAUACGUCAAUACACGAGAUAUACACAUAUAUACAUAGAUUUGAUUGGCUAUCUACAUCCAAAUAUGUCAUAACCCAAAAAUGAAGGUCAUGAUGGAACUUGUCACGGCGUACCUUGACAAGUAAGCUUAUCACCCAAACUGAUACAAAAAGAGAAAAAGAUAGAAAUAUCCCAAGUUAAGGCUUCUAGAAUAAAGUCAAACCAUAUAAGUAAUCAUAAAAAUGCAGAAAAAACUUAUUCAAAAUGCCAAUCAUGCCCUAAACUAGGGUGUCAAUAGUGUAAGAACUAUUAAUUCAAUUCAAGAGUCAAAUACAUACAAAAAUAACCACAAAGGAAUUAUAUCUAUCUCUGAAUACUAAUAAAGACAUAACUACUAUAGAAAGAUAGAGGUGAACUUCAGACGUAUGAAUGUCCAACUGCUACCUUGGAAGCUCCAACAAUCACUCGAGUUACUUAAGAUGAGGCGCACUCGAGCUAGGACCUACACCGAAAGGGCGCAUUAGGCAUGAGUAUGGUCCACCUAUACUCAUUAUGUGUCAUAGGCCGACCAAGCAAAGUAGUAAAUAAAGCAUACAAAAUAUACACUAAGGGCACGUCACCUGCAAUCAGAAAAUAUUCCACAAUGGUAGACCACACCGCUUGCACUAACAGUUCUAAUAUAUCUCACAUAUAUUGCAACAUCACACUAAGAUAGAACAAAAGUAUGUAUUAUAUCACAUAUAAGAAGAACAAGGGGAAACAUGCAUAUAUAAGAUUAUUAAAUACAAGUAAAAGAAGAUACGAUAAAUACAUAGAUGACAAGUCAAUAUGGAGAUACAACACAACAUAACACAAAAAGUGAAAUGUAUAUGAUGAUGAUGAUGAUGCACGAGGUCAUCGCAUAACCUCCAGGAUCAUUGUACAAUCCCCAUAUACACCUAUGGAGGCAAGUUUCCCAACGCAUGACCCAUGAGAGUUCGUAAACCCGUAUACAAUCCACAUAUCUCAUAUCUCAUUUUUGGAAAAUCAUUUGGAAAGGGUUUUAUAAGGUGUUACAAUAUCUCCUCCCCGGCACAUCCCUCGAGGAAGCUUUUAAAAAAGUGUUGCCAGUGUUUCUAAGAUGUUGCCACGGUGGUACCAAUGUUUCAUGAAUGGGUAUGAAAUGAGGAUGUAAUGCUCACAACCAAUUACAAUGAGUAUUUUCACAACCAACUACAAUGAUAUAUUUCCACAACCAUGUGAGCCAAUAUCCACUCAUUAUUUCAGUUUUAUCCACGAAUUUCCACAUGUCUCAUAUGCCAAAUAAAGUAUAAAUAUAAUCACAAUACACCAAUGGUACCAUAUUAAGCAUCCUAACAACACAAUACAAUUAUUCACAUGUAUUCUAGGCUAUUAAUAUCCAUAACACUCCACACGGUCACACAUAUCACAUAAUGACUCAAUUUUGAUAAUUACAUCAUAUAUAGGCCCCCACACGGGCACAACACAUAAAUAGCCAUUUUUCAUGAUUAGUUCCCACCCUUAACAUGCAUUUUGUAUCAUUAUUUACUACUCAUCCCAGUUUGAAAGAGUUAAGCCAUAACCUACCUCAAAAAGUCAAAACUAGUCCGCUACACUUUGAACUCAUGACCUUGCUUUUCACGAAAAAUAAUGACCUCCACUAAAAACAUCAAAUAUGAAAUCUACGCAUCAAAACAAAACCAACGACACCCAUAUUGACUACUUUUGGUUCAGGGUCAAAACGGACCCCCGAACGAGUUUCCGAAAAAGAAGUGCAAAAUCAGAAUUUUACUUCAAAAACAUGUUCUAAAUAUUUUUAGAGAUUUACAGCUGAAAUCUCAAGCUAAAUCGAUUUAAAAAACGAGGUUCUAAUAGAAGAAAAAUUAUUUUUGAGCUUUACCGGAUAAAAUCUUUGAAAUUCAGGUUAAAAUAAAGAAUCGAAGUUGUUUUGAUGGUUAAAUUGAUGAAAAACUAGUAAUUAUAAGAUAAAAAUAUUUUUCAAGUAAAAAGAAGUGAAAUUGGGGUUUAAAAUCAAGCCCUAAGAUUUUUUGGGUUUUGAGAAAUUUAUCAAGAAAUUACUAAGAAAAUGGUGAAUUCUUACCUUAAAUUCGAAAUAAAAUAAAAAAAUAUGUGUUAAUCUAGCUUCCCAAGUCUCCACAAUAUUCACUUUAAGAUCUCAUACUAUUUAAAGGUUUAACUCUCAAGAGGUAAGAUGAAAACAAUGAGCAAAAUAUGCCAAAAAAAAGGUUUUAUAUUGCAGUUUUUCUGGUUUUUUUGCUCCAAAUUUUUGUGCUCAAGUUCACCCCAAAAUUUGAUGGGGUGACCGGGAUUCAUUCAGACACCGAUAUAUGCAAGUGAACUAUGAAAUCAUACUAAAUUCGACAUUUCAGAUGCGUUGGCAAAGUCAGAUUUUCAAAGAAAUACAUCAUUUUCACAAAGUUGACCCCCGAAACUCGAAAUCACAAUUUUUCUAACCAAGGGUCGAAAUGAGAUUUAAAAGCCUUAAAAUUAUAUCAAAUAUGCUAAAAACCUAAAAUUGAUAUUACGGAUCUGCUAGAAAGUUGAAUUUUCCAUCCGAGGUCAUUUAGAUCAAAUGUGGGUCCUACACCCAUAUUUUUAGUUUUCCAACUUUCUGAUCAAUCAGUCGAAAUGAGCUCAGGUACAUCGGAGCCCAAACCAAAGGUCUACCUAGACUAAAAUCAAUAUUUUGGAGCUGUUGUGUAAUCCGUUUGGAAAUUCUUUGCACGAAUCAAAAUAUAUCCCCAUAAGUCUAAAAUAAGGCUCUCAAAGCCAUUAAAGACCACAAUAUCGCAUAAAUGAUACCAAAAUACAUCGAAAAUCAUGUCAAUCACUCCCACCCCUCAGAAGUACCAUAAUUCAAAUACGGGGAGGGGUAAAAUAGUCAAAUCACACAAAAUCACAAAUUUCACAUAUUUCAUCAAAUUUUUAGGUCGUUACAAAAUACGUACUAUAUACAUCACAUGCAUGAUUUUAUUACCCCAUAAUAAUAUACAACAUAAUUCACAUACACUCAGAUGAAUUAUCAGUUAGUUUAUCUUAUGUUAUUAUACCUUUACUUCAUAAUAUAUAUAUAUAUAUACAUAUACAGUAUAAAUACCUCUGCAUACACACACACAUACACACUAUCGACUAUCAACUUCUAAAUACGUACUAUAUACAUCACAUACGUACAGGAGUAUAUUACCCCGUAAUAUAAUGCAACGUAUUUCAUAUACAUACUUUGAUGAGUUAUCGAUUAAUUUGAUUAGAUUACAUUAAUAUAACUCAACGUACAGUAUACUAUUACUUUGAUCAUUUCAAAUUAAGGUAUUCAAUAUGUUUGGAUAGAUUCUGCUAUUUUUUUUACUACAUGAUUCAUCGAUCGAUCACUACAUUAUAUAUAUAUAUAUUUAUCAACUCUUGAAUACAUACUAUAUACAUCACAUCCACAAGUAUUUUACCUCAUAAUACAACACAUUCAUUUUAUUCUGAUGAAUUAUCGAUUAUCCAUGUAGGUUACAUUAUUAUAACUCCAAUAGUACCAUAAUAUUAUUACCUCAACUGUAUGAUAUAGAUAUAUUCAUUAUACAAAGAUUACGCUUAACGUAAUUUAAUGUAUAUACAGCAUAAAAUAUUUAUUUUAUAUAUUAAAACAUAAGUAAAAGAUAAAGAUUAUGUUCAACAUAAUUUAAUUAUUUUAUUUGAUAUAUUUCUUAGUAUAAUUUUUUUACAAAAUCUAAAUUUAAUUGAUUUUUAUUAUUAUAUUAUUGGUUAUCGAUUACGUGUGAUCAGUGUUAUCUUAAAAAAUAAUAUAUUUGAUUUUACAUAUAAUAAUUAAAACAUAUAUUUUAAUUAAAAGUGACCUCAAGUGGUUGUUUUGCAAUUAUUUUUUAAUAAAAAGCAACCACAAGUGGUCUCUUUUUUAAAAUAUUUUUUUUCUAUUUUUUAAAUAGAAAAGCGACCACUUGUGGUCUUUUUUAUAUAAAUAUUUUUGUUUAAUUUUUAAAGAAAAUCAACCACAAGUGGUCACAAUUUAUUUUUCAUUUUUUAAAUAAAAAAGCGACCACUAGUGGUCAGUUUCUUAAAUAAUUUUCUUUUUUAUGUUUUUACAUCCAAAACCGACCACAAGUGGUUGCUUCUUAAAAAUAGUUUUUAAUUAAAUUAUUUAAAUGUCUUUUUUUAAAUUAUUUUCUAGUGCAUUUUUUUAAAAUAAAAAAGAAACCACAAGUGACCGUUUUUUAAAAAAGUAUUUUUCUUAAAGAAAUAAUAAUUAAUAUAAAAAUUCUUGAAAUUAUUAUUUUAUAAUUUUAAAAUAUAAAAACGAUCACAUGUGAUCGCUUUUAUUGCGACCACAAGUUGUGGUUGGGUUUUUAUGGUUGGUAAAACUAUUUUUUUAGUAGUGUCUAUCGGAAACCUCUCCAACUCUAUGGUAUAGGUAAGGUCUUAGUGAACUCUUGUAGAAACCCUUGUUAUGGAUUUUGGGUUAGUGAUGUGAUCAGUACGAUUUCAAGGCUUUUGAUAUAAUUUUGAGCACUAGAAUUUUUUUCCCUAGAAGACUCUUCUAGUAAGUUGACUGAGAACAUAAUUUAACAAAGGUUAUUUAAUUAUUUUAGUUAAUGGUUAACAGGCCAAGACAUAAUUUAUUUAAUACCUUGCCCCAUGUGUGAGAAAUUCAGGAAAUUACAUAGGAUGACACCAUAAUGGGUGAUUUAGGUUUUUUGUCCCCCUAAUUCAUUUAAGGGAAUUUUUCAUAAGUAGCAAACUUAUAGCUAUAAUUAAAACUUUAAUAGCAACUAUUUCAUAAUUAUGAAAAAUAUCAAGUUGUAUUUUGUAUUUUAUAAAAGUGUUGCUACUAAAAUAUAUAUACAACAAGAUUUACUGUUUAAGAAAGCAGUAAAUUUCUUUUUUAUAAAUUACUGCAGUAGAUUCUUUUUUCGUAAAUUAUUAUAAUUUCAAUUAGUAGAUUCCUUUUCCAGAUCAAAUUCAAAUAUGAAAGAGAUUAUCUUCAUGAUCUUUAAAAAGCUAUCUAUCUAUCUAUCUAUAGGGUGAGUUUUUAUAGGGUCACCUCCUAGAGUACUCGGUCAACUACAACUUUAAUUUUUUUUAUACAAUUUCAAUUGAAUUACCGUUUCGGAAAUUGCAUGAUGAGAGGAUUAAAAAUUACACAUAUAUUUUAUGAUUUUAAAAAUAAUUAAGAUUAUUUCAGACCAAAUUAAUAUUUUCAAAACUACUUGUCAUUCUUUUUCAAAAUACAAAUCAACCCAUACAAAAUAUUUCAUCAUUUCAAAUUCGAGGUCUGGCUCUUUCUCUCUCAUUCUCACUCAACAAUAUAGUACAAACAAUAACUACUCAACAAAUUUGCUCAACCCUCCAUGACAGAUCAUUUUUCUUCUCAUUUUUACCACAUAGGUGUUAUUUUUGACUUCAUUCUUGCUUGUAUCAGUCGUUUUCUUUGUCUUUGUAGGCAACAGAGUUCGAGAAGAGCUCUAUAUUUGUUUUUUUUAAUAAAAAAUAAGGGAUUUUAAGUUAAUGAUAAAAAAUAAAACUUUUAGUUGUAUUAUCUUCAAGAAUGGGUUUACAAUUAUGAGUUUUGAUGGUAAAAUCGUAGGAAAAACUUGAGAAAUCCCUAGUUUUCAUCGCAGAGUUCCGUUGACUAUCGUGGUAUAAUUGGAUGGUAUUUGUGGUGUUGGUGUUGGUGGUGGUGGUAGUGUUUGUAGUCGCCGUGGUGGCAUUAGUUGGUGGUGUUUGUGGUGGUGUCGGUAUUCAUAGAGUUUGUUUGUUUGUUGGCAUUAGUUGGUGGUUUUUGUGGCGGUGGUUGUUGGUGUGUCGGUAUUAGUGGUGUUUGUAAUGUAUUUCUUAAAAUCUAUGCAUAUAUCAACUGUAAUGUAAUUUUUAUUUUUCUUUAUCUAAAGGUAAAACAUGUCUCCCAAAAUAAAAGAAAGUGAAAGUGGAUCAACAUCUGACCACUCCAAAAAAGGCUACAAUACAGAGGGAUUCGGAGGAGCUGCCUAAACAAUCUCACUCAGGGAAAAUUAAAGCUAAGGAAAGAUGUGAAAAAAAUAUUGAGGGAGGUGGACAAGGGUCCGUAGAUGGUAAUGAAGAAAAUAAAAGUGAGAAAGAGGAGGAAUUAGAGAGUCAAAAAGAGAAAGAAGAUGAUCUAUAAAAAUUAUGAAGAACAAAAACAUAGGCGGACUUUUUAAGAAGAGCUGCUUUGGACACUUUUUUGAGCUGCCUGAGAACCCCUCUGCCCAUAUCUGUUUACUUAUGAUGAUGGUAUAUGGUCUUCUCAAGCGCAGGAUCAAGUACGCGGGGGAUGAUAAAGAUCCAAAGGAGGGGGGCAAAAAGAAAAAGGAUGAAAUCUGGAUCAACUACUGUGGCAUGCCUAUUUGUUUUGGCUUGCAACAGUUUACCAUAGUGACGGGCUUAAGAUGCCAUCAUCCAAAAGGACCACCACUCCACAAAAUAUCCAAGCCAAUAAAAUUCAAGGGAAAAAUAGAUGGGUUUUUUAACAUUGCUCGAUGUGGCUAUAAAGCAUCAGAUUUGUUGAUAGAUAUCGAUGAUAAAACCAUACCAGAGCAGUACAGGAAGCAAUUCUGCUUAGUUUGGUUUGCUCAUUUGUUUAUAUUGAAAAGAGACAUCAACAAGGGCAUAGAAGAUGAUUUGUUGGCGCAUGUUGAGGAUUUUGAUAAAUUCAACAAUUAUCCCUGGGGAUAUGAUAGCUUUUACUUGACUGUCCAAUAUUUACUAAAAAAGCUAUCCUCAGGGACGACCAUAUUAUACGGCUUUCCUUGGGCUUUCAUGGUAAAAUUAAUCAAUAAUUUUACUCAUCCAUUGAUUUAUAUUGAAUAUAGUUAUUACGAUUUUUUUUGCUUACUUCCUGUUUACAUUUUUUAGGUUUGGGAAUUUAAAGCCAUUUCUCCCCUCCGAAAGCAGUUAAUGGAUUACCCAGAUGAGGUUUCUCAUCCAAGGAUGUUUAGGUGGUUGGCUGCAAAGAGAAACACCAAUAUUAAGGAGGCUGAUCUCUUUAACCCUUCGGAUGAUGCAGUACGUCUUCUUCAAAUAAAAUAAUUCUACUUAAAGAUAAGAAAGAUAUUGAACAGAUGUUAUAUCUGGUGCAAUAGAUGUUAUAUCUAAUGCACCAGAUGGGACAUCUAUUGCGAUGGGGUAUAUCUUGCAUCAGAUUACCCAUCUAUUGCUUUGGUUCUCUUCUAAAAGAUUAACCAUCUAUUGCAAAUUAUGCAACAGAUGUUUAAUCUGAUAAUAUAUCAUUCAUCUGUUGAUCAUUUUCUAUAUAACAGAUUACCCAUCUUAUACAGCUGUUGUAACAGAUGAUUGAUAUUUUUCAUCAGAUUAUCCAUGCGUUGCUCUGUUUCUAAACCAGACUCAAAUGGAUUUUAACCAUAUACUGCAAACUAUGCAACAGAUGGUUCUUUUUUUUAAAAUGUAACCUAACUGUGAAAAUUAUUAUAUUAUAUGAUUUAAAUGCAUCUAUUUUUUUCCUAUUUUAUAGGUUGUGCAUCCAUGGAUCGUGCCUACAGAGGAGGAGUCGGUAUGACUUCUUAUAUUACUCUAGGUCAUAUUGAUACUAUCGUAGACCCAACGGUGGAGUUAAUAAAGAAGGAAUUGGCUAAAGCAACAGCCAUAAGAAGAGCAGUUAGGCAAGGUCAGCCUAAUGUUGAGGCUUUUCAUGACCAACCUUUUACUAAGGCAGAUUCGGGUGCUUUAUCUUGUAGAGUUAUUGGUAUUGGUGGCAGGCAUGCUGAUGCUGCUACCACUCAUGAUGAUGAGCAUGUUGAUGCUCAAUAAAGAAUAAAUAUGUAUGAGAACACCCUUUUUUGCCCUUACAUAAGUCCCUCUCACCCCUCUUCACCCUCGUGUUCUCGUUGCGAAUGCGAUGAGUACAAGGACAGACAGGAUAAACUCUUUGAAAAAGUAGAGGCUAUCCUUAAAGCUAUCAAGAAAUUCAAAUACAAGAGGUGUUUCUUACUAUCCAAGAAGGUGAGGGAGCCACACAAUCCUACAACGUUGAUUAGGAGAAAGAAAAAAGCAAUUAGAGACGAACUCUCCGCUCGAAAAUCAAAAGUAAUUACAAUUCCUCCCUCUCCAAAAGUUGUUGAAGUUCAAGGGACAGUCAAGAAGGUGGAAAUAUAUUUGGAACUUGGUGUCGAAGAGAAGUGGGAUCUGUAAUAGGCUAAGAAUGCCAAGCCAGGCAGACCAGAUUACCCCAAGCCUCCCUUUUCGCCCCAAGACAUCAAGACUAUGACUGAUAUGCGUAUACCAUACGAGGACAAGGCAAGUUUACUUUUCCUAACCUAGCCCUUCUAAUCUACCCCAUGAAGAAGAAGCUACAUAAUAGAUUUCACAUCUGUUACAACAGCUGGGUAUACUGGUGCAACUGGUUGUGGUUCUGUUGUAACUUACUAUCUAUCUGUUGUAAGAGUUACAUUGGAUUAUUGAUUCAGAGAACCCUAUGCAACAGAUGGACUAUCCGUUGCAUCUUUACAAUUAUUAACCUAUUUAAAAAUUUACUUCUUAUCUCACAAUAUGUUGACAUAAUUCUCUUCCUUAUGAGGAAAAGGCAAAUAAUGUACCGAGAAGCUUAUGACGCUACCGAUAGGAUAAUGGACCUUGACUUCCGUAAGAAGCUCGAGAAUAGGUACGAUCAACUCAAUGGAGUGGCAUCAACCCAUAACGUGGGACUUGAUUUCCUUGCUCCUACAUUGGUCUUGGAUGAAGAAGAAACAUUAAGAUAUGUUAAAGGGGACAGGCCAAAUCCAUACUGCAAGAGCUGGACCGAGGCAAAAAGAAUUCUUGCAGUCAUUAGCGUAAAUGACAUGCAUAAUUAGGCUAUUGAGAUACUACUCAAGGAGGGAAAGAUUAAUAUUUAUGACUCCAACGUACCUCCCAUUGAUGAUUUCGAUCUUUUUCUCCUCAUGGAGCCACUGAUGGUGCUGUUGCCCAUCUUAUUGAGGGAAAAUAAAUUGAUAAAUCAUUUGCCAAAGAAAGUGUUGAUUAAGAAAUCAUGGGAUUUUGAAGGUUGAAUAGGGGAAUGAUCCUUCCAAAAGAUGAUGCCACUAAAGAGAGCAGCUCGCACGCUCUUGCACACAUCAAAUAUUUGCUGACUCGUACAUAAAUGGCUGAACCAACGAAUUUACUAUGAAACAAUGCUGUGGCAAACCUGCAAGAGGUCCGGGCUUAUGGGGUACUAACUGGACGCUUGAAGCGUGUGUGUAUAGAAGAGCCUGUGAAAUAUAAAUUUUUAAUUUCAAGUCACCCUUCACUUUAUUACAUGUACAUGUAGUGGCAAUAAUUUUUUUUGAUGAAAGUUGAGUUUUUUAUAAUGCAAUAGAUUAGAUUAUCAAUUUGUUGUAAAAUAUCUUUAAUCCGUUCUGGCAGAUAUUUUAUCUGUUGGAAUAGGUUGGUCAUCUAUUAUAUUACGCUGAUGUUAUUUCUAUGAAUAAUCUAAUAAUCUAAUUCAAAUCUGUUACAAUAGAGGGAAGACCUAUUUGAUAAUUUCCAAUAGAUGACCCAAAAUUUUCAACAUAUGCCUAAAUCUUUUUGAUAUUUUCCAACAGUUACGCUUGAAUAUCCAUGUGCUCGUCGACAACAAACCAGUAGAAAAUAAACACACCACCAUGAAAAUUUUAGUAACUAGAGUUCAAUAUCCACGUGCCCAACAACACCAAACCAGUAGCAAUAACGGUAACAAUGUAGUAUCUUCUUGCUCGAUUUUCCUUCUCUUCAGAAGCCUUGACUUUGUUCAACAAACACCAGAUUCCACGAUUUUCUUGUGAAGGGUGUAGUUUUUCACACUAAUCAAAGUAAUCGCAUCCACCCAAUUUCUAUAAAAAAAAGAGAACACAAUUACAAAACAAUUACAAGUCAAUAAUUAAUCAACUAAUUAAAUAAAAAAAUAUUACAUUUGAAAUCUUAUAAGUAAAAAACCUACGACCCAGAUUUUGUUGAGUCCAAGAAGUCUUUAACAGAGCUUCAUGACCGUACUUACAAUAUUAAAAAUCUUUAUCACAAAAAAUAGUGGAAGAUGCGCUCGACAUUGUCAAGGUCAGUUGGAAAAAAUGAAAGUAAUAAUUUAAAGAAUUUGGAUAGAUAAAAGAAGAUGAUGAUAAAGAAGAAGAUUUGAGAAAUUAGGGUUAAAUUUUAGGAGGAAGAAGAAUAUAUAAGACAAUGGGGGAAAAAUAACCGUUGGGAGACAAGUGACGGCAAGUCAGCAAAAUGUGCCAGACUGACACUGACACAUUUGAUGCCUAUUUUAUUUUAUGUGUUUAAAAUGAACAUGUCUACUUGAUGCCUAUUCUAAUUUAGGUGUUUGAACUGAACACCUUCGAUGGGUUGCGCCUUUUUUAUUUCAAUUCAAUUCACUUUAAUCUUUUUACACGUAGUGGCAAUUUUGUAUGUCCAACGAAAUUUGAAUUUUUAUAAUGCAAUAGAUUCUCCAUCCGUUGUAACAGUUAACCUACCUGUUCUGACAUAUAGUUUAUCUGUUGUAAUAGGUUGGUCAAAUAUUGCAUUAUCUCGAUGUUUUUAUCUAAAGUCCAUUUGUUGCAACAGUAGGAAGACCUGUUUGAUAAAUUCAAAUAGAUAACCUACCUGUUGCAACAUAUGUAUAAAUCUGUUUGAUUAUUCCAAUAGAUGUGUCUUCUAUUACAAUAGAUAAAGUCCAUCUAUUGCAACAUAUGUCUAAAUCUGUUCUUUUUUCCCAAUAGAUGUGUCAUCUGUUGCAUUAUUUUGAUGUUUUUAUUUAAAGUCUAUCUGUUGCAAUAGUGGAAAGACCUGUUUGAUAAAUUCCAACAGAUCACCUACCUGUUACAACAUAUGUCUAAAUCUGUUUGAUUUUUCCAAUAGAUGUGUUAUCUGUUGCAACAUAUACAUUAUCUGUUGCAAUAUUUGAUUCUAGUAUUUCUUUUCAAUUAAUAAGUUCAAAUCUAAGGAAUAAAUAAAAUUCAUAGAAAAAAUAAAAUAAAUCGAAUCCUUCAUAAAUUAGCUGAAAUAAGUCAACAAAUAAAUGAAAUGUAAAAAAAUUGUUAUGGUACAGAUCUUAACAAAUACAUCAACAACAAUUUAAGUAUACUACCAAGGAUUUCUUUGUAAGGCUCAAGCUAUAAAGAUCUACUCAGUAUGGACAAGUUGUUCUUCAUCAGGUGCUAUGGAAUUCGGCUUUGCUCGUCGCGGAUCUUUAUUGUUUCUUGCGUACAGUUUCUGCACUUUCUGUUCUCCAUAUUUCCAUAAAAAGAGUAGUAUAUUGUCAAUGCUGUUCAACAGAAGCUUCUUCUAUAUCUACCUGGAAAGCCAGAAUUGGUCAAUGCUAAUCACGGAGAUACAACAAAAUGGAAAAGGAUAACUCAUCUCUUCUAGCAAAUCAAACAGGUCUUCCUCCCAUUUUAAAUUGCCCCAAACAUAUUAUAUUUCUAUUACAACAAUGAAUCAAUUGUUGGGAAAUAUUUCUAUAUGAGGAAGACCCUGUGUGAUAAUUUCCAAUAGAUGAACCAUCCAUUGCAAUAUAUGAAUCAUCUGUUGCAGCAGAUAGGUCAUUUGUUGGUACAAAUAAAAGCAGUACGAAGAGCUGUUUGAUUUGCUAAAAUAGAUGAGACAAAUGUUGCACUAGAUAAAGUAUCUGGUGCAACAGGUUAGUCAACUAUUGCAAUAGAUGUAUAUAUCUAUUUGAUAAUUUUCAGAAGAUGUGUCAUCUGUUGAAACCGAUAUAUGUCUGUUUGUUUUGUCAGUUGUAAGACAUAUAAUAUAUUCACCUUCUUCAGCCUGUGCUGCUCUCCUUUAGACAUUGUACGUUGGUCAGUGCAACACACAGACAGAGGAGUUGCAAUUUUUCUUCUUUGGAUGCCUGAUAAUGCCCUGGAAAUCACUCUCCUUCUCCUCUUGGCCCUAAUCUCUAAUGGAUCAGAUGGAAAUAAAAUCCUCUUUGAUGGAAUGAGACCCCUCUUAGAUGUCAAUUCCUUUAUAGAAGCAGUUAAUGCAUUAAUAGCAUUAAUCACUACAUCAUGUUUCACCCUACAGUCAUGAUAUUUGCAUGCAGAACAUUCGUUGGGAGAGGUAAAAUCUGUAUAACCAGUAUGAUCAUACUCAUAAUGGUUUUCUUUAAAUACUAUAAGAGAAGCAUCAUUAGCACCAACAGCAACACCACUACCACCACCAACAGCUCCAUCAACUAUAACAAGCCCACCAUCCAAAAUUAUUUUUCUUGUAAUGGUUGUUGCUCCAAACAAUUCCAUUUUUAUUCUGUCAAUGACCAUAGGUUCCGGUAAAGUUUGCACAUACCAUAAAGUAAGAAAAAAUGGCAUCUUUAACUCUAGAUUGAUCAAAACAAGCGAUGGAUGAAUAUUCUAACACAAAUAUUACAUAUAUUAGAAUGAUGAUUAGAUCAUUCAAAAAAAACAUUAAUUAAAAGAAAACAUUAAUUAUAAUUAUACUUACUGCAUCCUUCGAGGGGUUAAAGAAAUCAAGAAAUUUUGCAUUUUUAUCAGUUUUGGCCGAUAACCAUCUCAAGAUUCUUGGAUAAGAAACUCCUUCCUAGUAGUUCACUUGUUGUCUCAAAUAAGGAAUGGAUUCACACACCCAAGCCUAUAAAAUAAUGCCAAUAAAUCAAAAUCAUUAUUGAGCAAAAAAAAUAAAUGAUAUCAUAAUAGAAGAAAGAAACAUUUACCAUGAAAGCCUAUGGGAAGUCAUAUAAGUUGACUGUCUUUGGCGCUAACGGAGUCAAAAAAUAUUUGACAGUCAUUUUGAAGCUUUCAUACCCCUAUGGAUAGCUGUUAAAUGCCUCAAGAUCCUCAAAGAGCUUUAUUAAAUCGAGGUUUAUAUUGUUGUUAACUUCUCUCGCCCAAAGAAUAUUAUGUACAAACCAAACCAAGCAUAAUGACUGUUUGUGCUUCUUUGAAAGUACUUUAUCUUUCAACGCUUCUAUUAAAUUUUUAUUUUUUAAGCUUGGACCAACAAUGGACACCAGGUCAUCACGAUCACACGACUUGCCUUUGCCUUUUUUGGGUGUGCGGGAUGAUUUUUUUGGGUUAGAAUAGGUAUAACUUGAGAAGGAGGACAACAUUUUAGUCCAAUAACUAUGGAAAACUCCUUAAAACCAAAACAAACAGGCAUGCCACAGUAAUUUGUCCACACCUCAUCCAUUUUAUCUUUGUUUUCAUACAUAAACCUAUGCUUGAGAAAUUCAUAUACAAUUUUCAUUUGGAAACGAGCAUUGUUGUCCUCUGAUAAAUCAAGAUAUUUCCCAAAGCAGCUAUCCCUGAAAUAAGCAUCCAAUUUUCGCUUACAAAGUAUUUUUCUGAAGGCGUCAAAAGGUUUUCCCAUGGCUGACUUAACCACGAAAUCACUCAUUAAAUUUGCAGUACCAUCGCACUGUAUUCUCAUAGGAUAACGAUCAAUGUUGAUGGCUUUGACCAGCUCUUUGAUGGAAGGGCUAUUAGCAUAUGCAUCAUCUCUUUUGAAAUAUUCCUCCUCCCCAUGUUCAUCAUAUUCUGCUCUCGAUUGAGAUAACACUUGUAAAGCAAGCUGAUAGAGUGGUAGAUGUAGCCUAGCUGCUUUAUUUGUUCCUUUACUUGGACUUGAUUCAAUUUUUGUUCUUUCGGGAACCAUAUUAUCUAAAAUUAAUAGGAAUAUAAAAUAAUAUAUUAUUGUUGAUUAAUGCAUCGUUAAAAAAGGAUAAUAGUAAAUCAAAUUAGCAAAACAGUAAAAUAAUAGUUGCAACAGAUCACCGAUCUAUUGCACCAGGUAGUAUAUCUGUUGCAGCAUAUAACUAAACUGUUGUAGCAGAUGAGUAACCUAUUGCAAUAAUACAAAACAUAUCACCAUCUUUUAAGACAGAUAAAUGGUCUGUUCAACAAAUCACACAACUGUUGUGACAUCAUCUGUUGUAACAUAUGAGUGAUCUGUUAGAACAGUUAAAUAAUCCGUAGCAAUGGCUGAGUAAUCUGUUGUGACAAUACAAAACAUAUCACUCAUCUGUUGAGAAAGAUGAAUGGUCAUUGCAAUAGGUCACACAUCUGUUGCAACACAUAAGUGAUCUGUUAGAACAGUUAUCAAUGGUCAAUAUUGUUUAGAUUUCUUCCAACAUAGGGUUAUCUAUCGUGGUAGAUAAAUGAUCAGUUCGAAAAAUAAAGUCUUGGACUUUUCCUGUAUGAAGAGUUGGUAGGGUUUUAUCCAACAGGAGGUUUAUCUAUUGCAUCAAAUCAUUAAUCUAAUGGUUCUUCAUUGCACCAGAUGGUUAAUUAGUUACAUCAGAUUUUUUAUCCGAUGCUUAAUCUGUUGCAACAUAUGGUAAAUCUGUUGCAUCAGAUAUUUAAUCUGUUGCAUCAGAUUAUUAAUCUGUUGCAUUGGAAUUGUAACCUGAUGGUUUCUCUGGUGCAUAAGAUGGUUGAUUUAUUACAUCAUAUGAUAAAUCUGUUGCAUCGAUGGUUAAUAUGUUGCAACAGAUGGGUAAUCUGUCGGAGGAAACAAUAGCACGAUUUUAUUAAAUAAAAAACAAAAAUUUCACCAUUUUUACCAAGAACAAGAACAGAACAAAUCAAACCAAAUUGUACUUUUGCUUUAUAAACACAAACAAUAAAAAUCAAACUUCAAAAAAAUGCAACAAAACAAUAAAAUAUCAUAAUUCACUUCGAAAAGAGAAGAGAAGAAAUAUCAGAAAUUAGGAUUUUAUUCAGACUACAUUUCAAAUUAGCACAACAAAAAUUGAAAUUGUUAACCAAUACUAUAAGACAAGUUGGCUCAAGUUCCUUGCUUUUUUUAAAACUAAAAAGGUCAUAAAUUUUUACCUGUGAAAGAAGAAAAGGAAUGAUGAAGAAUUCAAAGUUGUUGUGGCCAGAGAGCAAAGCUGUCACGUUGAUAAGAGUCGAAAAGGAACUCGAAGCCCAACUAUUUAUAGUCGGAUGUUGAAGUCGCCGAGGAUUGAAAUAAGAAACUUGCAGAAUAAUUGGUUGGGAGAGAGUUGAGAGAAGUUGUCGAGAGAGGGAUGAGAGACAGGUUGAUUGAAUUGAAGAGGGUAACUCGAAGCCCAACUAUUUAUUGUUGAAGGUAGAAUUCGUCGGGGGUUGAAGGGAGAAAUUUUUCAAAACUAUUGGUUAGGAAAGAGUUGAGAGAAGCUAUCGAGAGAGAGGAGAGAGUAGUUGAUCUGGAUUGAAGAGGGGUGUGAGUUGGGCUGAUUUGUAUUUUUGAAAAGAUUAGAAAGUUUUGAAAAUAUUAAUCAACUCCACAAUUAACUUAAUCAAGUUUCCUAAUGAUGUUUGACCCUAUUUGUUGGUCAAUGUCACCAAUCCUUCAUUCAAGACUUAAAAGACAUCUUUCCUUCAAUUUUCCCAAGUUUAAUGAUCUUUUGUUUUCUUUCUAUAUCUUUCAUAUGUAUGCUGUUAGAGUAUAUAAUGAUCACUCGAAUUGAUUGUUAUAUUUUUUUUUAUAUAAAUUUGUGAAAUUUUAAAAUCUCCUAAUCUUUCGUGCAAAACAAACAUUUGGCGAUACAAUUGUAGAGUUGAAUAUACUUAUCACCAUAGCAAUGUCCCUUUAAGGAAAUAACAUACUCAUAUCUUAUGCAGCAAUAUAUUCAUGUUUUAGUUUCACUUGAAUUAGAAAUAUUUUAGAUGGUGUGUUAUUUCUACCAUUUGACAUUUAUAUUGUGAAAUUUUAUUUCUAAUGUUUAUACUUGUUGUACCUGUCAUCAAUUUUAUAUUUGGAUUCAUUAAAUUUCCUAUCUUUGUAUUACUAACAGAGCAUUUAUCAGACUCUAAGAAGCGUGGCAAGUACACUAGUUCAAAAUAAAGCAUUAUUACAAUUUUUUCUCUGUUUCACUCUCUUAUAUCUCUAACUUUCUUCUUGUUAGUUUUUUUUUCACCUAUUUUUUUAUCAUUAUAUUUUUAUUUUGAUUUUUUUUCUUUCCACUUUAUUUUCUCUUUUUUAUUUCUCUUGUUUUUUUUUCUUUUUUCGUUUUCUUUUUUUCCUUUCUCAUUUUCUUUUCUUUUCCUAUUUUCAUUUUCUUCUUUUUAUUUUUUAUUUUUUUUUAUUGUUUUUGCUUUUAUUUUUAUACUUUUAUUUCUAACUUCUAUUUGUCUUUCUUUUUUUUCCCUUUUUCACUUCUUUUUUUUUAGAUUUUUUUUCAUUUUUUGUCUUGUUAUAUUUAUUUUUUUUGUUUCGGUUACUCUUCUAUCUCUAUAUUUUAUUUUUAAAAGACAAAUAUCUAUAUCACAUAUACAUAUUCAAAAAAUAUACAAAAUAAAUUGACAUACAGAUUUGCAUAUGUAUUUACAGUAAAACAUACAUAUGUAUUUGCAUAUGUAUUUACAGAAAUACAUAUCUGACUCAUAUGUAUAUAUAAGUAUAUACGACACAAAAUCUCUAUAACAAAAAGGAAAACUAUAUACAUAUACAUAUAAUUAAUAAAAAAUAGAUGAUACAUAUUUUAAACAGUAAAAAAUACAAAUAAGUAUAUCUGUUACCCUCUAAAAUGACAUAGAACAAUUCAAAGACAAAUUUAACACUGUACAAAAAUACAUAUGAAUAUGCAUUUGUAAAUACAUAAAGGACAACUAAAUACAUAUAUAUAGAUAUAGGUAGUCAAAAGAUACAUAAUACAUCUUAUAAAUAGUAAAAAAUAAAAAUAAGUACAUAUGUUACCCUCUAAAAUGACAUAGAAAAUUCAAAGACAAAUCCAACACCGUACAAAAUACAUAUAGCUCUAUAUAUAUAUUUACAAAAUACAUACCUGAUCCUUAUGUAUAUUCUGAUUUUAUAUAAGUCACCUUUGUAUUUUGCAAAUAUAUAUGAAGAUAUAUAAUAUAGUUAUGUUUUUUACUGUUUAAUAAGAAUAUGAUGUGUAUUUUGUAAAUACAUAUCACAAUCAUAUUUGUAUUUUUUGUAUAGUAAUAUACAUAUGGAUCAUGCAUAUAUUCUGUAAAUACAUAUGUAGAGUUAUAUGUAUUUUUUUGUAAUGUUAUAUAUAUUAUGUAAAAGAAAACAUAUGCAGACUAUGUAUUUUGUAUUAUAUUUUUAUGAAAAGUACAUGUAAUAUAGAUUUAUGUCAUUUUUUUGUUUUAUAGGUGUUGCAUGAUCAUAUAUUCAUGGAAAGAGUACUUUCAAGGUUCACACCACAUAUAGAAUGUCACAUAGUCAAUGAUAUUGAAAAAUGUAGUAAGGCGAUGUUAUCAAAGGAGCAGUACAUGAUUUUUUGUCAUAAGAAUAUUUUUCAUGUCUAUAUGAACAAGAAGAAAUAUGUAGUUCAAGCACAAUUAGGCAGAUUUAUUAUAAUUUCUUAGGGGCAUGUGCAUGUAUUUGUAUUUUGUAUAUAUAAAUGCAUAUCUACAUGUAUUUUUUUAUGGUGUUUGAUUUGUCUUUGAGUUUUUCUAUGUCAUACUAGAUGGUAACAUAUGUACUUAUUUGUAUUUUUUACUGUUUAAAAUAUGUAUUAUGUAUUUUUUGAUUACCUAUAUGUAUAUGUAUAUAGUUAUUCUUUUUGUUAUAGAGAUUUUACGUCCUAUAUGUUUAUAUAUACAUAUGAGUGUGAUAUAUAUAUCUGUAAAUACAUAUGCAUAUACAUAUGUAUGUUUUUUACUGUAAAUACAUAUCCAGAUUUGUAUGGCUAUGUAUUUUGUAUAUAUUUGUAAAUAUGUGUAUGUGAUAUACAUAUUUGUCUUUUCAAAAAAAAAGUUAGGGAUAGAAGAGUAAAAAAAGAAAAAAAAAGAGAAAUAGAAGUUAGAAAUAGAAGUGUAAACAUAAAAAGAAAAAAAAAGAAACAAAAGAAUAGAAAAAAACAAGAAGAAGAAAACGAAAAUAAGAAAAGAAAAAAAGGUAUGAGAAAGGAAAAAAGAGAAAACGAAAAAGAAAAAGGGGAAAAAAGGAGAAAUAGAAGAGAGAAAAUAAAGUGAAAAGAAAGAAUGAAAAAAAGAAAUCAAAAUAAAAAAAUAAAAUGAUAAGGAAAUAAGAUGAAAAAAAAAAUAACACGAAAAAAAGGUUAGAGAUAUAAUAGAGUGAAAGAGAGGAAAAAACAUAGUAAUGAUGUUUUAUUUCGAAAUUUUGAAGAUCACGAAGAUAAUUAUCUUCAAGGGAUAAUACUCACAAAAAUGAGCUUUGACUGAAUUUCCAGUUGAGAAUGCUCAACUUUGCGGGGAGCCUAUUACCCACCUAGAUUUUUUAAAGUGGAAUUAAUUCCCCCCCCCCCCCCCCCCCAGACUUUUUAAAAGUGCAAUUAAUUCCUCCCCAAAAUGCUACACGCAAUUUUGACGGUUGGAAGUGUAAUACAAACGCUCUUUCUUCUUCAUUUUAUAACUUUUCAACAUUUUUCGCCAUUACAACCUUAUUAAAGAUUUCACAACUCAAAGACCUCCUACAAAUCAAAUUCCAAAUGAUUCUAGUGAGUCAAUUCAAUUUUUCAUUAUUUUUUCACCCAUUUUUCACCAAAAUCUUGUUCUAUCAAAGGUUCUUCUUGUCUUGUUCAACCUCUGUAACUGCUUUCUUCUUCUCCUCUUUCUGUUUCUCAGUACCCCUGGAACAAUUGUUAGUGAAAAAAUAUCAACUCAUAAGGCUGUAGUUCAAUAAAAAUAUAGGCAUCAAACAGCUCAUCCCCAUCCAUUAUAGUUUUCCUUCUUUCUUUUCUUACCAUCGCCUCUUCUGCUUGUUAGAUAAGAAGAAAAUAGAUUUAUCAUCACUAAUAUGAAUCAUGUAAGAUAUGUUAAGCACUCAGAUCUAGGCAACAGAAUUUUAUGGAAUACCAUUAAGCGAUAUAUUUCUCACCUUUGAUAAUCAUUGGCUUAGCUAGUAUCAACAAAAACAAUUAUUUUUUAAUAAAAUCUUGAUAGAAUUGAAGAUGGCCCAUUUGGUGUGUGUUUUGAAAUUGAAUCAAAUUGAUAUAACUGAAUUAAGUGUGUUGAAGAUGAUCCAUUUAGGUGUGUAUGUUUGUGAUGAAAUUGUGUUCAAUUUCAAUUCAACAAUGGAGCAAUCAUGGUGUUUUGUUGAAGAGUUCAUUGUUGAAGAGAAGAAAGAAAGAAAGAGGAGAGAGAAGAAAGAAGACAGAAGAGAAAACAAAUGAAAAAAUAAAUAAAAAACAUAAAAUCUAUAAAAAUCAAAAAAUUAAGAGGCUAUUUGACCAAAUAAAAAAGUUUUAAACAAUUUUUUAUCACUUUGAUGCGCUCAAUCCGUGUGAAUUACACGCAAUGGUCCAAGUGGGUAGAUAUAUGCCAUUAAAAUAUGAAAAAAAAAGUCCAGAGGGUAAUAGGACCCCCGCAAAGUUCAGUAUGCUUAACUGGAAAUUCGGUCAAAGUUCAGGUAUUUUUGUGAGUAUUAUCCCUAUCUUCAAAUAUGAGAAAGAAGGUAAAAGAAAACGAAAAGGAAAAAAAAGAAAAAGGAAAAAAAAAGAGAAAUAAAAGAGAGAAAAUAAAGGAGAAUGGAAAAAAUAAAAAUAAAAAUAAAAUAAUAAAACAAUAAGAUGAAAAAAAGGUAGAAGAUAUGACUAUAUUUGGGGGGGAGGGGGGGGGGGAGUGAAAAUAGGAAAAUGCAAAGUAAUGAGAGUAAAACAUGCACUUGCCUAAAACAGGCGCUUGUCUAGUUAAUGGGCAAACUGAUAUUACUCUUAUUAUAAACUGUAAUUUUGCAAAAGUGUUCCUAUUUAUUGUAAUUAUAAUUUGAAGAAUCUUACUUUCUAUAAUUUUUCAAUUUAAUACGUUGUCCCAUGUGUGAGAGAAAUAUAGGAAAUUAUGUAGGAUGACACCUAUAAUGGGUGACUUUGGUUUUUUAUCCCCCAUAAGACAUGUUUUAGAGACUAGUCUUCUUUCCUUUUUAUGUAUAGUACAAGUGCAUUUUUAAACUAUCCAUGUUCAUUUGUAUAUCAACUUUUAUUUUUUUUCUUUUAUUUCACUUUUUUAUUUUUCUUUAAUUUUUAUUUUUUCUUUUUUUUUGUUUUAAUUUACUUGUCUCAACCUUUAUUUUGCUUUUACCUUUUCUUCAUUUUUCUUUUUUUUAAACACUAUUUGUUUCUUCAUUUCGUUUUUUUUCUUUUUUUGAUUCAUUUGUCUCAACCUUUAUUUUUAUUUUAUUUUUUGUUUUUAUCAUUUCGCAUUUCUCAAUUUUUUUAUUUUUCUCAAACUUUAUUAUUAUUAUUAUUAUCCUCAUUUUUUAUUUUCUCAAUCUUUAUUUAUUUGUUUGUUUUGUUUUUCAUUCUUCCUUUUUUUCUUUUCUUUUUUUUUUCUCGAUCUUUGUUUUUCUUUUCUCUAUUUAUUCUUUUUUUUUUCCUUUUUCUCAAUUUCUAUUAUAUUUUGCUAAUAAAUAGAAAGUUGGAUAAUCCAUAAGGGGAUUUUCUUUCUUUGUAUCAAAGUAAAUUUAAGGGCAUGACUUGUUGUUUGGAUGUCUUUUGGGAUAACUCUUGCCUCUAAAGUAAAAGUUAUAGAACAUCCAUGAAUCAAGACAUAAUGUGGUAUUGUCAAUUCUUGCUCGUGGAGCAAAAUUUAUUGUUUGAAAAUCCUUGAGUUAAGUCUUGACUCUAAGACAAGAGUUAUAAAAUAUCUCCUAAAUCAAGAAAUAAUGUGGUAAUAUCAACAUUUUCCCAUUAGGUGUAACUUAUUUUUUUGGGGAGGUUCUUGGGCUAAGUCUUGUUUCCAUGCUAGACUAAUACAUCAUCUCAUAAAACAAGACACAAUAUAUACUGUCAACUCUUGUCCAUGGGCGUAACUUGUGGGCUAAGUCUUGCCCCUAAAGCAAGAGUUAUAAAACAUCUCAUAAAUCAAGACAUGAUGUGGUAGUGUCAAUUCUUGCCUAUGCGGUAUAGCAUAUGUUGGAAAGUCCUUGGACUAAGUCGUGCCUCUAAGGCAAAAGUUAUAGAACAUCCCAUAAAUCAAGAUAUAAUAUGGAAGUGUCAAUCUUAUCCAUGGGGCAUAACUUGUUGUUUGAAAGUCCUUUAUUUAUAAAACAUCUCAUUCAAGACAAAAUGUUAUAGUAUCAAGUCUAGCCCAUGGGGAGUAACUUGAUGUUUAAAAGUCUUUGGGUUACAUUUUGCCUCUAAGGCAAGAGUUAUAGAACAUCUCAUAAAUCAAACAUAAUAUGGUAGUGUCAACUCUUACCCAUGAGGAAAAAUUUAUUAUUAGAAAGUAAUUGGGUUAAGUCUUGCCUCUAAGGCAAGAGUUGUGGAACAUCUCAUAAAUCAACACACAAUGUGAUAGUGUCAAUACUUGCUCAUAGGGCGUAACUUGUUGCUUGAACGCCAUUGGUCUAAUUCUUGCCUCUAAUAGAAGAGUUAUAGUAUAUCUCAUUAAUCACUGCACAAUGUGGUAGUGUUAAUUCUUGCCCACGGGCAUAACUUGUUGUUUGAUGGUCCUUAGGCUAAGUCUUGCCUCUAAACAAAGAGUUAUAGUGCAUUUCAUAAGUAAAAAAUACAAUGUGAUAGUGUGACUCUUUUCCAUUGUACAACAUUUGUUGUUUAAAAAUCCUUCGAAUAAGUCAUACUUUUAAGGCAAGAGUUAUAGAACAUUGCAUAAAUCAAGACAUAACGUGAUAGUAUCAACUCUUAAUCAUGGGUCAUAAAUUGUUAAAAGUCAAUGAUGUAAGUCAUCCCUCUAGCGUAAGAGUUAUAAAACACCUCUGACACGACCCGAACCAGAGCCUUAUCGUAAUGGGCAUCUCAGCCCAACAAGGACAGGAGAUCACCCCGCUACCCAAUUCAACCAACCAAUAUAUACCUGAAGUUGGAUAAAUUCUGAACAUAUAACAAGAUAAGGUGAUUAACAACACAAAGACUUUGGGAUAGGUCCAAGACCAUGACCAACCCAUAUAAGUCUAACCGUUCAAUGCCCAACCAAUAACCAUAACAAAUCCAAAAUAAUAACCAAGUCCAUAUCCAUACCAUAAAGUACCCAAGUCCAUAGUUUGUCCAUACAAAUCCUCUAAAGGAAAUCCAAGAAUAUCUAUAAUACCCCGAUCAUUUCUUAAGCCUAAAUCCAUCUUUUGAGUAGAUAUGUAUGACUUCCAAAGUGAUUGAUCUUUAAACCAUGUUGUAUUUCUCUAAUUUCUACUUUUUGUCGUGUAGAGCAUUGAAUAAAAUUUUCAUCGAUACUGAUUUCAUUAAAAUCCUACAUCGGACGAGGGGGUUAUGACCAUUUUAGUGAAUGGUAUCGAAUCUCCCAGGUUUGACGGUCGACCUGGCAGACCGUCAGGUUCUUGGUGGACCGUCAAGUACCCCGUCAAGCCAAGGAAGUGACUCUUUUUUUAGGCCAUCGUGCAACGUCCAAGCUGGUGGACCGUCAAAAAGUUGAUGGACCGUCAAGGGGUCCGUCAGGUCAAGAAAAAUGUCUCGUUUGUGGCCCUCGAGUGACAGAAGUCUUGGUGGUCCUUCAGGUAACUGACGGACCGUCACUUCGACCAUCACACCUAGGCAGAAUGUUCCAGUGUUUGCACUCGAGUGAUGGAGAUCUGGUGGACCGUCAGAUCGACCGUCACAGGCCCCGAUCAGCAAAUUUCAGCAUUUUCAAAAAGGGCAUUUUUGUCAUUUCCUCCCCUUGUGGUCUUAUAUACAUAUCAAGGUGGAGAAGAACCACUCAUUUUUCUUCUCCUUUCUCUUCCAAUCUUUCAAGAAUCUCCUAAAAACUAGGGUUUCUACUAGAUCCAAAAUCCAAAUCCUCUUUCAAGAAAUUCAAAGAAACUUACAUGACUUUCUCCAAGUUGUUAAAGAACUAAGUUUCCCAAGUCAAAGGCAUCAAGAAUCUUGGUAUAAAAGUGUGAGAACAGUUCCAAAAAAGUUUCUACAUCUUCAAAUCAAAACCCAAGGUAUGUAGGGAUUGAACAAGAACACUCCUUUCGUUCUUGUGCCUAAAGAUUUACUUUUUAUUAUUGAUUUACAUGAUUUUGCAAGUGGGUUUACACCCAAAUUUCUUUGUUUAUGAUUUAUGAGAUUUGAGUUGAAUAAGUUUGAUAUUUAUGAUUAUUUUACCAUCAUGUUUCUUAAAUUGAGAACUUAUUCCAUGAGUUGUAUAUUGUCAUUACGUAUUGAUGAUUUCUAAGCGAUUUAAGACAAGUGUCAUGAGUUAUUCCUUUCCAUGAGAAAUUUGACUAUUGAAUAUAUAUCGAUAUUUGAGAUUGAAAGUCAAGAACGAGUCCUAUGAUGCUUCCUUGAAGUUUUGAUAUUUGAAAUGAUUUGAUAAGUAAAUAUACUUGAUAUUGAGAAAGAUUGUGUUGAGUUUAGUCGGGUUAGGAAUCCACAAGAUGUUUAUGAUUUACAGAUGAGAUAUAUAUUUAUGUUUUAGUCUUUAUAAUAGACCCAUGAGUUGAUAUUGAUUAAGGUGGAUUUCCUAAUGCGUUCUGAGCUGAGUCUGGGAUGAGUAUUUAGCAUCGAGCGGGAAAUAUGGUAUUUUCCCGAAACUACGUGCCACCGUAGGAUUGAUGUUGAUAAUUGUGGGCCAGAGGCCGAGUAUAGGAUUGUGAUAGAGAGAUUGAGGUUGUAAUCCCUGACAAGAGUACAACACCCUCGCCAAUAUGGGGUUCUCUUCUUAGGAGGGCAAAACGUUGGACUCCGUGCGGCUCACAUGGUGUAGUUAUGUCGGUUAUAAGAAACUCCCACGUCCAUAAUAAUCUAAGUACCAUGAGAUACCGAUUCACUCUAAGUCAUGAUUCAAAGAGUUUGAGUUGAGUUAAAUUAUUUAUGAAGCAUAUGUUAUUACUGAUGACUUACGGAAAUGAUGUUUUAGAUAAUUCAAGCGAAGAGAGUUGUUAUUGUUAGCAUGCAUGAUUUUCUUAUACAUUUAUGAUAUUAUUUAAAAUGUUGCAUCCACACCCACAUACUCAGUACAUUCCCAAGUACUGACUCCCAUACUCUUUUGUAUUCUAUAUUUCCUCCGGAUAUAGGUUCAGGUGCUCAGUCUCAGCAGCGACAGUGAUCUCUGAGUAUCCUCAUCUGCAUUCCUGAAGUUGGUGAGUCCUCAUAGUUCGAGGACCUAUAUCUCUUAUUUUGUCUUGUUAAUAGAUGGAUAUUUCCUUUCAGUUUAGUACAAGUCAGUUGGGGAUCUGUCCUAAUGGCCCCUUAAUUCUAUGUAGUAGAGGCUUUGUCAGACUAGAGUACCAGUACAUAUAGAACUACAGUAUUUUGAUUGUAAAAGACAAUAUUACUUUGUAUCUCAGUAUGUUCAGGACAUGGUUAUUCCUCUUUAUCUUAUCAUGAUUUGCGUUAUAAUGAGUUCUGAAAGUGAUGAUGGCUUAGAGGGUUAGCUUAAGGCCACGUGUGACCUUUAGCACCGUGUGACGUCUUGGGAUAGGUUCUCGGGGUGUUACAAUAUCCUAUUGGGACAUGCCACCGACCAUAUCCAAAACCAAUGUCCAAGUCUAAACCAAUAAAGACAUACGAAAACUCAAAGUAAGAAUAAAGACUUCCGAAGUAUAAAGGCUCACCACUUCAAGUCAACAAAAGUUAUGCCCGAAUCAAUCACUAAGUAAGAAGUGUUAGAAUAUGACCAACACCUGCAUCACGUGGGGAUACAAUGUCAAAGAUGGUUAAAUCAAGGAUAAGGAUAAAAUAAUUCCAACAGUUUAAAUCCAAUCAACCAAUGCAUAUAACCUAUGCAUUAUAUAAAUAAACAUAUAUACUAUGUUAGGGUAGAGAACGAGAUUAGCAUGAACUUCAAAAUCAUUAUCCUGCGCUAUGUAGCAUAGUCAUCAUAAAAUAAGGCACCCACGGGCUAUAUAGGUCUAGCUUUCCCCUAGCUAGAAGGACCCAAGUGUGUGUAGCCGCACAAACCAUAGAAUACCCAAAACCUUAUAUGCCUAUAUGGGGACUCGAACCUCCCAACAUAAUCAAGGUGACUUAAGCACUAAUACAUGUAUUGUGGGGGACUCGAACCCCCUAUUCACAUAUUCAUUCGGGGAACUCUAACCACCUGAUCACAAAGACACCCGUACGGGCUAGCGCGGUUUCCAAUGUUACUCCUUCAGACUCCACUCUCAUAGAUUGGCAACACAACCCGCUUUUAAAGCCCAAUUUAAAACUAUUGUUUUAUCCAUUUUUAACUUAAAGAGUUAGAAAACAUUGAUUUUGACUCUUUAAACUAUUUCAAAUCCUUAAAGAAAAUUUUGAAAGAAUCAAAGAAAUUACAGAGUCUCCACUUAAUUUAUUUGAAAAGAAAUUAAGAAAUCUUUUUAAAAUAAAAUCCUAAGUCUCAAAAUAAAAAAAGACUUAGGACUUUAAGAAAAUCCCGGGUAAGAGGUUUUUAUUAAUAUUUUAGAAAAGUUUUUUAAGGCACCUAAAAUGCCCACUAACUUGCAGUUAACCGGACUAUUUAAAAACCACUUUGACUAACUUUGAAAAAAGAGAGGGUGGUUGAACGAAUCCACUUUCACGAAUUGGAUACACAAAACGCUUUUGAAGCCCAAUUUAAAACCAUUGUUUUAUCCCUUUUUAACUAGAAGGGUUGGAAACAUUGAUGUUGACUCUUUAACCUAUUUCGAAUUCUUAAAGAAAAUUUUGAAAGAAUCCAAGAAAUUACAGAGUCGCCACUUAAUUUAUUUGAAAAGAAAUUAAAAAUCUUUUUAAAAUAAAAUCCUAAGUCUCAAAAUAGAAAAAGACAUAGGCCUUUAAGAAAAUCCCGGGUGAGAGAUUUUUAUUAAUAUUUUAGGAAAGUUUUUAAGGCACCUAAAAUUUUUGCUAACUGGCGGUUAUCCAGACUAUUUUAAAACCACUUUGACUAACUUUGAAAAAAGAGAAGGUGGUUUUUUAAAAAAAAAAAAAAAUUAGGACAAAACUUGUAUGGAAACAAUUUUUUGACGACUUCGUAGAAAAUUUAACUAAGUCUAAGAAAAUAAAUAGCAAAUAAGCACGUAAAAUGGAAGGGGGAGAAUUAAAAGACUUAGGCUCGUAAGCCCAAAUUCGUCAACCCUGUCCUGAUCUAAUUGGGCUUUUGGCCCAUAUACAUCUGUCCUAAUUUAAAUAUCGAGUUUUGGCCCAUAACCUGUCCAAAACUAUUUUUCCAGAUCCUUUAGCCUAGAAUCGGCUUCACCUAUAUUAAAAUAUAACUUCCAAGUGAAUGAAUUAGUAAAUGAUUAAAUGAAUAAAUAAAAAGAAGACAAUAAUAAAAAUUGAGACUUUUCAAGUCUCCUUGUGACCUCAUCAAUGGUUUUGACUCAUUUUCCUUCUUGGUCUAUCUUCUAGCACUCGUACGCCAUAUAUUCAACCUCGAUUUUAAACUUUGAACUUGACUCAAAGAGGUGGGCCUCAUUAGCCCAUUACGAAAUGCAAGAGGAGAGGAAUCCAUUUGUAUUCGAGACAUUUUUUACAUGCAAAGAAAAGAUAAAGAAACUAAUGUACAUUCAAUGAAUUUUUGAAUGACAAUGAUAAGCACACUUGCACACGUAUAACAAGAAUGAGUGUCAACAGAUAAAAUGCAAAGCAAAAACACCCACUUAUAUGCCUCAUGAUUUAUGUUCAUAUUAAGAAUGAAUAAAGGUAAAAGGAAGAAGGUCAUAGUCAAUGAAUUAAUGCGAGAACAAAUAACAUAAGCUUGCGAAAGUAAAUGGAAGAGGUAAUAAGAAAAACAACCAUGGAUUCUAAAAUUGAACAAAUGUAGAUACUAAUCCAUAUAACAAAAUAAAAUAAAGGCUAACUUUUCAAGAAAGGGAAUAUUUAAAUUUCAAUUAGGGCGACAUUAACAAAGAUUCAUACUUCUAAAUUACAACAAUAUUUUAUGGAAAACAUGUAAGAGCCUAUGGUUUAUCUUUUGAAGGCAUCGUUGACUCUUUUUUGAUAUUAUGAAUUAAAAGAAAGACACGAAUCAAGUCCUUACACACACAAAGAGAACAUAUAACAAUCCAAAGGGAGUUAGAAAAGUAGAAUAAAAGUUUAGCAUUUUUAAAAGUGAAAUAUCAUUCAACAAUCAUACUAUGCAUGACUCAAAAAUAUCUAAAUAGUUCUAUUUAGCCACUAAAGCCCAAACUUUCUCAUCAUUUUGACAAGUCAACAUGUGAAAAAAAAGGAAUAACCAUCUUGGAUGAAAUAUAGCUAUCACUUCAUCUCUCAUAUGAGGAUUUUGAAAUUCAUUAAAUUAAUUAGCAAGCAAAUGACAAGUUCUUGACUUAACCAAUUACUAUUUUAUUAAGGAAAAACAAACAAUAGUAAUUAUUCUUUUUGAAUUAAAGAAAAUAAAUUUACAUGCUAAAAAUAAAUAUAUCCACCAACAAUGAAUUUAAACAAAGAAUAAGUACGUCUUUUAAGCAAAGAUUGAAACUUUAUCCAUAAUAAUCAAAGAAUAAAGUCAAAAAGGAGAAACAAUCACUAUUAUCUAUUCUUUUCAACAUAAAGGAAACAACUUUACAUGCUAAAACAAACAUAUCUGCUAAUAAUGAAUUUAAACAAAACAUAAGUACAUCUUUUAAGAAAAAAUUAAAACUUUAUCUAUAAUAAUCAAAGAAUAAAGUUAAAACGGAGAAAUAAUCUAUAUUAACUAUUCUUUUCAACAUAAAGGAAAUAACUUUACUUACUAAAAACUAACAUAUCCACCAACAAUAAAUUUAAACAAAGAAUAAGUACAUCUUUUAAGCAAAGAUUGAAACUUUAUCUCUAAUAAUGAAAGAAUAAAGUCAAAAAGACAUGUACAACUAUUGCUAGCUCAUUUUUAUACCAUGAACAUGAAAAUAACCAUAAUAUCAAUACCACAAUGCCUAUGGCCUUCAAGGCCGUCUAAAACAAACAUUCCUAACAAACAAAAUUAUAACUGCGAACUACGAAAAAGAAUAAGAUGAAGAAGAAAAUAAUAAUAAAACUAAAAAAAAGGGAAAGGUGUGUUUACCUUUUUAGGGCAGCAAAAGAGGACUACACGCUUUCUUCGAAGUCUUGAUCACCACCGAAAAGUGUUCCACUCGAGAAUUUCGAUUAUCCCAUGAAUUUCAUGGAAAAGAAAAAUUUUUUACUAAAAUAAAAACUCUUCUUUGCUCAACUUUUUUUCAACCUUGAGACUUGGUCUUUCUACCAAAAUAGUGGUAGUAUUUAUAGAAAAGGAUGGAGAUUCAAUUAUUUUCAUCCACCAAUAUGGGGGGAGAAUUUAGGGGUGUUUUUGAGAUUUUAAAAUUGAAGAUAAGGUGAGGUAGAAGAUAAGGUGGAGGAAAUUAUGCAAUGUAGUACAAUUUUUGAAUUUAAAAAUUAGAAAAAGGACAAGGUUGAGGAGGGAAUUGUACAAUGUAGUUCAACUUCUUAAGUUCAAAAUUUAGAUUUGAAAAAAGACGAGGUUGAGGGAGAAUUGUACAGUGUAGUAUAAUUUUUGAAUUUUAAAGUUGGAAAAAGGACAAAGUUGAGGGAGAAAUUGUACAAUGUAGUACAAAUUUUGAAAUUAUUUUCGGUGGAAAUCGAGUAGAAGUUAUGAGAGUUUUUGGAAAUUUUGGUGUUAUUUAAAAUAUAACCUCAAUUGGGAUUUAAAAUUUAAUUAAUUUUGACUAAAUUAAAAAUUAAUUGGUGGAUUGCAUUGCAAUUAUGGCCAAUUUGAUUUUAAUUAUGGCCAGAUCUAAUAGAUUAACUAAACUAAAUUGAAAUUUGAUACAAAUCAAUACUUCUUUUAAUCCCGAGAAUAUUGAUUUAAUAAAUUAAACACAUAUUUAUCCAAAUUAAUUAUUUUUUAGAGUAAAUUAUAUUUAAAUCAAGACUUUAUCCAUUCGAAUUAAUUUCAAACUUAUCUCCGUAAAAGCUCAAAUUUUGAUAAAAAUAUUUAUUCAAGUAACAAAAUUUAUACAAUCUCGUAUAUGUGAAUACGAAAAUGUAUAAUCGUCACAUAAAUGAUAAAAUUAACCUAAAUAAAAUAUUUUACACCGUAUUUAUCCGGAUGAAAUAAAUAUUUCACUUUAUUUAAAAUUGAAGAAACCCAGGAUUAAAUUUAAUCGUGGAGAGAGAAAAUUAGGAGUCAAUAACUGCCUCCUCCCUUUGGGUAGGGUGGAUGCAAAAAACCCUCGGCAAAGGGAGUUUGACGUUCCUAAUUUUUGUCCGAUCACAAAUUUAUUUCUGAGAGAGAUUAUUUUUCACACGAGUUUUAUAGGUUUAUGGUCGAACAUCAGUAUCAAGUUUACUACAUAUCUCAGGUUACAUGAGAAUACAGCCACUUGUAGUUCAUAAAGCUUAAUUUAAAGCACGAUUUUCAAAAAAAUAACAAGGUAUCUUGGUUUUCGAGUUUUAGUAAAAUCAAAAAGCUAGAAACUAAAGGAUUUGGUGGGAGUUUGGAAUGCAUUCAAGUUUUAUAUGUAGAACCCAGCCUAUAUAUCCCCGAAACUUAGAAAAUCAGACUGUUUUUAUUCGACUCAAUCGAUAGAAAAGAUAGUCUUUUAUUUUAGUCAAUCUUUUAUUCGGGAUGAGUAACAGGUUGAUUAAGUUGCAGAAAAAGAGGCUUGUAACCUCUUAACCAUGAAUGUGGAACUCUUCACAUCCAUAGGUAAGAACUUAGCUGGCCAUAAUUUCCAAAACUCUAGGUAUGUUGUCGUCCAGAUUUGAAAGAAAGAGAAGGUUUCUCUCGAUAUGAGUUUAGAAAUGUCUUGAAGGCGAAGAUGAAACCAGAAUAACAUAAAAUACAUGCAUUCCUUUUAAUUGGGGUAUGGUUGGAUGAUUGUGGCGAUCAUCUUUUAGCUCGUGUCUAAAGAGUUUGAUGUCCCUCUCUAGACUAUGUCUCGUUUUGCUGCUAAGAAAAAGUUCCAUAUUGUGUUGUGUCCUUUAUGGAGUCAUCCGCACCUGUAUUUUUGAUUAGAUAUUUUCAUCCUUUCGGAUGCUCUCGACAAUAACUCAAACAAUAUUGUUAGUAAUAAACAUAAUUUACAAAAAGUGUAUAUGGUUUCUUACCAUACCUCCACGCGAGUUGUUAUUCAAAACGUGAAGUCAUCCUCUUAUGUACCUAUUUGGAAGGAAAUAAAUUGCAAUAAUAAACAUAACAAACCUAUUGUUUUUUGAAUAAGAUAAUUCCUUUGUUGACUGAGCAUGUCUUCAAAGUGGGGCGACCGUCUUGGGCACCGAUGACACUUUAUGCCAAAUAGUCCCUACAACCGUGUAAUCUUAUGCUGAUGCGGCAACCCUUUUGAUCACCUGUAAUGCUUGUGGAAUGAUAACCUCUUUGGUUAUUCAAAUUAUUAUUUGCAUGUGACCUCGGGUAAGUCUUGCGCAUCUUUUGUAUCGAUACGACUUAUAUAUUAACCUUGAAUUGUCAAUCUUUGGAAAAUAUUGCGCAUUAUUUGAUGUUAGAUACAAGGAGACUUAUAUAUAUUCUUUGAAUUGCUAUCUUUUAGGUACUCCCAUACAUUAUCUGACCUUACAUAACAGAUGGCUUACAGAUAUCCCUCCAAUCGCUAGCUCUCAGGUAUUCUAGAACAUCAUCCGACCUUGGAUACAAUAUGACUUAUAGAUAUCUCUCAAAUUUCUAGUAUUUGGGUAAUCCUACACAUAAUCAAUCUUUGGAUAUGACGCGGCUAAUAGAGACCUUUGGACUUAUCAAUUUGAUAAUCUCGCAUAUUCUUCGGUAAGGAUUUAGUUGCGAAUUAUGGAUAACCUUUGGACUAUCAAUUUUUGGGUAAACUUGUACAUUAUUCGGUUAGGAUAUUUUUGAGGCUUACGAAUGACCUAUGGGCUAUCAACUCAUAGGUAAUCUUGCACACUAUCCUAUUUCAAAUAAUAUGACUUAUAAAUAUCCCUCAAAUUAUCAAUUUCUAGGAAAUCUCAUAUAUCAUCCGUCUUCAGAUAGCAACAUAAAGGCGUCCUUCAAAUUGCAUGCUCUUGAUGCAUUCUGAUGCUGAUUCAUAAAAUAAUAAGAUAUCAUUGAUACCAGUAUUUAUGUCUCCCGUGUCAAUAGAUAUUAAAUGUUGAUGAUAUCUUUGAUGCUAGCAUUUGUGUCUUUCGUGUCAACAGAUAUUAAAUGUUGAUGAUAUCCUCGAUGCUAAUUUUUAUGUCUUCCGUGUCAAUAGAUAUUAAAUGCUUAUCAUAUCCUCGACGCCAGUGUUUAUGUCUCCUGUGUUAACUGCGAUGAAAUACUGAUGAUAUUCUCAAUGCCAGUGUAUGCUAUCUUGCUUGUCAAUAGAUAUUAAAUACAACGGACCUCUCAGCAAUGAAUGAGAUGAAAUAGACUGACCCUCUUGGUAAUGACAUGAAAUAGCCCUCUCAGUAAUGAGAUGAUAUGAAAUGUCUCUCUCAGCAAUGAGAUGAUAUGAAAUGGCCCUCUUGGUAGUGAGAUGAUAUAAAAUGACCCUCUUUGAAAUAAUAUGAAAUACCCUAUCGAUAAUGAGAUAAAAUGGUCCUCUCGGUAAUGGAAUGAAAUGGACCUCUCAACAAUGAUAUGAAAUGGCCCUCUCGCCAAUGACAUAAAAUGAAUUAUCCCUCUCGGCAAUGAGAUGAUAUGAAAUAACUCUCUUGGCAUGGCCCUCUUGUCAAGGGAAUGAUAUGAAAUGGCCCUCUUGGCAAUGAGACGAUAUGAAUAACCCUCUAAAAAAUAAGAUGAGAUGGCUCUCUCGGCAAUGGCAUGAAAUGGCCAUCUUGGCAAUAUCAUAAAAUGGCCCUCUCGGUGAUGAUAUGAAAUAUCUCUUUCAGCAAUGGCAUGCAAUAGACCUCUCGGUAAUGAUAUGAAAUGGCCUUUCUGGCAAUGGCAUGAAAUGAAAUGGCCCUCUCGGCAAUAAGAUGAUAUGAAAUGGCCUUCUCGACAUGGACCUCUUGUCAAUGGAAUGAUAUGAAAUGGUUGUUUCAGUGAUUUGAAAAUAGUUUCACCUGAGUUCGUUUGUCUGUGUUUUGCUUUGUAUAUGUACCUAUACUCAAGGUAGACAAUUAGUAGACACAAUUUCUCUCUCAUUGGUGACCACAGUCAAGCUGUAUAAAAGUUUAAAGGAAUAAUUUGGAUAACUUAGUCAACUUAUCAUCCUCUUUUGGAUACACAUUUAAAUGAUAAAUCAUACGAAUGUAAACAAAUGGGUAAAAUCCCUUUUUGGGGGGACUUCUCGAAUAGUGUUUGCGUCACCGCAUGGAGAAUUUGAGGAUACUUUUUGCUCUUCCUUCUCUUAGAAAAUCUUUUUAUUGUGGUAUUAUAGGGUCAUCUCAUUUGACCGUACCUACGCUCAAGGUAAAUAUUUAGUAGACACAAAGUCACUUUUUCUAACGAUAAUUUUUUAGAAAAAUUCUAAAUAUAAUAUUCAUAAAGAAGAUAAGGUGCCUUUGUUUGUCCUUCAUGGUCUCAUGAGAUGAUAUAAGCAAUUUAAAAGGUCCUUGACAAAUGGGUAUUAAACCCAUUUUUAGGGCCACCCAAAAAAUCCAUUAUCGAGCAUUAUAUGCUUUGGCGUGGAUCCCAACUCCCUUAGAGAAUAUUUUGACUAAGAUUCCCAUUUUUAUGUGUUGACCCCUGCAUCCAUAGAAAGAUGAUUGUUUUUUGAGUGAAACUACUUCAUGUUGACCUCCUUGGACCCCUGGUUUGCUCCUCACUAUCUUUUGAGUACUCUGUCAUGUUGGGACUUCCACCCUGACUCCCCGUCCCAAUAGAUGCCUAGGCAACCACUACGUAAAAGAUUUGUAUAGAUUUUUGAAAGUAGUCUUAAUUUUAAAAACUAGUUUCAAAAAUUUAUGUAAAGCCUUAGAAAAUCUCUACCAUUCAUGUCAUGAACUAGCUCGAUGAACAUUUUCCUAUGAGGUUCAACUAUGUUCGACAUCCAACGGAGGAUUUCCAACACUCAUCAUCAUUGCUGGAGAGUUCUUCAAAACGUCUUAUCAUAGCAAUAAAUUUAGUCUACCUAGACUUUAUCGCAGCUGCUGACUUCUAAAGCUUAACUUUGACCUCUAGUGCUGGGGAAUUUGAAAUAUAUUCCAGUAUUUAGUGGAAAUUUUGAGGCCUUCCUCAAAAUUUCUACCCUAGUUUAAUGUUGUUUAAGAUGAUCUCAACUUGAAAGGAUUCAAAGUCUCUAUUGGUUUUUGUUCUCUUUGUUGGAUGAUGAUCUUCCUCUUGUGAAUUUUCGAGAUUCCUUCUCAAAAACUCUGCCCAGUUUCCAUUUCCUGGGGUUAUAUGACCGAGCUGUUGGGGUGCCUAUAUAUCCUAUUGAAGUAGGAAUCAUGUCAAACGUAUUUCAGGACUAUACUAGGGGUAAGAUAGAAAAAUCUAAUGGAUUGACUGAAGCCGACAUAGGCCUCCUAUAUAUUCGUUUCUUGGAAAUUCAGGUCAUCAUGUAGUUCAUACAUAAAAGAAAAGGAUAAAUUCUCCUAAGGGGUUGACCGAAGCCGACAUGGGUCGCCUACGUAUCCCUUUCUUAGGAAUUCAAGUCAGACGUAGUUUGUACAUAAAAAGAAAAAGAAAAAAUUCUCCCAAGGAGUUGAUUGAAGCUGACAUAGGCUACCUACGUAUCCCUUUCUUGGGAAUUCAGGUCAAACAUAGUUCGUAAAUAAAAGAAAAGAGAUUCUAGGCAAUUAUAGAUCAUAAAACAAAUAGUAUCAUAAAGGAGAUUACAAAUAAACCAAGGAAACAAAACUAAAACAUCCUCCAAACAUAGUAUCUCCUUACCACAUCAGAACUGAUUGGUUUGGUCCAUUCUUGACCAUCCAUAUCAGAUAGGAUCAGAGCUCCUCAAGAUAGUACCUUGCGAACUAUGUAUGGUCCUUUCUAAUUUGGAGAAAACUUGUCGUUGUACUCUUUUUUCGUGAAGAAAUAUGCAUUUUAGGACCAAUUACCCAACUUCAAAUGUUCAAUCUCUUACUUUCUUAUUGAAGGUACGGAUCAUUUAGUGUUGGUAUAACUGACCAUGAGACACGACAACGAUUCUCUUCUCAUCAAUCAACAUGAGUUGUUCAUAGUGAGCGUGAACCCAUUCUUCAUUACUUAAUCUGGCUUCCUUAAUAACCCUUAAGUAAGGUAUUUCAACCUCGACAGGUAUCACCGCUUCAUUCCUAUAAACAAGUAGGUAAGGAGUUGCCCCUAUGUUUUUGAUACAAAAUGACAUUUCCCUGUAAUGAUAAACACCCCAGGGUGUAAUGAAAGCCACCUUUUUUGCAUCUUCUUCAUCCAUUAAUAUUUGGUGCUACCCAUCUAAAUAAUCCAUAAAAACUACAUUUCAUGCUUCGCACAAUUAUAGAUGAGGUUAUGGAUGUUGAGUAGCAGAAAAUUAUAUUUAGUACUGACUUUUUUCAAAUCUCUGUAGUCAACAUAAAUUCAGAUCUUGUCGUUCUUUUUUGACACUGGGACAAUAUUGUAUAGCCAUGUUGGAUAUUUUGUAACCUCCACAACCUUAGACUUAAUUUUCUUCAUCACUUCUUACUUAAUGUUCAAACUUAAGUACGACUUGAAUCUCCGCAUUUUUGCUUAACUGGAUCAAACUUAAAAUGAUUGGUAACUUAUGUAACAUGAUGUUGGUGCUUAAUCUCGGCAUAUCAUUGUAGGACUAAGCAAAUACGUCAGUGUACUCCCACAUUAAGCAAAUGAGUUCUCUUUUUUGUGCCUCUUCUAAGUGAACACUAAUACUUGUCUCUUUGAUUUCAUCAUGAUCACCCAGGUUGACUAUUCUAGUUUCUUCCAGGUUGGGCUUCUCUCGGUUUUCAAAUUUCUCUAUAUCUUUUACUAACUGCUCCCCAUCAUGGUCUUUCUAUUCAUCAUCAUUCACUUCGCUUUGUUCAUUUAGCCCUUUACAUGACACGACAUUGGCAAAUUUUAAAUUAUUGUUACCUAUUGACCGGGGAGUUAUAAGUGAUGUGGAAGUCCAGUUCAACAAUGUUUCCUCUAAUUUAUCCUCUUUGAUUCCAUUUGUCUUAAAAAUUCUUUAAUGGUAGCAUCAUACUUUUUCUUAUUCUAUCCUUGGGACCAUCACUUAUAGGUUUUGAAAAAUGGCUGCUAGAGCCUAGUUUUACUACUAGUCAUUUUUCCUUUCCUGUAACAAAUCUAUAGUCAAGAGAGAAAUCUUUAUUCACUUUGAUCUAGUGAAGUAGGGAUAUUUUAUGCCAACACAGAGUAGUUUCUAUUACCUAUAAAGUAAAAGCAACUCAAAGGCUAACAUGUUAGAUUUUGUUAGUAAUAAGUAACAUAAUAAGGCAGGAAGUAAACACAUAAAGUUGUGUCUCAUCUCUUGGGAAUUGAUCCAUGGAGUAAUGAUGACUCAACAAUUUCAAUGAACAAGAUUUCGCUCAUUGAUAUGGAUAAGUAAAAUUUAUCAGAAAGGUUCAACUCUUCUUCUUCCUUCAAGAAAUGGAGGACAAUAGAGUUUUUGAAGAUAGGGGCCGGGCUGAAAGGCUGCCUAUGUAUCUCACGAGGGAGAAAUAAGGCCUUACGUAGUUCGAACAUAUGAUGGAUUCUUGUAAGUCCAUAGUCAACCUUCCUGAAAUGGUAGAAUCAUUUUAGGAAGUUUUAAGAACAAUUGCAUACUUUUUUGAGAGACUUGAGAGACCUGGAGUAUAUUAGGUCAGACUUUUUCUUAGAGGUGUUCUUUGCAAAAUGGGAUUGGACCAAUUUUCAUUUGAUUCGAAUCAACAUAACACAUAUAAGCACAUAAAAAAGUUAUAUCACACUAGUAUAUUGUAAUAAAUGUGCAUCCUAAUUGGGUGACCCUUUUGAGCAGAGGGUUAGCCUAACGUAUUUGAAGGAAGUAUAUGUUUUUUAAAACCAAUCCUUUAUCCCCCUAAAACCUCCAUAGCUAUACAUGAAGGUCAUAAAUGCUUACAAAAGUUGCGUAGAAGGGGUACAUUCUUUAGGAAAAGGGAAAAUAGCAUGAGAAAAAAAACAGUGUCUCGCGAGGGGAUAGUAGCUCCUAAAUGUUCCUUCAUCGACCUUUGCUCUCUUAGCUUUGUCCACUUCUUGUCAUAUGCAACAUUUGUUGAUGAUAGAGUGAUACCCGUAUAACUAUGCUCUAUACUCAUAGGACAUAGUCUGGGAAAUCAUACAAUCAUCCACAUCGAUUAAUCAUUAACUUCUUGCCUAGCUCGCUUUAACUUUCCCUCAAUUGGUUGAUGAUUGAGGCAUCCUUACGCGAAAACAAAAAAAGUAAGACUUCCUCAUACCCCAAAGGAUAAUGGAUUGGAUUAAAUAACAUAUAUAUCUUCAACACAUAAAUAUGAUUUGUCUUUAAUUGACUCGUAGCUAAUAGACUCUGAGCAGUUUUUUUAAUGGGCCCAAUACUACCUCCGGUAUUGGGUUACCCUAGGAUCAUGCCUAAAAGGAGGGUUUUGGUUUCUCUCUAUCCUGGGUGUCUAGAGUGGGUUUGGACCAGGUUCCAAAGCGGAAGAAUUGGGUUUGGAAAUACAAACAACCUCCGACCACCUAACGUGACGGUAAACUGUUGUAUUCCCAAUAAUUUCUUUGGAGUUGAUCAACAGGGCCUGGGACAUCUACGAAACUCCAAAAUAGUUUAAUAAUCAUCAUGCGGGAUUUUACCGUGAUAUGCAAUAAUUAAAUUUCAUAUAAUUUGAACAUAUAAGCAUGUAAACAGUUUAAUAAUUAGUCAAAGAAGUCAAUUCAAAUAUUGGUUAGAACCUACUUAAUAUUCCCCAGCAGAAUCGACAUUUCUGUUUUAUCCCUUUUUAACUCGAAGGGUUGGAAAACAUUGAUUUCGUCCUUUUAAACUAUUCCGAAUAUUUAAAGAAAAUUAUGAAACAAUCUAAGAAAUUACAGAGUCGCCACUUAAUUUGAUUUAAAAUAAAUUAAGAAAACUUUUAAAAAUAAAAUCCUAAGUCUCAUAACAGAAACAGACUUAGGCCUUUAAGAAAAUCCUAUGUUGAAGGUUUUUAUUAACAUUUUAGGAAAGUUUUUAAGGCACCUAAAAUGUCUGCUAACUUGCAGUUAUGCGUACUUUUUGAAAACCACUUUGACUAACUUUGAAAAAAGAGAAGUUGAUUUUUGAAAAAAAAGUGAUUUAGCAGAAAACUUGUAUAAAAUAAAUUUUUUGAGGACUUAAGGGGGAAUUUAACCAAGUCUAAGAAAAUAAAUAGAAAAUAAGAACGUAAAUGGGGAAGGGAAAGUUAGAAGGCGUAGGCUCGUAAGCCCAUAUUUAUCAACCUUGUCCUACUCUAAUCGGGAUUUUUGGCCUCCUAUACUUGUCCUAAUCUAAAUAUCGAGUUUUGACCCAUAACCUAUGCUAAACUAUUUUUUCGAAUCUAUUGGCCAAGAAUCAGCUUCACCUAUAUUCAGAUACAACUUUGUCUUCUAGGCCCCAAAUGAAUGAUUAAAUGGAUAAAUAAAAAGAAGACAAUAAUAAAAAUCGAGACUUUUCAAUUCUCUUAGUGACCUCAUCAAUGGAUUUUGACCCAUUUUCCCUCUGUGUCUAUCUUAUAGCAGCCGCACGUCAUAUAGUCGACCUAGAAUUUAAACUUUGAACUUGACUCUAAGAGGUGGGCCUCAUUAGCCCAUUACGAAAUGCAACAGGAGAGGAGUCUAUUUGGACUCGAGAUAUUUUUUACAUGCGAAGAAAAGAUAAAGAAACUAAUAUACGUUCAAGGCAGAAAAGUGAAAUAUUUAAAAGCAAAACAAAGUAUCAAGAACCAAUUUUUGAAUGAAAAUGAUAAGCACACUUGCACACAUAUAACAAGAAUGAGAGUCAACAGAUAAAAUGCAAAGAAAAGACACCCACUUACAUGCCUCGUGAUUUAUGUUCAUAUUAAGAAUGAAUAAAGGUAAAAGGAAGAAGGUCAUAUUCAAUGAAUUAAUGCGAGAACAAAUAAUGUAAUUUUGCAAAAGAAAAUGGAUGAGGCAUAAGAAAAAUAACUAUGACUUCUAAAAUAGAACAAAUAUAAACCCUAAUCCAUAAAACAAAAUAAAGACUAACUUUUCAAGAAAGAGAAUCUUUAAAUUUCAAUUAAGGCACCAUUAACGAAGAUUCAUACAUCUAAAUUACAUCCAACAUUUUAGGGGAAAACAUGUAAUGACCUACGGUUUAUCUUUAUAAGAUAUAGUUGAUUCUCUUUUGAUACUAUGAAUCAAAGAGAGACACAAUUGAAGUCUUUACAGACACAAAGAGCACCUAUAACAAUCCAAAGGGAGUAAGAAAAUUAGGAUACAAUUUAAGCAUUUCUAAAAGUGAAAUAUCGUUCAACAAUCAUACUAUGCAUGACUCAAAAAUAUAUAAAUAAUUCUAUUUAGCCACAAAAGCCCGAACUUUCUCAUCGUUUUGACAAGUCAAAAUCCAAAAAAAAGGAAUAAACAUCUUUAAUGAAAAAUAGCUAGCACUUCAUCAAUCAUAUGAUGAUUUUGAAAUUCAUUAAAAUAAUUAGCAAGCAAAUGACAAGUUCUUGACUUAACCAAUCACUAUUUCAUUAAGGCAAAACAAACAAUAGUAAUUAUUUUUUUUUUGACAAAAAGAAAAUAAAGUCAAAAAGGAGAACUAAUCAUUAUUAUAUAUGAAAUAACUUUACAUGCUAAAAACAAACAUAUCCGCUAACAAUGAAUUUAAACAAAGCAUAAGUACAUCUUUUAACCAAAGAUUGAAACUUUUUCUAUAAUAACAAAAGAAUAAAGUCAAAAAGGAGAAAUAACCAAUAUUAACUAUUCUUUUCAACAUAAAGGAAAAAACUUUACACGCUAAAAACUAACUUAUCUGCCAACAAUGAAUUUAAACAAAGAUAAGUACAUCUUUUACGCAAAGAUUGAAACUUUAUCUAUAGUAAUCAAAGAAUAAAGUCAAAAAGGCAUGUACAACUAUUGCUAACUCAUUUUUAUACCAUGAACAUGAAAAUAACCAUAAUAUCAAUACCACAACGCCUAUGGCCUUCAAGGUUUUCUACAGUAAACAAUCCCAACAAACAAAAUUAUAACUACGAACUACGAAUAAGAAAAUGAUAAUAAAACUACCAAAAUGGGAAAGGUGUUUUUACCUUUUGUGAGGCAGUAAAAUGGUCCUACAAGCUUUCUUCGGAGUCUUGAUCACCACCGAAAAGCGUUCAACUUGAGAACUUUGAUUAGCCCACGAAUUUCUUGGAAAAAGAAUUUUGUUUACUAAAAUAAAAACUCUUCUUUGCUCAACUUUUUUUUAAACCUUGAGACUUAGUCUUUCUACCAAAAUAGUGGUAGUAUUUACAGAAAAUGAUGGGGAUUCAAUUAUUUUCAUCCACCAAUGUGGGAGAGAGAUUUUAGGGAUAUUGUUAAAAUUUUAAAAUUGAAGAUAAAGUGAGGUGGAAGAUAAGGGGGGGGGGGGGGGGGAGAUUGUACAAUGUAGUACAAUUUUUUAAUUUAAAAAUUGGAAAAAAGACAAGGUUGAGGGAGAAAUUGUUCAAUGUAGUAUAAUUUUUGAAUUUGAAAAAAAAGGAUAGGGUUGAGGGGGAAUUGUACAAUGUAGUAUAAUUUUAGAAUUUCAAAAUUGGAAAAAAGGAAAAGUUGAGGGGGAAAUUGUACAAUGUAGUGCAAUUUUUAAAAUUAUUUUUGGUGAGAAUUGGGUAGAAGUUAUGAGAGUGUUUGGGAAUUUUGGGGUUAUUUAAAAUAUAACCCCAAAUGGAAUAUAAAAUUGAGCAAAUUUUAUUUAAUUUUGACCAAAUUAAAAAUCAAUUGGUGGAUUGCAUUGCAAUUAUGACCAAUUUGAUUUCAAUUAUGGCCAAAUCUAAUAGAUUGACUAAAUUAAAUUGAAAUUCGAUAUGAAUUAAUACUUCUUUUAAUCCCGAGCUUCUUGAUUUAAUAAAAUUAAACACAUAUUUAUCCAAAUAAAUUACUUUUUAGAGUAAAUUAUAUUUAAAUCAAGACUUUAUCAGUUCGAAUUAAUUUUCAAGCUUAGCUCCGUAAAGCUCAAAUUUUGAUAAAAAUAAUCAUUCAAGUAACAAAAUUUAUACAAUCUCAUAUAUGUAAAUAUGAAAUUGUAUAAUCAUCAUUUAAAUGAUAAAAUUAAUCUAAAUAAAUAUUUUAGAGCGCAUUUAUCCGGAUAAAAUAAAUAUUUUACAUUUAUUUAAAAUUUGAAGAAACCCAAAUUAAAUUUAGUCGUAGAGGGCAAAAAUUAGGUGUCAACAACCAUCAUUUUACAUUCACAACCAUUAAGCCAAUUACUUACCAAAGGCACUUCAUUGGUGUCGUCAUACCAACACCACUUCCAAGUGUACCACAUGCCAUUACCAUGAUAAAUCAACCAAUCAUUCAUUUGACUUUGGGACUCGAACCCAUUGUCUAACAAACACACUUGUUCAAUUCAAAGCUUAGGGACUCGAACCCACUAUCGAAUAAAGACAAAUUAAUUUAAUGCUUAGGGACUCGAACCCUUUUAGCCAAUUAAAGCACAAAGUUUACAAUUUAAAUCAUUACAUAGACAACAAGGCCCUUUCAAAACCAUUUACCAACAAUUCAUAUUCAUUACUCCAAUGUAAUAGUUCAAAACACCAUUAACAUGUGACUAGUUUAUUCUUUUAGGCAUUUUCGCAAACACUUUGAGGGCAUACCAUUACCAAGACCAAAACAAAAGUAAAAACCAUAAAGUUUGGGGUUACCCAUGACCCAUUCGUUAAACCACAAUUACCAAGCACCCACAUAUGUAAAACAUCACCAAAAACAUGUAUAAACACAAUUUAAACCAAGAUUAAACAAUAUUCAACAAAAUGUAUCAAAAACCUCAACAUUGGUUUUCAAAACCACCAUUUAUGAAUCAUAAUAAAUGUUUAAAACAAAUGAUAUUUGAGAACUAACAAUGAGGGAAGAGUCACAUGUCUUAUUCAUGAUGAUUCACAAAAAAACAUUACUCUUGAACCCCUAGAUAAACACCUUUGAAGAAACCUAGCUCCAAUUUGCUUAAGAAAGUUUAGAGAUGAUUUUUAGACUGUUUGAUCUUUCAAAGGUGUGUUAUGAGAGGCCAUAAUAUGUUAUAAGAUGCGGGGACUUAAGGGUAUUGGGUGGGAAAUGUCUAAAAUAUUCUUUUUUUUUUUGUAAAACAUGAACAGGAGGGUAGGACUCUCCCGGCCCCUAACUCGUACACAAACAUACGAGUGGUACACACCACUCGUACCCUAGGCAUCACAUUAGAAUCCAACAAUAUCCAGUACAUGAGUUACUAGACUAACUUGUAUCCAAUCAUACGGUUGGGACCCUCCUAAGCCGUACCCUAGGCAGAAUCCUCUAGGCUAGAUAGAGAACAUCAUACGAUUUAGCACUAUAUCCCUCGUACCAUAGCUUAUGACUAGUAAGAUAUCCACUCAUACCUUGGAUAGAAUACUACCCAAACCAUAUUGAUCAUCAUAUGAGUUGAGGACCCUAAACUCUACCAAUAUCAUAUGACUAGUACCCACAAGUCGUAUGAUGUCUGGUGAGCUCAUAAUUAAGAAUUUUCUAAGGAUCAAAACUAGAGUGUUUCAAUUCUCACCCACUUAGAUCAUUCAUCCUUGAAUAAUGAGUAAAGGAAAGCACAAGUACGAGUUAACAAAUUAUUACACAUCAAACUAACCUUUAACCAAAUUAGAAAACAGUGAAAUAAAAUAAGGAUACUAAGAAUAACACAUACCUCAAGCAUGAAUUUCGGGAAUGUGGAACAAAUAUAUUUGGACUUCAUGUCCUCUUCUGCUUCCUAAGUAGCUCCCUCAACCUUAUGGUUACUACAAAGAAUCUUUACCAAAACCACAUCCUUUGUUCGCAAUCGACAAACUUGGAGAACCAAGAUCUCAACUAGGACUACCUCAUCAGAUAAAAAAUAUGAGAUACCCAACCCUUCCAAAGGAAUAAUCAAUGAAGGAUCGCCUAAACACUGUAUCAACAUCGAGACAUGGAAAAUCGGAUGAAUAGAGCUCAAAGUGGGAGGAAGCUCCAACUCAUAAGCAACAUUACCAACCCUCUUCAAAUCCAAGUACGAGCUAAUAUACCGUGGGCUUAACUUCCCUUUCUUACAAUAAUAUUACUCCCUUCAUGGGAGACACCUUCAAGAAUACCCAAUUGCCAACCUUAAACUCUAAAUCCCUAUGCUUUAUAUCCGCAUAGGACUUUUGGCGAAUUUGAGCGGCUUUAAAUCUAUCACGAAUUACCUUCACCUUCUCCAAGGCUUGUGAACCAAAUCAGGACUAGAACUUACCCUCACCAACUUCAUACCAUCCAAUAAGAGAACGAUAUCUCCUACCAUAAAUUGCCUCAAAAGGAGCCAUACCAAUGCUAGAGUGGUAACUAUUAUUAUAAGCAAAUUCAAUCAAAGAAAAAUGGUCAAACAAACUACCACCAUAGUCAAUCACGCAAGUGUGACGCAUAUCUUCUAAUGUCUGAAUGAUCCUCUCCUCUUGUCCAUCCGACUGUGGGUGAAAGCAGUACUAAGGUACACCUUAGUUCCCAAACAUAUCUGAAACAAAUUCCAAAAAUAUAAUGAGAAUGGAGUACCAUAAUCCAAAAUGAUAGAAAUAGGAGAACCAUGCAACUUGACAAUCUCGAAAAGAAACAACUUAGCAUAAUCCUCCACCGAAUAACUAGUCUUCGCCGGUAAGAAGUGAGAAGACUUGGUCGUCCUAUCCAUAAUAACCCAAAUUGAACCAUACUAAUUCUGAGACUGAGAAAGAUCGAUAAUCAAAUUCAUAUUAAUCACCUCCUACUUCCAUCCGAAUAACUAAAUCUCUUGAUACGAACCCUCUGGUCUCAAGUUCUCAACCUUCACUUAUUGAACCACCAUACACUUAGCCACGUAGUUAGCCACAUCCUGCUCUAUGUUGGUCCACCAAUAGAACUUUUUAAGGUUAUGAUACAUCUACGUAGAAAUAGGAUGAAUAGCAUAACGAGAUAUAUGUGCUUCAGCCAAAAUCCUUUCUCUUAAUCCAUUGACAUUGGGAAUACAUAACCUGCUUUGGUACGUCAAGAUACUAUCACCACCUAUCACAAAGUCAACAACCCUCUGUGAACCACAUUACUCUUAAUCUUCAACAAAUCAAGAUCCAACAUUUUAUUUUUCUUUAUCUCAGCAACAAAAGACAACUAUGAUACCUGAUGCACAAAUACACAUCCAUCCCCAUAGUCUGCGAGACGAAUUCCAAGACUAGCUAAACGGUGAAUGUUCUCAACCACAUGAGCUAAACUCGAUAUGGACAACCCACUAAGAGCAUCAAAUACUACGUUUGCUUUAUCUGGAUAGUAGUGAAGACUUAUAUCAUAGUCCUUCAGCAACUCAAGCCACCUCUUUUUCCUGACAUUUAACUCUUUCUAAGUAAACACAUACUGUAGGCUCUUAUGAUCAAAAAAUAUAUCAACAUAAAUGUAGACACCUAAUUUUUUCCCUCCCGAAGUCUAAUUUUAUCCAUUUUUAACUCACUUUACCAUGCACCCUCAUCCAUGUGAUUAUACCCCACAAAAAUACAAAAAUAAAUAACCCUUAACAAAUCCCUAACAAAUUUUAUUUUGUUUUAAUCAUCGUAAAACCUACCCGUAUCUCACCCACUACCCAAUACCCUACCCACGUGACCCCCCUGCCUACUCUUUUAUUUACGCACCUCACAUAUACAUACGCCAGCACUAUACACUAGAGGCCCACCACUAGUAAAAUUCUCACACAUAGAAAAGCUUACAAAAAUUCAUCCACGCAAACCAUACGCACAUUUACCCAUAGACACAGACCUCUAUUUUUAUGAUUUAACACAUAUAUAGAGAGUAGAAAUCAAAAGAGGGAUCAUCUUUAUCACAGCAAGACACACCUAUUUUUUAAUCAACUUUUAUUUUUCUCCAAAACAACAACUAUUAACGCACACAAUCACCCAUAAAUACAUAAAAAUACAAAUAAUAAGGUGAGAAUAAAGUGAGGUUGAGAGAAAAAUAGAGAGAUAGGGAGAAUCAAAGCAGAGAGAGUGAGAAACAAGGUUGAGAGAUAAAAAUAGAAAGAAAAUAUAUGAGAGAGAGAUUUUGAUGAAUUUUUUGCCAAAAACUUCUUCGUUGUAGAUCACAUCUCCAUUUUCAGUUGGUGCUGAGCUUAUUGGAGCUCCGACAUAGCAAAGCAUCCUCAUUUUUUAGUUCAAAAUCCACUGAAAAACACCCAGUUGCUAUUCCUAUUACUGUUUCAAUGGAUCCAUUAGAUUUUUAAACUCACUGACUCUCUCUCUCUUAAAAUCAAUCUCAUUUUUAAAGUAGUUUGCGUACGGGUUCAAUUUUUUUGUUGCAAUUUCUAUUUCUUUCAUUGAGCUCAGUAUUAGUUUUAGGAUUUAGGUUCGAUUCCAAUUUUGGGUUUGGAUUUCUCCCAAUUUGAGUUGGAUCUCUAUCGUGGUUGAGGUUCAGCUUGAGGCUAUUGGGAGCAGAUUUCUUUAUUUUAUCAGGCAGUAUUCUUCAAAAGUUUUGAAUUAAGGUCCAUUUUUCAUCCCUUUUCUUGAGUAAUUUUAAGUUCUGAUAUUUUGUGUGGCGAAUUGAUAAUGCAUAGAUCUUAUUUUUGUUUGAUUUUAUGAUGUUUGAAUCAUGAAUGUUUGUUGGUGUUGAAUUUGAAUUAUGAAAAUUGAAUCGAUAAUCAAAGGAUUAGUUAAUCAUUGAUUGAGAAUUGAAAUAUACUUUAUUGGGAGGGGUUGAGAUUGAAGAAAUAAAAGUGGUUUAAUUUUGAUUCAUUAUUGUUGAUUUAAAUAAAAAAUUAGUAGGAAAAUGCUAAGUCGGAUAGGCAAAUUUGGAGAUUAUAGUUUUGUUGAAUGUUUGAAUGUGGGUGUGAAUGAUUCUUCCUACUUUACCACAAAAAUUGAAAGUGUAUUCAUUUAGAUGGGGAAUGCCCUGAGGUUUCAUGUACUUAUUCAUCGAGGAAUGCCUCGACGUAUUAUGUCUUCGAAAGAGGUCCGUGAUCAAGGCCUGAGGCAUCGGGUAAGGCAUUGAAACAGAGUUUAGGAUUAGUUUAGAAUCGCAUAGGUUUAUAUUUUUCUAUGUUUUAUUUUUCUUUUGAACUGUAUAAUUGGACUGGACAUUAUGUUGUGGAUUGUUUUGUCUUAUUUAUUUGAUUUAUUAUUUUUAUGUAUUUUGUGUGGUUUAUACAUUCAUCAUACCAAAUUAGCCGACACUCUCUACCAAAAGACUAUGGUCAAACCACGGGAUCGAAGGAUUCCUAACACCUUCCCUUCGGUCAACAGAAUUCUUUAAUUAGGAUCUCUAUUCACGGAUUGAUUUUAAGAGUCAAAACCUUUUUGAAAAAAGGAUAUCUAAGGGUGACUUGGCAUACCUGAUUUAUGCCAAGUGGUGACUCUGAGUUUUCAAUAUAAAAGAACUUUUUGAAACAAAUCUUCAUUUUGUCACUUAAUAAUAAAAACCCUUUCUGGGCUGAAAAAGGGGUAUGACAGCCCUGACGACUCUGCUGGGGAUUUUUCAAAAUUCGAACUUAUUUUUGGGAGUUUUAUUGGCUUAGUUUGGCAUUAUGGGUAUAUAGACAUUGUUUGUGUUAUCAUUUGUAUUUAUUUUAUCAUUUUUGUAUGCCUACGUGCUAUGUAUUUAUAGUCUUUCUUUAUAUGUUAUCAUUUUAUAGCUAUCAUUAUUUGCAUAACCCGAGUUAAUUCUUUCUGCAACAGUCCCGGAGUUCACUUCGUGUACACGAACUCUAGUUAAGUCACUCUUAUUUUAGAAGGGGGAGUCAUCAGAUGUAUGGAAUGGGUGGAAAGCUAUCACAACUACUAUCAACCAUACGCUCCCCCAAACAGCCCUGUUAGUAAACCCUAGCGUAGGUCAGCCUUUAGUUCAUGCUUAUCUACAUCAUAUUAAGACCUAGGGGGACCCACUUGGUCCUUUGUAGGAGACUUACCCCUAACACAUCCUAUGUGCUAAUUAUUGCAUUUUUUUAGGGUAACGUGGUCAUUUGAUGGAUUGAUUUGGGGAAAGUAUGUGUUAGAAGUAAAGUGUGUAGACAAAAAAGUGUUGGGAAAAAAGAAAGAAAAAGAACAACUAAGUAAAAAAAAAAUAAUGCUUCACAGUUUCUUUAGAGUUCUUUAUGGCUUUCGUUUUUCACAAUUCAAUAAUCCAAAAAGCUUUUUUUUACCUUUUGCACUCAUUUUUUGAAAAAUCAAAAACGUCAAAAAGAUUUUCCUUUGUCUUCUUUAGCAAACAUUCACAAUUCGAAAACUCUAAAAAGAUUUUAAUUUUAGUAGAAGUUUUUUUUAUGAAUAAUUAAAAAAUAGGUAGAUGUUUUGUACAUUUCGUGUAACGAAAACACCAAAAAGAUUUUUCUUUCAUAGUUGUUGGUGUCAGUCUUAUAUGAAUUGUCAAUUCAAAAGAUUUUGUUAACGUUGUUUGUCGGCUGUUUAUAGUCGUGUCUCUUAGGUUAGUGUUCAGUUGGUUGUCUAAUCUUUAUUUAUCCAAUAUUGGACGAACUACGCACCCCUGAUUCUUGUUUCUCAGGAGUGGGAUACGUAGGCAGCCUAUUGUGGGUUCGGGAAUCUUAUUUAGAAAAAUCCAAAAAGAUUUUCUUCACUUUUCAUUUAGAGUAGGUGUCAUGUACAUCUCUAAAAGAAAACCACAAAAAGAUUUUCCUUUAAUAGUUUCAAGUUUUAUUUUCGUAUGAAAUUCAAAAUUGAAAACCCAAAAAGACUUUUCUAUGGUAAUCAUAGAUUUCAUUUUAUAUAGGAAACUAAAAAAAAAUUCAAAAAGAUUUUCUUCACUCUUUAUUAGAGUAGGUGUCAUAUACAUCUUUAAAAUAAAACUACAAAAAUAUUUUCCUUUAAUAGGUUCAAGUUUUAUUUUGUAUGAAAUUAAAAAUCAAAAAUUCAAAAAGAUUUUUUCUUUAGUAAUCAUAGGUUUCAUUUUGUAUAGGGAUUUAAACCUAAAAAAUGCAAAAUGAUUUUUGUCAAUUCUUUUGAUAAUUUGUUAUUUUUCUUUUAUUUUUUAAAAUUUCAAGAAAAAGUAAAAGAAAGAAAAAAGAGAUUAACUGGACAUUUUGGCAAGAAUUCACGAACUACGCACACCUGAUUCUCCUCUCUCGGGAGUGAGAUACGUAGGCGCCCUUCUUGGGUUCGGUGAUAUUUUUCAAAAAAAAGGAAAAAAAGAAAAUGAUUUUGAAAAAAUGUUGAACUCUAACAUGUUUGUUAUCUCCUUUUCAGUUAGUUUAAGGUGGUUGGUUUGUGGGAUUUUGAUAUUGUAGCUGAUUCUUCAUAUCACACCAAUUCCAAAUGGUUAGUUGUGUCCAAUAAGAAUAUAGGGAGUGACGUCAUGGAUCAAGCCAAGAGUAAGGAAAUUGAGAGUUUAAAGUAAGAGAUUAGGAUACUAAGGAAACAAAUGGAAGAAAUGCACCGAGCUUAGGCCAGUGGGUUGCCUCCCCCUCUAUUUCCUGCCAUUGGUCCUACAAAUACCUCGAGUUUUUCACAAAAAUUGCAAAGUCAGUUUCCUCUAUUAUUGAUGCACUGCAACCUGAAUCAAAAUUCAUUCCAAGCCAAAAAUAUCUCAAUACUUCCAGCACUCUUUCUCUAGCUCCUCAGCAUAAGCCUACUACAUUCACAACACCACAUGUCGUCUAUGAUUUUGUUGCUCAAUUCUCUACAGAGGAUUCUACAUUGACCAGCCGCCCAACGGUUGUGCCCCAAUCUUCUAGUCGACCCAUGUUCAAUACUCUCAAUGAUUAUUGCUACACUUCUGAUCCCACAUUAAUGUUAAUUGGACCACCAAAAUUUCUUAGCAAGAAGUCUAGCUUGUUAAAAGAGCCAGAGAAAAUGGUUGGAAAAAUGAACAGUACAGAAAAUACUAGGAAAAGUUCCCUAGGACCUGUGGGUAAAGAAGAUGUUUCAUAUAAAGAGUGGGGCAUGUCUUCAAGUGUUAACCAUCCUCCAAUUCUCGAGAUGUCAAAACUUGAGGAGCAAGAUGAACAUAACGAAUUCGUGAAGCAUUUGGGAAAAUAUUAAAUCAAGUAAGGGAAACUAGAGGUAAGAAGAAUGAGAAAGAUGUAGCUGCUAUAGUAGUUAGAGAAUGGGAACAUCUAAGAAGAUGACAUCGUCAUCACCGUCAGUCUCAAGCUCGAGUUCAUACACAAGAUCACUAUAAUCACUCCCAAAGUCCAUUAUACUCAAUUUCCUCGCCUUUAUAUCUAGUAUACUGUGCACAACCAUAUGUUAAACUCUCUUCUUACUCAUAAUGGCAUGUACCAAUGCCUUAGAGUCACCCUCCAACUCUACAAAUAUGUCAAAGCCCUUCUAGGCCCAAUGUUUGAUCCAAGUCAAACAGUGAAAUAAGGCAGAAGUUGAGAGAUAGCUUCACACCAAUUAGAGAGUCAUAUGCCAGUUUAUUUUAGAGAUUGGUAUAGUAGGGCAUGAUCACUCCUCUCCAUGGGCACACUCUUAAUCCUCGUAUCAUUCUGAUGCUCAGGGUAAUAGUGUUGAGGAUUGUUGAGAUUUGAAAUGAGAAAUUAAAAAAAUGAUCUAAGAUGAAUCAAUUAUAGUAUAGAACAUUGACAGUGAGAGAAGCUCUAUUCAUGUUGAUAUGCAAACUAGUGGCUAAGUUGUCAGGCUGAGCAAUUGAGAAGUCACCCCUCUCUAUACUAGGAAGAGGUCUAGUAGUUUGUUUUAUUUUCUUUUCUAUUUUCUAAAUUAUUUUACGGUUGUAGUUUGGGAUCUAUCUUGUUUUGUCCAUUUGUCAUUUAUGUUCAAACCCUUUUCUCUUUUAUUUCAAAUAAAUGAAGUAUCCCUUUUUCUUUUUAUUUUAAAUAUGUGUUAUUUGUUGUUUUCUCUACAUAAUAUUUUUUAUGUUGAUUCUACUGAUAUGACAUGCUAGCAGAAUUUUUAGCCAGAUCUUAAAAUCUAGUUUAAGCAUGAACUUUGAAUUAGGGGGCUAAAGUUAGAAAAAGCAUCUGAGAAAAUUGAUAGAGAGUUGACAUAUUUGGUAAUCAUGUUGAAGCCUUCUUUCAAAAUUAAGGCAAUUAUAUUGAGAAUCACAAGAAUAAUUUGGUCAUCAAUUGAAAAACAUAGCUCAAUUAGGUCAAACAGCGGAUGUGUGAUAUUGAGGAACAUAACAAAAAUCAACUCCAAGAAAGCAUGAGUCAUUCAGUAUGAGAGAUGUACAACAAAGGUGGAGUUGUAUGUCUGACAAGUGUAGAAGAAGAGGUAACACACAUGCUCAGGGAAAAUUAGUAUUGUAAAAUAUGUGAUAAGUGAUAUUGAUCGUGCACUUUCACAUUGCAUACUAUGUAAUAGUAUCUGUAAGGAUUGAUAUGACGAAGGCAUUUCAUUCUGCUAUCCAAAUAUUGUGUUAUCCUUUGUUUAUCCUAUUUGAGCUUUAGUUUUAUAUUCUUUCAUACCCCUUUUUUGGAAUUAAGAUAGAGUCAUCAAAGUUGAAAAAAAAGUGUCGAGUAAAAGAUUAGAUUCAGAAAAGUUUUAAAAAAAAAGAGAGAGAAAAAGAGAAAAAUUAUGUCAAAAAGAAAAAGGAGGAGUGUCAAGAAAAAUAAAGCCAGAAGAGAUCUUAAUGAUAAAAAGAGUCAACAAAAUAUAAAAAAAAUCAGAUCAAAAGAAAGAACAAGCUGCCAGAACUAUACGUGACCUGAUUCUUCUCUCUCAUGGGUGAGAUAGGUAGGUUGUCCUACUCUGAGCUCGGUCCAACCAAAUAAAUAAUUUAGUAUUACCCAGUCAAAAGAAAAUGGGGCAUUAGUUGAUCCUCAUUUUUUGAGUCAAUUCCAAAAGUUAUAAGUCCUACCCCACUUCAAGUGUCAUUUGGACCUUAUGUCAUCCUUUCUUUCUAACCCUAUCCAAAAGUCAAGUUAAAACAAAAGAAAGACCUUCAGAUCAAUCUUUGAGGAUGUUAACGCUAAGUAUGCAAGGGAUAUGAUGAUAUAUUUGAGAGAUAAUUAUCUUCCUCAGCAUAAGGAAUUAAGAGAGAAAUAAAAAUAAAAGAGUCUUACUGGUGAAAACCUUUUUGAGAACCGUAAGGCGAUGGCAAAUUGAGAGAGAUAAAAAUGAGAGAAUCUGAUUGGGGAAAACCCUCACGGGCACCAUCAGGCGAUGGUGAGCUGAAAAAAAUAAGAGAGUCUUGUUGGAGAAAAUCCUUCAAGGUUUCACUAGCCGAAUGAGGUCUUGAAUGCAAUUGACCUAGGGAAGCAACUUAGUUUCAAGACCGUUAACUCAACAACAACUGGUAGAAAGCAUAGAUGGAAAGAUCAGGCAGAUAAAUCCAAAAUGCAUAGCAUAAUCAUUAGAGUUGACUGUCAUAUUUAGAUAAAUUUUUCAUUUCUUUAUUUCAAAUGGGGACGUUCAUUGUCUUUUCUUUUUUCUCUGUGUUUUUAUUUUAUUUUCUUGAGUUAGUUAUCAAAAUAAAAAAAUCAGUCACUUUUUUAUUCUCUUGUCUUUGAGUCAAGUCCGUGUCAAAACAAGUGAGAAAAGAUUUCAAAACUGGCUACCAGUUUCUUUAAUUUCCCAAAGCAAGGAAAAAUCCAACACAUGAAAAAGACAUGAUUGUGAGCUGACAUAAGGCAUGCAAAAGAUUUUUUUAACAAAAUAGUCUGGGAAUUCAUGGAAAUACCAAUGUUUAAAGAGGAUUGUCUGAGAAGCAUGGCAUAGCAGAGAUACUGUGUUUGUUCAAAAGUCACUCUUAAUAUUUUGAGUUUGGACCAAAUGUCAAAUGCUAAUGAUGGAAGCAAGAUCUAAAUGAGACAAGUGCAAGAUAAAUAUCCUCAAGUUCCAAAGCCCAUGUCACCACUAAGUUUUUAACUAACAAAUUUUCUUUGUUGAAACAGGGGCAAAAUUUGCUUUACUUAGUUUAGCUACCUUUGGAAAAGUACAUCCGUGAGUUAUUACCUUAUGUUCAUGAUCCUCCUCAAAAAUGAGAAUUUACUUUAUGUUCAGGACCCUCCUGAAAAAAUGGGAAGUUACUUUCUAUUCAUGACUUUACUGGAAAAUGAGAAUUUACUUUCUGUUCAGGACCCUCCUGAAAAAUGGGAAUUUACUUUCUGUUCAGGACCCUCCGGGAAAAUGGAAAUUUGCUUUAUGUUCAGGAUACUCCUGGAAAAUGGGAAUUCUCUUUAUGUUCAGGACCCUCCUGGAAAAUGGGAAUUUGCUUUAUCUUUAGGAUCCUCCUGAAAAAUGGGAAUUUGCUUUUAUGUUCAAGACCUUCCUAGAAAAUAGGAAUUUACUUUAUGUUCCGGAUCCUCUUGGAAAAUGGGAAUUUGCUUUAUGUUCAGGGCCCUCCUGGAAAAUGGGAAUUUGCUUUAUAUUCAGGGCCCUCCUGGAAAAUGGGAAUUUGCUUUAUGUUCAGGGCCCUCCCAAAAAAUGGAAAUUUGCUUUAUGUUCAGGACCCUCCAGGAAAAUUGGAAUUUGCUUUAUGUUCAGGACCCUCACGAAAAAUGAGAAUUUGCUUUACGUUCAGGACCCUUUCGGAAAAUGGAAAUUUGCUUUACGUACAGGACCCUCCCGGAAAAUGGGAAUUAGCUUUACGCUCAGGACACUACCGAAAAAUGGGAAUUAGCUUUAUGUUUAGGACCCUCCCAAAAAAUGGAAAUUUCAUUUAUGAUCAGGAACCUCCCGGAAAAUGGGAAUUUGCUUUAUGUUCAGGACCCUCUCGAAAAAUGGGAAUUUGCUUUAUGUUCAUGACCCUCCAAAAAAUGGGAGUUUUCUUUAUGUUCAGGACCCUCCCGGAAAAUGAGAAUUUGCUUUAUGUUCAGAACCCUCCCUGAAAAUUGAAAUUUGCUUUAUGUUCAGGACCCACCUAGAAAAUGGGAAUUUACUUUAUGUUCAGGACCCUCUUGAAAAAUAGGAAUUUGCUUUAUGAUCAGGACCCUGCAGGAAAAUGAGAAUUUUAUUUAUGUUGAGGAACCUCCUAAAAAAUGAGAAUUUUCUUUAUGAUCAGGACCCUCCAAAAAAUUGGAAUUAUCUUUAUGUUCAGGACCCUCUCGGAAAAUGAGAAUUUACUUUAUGUUCAGGACCCUCCCGAAAAAUAGAAAUUUUCUUCAUGUUCAGGACCCUCCUAAAAAAUGAAAAUUUGCUUUAUGUUCCAGACCCUCUUGGAAAAUGGGAAUUUUCUUUAUGACCAGGACCCUUAUGAAAAAUGAGAAUUUGCUUUAUGUUCAGGACCCUCUUGGAAAAUAGAAAUUUACUUUAUGUUCAGGAUCCUCCUGGAAAAUGGGAAUUUGCUUUAUGUUCAGGGUCCUCCUGGAAAAUAGGAAUUCGCUUUAUAUUCAGGACCCUCCUUGAAAAUGGGAAUUUGCUUUAUGUUCAGGGCCCUCCCGGAAAAUGGAAAUUUUCUUUAUGUUCAGGACACUCCCGAAAAAUGGGAAUUUACUUUAUGUUCAGGACCCUCACAAAAAAUGAGAAUUUGCUUUAUGUUCAGGACCAUUCCGGAAAACGGAAAUUUGCUUUACGUUCAGGACCCUCCCGGAAAAUGAGAAUUAGCUUUACGCUCAGGACCCUCCCGAAAAAUGGGAAUUAGCUUUAUGUUUAGGAACCUUCCAAAAAAUGAAAAUUUCAUUUAUGAUCAGGACCCUCCCGAAAAAUGGGAAUUCGCUUUAUGUUCAGGACCCUCUCGAAAAAUGGGAAUUUACUUUAUGUUCAUGACCCUCCCACUUUGCUUUAUGUUCAGAACCCUCCCGGAAAAUUGAAAUUUGCUUUAUGUUCAGGACCCUCCUGGAAAAUAGGAAUUUUCUUUAUGUUCAGGACCCUCUUGGAAAAUAGAAAUUUGCUUUAUGAUCAGUACCCUCCCAAAAAAUGGGAAUUUUCUUUAUGUUCAGGACCCUCCUAAAAAAUGGGAAUUUGCUUUAUGUUCAGGACCCUCCAAAAAAUAGGAAUUAUCUUUAUGUUCAGGACCCUCUCGGAAAAUGAGAAUUUACUUUAUGUUCAGGACCCUCCCAGAAAAUAGAAAUUUGCUUUAUGUUCAGGACCCUCCUGGAAAAUGGAAAUUUGUUUUAUGUUCAGGACCCUCUUGGAAAAUGGGAAUUUUCUUUAUGACCAGGACCCUCAUGAAAAAUGAGAAUUUGCUUUCUGUUCAGGACCCUCUUGGAAAAUAGGAAUUUGCUUUAUGUUGAGGACCGUCCUGGAAAAUAGGAACUUACUUUAUGUUCAAGACCCUCCUGAAAAAUGGGAACUUACUUUAUGUUUAUGACCCUCCUGAAAAAUGGGAGUUUACUUUAUGUUCAGGACCCUGAAGGAAAAUGGGACAUUGCUUUCAGAAAAAUGAAUUAUUUCUUUAUCAUAAUCUUUGUUUGGUAUAAUUUUCAUUCUAGUUUUGAUUUUGAUUUCAGUAGCUUGCCUGAAAAAUAGGGUGAUAAAAUUGCAAGUCAGGAGCUCGCCUGAAGAAUAGGGUCAUAAAAUAACAAGUCAAGAGCUCGCCUGAAGAACAGGGUGAUGAAAUUGAAAGUCAGGAGCCCGCCUGAAGAACAGGGUGAUGAUAUUGCAAGUCAGGAGCCCACCUGAAGAACAUAGUGAUGAAAUUGAUAGUCAGGAGCCCUCCUUAAGAACAGAGUGAUGAAAUUGUAAGUCAGGAGCCCGCCUAAAGAACAGGAUAAUGAAAUUGAAAGUCAGGAGUCCGCCUGAAGAACAGGGUGAUGAAAUUAAAUGUCAGAAGCCCGCCUGAAAAAUAGGGUGAUGAAAUUGCAAGUGAUGAGCCCACCUGAAGAACAGGGUGAUGAAAUUGAAAGUCAGGAGCCCGCUUGAAGAACGUGGUGAUGAAAUUGCAAAUCAGGAGCCCGCCUGAAGAGUAAGGUGAUGAAAUUAAAAGUCAUCCUGCCUGAAGAACUACGUGAUAAAAUUGAAAGUCAAUCAAUAAAGUGAAGGAAUUAAAGGCCAAAUAAAAGGGGUAAGAGAUGAAAUGUCAAGCAACAGAGUAAAGAAAUUAAAAGACAAGAAACAAGUUAAAGAACUUGCAAAUCAGGAGCCCGCCUGAAGAAUAGGGUGAUGAAACUCAAGUCAAGAAGUCCAAAGGAAGCUACAUAGAUAGGAUUUUUGUAACUUCAUUUAUGUUUUAACUUGGAAUGUUCUUUUUUUUUUUUUUAAUGUAAUGACAGAGCCGCGAACCAGAACCUCGAUGGAACCUCACUUGACUCUCCAACUCAGUAUAGUCCCUCUUCUUCCAACUCUUUGAGAUACCUAUGACUUUAUUUCCUCAUAACUACGAAUGAGUAUGAUGUCAAAAUCAAGACUUGGUUUCCCUCCUUCCUUCUGUUUUAUUCUUUCUGAAUAAUGAUCGGGAUAAAAUUCUGUCUCGUUGUCUACUUCUUUGUCUAAAAACAAUUUUGUGUUUACAUUCAAAGGGGGCAUGCUAUGACACCUAAUUUUGUCCCUCCCUAACUCCAAUUUUAUCUAUUUUUAACUCACCUUACCACGCACCAUCAUCCAUGUGAUUAUACCCCACAAAAAUACAAAAAUUAACAACUCUUAACAAAUCCCUAACAAAUUUUAUCUUAUUUUAAUCAUCCUAACAACCUACCCUUAUCUCACCCACUACCCCACACCCUACCUACGUGACCCCCCUACCUACUUCUUUUUCACACUCCUCAUAUAUACAUACAUCAUCACAAUACACUAGAGGCCCACCACUAUCAAAAUUAUCACACACAGAAAAGCUCACCGAAAAUUCAUCCACACAAACCAUAGAAACAUUCACCCAUAGACAUAGACCUCUAUUUUUAUGAGUUAAUACACACACAGAGAGUAGAAAUCAAAAGGGAGGUCAUCUUCAUCAUAGAAACACACUCCUAUUUUCAAUCAACUUUCAUUUUUCUCCACAACAAUAUCCAUUAACACACACAAUCACCCACAGAUAUAGAAAAACAUGAAGAAUGGGGUGAGGGUAAAGCGAGGUCGAGAGAAAAAUAUAGAGAUAGAGAGGAUUGAAGUGAUGAGAGUGAUAUUCAAAGUUGAGAGAUAAAAAUAGAAACAAAAUAUGUGAGAGAGAAAUUUGGAUAAGUUUUUAACCUAAAACUUUGUCGUAAGAGAUCGCAUCUCCAUUUUUGAUUGCUGUCGAGCUUACCAGAGCUCCGGCGUAACAAAUGGUCCUUAUUUUUCAGUUCAAAAUCCACCAGAAAACACCCAGUCACUAUUUUUGUUACUGUUCUGAUGGAUCUACUAGAUUUUCAAACUCACUGGCUCUCUUCUUCUUAAAAUCUAUCUUAUUUUCAAAGCGGUUUGCGUAAGGGUUCGAUUUGUUUUGUUGAGAUUUCUAUUUCUUUCAUUGAGCUCGGUGCUGGUUUUGGGAUUUAGGUCCAAUUUCUAUUUUAGGUUUGGAUUUCUCCUAAUUUUAGUUGGAUCUUUGUCGUGGUUGAGGUUCGGUCCGAUGCUAUCAGGAGUGGAUUUCUUUAUUUUAUCAAGCAAUAUUCAUCAAAAGUUUUGAAUUGAGGUCCAUUUUUCAUCCCUUUUCUUGAGUAAUUUUAAGUUCUGAUAUUUUGUGUGGAGAAUUGAUAAGACAUGGAUCUUGCUUUUGUUUGAAUUUGUGAUGUUUGAAUCAUGAAUGUUGGUUGAUGUUGAAUUUGGAUUAUGAAAAUUGAAUCGAUAAUUUAAGAUAAGUUAAUCAUUGAUUGAGAAUUGAGAUAGACUUUAUUGGGAGGGGUUGAGAAUGACAAAAUGAAAGUGGUUUAAUUUUGAUUCAUUAUUGUUGAUUUACAUAAAAAAUUAGUAGGCAAAUGCUAAGUCGGGUAUGCAAAUUUGGAGAUUAGGAUUUUGUUGAAUGUUUGAAUGUAGAUGUGAAUGAUUCUUCCUACUUUACUGUAAAAAUUGAAAGUGUAUUUAUUUAACCGGGGAAUGCCCCGAGGUUUCAUGCACUUAUUCACCGGGGAAUACCCCGAUGUAUUAUGUCUUCGAAGGAGGUCCGUUAUCAAGGCCCGACACAUCAGGUAAAGCAUUGAAGCGAAGUUUAGGAUUAGUUUAGAAUCGCAUAGGUUUAUAUUUUUCCACAUUUUAUUUUUCUUUUGGACUGUAUAACUGGACUGGAUAUUAUAUUGUGGAUUGUUUUGUCUUGUUUGUUUGAUUGAUUGUCUUUAUGUGUUUUUUAUGGUUUAUACAUUCGUUGUGCCAAAUUAUAUGAUACGCUCCACCAAGCGACCAUGGUCAAAUCACAUGAUCAAGGGGUGCCUAACACCUUCCUCUCGGUUAACAGAAUUCCUUAACCGGGAUCUCUAUUCGCGGAUCAGUUUUAAGAGUCAAAACCAUUUUAAAAAAGGCUAUCCAAGGGUGACUUGGCACACCCGAUUAUGCCAAGUAGUGACUCUGAAUUUUGAAUAUAAAAGUCUUUUUCAAAACAAAUCUUUAUUUUGCCACUUAAUAAUAAAAACCCUUUCAAACUUAAAAUAGAUAAUCUUUCGGGUUGAAAAAAGAGGUGUGACAAUGAACCCCAUAUAGAUAGUGAUGCCAAAUCUUCGACGCAAAUACCACAGCUAACAACUCCAAAUCAUGGGUAAGGUAGUUCUUCUCAUGAACUUUCAAUUGCCUGGAAGCAUAGGCUACCACCCUACCAUGCUGCAUCAACACACAACUAAGCCCAACAUUAGAAACCUCAUAAUACAUUACAAAUCCCUCGUUUCUCUCGGGAAAGGUCAAAAUCGGAGUUGAAGUCAUAUUAUGUUUACACGUCUCAAAACUACCCUCACACACAUCUGACCACAAGAACUUGACCUUCUUCUGGGUCAGCUAAGUCAAUGGGGCAGCUAUAGUUUCAAAAAUUGUCCAUAAAUCUCCUACAGUAACCAGCUAAACCUAAGAAGCUCUGAAUAUCGGUUGGAGUCGCAGGUCUAGGCCAUUUCUUAACCACUGAAAACUUUUAUAGAUCCACCAUGAUCCCCUCACUAGAUAUAACAUGACCAAGAAAAUUUACAGCCUUCAACCAAAACUCACAUUUAGAGAAAUUGGCAUACAAACGUUGAUCCUUCAAGAUUUGUAACACAGCAUAGAGGUGAUCGGCAUGAUCCGCCUUACUCUUAGAGUAGACCAAAAUGUCAUCAAUGAAGAAAAUGAUAAACAAAUCCAGAAACUAAUGAAAGACCCUAUUCAUCAAAUUUAUGAAUGUCACCGGGGCAUUGGUCAACCCUACUGGAACUCAUAGUGACUAUACCGGGUCCUGAAAGAAGUCUUAGGGAUAGCCACAUCCCUAAUAUUAAGCUGAUGACAACCCGACCUAAGAUCAAUCUUAGAGAAGCACUUUGCACCUUGAAUUUGAUCAAAUAAGUUGUCGAUCCUAGGAAGAGGAUAUUUAUUCUUUAUACUCACCUUAUUCAGUUGACAAUAAUCAAUACACAUCCAAAGGAAAUCAUCCUUCUUAUGCAAGAACAACACAAGGGCACCCCAAGGAGACGCACUAGGAUAAAUAAACCCUUUAUCUAAGAGAUCCUUUAAUUGCUCCUUAAGCUCCUUCAACUCAGCUGGAGCCAUCAUAUAAGGAGGGAUAGAUAUAGAACGAGUGUCUAAAACAAGAUCAAUCCAGAAAUCAAUUUCUCUAUCGGGAGGAACACUAGAAAGAUCAAUAGGGAAAACCUCGAGAAACUCAUUUACCAUAAGAAUAGAUUCUUGAGAAGGACCUUCUAAGUUAGAAUCUUUAACCCGGACCAAAUGAUACAAACACCCUUUGGAGAUCAACUUUCAGGCUCUAAGAUAUGAGAUGAACCUUUUCUUAUGCACUAAAGAACCUUUUUACCAUACAAUGACCGGCUCAUUAGGGAAUUUAAAUAUGACCUUAUGGGUCCGACAAUCUAGGGAAGCAUUAUUUGCCCCUUUUCAAUUUUGAAGGGUUGGAAACAUUGAUUUUUACUUUUUAAACUAUUUCUAAACUUUAAAGAAAAUUUCAAAACAAUCUAAGAAAUUACAGCGCCGCUACUUAAUUUAUUUGAAAAGAAAUUAAGAAAACUUUUAAGGAAAAUCCUAAGUCUUAAAAUAGAAAAAGACUUAGGCUUUUAAGAACAUUUAGGGUAAGAGGUUCUUAUUAAUAUCUUAGGAAGGUUUUUAAGACACCUAAAAUAUCCGCUAACUUGUGGUUAUCCGAACUAUUUGGAAACCACCUUUGACUAACUUUGAAAAAGAGAAGUUGGUUUUUUGAAAAGAAAAUGAUUUUAGGAAGACUUGUAUAAAAUAAAUUUUGACGACUUAGUAGGGAAUUUAACUAAGUCUAAGCAAACUAAUAAAAAUUAGCAUAUAAAGGGGAAGGUGAGACUAAAAGACUUAGGUCAUUAGGCCCAAAUCCACAAACCCUGUCCUAUCCUAAUCUAAACACAGGGUUGUUGGCCCAUAACCUGCUUCACCUGUAUUAAUUUACAACUUUGGCCUCGAGGCCCAAAUGAAUGAACAAAUAGAUAAACAAAUAAAAAUAAGAUAAUAAUAAAAAAUAGAGACUUUUCAAGUCUCUUAGUGACCUCAUCAAUGGGCUUUGACNNNNNNNNNNNNNNNNNUCCGUUAUCAAGGCCCGACACAUCAGGUAAAGCAUUGAAGCGAAGUUUAGGAUUAGUUUAGAAUCGCAUAGGUUUAUAUUUUUCCACAUUUUAUUUUUCUUUUGGACUGUAUAACUGGACUGGAUAUUAUAUUGUGGAUUGUUUUGUCUUGUUUGUUUGAUUGAUUGUCUUUAUGUGUUUUUUAUGGUUUAUACAUUCGUUGUGCCAAAUUAUAUGAUACGCUCCACCAAGCGACCAUGGUCAAAUCACAUGAUCAAGGGGUGCCUAACACCUUCCUCUCGGUUAACAGAAUUCCUUAACCGGGAUCUCUAUUCGCGGAUCAGUUUUAAGAGUCAAAACCAUUUUAAAAAAGGCUAUCCAAGGGUGACUUGGCACACCCGAUUAUGCCAAGUAGUGACUCUGAAUUUUGAAUAUAAAAGUCUUUUUCAAAACAAAUCUUUAUUUUGCCACUUAAUAAUAAAAACCCUUUCAAACUUAAAAUAGAUAAUCUUUCGGGUUGAAAAAAGAGGUGUGACAAUGAACCCCAUAUAGAUAGUGAUGCCAAAUCUUCGACGCAAAUACCACAGCUAACAACUCCAAAUCAUGGGUAAGGUAGUUCUUCUCAUGAACUUUCAAUUGCCUGGAAGCAUAGGCUACCACCCUACCAUGCUGCAUCAACACACAACUAAGCCCAACAUUAGAAACCUCAUAAUACAUUACAAAUCCCUCGUUUCUCUCGGGAAAGGUCAAAAUCGGAGUUGAAGUCAUAUUAUGUUUACACGUCUCAAAACUACCCUCACACACAUCUGACCACAAGAACUUGACCUUCUUCUGGGUCAGCUAAGUCAAUGGGGCAGCUAUAGUUUCAAAAAUUGUCCAUAAAUCUCCUACAGUAACCAGCUAAACCUAAGAAGCUCUGAAUAUCGGUUGGAGUCGCAGGUCUAGGCCAUUUCUUAACCACUGAAAACUUUUAUAGAUCCACCAUGAUCCCCUCACUAGAUAUAACAUGACCAAGAAAAUUUACAGCCUUCAACCAAAACUCACAUUUAGAGAAAUUGGCAUACAAACGUUGAUCCUUCAAGAUUUGUAACACAGCAUAGAGGUGAUCGGCAUGCUCCGCCUUACUCUUAGAGUAGACCAAAAUGUCAUCAAUGAAGAAAAUGAUAAACAAAUCCAGAAACUAAUGAAAGACCCUAUUCAUCAAAUUUAUGAAUGUCACCGGGGCAUUGGUCAACCCUACUGGAACUCAUAGUGACUAUACCGGGUCCUGAAAGAAGUCUUAGGGAUAGCCACAUCCCUAAUAUUAAGCUGAUGACAACCCGACCUAAGAUCAAUCUUAGAGAAGCACUUUGCACCUUGAAUUUGAUCAAAUAAGUUGUCGAUCCUAGGAAGAGGAUAUUUAUUCUUUAUACUCACCUUAUUCAGUUGACAAUAAUCAAUACACAUCCAAAGGAAAUCAUCCUUCUUAUGCAAGAACAACACAAGGGCACCCCAAAGAGACGCACUAGGAUAAAUAAACCCUUUAUCUAAGAGAUCCUUUAAUUGCUCCUUAAGCUCCUUCAACUCAGCUGGAGCCAUCAUAUAAGGAGGGAUAGAUAUAGAACGAGUGUCUAAAACAAGAUCAAUCCAGAAAUCAAUUUCUCUAUCGGGAGGAACACUAGAAAGAUCAAUAGGGAAAACCUCGAGAAACUCAUUUACCAUAAGAAUAGAUUCUUGAGAAGGACCUUCUAAGUUAGAAUCUUUAACCCGGACCAAAUGAUACAAACACCCUUUGGAGAUCAACUUUCAGGCUCUAAGAUAUGAGAUGAACCUUUUCUUAUGCACUAAAGAACCUUUUUACCAUACAAUGACCGGCUCAUUAGGGAAUUUAAAUAUGACCUUAUGGGUCCGACAAUCUAGGGAAGCAUUAUUUGCCCCUUUUCAAUUUUGAAGGGUUGGAAACAUUGAUUUUUACUUUUUAAACUAUUUCUAAACUUUAAAGAAAAUUUCAAAACAAUCUAAGAAAUUACAGCGCCGCUACUUAAUUUAUUUGAAAAGAAAUUAAGAAAACUUUUAAGGAAAAUCCUAAGUCUUAAAAUAGAAAAAGACUUAGGCUUUUAAGAACAUUUAGGGUAAGAGGUUCUUAUUAAUAUCUUAGGAAGGUUUUUAAGACACCUAAAAUAUCCGCUAACUUGUGGUUAUCCGAACUAUUUGGAAACCACCUUUGACUAACUUUGAAAAAGAGAAGUUGGUUUUUUGAAAAGAAAAUGAUUUUAGGAAGACUUGUAUAAAAUAAAUUUUGACGACUUAGUAGGGAAUUUAACUAAGUCUAAGCAAACUAAUAAAAAUUAGCAUAUAAAGGGGAAGGUGAGACUAAAAGACUUAGGUCAUUAGGCCCAAAUCCACAAACCCUGUCCUAUCCUAAUCUAAACACAGGGUUGUUGGCCCAUAACCUGCUUCACCUGUAUUAAUUUACAACUUUGGCCUCGAGGCCCAAAUGAAUGAACAAAUAGAUAAACAAAUAAAAAUAAGAUAAUAAUAAAAAAUAGAGACUUUUCAAGUCUCUUAGUGACCUCAUCAAUGGGCUUUGACCCAUUUUUUUGCUUCUUCCAUCUUCAUGCACCCGCACGCCAUAUAAUCAACUUUGGACAUUAACAUCAGACUUGAAUCAAAAAGGUGGACCUUAUUGGCCAUUAUGAAAUGCAAAAGGAGAGCCGUCUAUUUGAACUCGAGAUAUUUUUGCAUGCAAAGAAAAGAUAACAAAAUUAAUAUAUGUUCAAGGCAUAAAAGUGACAUAUUAAUUUCAAAGCAAAAGAAAAUAUCAAGAACCAAUUUUUGAAUGACAAUGAUAAUUACACUUACACACGUAUAACAAGAAUGAGAGUCAACAAAUAAAAUCCAAAGCAAAGACACCCUCUUACAUGUCUCUUGAUUUAUGUUCAUAUUAAGAAUGAAUAAAGGCAAAAGAAAUAAGGCUAUAUUCAAAGAAUUAAUGCGAGAACAAAUAACAUAAGUUUGCGAAAGUAAAUGAAUGAGGCAAUAAGAAAAAUAACCAUUUCUAAAAUUGAACAAACAUAGACACUAAUCCAUAUAACAAAAUAAAAUAAAGGCUAACUUUUUAAGAAAGGGAAUCAUUAAAUUUAAAUUUAAACAAAUAAACAUAUUUGCUAAUAAUGAAUUUAAGCAAAGUAUAAGUACAUCUUUCAGGAAAAAUUGAAACUUUAUCUAUAAUAAUCAAAGAAUAAAGGUAAAAGGGGAGAAACAAUCAAUUUUAACUAUUCAUUUCAACAUAAAGGAAACAAAUUUACAUGAUAAAAAUAAACAUAUCAACCAAUAAUGAAUUUAAAUAAAGUAUAAGUACAUCUUUUAAGCAAAGGUUGAAACUUUAUCUAUAAUAAUCAAAGAACAAAGUCAAAAAGGAACUACAACUAUUGCUAGCUUAUUUUUAUACCAUAAACAUAAAAAUAACAUAAUAUCGAUACCAAACGUCCUAUGGCCUUCAAGGCCAUCCAUAACAAACAAUUUCAGCAAAUAAAAUUAUAGCUACGAACUACGAAGAAGAAAAUGAUGAUAAAACUAUAAAAAAAAAAAAAGUGUAUUUACCUUUUUUGGGGUAGCAAAAUGAGACUACAAAAUUUUUUUGGAGUCUUGAUCACCACCGAAAAGCGUUCAACUCGAGAACUUCAAUUAGACCAUGAAUUUCAUAGAAAAGAUUUAUUUUAUUUUACAAAAAUAAAAACUCUUUUUUGCUUAAAGUUUUUUUUUCAACCUUGAGAAUUGGUCUUUCUACCAAAAUAUUAAUAGUAUUUAUAGGAAAGGAUAAAGCUUCCAUUCUUUUCAUCCACCAAUGUGGGAGAGAGAAUUUUGGGGUGUUUUUAGAAUUUUAAAAAAUUAAAGAUAAGGUGAUGUGGAAGAUAAGGUGGGGGAAAUUGUACAAUGUAGCACAAUUUUUGAAUUUCAAAAUUGAAAAAAGAACAAGGUUGAGGGUAAAAUUGCACAAUGUAGUAUUAUUUUUUAAUUUCAAAAUUUAAAUUUGAAAAAAGGACAGGGUUGUGGCGACAUUGUACAAUGUAGUACAAUUUUUGAAUUUCAAAAUUGGAAAAAAGACAAAGUCCAGGGGGAAUUAUACAGUCUAGUACAAAUUUAAAAUUAUUUUGGUGGGAAAUGGGUAGAAUUUAUAAGAGUUUUUGAGAAUUUUUAGGUUAUUUAAAAUAUAACCCCAAUUGGGAUUUAAAAUUUAGCCAAGUUUAUUUAAUUUUGAUCAAACUAAAAAUCAAUUGGCGCAUUGCAUUGGAAUUAUGGAUAAUUUGAUUUCAAUUAUGGCCAAAUCUAAUAGAUUGGCUAAAUUAAAUUGAAAUUUGAUACUAAUUAAUAGUUCUUUUAAUUCCGAGCUUCAUGAUUUAUUAAAAUCAAACACAUAUUUAUCUAAAUAAAUUAAUUUUGAGAACAAAUUUUAUUUAAAUCAAGAAUUUCUCCAUUUAGAUUAAUUUUCAAGAUUAACCAGUAAGAGUCUAAUUUUGAUAAAAAUGUUUAUUUAAGUAACUAAAUUUAUUCAAUUUUGCAUAUGUAAAUACGAAAACGUAUAAUCAUCAAUUAAAUGCCAAAAUUAACCCAAACAAAUAUUUUAGAGUGCAUUUAUUCAAAUGAAAUAAAUAUUUUAAAUUUAUUGAAAAUUGAAGAAACCCAGAAUUAAAUUAGUCGUGGAGGGAAAAAAUUAGGUGUCAACAACUUCCCCCUCUCUUUGGGUAGGGUGGAUACAAGAAACCCUGGGCAAAGGGAGUUUGAUGUUCCUAAUUUUUGUUUAAACGAAAAUUCAUGUCUGAGAGGUUGGUUUUCGCACGAGUUUCAAGGAUUUAUGGCUAGACCUCAGUAUCAGGUUUCCUACAUAUCUCAGGUUACAUGAGAAUUUAGGCUACUUGUAGUUCAUAAAGCUUGAUUUAAAGCAGAAUCUUCAAGAAAUUUACAAGCUAUUUUAGUUUUUGCAUUUUUUAUAAAAACAAAAAGCUAGGGAAUAAGGAGAUUAGGGGAGAUCGAAAUGCAGUCAAGUUUUUAACAAAGAGAGUCCAUCCUACAUAUCUCCGAGACUCAGGGAAUCAGAUUGUUUGUAGUUUGACUCAAUCGGUAGAAAAGAUAGUUUUUUAUUUCAGGCAAUCUUUGGUUUGGAAUGAGUGUCAAGUUAAAUGAUUUACGUAAAAGAGGUUUGUAAACUCUUAAACAUGAAUGUGGGAUCCUUCACAUCCAUAGGAAAGAACUUACCUGGACAUAAUUUCCAAAACUCUAAGAAUGUUGUCACCCGAAUUUGAAAGAAAAAGAAGGUUACCCUCAGUAUGAGUUUAGAAAUAUCUCAAAGGUUAAGAUAAAACUAGAAUAUCCUAAAAUACCCACAUGCCUUCUAAUAGGGGUGUGGUUGGAUGGUGGUGGUGAUCAUGCUUUAACUCGUGUCCAGGGAGUUUGACGACCCUUUCUAAACUAUGUCCCAUUUUGCUACUAAGAAUGAGUUCCACAUUGUGCUACGUCCUAUCUGGGUUCGUCCGCACCUGUGGUUUUGAUUUGAGAUUUUUAUCCUCCCAGAUGCUCUCGAUAGUGUUUCAAACAAAAAGUGUUAGUGCUAACCAUAAUUCACAAAAGAAGCAUAUAGUAUUUUACCAUAUCUCCACGUGAGUUGUUGCCUAAAAAGUGAAGUCACCCUCUCAUGUACCUAUUUGGAAGGAAGUAACUUGCAAAAACGAACACAAAAACUCUCUUGGUUGUUUCAUAAUUAUCUCAUUUGUCGAUUGAAUGUAUCUUCAAAGUGGGGUGGCCUUUUUGGACAUUAACGAUAUUUUAUGCAGAACGGUUCCUGCAAUCGUGUAAUCUUUUGUUGAUGCGGAAACCUUUUUCAGUCACUUAUAAUACUUGAGGAAUGAUAACCUUUCUAUUUAUUCAUAAUAAUUCUUUGUAUGUGACCUCGAGUAAGUCCUGUUCAUCUUUUGUAUCGAUAUGACUUAUAGAUUUCCCUUGAAUUGACAAUCUUUGGAUAAUUUUGCACAUUAUUUGAUGUUAGAUAUGAGGUGACUUACAAAUAUCCUUUGAAUUUCUAGCUUGUAGGUGAUCCUACAUAUUAUCUGACCUUGGAUAAGAGAUGGCUUACAGAUAUCCUUCCAAUCACUAGCUCUCAGGUAUUCUAGCACAUCAUCAGACCUUGGAUAUAAUAUGACUUAUACAUAUCUUAAAUUUCUAGUCUUUGGGUAAUCCUGCACAUAAUCGAUCUUUGGAUAUGGCGCGACUUAUAGAGAACCCUUGGACUUAUUAAUUUGAUAAUCUCGGAUAUUCUCUGGUAAGGAUUUAGUUGCGACUUAUGGAUAACCUUUGGACUAUCAAUUUUUGGGUAACCUUGUACACUAUCCGGUUAGGAUAUCAUUGCAGCUUACGGAUGACCUAUGGGCUAUCAACUCAUAGGUAAUCUUGCAUGCUAUCCUACUUCAAAUAAUAUGACUUAUAAAUAACCCUCAAAUUGUUAAUUUCUAGGAAAUCUCAUAUAUCACCCAUCUUCAGAUAAUGACUUAAAGGUGUCCCUUCAAAUCGCGUGCUCUUGAUGCAUUCAGAUGUUGUUUUAUAAAAUAAUGAGAUAUCCUCAAUGCCAGCAUUUGUGUCUCACGUGUUAACAAAUAUUAAAUGCUGAUGAUAUCCUCGACACCAAUAUUUAUGUGUCACAUGUCAAUAGAUAUUAAAUACUGAUGAUAUCCUCAACGCUAGUGUCUUCGUCUUGCGUGUUAACAGAUAUUAAAUAUUGAUGAUAUCCUCAAUGUGAAAAUUUGUGUCUCGCGUGUCAACAGAUAUUAAAUGAUGAUGAUAUCCUCGAUGCCAGAGUUUGUGUCUUAUGUGUCAACAGAUAUUAAAUUCUGAUGAUAUCUUCGACACCAGUAUUUGUGUCUUGCAUUUCAACAGAUAUUGAAUGCUAAUGAUAUCCUCAACACCAUCUUUUGUGUAUUGCGUGUCAACAGAUAUUGAAUGCUAUGAUAUCCUCGAUGCCAGCAUUUAUGUCUCACGUGUCAACAGAUAUUAAAUACUAUGGCCCUUUUGGCAAUGGCAUCAAAUAGCCCUCUCAACGAAGGUAUGAAAUGGCCCUCUCAAUGAUGAUAUGAAAUGGCCCUCUCGACGAUGAUAUGAUGUAGCCCUUUCGGCAGUGAUAUUAUAUGAAAUGGCCCUCUCGACAAUGAGAUGAUAUGAAAUAUCCCUCUUGGCAAUGGAAUGGGAUGAAAUGGUCCUCUCAGCCAUAAUAAGAAAUGGCCCUCUUAGUAAUGACAUGAAAUGAUCCUUUGACGAUGAUAUAAAAUGGCCCUCUUAACAGUGAGAUGAUAUGAAGUAGUUCUUCUAGUGAUUUGAAAAUAGUUUCACCUAAGUUCGUUUAUCUGCGUUUUGCUUUCUACAUGUACCUGUACUCAAUGUAGACAAUUAGUAGACACAUUGUUGCUCUAACUGGCGACCUCAAGCUUUAUGAUAGUUAAAUGACAAAUAUUGAGCAUCAUAAUUUGAAUGACUUAUCCUGCUAUUAAUCUUCUCUUUUUGAAGAAAUAAUUAAAUAGCAGAUUAAUCGGAUGCAAGUAAAUGGGGCAAAAUCCAUAUUUGGGGAUUACUCAAAUACCGUUUGCUUCGCUUCAAGGUGAAUUUUGAGGACGACUUUCAACUUUUCCUCCUAUUGCAUGAUCAUUUUAAUAGUUGUAUUUAUUGUAACGAAUCCCUUGAAUGCACCUGCACUCAAGGUAAAUGUUUAGUAGACACAAAGUCGUUUUUGCUUCCAAUGAUUUUUUAGGAAAAUUCUAAAUAUAAUAUUCAUAAAGAAGAUAAGGCGUCUUUGUUUGUCCGUCAUGGUCUCAAGAAUUGAGAUAGAUAAUUCAAAAGGUCAUUGAUAAAUAAGCAUUAAAACCAUUUUUGAGGUUACCCAAAAAUACCAUUCUUAAGCAUUAUAUGAUUUUGUGUGGAUCGCAACCUGCUUGGGAGUUUUUUGAAAAAAUUUCCCAUUUUUGUGUAUUAAUCCCUACAUCCACAGAAAAAUGAUUAGUCUUGAGUGAAAACUACUCCAUGUUGACGUUCUUCGAUCCUUGAUUUGCUCCUCGCCAUCUUUCAGAUACUCCGUCAUGUUAGGACUUCCACCUUGACUCUCCAUCCCAAUAGAAGCCUAGGAAACCACUAAGUAAAAGAUUUGUAUAGAUUUUUGAAAGUAGUCUUAAUUUUGAAAACUAAUUUAAAUUUUUUUUGUAGAAGCUUUUGAAAAUCUCUGCCAGUCAUAUCAUGUACUAUCUCAAUGAAUGUAUUUCACUUAAGUCUUGACUAUAUCUGAUGUGUAAUAGAGGAUUUCCAAAAACUUAUCAUCAUUGUCAGAGAGAUCUAUUAAAAGCUCUGUCAUAGUUGGAGGUUUAGUCUAUCUAGACUUUUCCAUAUCUAGUGAAUUUUCAAGCUGGACUUCUGGUGCUGGGGAAUUUGACAUAUAAUCCAGUAUAUAGUGGAAAUUUUGAGGACCUCCUCAAAAUUUCAACCCCUGUUUCCUAGGUUGAGAGGAUUCAAAGUCUUUGCUGAUCUUCAUUCUCUUUGCUUGGUGAUGAUUUUUUUCUUUUGAAUUUUUGAGAUUCCUUCUCAAAUAAUUAUUCUCUAGUUUCCAUUUCCUAGAGUAGUCUGACCGAGUCAUUGAGGCACCUACGUAUAUCGUUGAAGUAGGAACUAGGUAAAACAUAGUUCAGGCCACUCUAGGGACACAUAGAAAAAUCUAACGAGUUGACCGAAGCCGACAUAGGCCACGUACAUAUCCCUUUUUUGGGAAUUUAGGUCAACAUGUAGUUCAUACAUAAAGUAAAAGGAUAAAUUCUCCUAAGAGUUUGAUCGAAGACGACAUAGGCCGCCUACGCAUCCCUUUCUUGGGAAUUCAGGUCAAACGUAGUUCAUACAUAACUCAUCUUCAGGGUUAAAUUACCCUAGAUACUCUUAUCCAUUCUACUAGGAUAGAAAUAAGCACUCUAGAAAUGUUGUGACGCUUUCAUUGUGUAUGUCCUGGUAGAACGAGUGAUCAACUAUCCAAUUUUCCUUUGAGAUAAUUCAUAAGAUUCAUUUUCCUCUCUUUUUCUGGAUAGACAUCGACCCUGAUCCUUUUAAUCAUUGUCCUUCUAGUUAUCUAUUUCAAUUUCUUCAAGAUUAGGCUUUCUUGAUUCUUGAACUCUUUGGGUCUUAUGUUGACUAUUCUAGGGCUAUUAUCUCCCAUUCAUUAUUAUCUUUCUUGAUUUGCUCAUUUAGCUUCUUGACAGGACAGGACAAUGGUAGGUUUUAAGUUAUUGUUACACGACGGGCUACAAGUUAUGAGUGGAUUAGAGGUCCAUUUCAAUAAUGUUUCCUCCAAUUCAUUUUCCAUGAUCCCGGUUGUCUUGGAAAAUUCUUUCAUGGUAGUAUAAUUUUUUUCCCUAUUCCAUCCUCAAGACCAUUGCUUAUAGCUUUUGAAAAAUGUCUAGUAGAGUCUAGUUUUACUACUAGUCAUUUUUCUUUUCCUGUAACAAAAUUGUCAAGAGGGGAAUCUCUUAUUCACUUUGAUGAAGUAGGUCCAUUUUAUGCUAACACAGGAGCAGUUUAUAUUGCCUAAAAAGUAAGAACUACUUAAAGGCUGACGUGUUAGAUUCUGUUAGUAAUAAGCAAAACAAGAUAUAAGGUAGGAAGUAAGCAUAUAGAGUUAUUUCUCAUCUCAUGCGAAUUGAUCCAUGAAGUCAUGAUGACUCGAGAAUUUCAAUGAACAAGAUUUUGAUCAAUGAUAUGGAUAGGUGGAAUUUAUCAGGAAGGCUCAAAUUUUCUUCUUUUCGACCUUAUUACUUCUUUCAAGAAAGUAGGGGACAACAGAGUUUUUUGAAAAUAGGUGCCAGGCCAAAAGGCUACCUAAGUAUCUCAUGAAGAAGAAAUCAGGCCCUACGUAGUUUGAACAUAUAAUGGCUUCUUCUGAGACCAUAGUCAAUCUUCCUAAAAUGGUAGCUAUCUUUUAGGAAGUUUGAAGAAUGAUUGUGGACUUUUCUUAGAGACCUGAGAGAGAUGGAGUAUGUUUGGUCGGACUUUUGUAUAGUGGGCAUUUUUCUGCUUAGAUGUUCUCUUUAAAAAAAUGGGUUUGGAUCAAUUCGCCUUUGAUUCUAACCAACAUAACAUGUAUAAGCACAUCAAGCAGUUAUUUCUCACCAAUAUAUUGUAAUGAACGUGCAUCCUAAUUAGGCGACCUUUUUGAGUCAAGGGUUCGCCUAACAUAUUUGAAGGAAGUAUAUGUUUUUAAAACCCAUCCAUUAUCCCCCAAAACCUCAAUAAGUGUACAUAAAGGGCAUAAAUGCAUACAAAAGUUGCACAAAAGGGAUACAAUCUUUAGGAAAAAGGGAAAUAUGAUGAGAAAAAGAACAAUGUCCCUCACAGGGACAGGAAAUACUAGUUCCUAAAUGCUCUUUUAUCGGCCUUCGCCCUCUUAGCUUUGUCCACUUCAUGUCAUUGGUGACAUCUAUUGAUGAUCAAGAAAUUUUCAUAUAAUUGUUUCCUAGAUCACUAGUCUAAAAAAUCAUGCAAUUGUCCAAAUUGAUCAAUCUCUUGCCUGGCGCGCUUUAAUUUUUUCCCUUAAUUGAUGGAUGAUUGUAGCAUCCUUAUACGAAAGAAAACAAAGUAAGUCUUCUCCCUACCCCAAAGGAAAAUGGAUUGGAUUAAGUAAAAUAUAUUUCUUCAACACAUAAAUAUGAUUCAUCUUUAAUUGACUCAUGGCCAAUAGAUGCAGGGCAUAUUUUCUAAUAGGCCCAAUACCCCCUCGAGCAUUGGGUCGUCCUAGGAUCAUGCCUAAAAGAGGGUUUUGGUUUAGCUUUAUCCUGGGUGUCUGGAGUGGGUUUGGACAUAGGUUCUUAAGAGGACAACUUGGCUUUGAAAAUACGAAUAGCCUCUGACCGCCUAACGUGUCGAUAAACUAUCGUAUUCUUAACACUUGAUUUGGAGUUGAGCAACAGGGGUCGGGACAGCCACGAAACCCCAAAAUAGUUUAAUAAUCAUCAUUCAGGAUUAUGCUAUGAAAUGUAACAAUUGAAUUUCGCAGAAUUGAAACACAUAAGCACGUAAAUAGUUGAAACAGUUAGUGAAAAGAUAAAUUCAAACAUUUGGUUAGAACCUAGUUAAAUUCUCCGACAGAGCCUUCAUUUCUAUUUUGCCUCUUUUCAGUUUUGAAGGGUUGGAAAAUAUUGAUUUGACUUUUAAACUAUUUCAAACCAUUAAAGAAAAUUUCAAAACAAUCUAAGAAACUACAACAUCGCCAAUUAAUUUAUUUGAAAAGAAAUUAAGAAAACUUUUAAUGAAAAUACUAAGUCUUAAAAUAGAAAAAGACUUAGACUUUUAAGAACAUUUCGGGUAAGAGGUUCUUAUUAACAUCUUAGGAAGGUUUUUAAUGAACCUAAAAUGUCCGCUAACUUGCAGUUAUCAAUUCUAUUUGGAAACCACCUUUGACUAACUUUGAAAAAGAAAAGUUGGUUUUUUGAAACGAAAGUGGUUUUAGGAAGACUUGUAUAAAAUAAAUUUUGACUACUUAGUGGGGAAUUGAACUAAGUCUAAGAAAACUAAUAACAAUUAGCACAUAAAGGUAAAGGGAGAGGAAACUAAAAAACUUAGGCCAUUAGGCCCAAAUCCACAAACUCUGUCCUAAGCUAAAUUGGGCAUUUGGCCCAUCUUCACCUAUCCUAAUCUAAAUAUUUAGGCUUUUGGCCCAUAACCUGCUUCACCUAUAUUAAUUUACAAGUUUGGCUUCACGACCCAAAUGAAUGAACAAAUAGGUAAAUAUAUAAAUAAAAAUAAGAUAAUAAUAAAAUAUCUAGACUUUUCAAGUCUCUUAGCGACCUCAUCAAUGGAUUUCGACCCAUUUUCCUUUUUCUUCCAUCUUCUUGCACCUGCAUGCCAUAUAAUCAACUUUGGACUUAAACUUCAGACUUGAAUUGAAAAGAUGGGCCUCAUUGACCCAUUAAGAAAUACAAGAGGACAGGAGUCCAUUUGGACUCGAGACAUUUUUCCAUGCAAAGAAAAGAUAAAGAAAUUAAUCUACGUUCAAGACAUAAAAGUGACAUAUUAAUUUCAAAGCAAAAGAAAAUAUCAAGAACUAAUCUUUGAAUGGAAAUGAUAAGCACACUUGCACACGUAUAACAAGAAUGAGAGUCAACAGAUAAAAUGAAAAGCAAAGACACCCACUUACAUACCUCGUGAUUUAUGUUCAUAUUAAGAAUGAAUAAAGGUAAAAGGAAGAAGGUCAUAUUAAAUGAAUUAAUGCGAGAACAAACAACAUAAGGUUAAGAAUGUAAAGGGAUGAGGCACUAAUAAAAAUAAUCAUGACUUCUAAAUUUGAACAAACAUAGACACUAAUUCAUAUAACAAAUAAAAUAAAGGCUAACUGUUCAAGAAAGAGAAUCUUUAAAUUUCAAUUAAGGCGAUAUUAACGAAGAUUCAUACAUCUAAAUUACAACCAACAUUUUAGGGGAAAACGUGUAACGACCUAUGGUUUAUCUUUCUAAGACAUCGUUGAUUCUCUUAUGAUAUUAUGAAUCAAAAAGAGACACGAAUCAAGUCUUUACACACACAAAGAGCAUAUAUAACAAUCCAAAUAGAGUAAGAAAAUUAGAAUAAAAGUUUAGUAUUUCUAAAAGUGAAAUAUGGUUCAACAAUCAUACUAUGCAUGAUUCGAAAAUAUCUAAAUAAUUCUAUUUAGCCACAAAAGACCAAAAUUUCUCAUCAUUUCGAUAAGUCAACAUGCGAAAAAAAGGAAUAAACAUCUUGAAUGAAAAAUAGCUAGCACUUCAAUCUCUCAUACGAGGAUUUUGAAAUCCAUUAAAAUAAAGCAAGCAAAUGAAAAGUUCUUGACUUAACCAAUUACUAUUUUAUUAAAGAAAAACAAAUAAUAGUAACUAUACUUUUUGACAUAAAGAAAAUAACUUUACAUGUUGAAGACAAAUAUAUCCAUCAACAAUGAAUUUAAACAAAGAAUAAGAACGUCUUUUAAGCAAAGAUUGAAACUUUAUCCAUAAUAAUCAAAGAAUAAAGUCAAAAGAGAAUCAAUAUUAUCUAUUUGUUUCAACAUAAAGGAAACAACUUUACAUGCUAAAAAUAAACAUAUUCGCUUGUCAAGACCCGAACCGGGGCCCUGACCGUGACGAACAUCCCGAACCAUGAAGGCCCGAGAGCCCUUCUAACUUAUAAUCAUAUACACCAUUCAUAUAUAAAUAGGAAAUGCAAAAAUAAAAUCUGCUACGGAAACAUGGUCAUAAUCUAAAUUUAGUUUAACAAUGAGGAAUAAAAUCCAAUAUUAACCAAACACCGUCUGAAAACCGUCUACGAAAUCUCUACUACAUGAUCAAAUAACAACUGUUUGAAAACUGGGGCAAAGCCCCCAGUAUAGUAAAACUAUAAUAAAUAAUAGUUGUCUGAAAGAAACUAGGCCUUCUAAAAUAUAGAAGGCUCACCAACUAUUACUCUUCACUCAUGUCUAAUAAAAUCUACUACUUAUCAGGACCCCUAGACUGUGCCUCAAAACCUGGAAGGAGGGGGGUCAAUACAGAUGUAUUGGUACACAGAGCUAUCCAAAAUAAAGAUUUUAUAUAAAUAAAAUAGUUGAGAGCUAUUCAUAAACAUCAUGAAAGAUAUAAUUUUCAAAACACAUGGGCAUUCUUGAAAAAUACAUAAAAAAACCUUUCUGUCAAAAGCAGUUUGUAAUCUUUGUAUUACUUCUGAGUUAAGUGGCACUCCCCUAGAAGUCUGAUAUUCCACGGGCUAUAUGGAAUCCUCUAUUGACUCGGUGGGGAAGCCCCCAACCUAAGUGUGGCUCAAGAGUUGGAGUGACUAAGUCUGAUACGCCACAGGGCACUAGGCUAGCGUAUAAUAAUAUACUCGGAUCGACAAAUCAAGGUUUUGGGCAAUGAGUUGUCUGAACUCAUGCCUUCUUCGAGGAACCACCUAAGCUCUCUUUAUGCCCAAUUUUUGUCCUAUUCUGAAUCAUGCAUUAUUCUAGUUUCAACAUCUGGAAAAUCUGACUUCAAACAUGCAUUCUAUUCUGUUCUGAAUUACCAUGGAAUUAUCUGGAUUGGUGUCAUCACACCAAGACUUGCAAGUCCUAUUUCUAAGCCAUAAUGUGCGUGAUGCAUGAUUCUUUCAUUAAAACAUAGUUCAGACCACCCAAACAUGCAAUUUAACAAAAGGAAUUCAUGUUCCGAAAACAUAAGUCAAAACUAUGCAAAAUUUCCAUCCUUUCAAUAAACAAGUGGUGGUCAUGUAAUCUUUAACAAACCAUGCAACCCUUCUCAUUAUAUUAUUAUGUUCAACAUUCAUCAACAUAAACAACCCUCUCUCUUUUGAAAUCAAAAUUAUAAUCCAAAUAUAACAUUAUUCAAGACAUUUCAUAACAUGCUUUUCAAGAUGCAUUCAAACGAUUUCAUAGUAUAUCAUAAGUAAAUGAAAAUCAUCACAGGAGAGCGAUUUUUCAUGAUUAUGCUCUCAAUUCAAUCAUCAACCUUAAAACUCGUGCAUACAAUAAAUAUAUAUAAUUUCAAAUCAAUUUGGGGGAAUGCCUAAAGGCCAAAACAAUAUCAUCAAUGCUUGUAAACCAUGGAUAUAUUCAUAAAUUGAAAAAACCCUUUCUUAAAAUCAAGAUUUCCAUACUCAUGAGAUUUUAGAAAAACCCCGCAUACCUUAAAUUAGAAUCUUUUGAAUGAACUCUAGCUUUUGGGAUGCUAUACGUAUGAUUGAUGGGUGCCUCUUGUAGCCCUUGCAAUGGAGAUUCCGAAUCUUAAAGAAUUAGGUAAAAUCCACGGUUAAAUCUUGAGAUAUUUGGGUUUUUAGUUUGAAAUGCUAAGGGUGAGUUCUUGAUGAAUUUGAGAGAAAAAAAAAAUCAUAUUUUGGUGUUUUAGGAGUUUAAUCUCGUGUUAUAGCUGGAUAAAGGAUGGAAGAUACCCAUUUUUCACUUAAAAUGCCGAAACAGAACCUGAAAUUUUGGUACGUGCGAUAGGGCGUGCAUCGCACGCUUAUAACAUGAUGCUACUGUCUCAGACUUAGGCUAAUUUGGUAUCGUUGGAAAGGUAAUUCGAAGAUCUUUCAUCUGAUAUAUAGUAGUCCCUAUACUUCAUUAUAUACAAAGAGUUAUUGUCGAUUAAAUUUGAUUUAAGUUUCGACGCUCACUCAAACUCAAAUGAUAGGAAAGCUUUCAACUCGUCCUUGAAAUAGGGGACCUCUAUGAUCUCAAUUCAUGCUUAAAUAGGUACAUGCACUACAUAAUUGAUUAACAUGCCAAAUUUGCAUAGGAUUUAUGGAUAUUGGAUCAUCUAUGCAUAGAAACGAAAUUUUUUAUUCUAGCCCAAAAUACGGGGAGUUAUAUUAUAUCCCUUUUAGGAUCAUUCGUCCCCGAAUGAUGGGUAGGAAUGUUGAAGUCUUAAAGGUAUGAAAUAAUGUGGACAUGAUAUGUCUUCUAAAAACAUUUAAAUUUCCAUCAUGAAAUUGAAUUCUGAGCUGACUUGCCCUUACUUGCUUUAACGAGCUGAUUCAUGCUGAGAAUUUAGGAUUCCCUUGAGGUGUUCAUGAUCCAAUCAUACGUAUCAAAUUAAGAAGUGAUAACUUAUGUAAGUAUGAAUCUUGAUACAACAAGAUUUAGAUCGUACAAAGGUAUUACAUUGUCUGAGCUAAAAUGCCUAGAAAGACUUGAGACUAUAGGCUGAAAUCUUAUGACCAGAGUCAUGACUAAAUAGUUGAAUCUGAAACAUGAUGUUCGAACUAAACUGAAUUCACAAUUUACAUAGAUGGAAUAGAUUAUCUCUUGGGAUGGUCAUACACAUGGGACUUUGGAUAGCAAGACUGGGUAUAAAUGUGGAAAACCACAGUAACUUGUGUGCCAGACUAUUAAAUGGAAUUGUUGGUUAUACUGGCUGAAUUAUACUUGAAACUUAUACUUAACUGGAGUAUCUCUUCAACACUCUUUCUAAAGAAGUUCUAGUAGAAUUCGGGAGAAAAGAAUCUUAGGCAUGAAUUACAUAAGACACCCAACUAAGGAAUCACAACAGUGACACUACUCUAUAGCAAGGAAUACAGACAUAUAACUCAUAAACUAGGAUAGAAUUACCAAGCCUUAGGCAAUACAACUUCUUACUUUCAAGCUUAGCGCACUUCUCGAAUACUCCCUUAACUAUAUUAUUCCCUUUAAAUACCAUACUCAUUUGAUUCAACUUAGAAUUCUUAUAUGGGCAUUGAUAAAUCUUUCUACUAAUGCCUAAAGUAACAUAAGUCCUCUCACCAUGAUCAAGCCUAACUUCAAAUCACAAAAUACAACAUGCCACACCACAAUACUAGUCUAAACAAUAUGAUUCAAUCUUCCAUAUAUAUUUUUUUUAGAAAUCACACCCUAAGCAUAUCGUGUCUUACCACUUCAAUGACUAACUCUAAUCUCUUACUACGGACUCACUAGCACAUAUUGCGUUCCUCCACUUAAAUCUCAACAUGUCAUUCAAGCCUAUCUUUAUAACCACAUAUGAACCCCAAGGCAAACACCCAUAAGGACAUACUUCAUGUAUUCUCUAAUCCACUAUCAAUAUAAAUCCUACGCGCUACCCCAAAAACAUACCCACACAAAUUUUCACUAACUAUCAAAUAUAUCAAAGACUUGGCCCUAGAUCUUACUUCAUACUUAUGGCCUUAUCUAAAACAAGCAUACUAUGAUCUUCUAUUAACAAGAAAUAUUUACUUAUCACCACUAUCAUCACAUAAGCAAGAGUCACUAAAAGGUUAGAACAUAAGACCUUGAAGCAUGGGAGGAUACUAUACAACACUUGACACUUAACUGAGGCCGAAGGAAUAGCAAAUCAACAUCAAAAAUUUAUCAAAGUGAUCUGAAUUGGGGCAUACAUGACUAUAAGUUGAAUCUCGUCAAUCAUAAAGAGUAUAGCAUGAAUUAUGGGAACUGGGCAUACUAUAAAGUGUAAGUACAUGAGUCAUGAGCUGCAUGACCUCAAUUUGAAGUUCAUAACAUAUGGAAUGAGUUUCUAACUACUGAAUGAAUUGGAACUCCUCAUUUUAGAACUAGAAAAGCACGUGAUUCUCUAUCAUAUACAUGAACAUGAAUUAUGAUCAUGGAACUAAAACGUAAGUAAUAAGUAGGUAUUGGGAUCACUGAAAAAUACUAAGAUAAGAAUGGGUUGAGUCUCACCCUCACUUUCUGAUAUUCUAUAUCAUACUGGCAUCACUACUAGAAUCUGAGAGCCUAACUUGGUUACUUGUUCUAUCAUCUCCCCCUUAGCUUUAAGCCAUUAUCUUAAGUUCGAGAGAUACCUUACUAAACUCUAAAAUGAACUACACUCACUGCACUCUAGGGUCUAGAAUAUGAUAAUACACAUAAUUAAUAGAACUUAACCCGAAUGGCUACACCUAGAAAGGGAAAACCCACUGCUAAUCCUACCUUCUGAGACACACUCUAUCUUUCUAUAUCCCCAAUAGUCAAUCAUAUAAUACUUGAACACUUACUAACUUUUAAUCCUCGUGAGUAUUUCCAUAGUCGGAGUACACACCCUAUAGCGCUUUAGCUCUUAUUUCUGUCGGUUCAACCUUCAAAAAUUCAAACUAGAUUAUAACACUUAAUCAUGGAUAUCACCAAUAAUUUGAUGAAUUAUACUACUAGCCUUUCUCCACUUAGCAACUCAACGUUACUACUAUGUUCACUAGCCACACGCAACAUGUAAUAGUCUUAGAAAAUGCCACAACUUUAUAUCACCUUAGGCAUACUUCUACCUCAUACAUACAACAUCAUACUCUGUUACUAAUCAAAUAAACUUAAUCUAUUGCAUACACCAUUCAAGUCUAUUAGAUCAUUUCUAUAUAACUAGUAUCAUUAACCAAGAAAUCAUCACAUCUACCUUUAAAGACAUCAACUACUCAAACUUAAUGUCUAGUACUAAGCAUGAUUUAUAACCCAACUUGACACACAAUUCUCACAAAACAUUCAUCAUUAAUCUUAAGCCAUUAUUCUUACAUCCACAUCCUACAUUUAAUUCAAUCCAAUAGUCUAGCAUCAAUCAUCUACCACCAAUGAAAAAGGCAACAUAAUAUACUAGUCUAUCAAAUUAGGACAUUCUAUCCAAAUACCUCAAAAAUCUACUACAUACCUUCUCACAAGUAGUACUAGUUUAUAACUACCAACGAAAAGAAAGUCAAGGGGGUAAAGUCACAUAAUAGACAUGGUCAACCUUAAUCUUAUAUUAUAACCCCAUACAAUCUUAUCUACUUAUACGGCUUUCUCAUAUCACACUUACUUACCCAAGCGUACAUUUAGACUACAUUCAAAUUCCACAAACAACCAUGAGUCUAUAAUUAUAACUUACUGGCUCAUCUAGCCAUUUUCAUACUUCAAGCACACAACAAUUCACAUUAACUAAUAACUCUUUCUCUAACUUCGACUAAACUAACACAUAAAGACGUAUCAAUUCAUUACCAACUCAAUCUCAUGCGAAAAGAUUCAACUAUAUAUAUAUUCAACCAACACAAGAAUAAUAAGUUGAAUAGCAAGUUACUAGUGAAUCGAAAUAGGCCUCACAUGGCUUCACUAGAAUUUGAUUUUUUGUUUUGAACAAGAAAAUGAAAUGAAUAACAAAGCAACUAUGCUAGUGAAUCGAAAGAGCCCCACAUGGCUUCACUAGACUUUGAUUUAUUUUUUUCAAAAACACUAUGAUAACAAGAUUACAUAUUACAAGAGAUAGAAAAUUGACACACAAUAUUCAAUGAUCUAAGGAUACACAUCUUACUCUGUAUAAAUAAAAAUUUGAGUCAAACACUUCCCUCAUAAACUACCAUACAAUCCACACAUGCAACUAGCUACCACAUUACUCUAUCAGUAUAAAGUGGUAAAUCAGCCUUAAACAUCGGUUAUUCAACUAAAAUAUUUAUUUACACAAAAGUUACCCUCACUCUGACUUCUAACUUUGUGACAUCAUAUCACCAACCUCUUGGUCUAAUGUCACUAACAAUAGGUCAUGAUAUCGACACUUUAACUCAUACUACUAAUCGGGUAGAAAUAUAGCUCCAACAUUCUGCUACACAUCAUUCCCUCUGAAGCAUGACAUCGGCAACAUAAAUUUUUGAAAAGAGUACUCUUAAUACCGCUGGACAGAAUACUCUUAAUACCACUAGACGAAAAGGACGAUUUCAUCAGAAUCAAAGUUCACACAAAAAUCAAUACACUCUGAAGCACUAACGGACUCUUCUCAAGUCCUUGAAUAAAUUUUAAACUCUUAUAUGGCUCAAUAAGAAAGGACCAUACCAUUUAGACUCUAAACUUCUGCACUUUAAUCACCCUAAUAACGAGACAUAUGUGGGCACAUCAAAGUAAAGAAAGAAUUGGGACAACUUUACUUUCAUAUGUGAAACAUCAUAGCACAAAUUAGAGUAUGGAAGAUAAAUAUUUCGAAUCAAUAGUACGAACUAGAACAUGAAUAAAGGGAAGCAUCCCUAAAAGCCUAGUAGCCUCCUACUUAUAAGUAUGGCGCGCUACACACCCAUAAACAAGACUCUACUCGACGCAACUUUGUAGACACCCUGGGACUAUGAACGUGCUCUGAUACCAAUUUUGUCAUGACCCAAAUUAGGGCCCUGACCGUGAUGGACAUCCCAAACCAUGAAAGCCCAAGAGCCCUUCUAACUUGUAAUCAUAUACACCAUUCAUAUAUAAAAUAGAAAUGUGGAAAUAAAAUCUACUACAAAUACAUGAUCAUAAUCUAAAUUUAGUUGAACAAUGAGGAAUAAAAUCCAAUAUCAAUUAAACACCGUCUGAAAAUCAUCUAUGAAAUCUUUACUACAUUAUCAAAUAACAGCUAUGUGAAAACUGGGUCAAGGCCCCAAUAAACCAAAACUAUAAUAAAUAAUAAAUGUCUGAAAGAAACUAGCCCUACUGAAAUAUAAAAGGCUCAUCAACUGGUACUCUUCACUCCUAUCUGAUGAAAUCUAAUGCUUAUCAGGACCCCUAGAUUGUGCCUCAGAACCUGGAGGGAGGGGGAUCAAUACAGAUGUAUUGGUACGUAGAGCAAUCCAAAAUAAAUCUUUUAUACAAUAAAAAUAGUUGAGAGCUAGUCAUAAACAUCAUGAAAUAUAUAAUUUUCUAAACACAUGGGUAUUUUUGAAGAAAACAUAAAAAACCUUUCUAUCAAAAGUAGUUUCUAAUCUUUGUAUUGCUUCUAAGUUAGGUAGCACUCCCUACAAGUCUAAUAUUCCAUGGGCUAUAUGGAAUCCUCCAUUGACUCCGUGGGGAAGACCCAAGUGUCCCGUAAGGGUUGGAAUAUCUGAGUAUGAUAUGUCAUAGGGCACUAGGUCGGCAUAUAAUAAUAUAGCCGGAUCGACAAAUUACGGUUUUAGGCAAUGAGUUGUCUGAACUCAUGCCUUCUUUGGGGAACCACCUAAGCUUUUUUUAUUCCUAAUUUUAUUCUGUUCUGAAUCAUGCAUUAUUCUCGUUUCAACAUCUGAAAAAUCUGACUUCAAACAUGCAUUCUAUUCUGUUCUAAAUUACCAUGGCAUUAUCUGGAUUAGUGAUGUCACACCAAGACUUGCAAGUCCUAUUUCUGAGCCACAAUGCAUCAUGCAUGAUUCUUUUAUUAAGACAUAGUUCAGACCACCCAAACAUGCAAUUUAACAAAGGGAAUUCAUGUUCUAAAAAGAUAAGUCAAAAUUAUACAAAAUUCCCAUCCUUUCAAUAAACAAGUGGUGGUCAUGUAAUCUUUAACAAACCAUGCAACCCUUCUCAUUAUAUGAUUAUGUUCAACAUUCAUCAACAUAAACAGCCCUCUAUCUGUUGAAGUCAAAAUCAUAAUCCAAAUAUAACAUUAUUCAAGGCAUUUAAUAGUAUGCUUUUCAAGAUGCAUUCAAACGAUUUCAUAGUAUAUCAUAAGUAAAUGAAAAUCAUCACAAUAGAGGGAUUUUUCAUGAGUCAUGCUCUCAAUUCAAUCAUCAACCUUAAAAUAUAUGCUUACAAUAUAUAUACAUAUAAUUUUAAAUCAAUUUUGGGGAAAGACUAAAGGACAAAACAAUAUAAUCAAUGCUUCUAAAGCAUGAAUAUAUUCAUAAAUCUAAAAAAUUCUUUCUUAAAUCAAGAUUUCCAUACCCAUGAGAUUUUAGGAAAACCUCACGUACCUUAAACUAAAAGCUUUUGAAUGAACUCUAUCUUUUGGGAUGCUAUACGUACGAUUGAUGGGUGCCUCUUGUAGCCCUCGUAAUGGGGAUUCCGAAUCUUAAAGAAUUAUGAAAAACCCACGGUUAAAUCUUGAGAUAUUUGGGUUUUUAGUUUGAACCCUAGGGUGAGUUCUUGAUGAAUUUGAAAGAAAAGAAUCAUACUUUGGUGUUUUAGGAGUUUAAUCCCAUGUUAUAGCUGGAUAAGGGAUGGAAGAUACCUAUUUUUCCCUUAAAAAUGCGGAAAUAGAACCAAAAAUUUUGGAGCAUACGAUAGGGUGUGCGUUUCACGCUUAUCAUAUGAUGCUACUGUCUCAGUCACUAAAAUGACCAUAAAUUUUUGCUUGCGUAUCAGAUUUAGGUGAAAUUGGUAUCGUUGGAAAGAUAAUUUGAAGUGCUUUCGUUUGAUAUAUAAUUAGGUCUUCUAAUUCAAUAUAUACAAAGAGUUAUGGUCAAUUGAAGUAUACCCAAGUUUUAACUCUCACUCAAACUCGAAUGAUAGGAAAGCUUUCAACUCUUCCUUGAGUUAGUGGACCUCUAUGAUCUCAAUUCAUGCUUAAAUAGUUUCACACGCUACAUAAUUAAUUAACCUGCCAAAUUUGCAUAGGAUUUAUGGAUUUUGGAUCAUCUAUACAUAGAAAUGACAUUUUAUUCUAGCCUAAAAUGUGGGUAUUACACCACUAAAAAUGAAUUUAAACGAAGCAUAAGUACAUCUUUUAAGCAAAGAUUGAAACUUUAUCUAUAAUAAUCAAAGAAUAACGUUAAAAAGGAGAAACAAUCAAUGUUAACUAUUUAUUUCAACAUAAAGGAAACAACUUUACCUGAUAAAAAUAAACAUAUUCACCAACAAUGAAUUUAAAUAAAGCAUAAGUACAUCUUUUAAGUAAAGAUUGAAACUUUAUCUAUAAUAAUCAAAGAAUAAAGUCAAAAAGGCACAUACGACUAUUGCUAGAUCAUUUUUAUACCAUGAACAUGAAAAUAACCAUAAUAUCGAUACCAAACGUCCUAUGGCCUUCAAGGCCAUCUACAGCAAACAAUUCCAGCAAAUAAAUUUAUAACUAUGAACUACGAAGAAGAAAAAGAUGAAGAAGAAGAAGAAAAAGAUAAUAAAACUAGAAAAAAAGGUGUGUUUACCUUUUUGGGGCAGUAAAAUAGGACUACAAGCUUUCUUCGGUGUCUUGAUCACCGCCGGAAAGCAUUCAACUUGAGAACUUCAAUUAUCCCACGAAUUUCAUGGAAAAGGAAAAAUUUAUACUAAAAUAAAAACUCUUUUUUUCACAAAACUUUUUUUUUCCAACCUUGAGACUUGGUCUAUCUACCAAAAUAGUGGUAGUAUUUAUAGGAAUGGAUGAGGAUUCCAUUCUUUUCAUACAUCAAAGUGGGAGAGAUAAUUAAGGGUUUUUUUUAGAAUUUUAAAAAAAUUGAAGUUAAGGUGAGGUGACAGAUAAGGUGGGGGCAAAUUGUACAAUGUAGCACAAUUUUUGAAUUUAAAAAUUGAAAAAGGGACAAGGUUGAGGAGGGGAUUGUACAAUGUACUACAAUUUUUGAAUUUAAAAAUUUGAAUUUGAAAAGAGAAUUUUGAAAAAAAGGGACAAGGUUGGGGGAAAUUAUACAAUAUAGUACAAUUUUUGAAUUUCAAAAUUGAAAAAAAGGAUAAAGAUGAGGGGGAAUUGUACAAUCUAGUACAAAUUUGAAAUUAUUUUUGGUGGGAAUUGGAUAGAAAAUAUGACUUUUUCGGAAUUUUGGGGUUAUUUAAAAUAUAACCCCAAUUGGGAUUUAAAAUUUAACAAAAUUUAUUUAAUUUUGACAAAAUUAAAAAUCAAUUGGCGGAUUGCAUUGCAAUAAUGGCCAAUUUGAUUUCAAUUAUGGACAAAUCUAAUAGAUUGGCUAAAUUAAAUUGAAAUUCGAUACGUAUUAAUACUUCUUUUAAUCCCGAGCUUCUUCAUUUUAUAAAAUCAAACACAUAUUCAUUCAAAUAAAUUAAUUUUGAGAACUAAUUUUAUUUAAAUCAGUACUAUAUCCGUUUAGAUUAAUUUUCAAGUUUAAUUAAUAAAAGUCCAAUUUUGAUAAAAAUAUUUAUUUAAGUAAAAAAAUUUGUACAAUUUCACAUAUGUAAAUACGAAAACAUAUAAUCGUCAAUUAUAUGACAAAAUUAACCCAAUCAACUAUUUUAGAGCACAUUUAACCGAAUAAAAUAAAUAUUUCAACUCUAUUAAAAAUUGAAAAAACUCAGGGUUAAAUUUAGUCGUGGAGAGCAAAAAUUAGGUGUCAACAAGCAUAACACGAAUUCAACCAACCCAAAAUGACAUCAAAUUAUCAUAUCUAGUCCAAAUAGAUCCACCAAAGUUUCUUUGAUACCAACAGAUACCACACACACCCUAUAGACUCUUCUAGUAAUAAUAGAUUCACCUAUUGGGUAGAAACAGAUAAAGGAUUUGAAAGACACUCGAGACCAAAACCAAAAUGCAUAGCCACAAAUAGGGUCACUUAAGAGAGAGUAGACCUUGGAUCAAGUAAAUAAUAUGCAUCAUGAGAGAAAAGUUUCAACAUACCUAUAACGACAUCGGGAGAUGCCUCAGAAUCUUGUCGGGACAGAAGAGCACAUAAUCGAUUCUGUCUAGUGGUGGUACCAGAAGCAGAAACAGAUACAGAAGCAGCACCCUUGGGUACAGGAACAGAUGAAGAGGCAACCGAGACCUUGUUUGCCCCAGAAUCCAUUCUAACACGACAGGCACGCUGCAUAUGACUAAUCUGACCAUAGUAAAAACAUAUGCUCUUUUCUUCCUCAUAGACCCCACAGUAUGACCGCUCAUAAAAUUAUAAGAAGGGUGAGAUAGAGGCGACUGAGCCUCACUAGCCUGAGAUUAGGCACCUUGUUCCCGAUACCCACCAUCAUGCUGAGACUGACGAUCACUCGAUGGCUUCGGGUUAGGAGCACUAACUAUGGAGAAAGAACCAGAACUCCCCCACUUCUUCUUUGGUCACUUACCAUAAUCUCUACCACCCUACUCAAAAGGCCUAAAAUUUUUUCUUUGCUUUUUACUAAACUCCACCUUCUUCUCUUUCUCUUUCUCCACAUGCUGUAUGUACACCACCAACCUAAAGAUGUCCAUAUCUUUGAUGGACAAAACAGUCUUACACUUAUGGAUCAACUCAGGAGACAGGCCCGAAGCAAACUUAGACAUUCUAGCCCUCAUGCUAGGACCAACUCAGGAGCUUACCUAUACAGCAAAUGAAAUUUCAAGGCAUACUCCUUGACAAGUAUCUAACCUUACCUCAAAUUCACAAACUCUUCCAUUUUUGCCUCCCUCAACUCCUGAGGAAAGAAGUAGUCUAGAAACACACCAGAAAAAUCCUCCCAUAAGGCAGAACAAGCAUCUUCUCCCCUCGAAUAUUCCCACUCUUCGUACCACUGGUAUGCCACAUCCUUCAAUUUGUAGGCAGAAAACUCAACACCUUCUACCUUUGAAGCAUGCAUAAUCUGGAAGAUAUUUUCUACUUCAUCAAUAAAACUUUGAGGAUCCUCCUUACCCUUAUACUGGUAAACAUAGAGGGAUGUAACCUCAUAAAUUAGUUAACCCUUGUGGCCUCAGAAGAUAAAGUUAUAGGAAUACCAUAUUCAGACUCAGAAGCUACCAACUGAGUAAACAGGUUAAUGAAGUGAUGAAACUCAGCAUUAGUAGCCUCCCCUUGAGGCUACUGAGUAUGAGUAUCGCCCUCAGGAGUAGGAUUAGUGGGAGAGGUGGAACCCUACAAGGAAAGUCAGAUGUAGUGACCCUUGAUCGGGUUUCGACUCUAGAGGUAGAGCGCAUCCCAUCAACAUAGUACCCAGUUGGUAUGAAGGUGUUUGCAUAAAUAUCAAAUCUUCUUUUAGUUAAGAUCUCAAAGACAAACAAAUAAAAAUUAAAAGGAUCCAAGGCCUUAGACUCUAUAACUUGAAAUAAGACAACAAGAAAGUGAAACAUUUCUAAAUGUCUUAUAUCCUCUCUCUCUCUCUCUUAUAUAAGUGUGGCGUGCUACACACCCAUAAAAGAGACUCUACUUGACACGACUAUAUGAAUACCCAAAUGACUAUGAACCUGGAAUUGAUACAAACUUGACACGAUUGGAACCAUGGCCUUGUCGUAAUGAGAAUCUCAAGCACAAUAAGGGCCAGAGAAUACCCUGUUACCUAAUUAAAAUACCCUGGAUUCCUGAACCAUAGAAAAAUUCCUAGAUUUCUAAUCUUUGUAUAGGAUAUAACUAAGGGAAAUAACUUGUACACUAGGAUAUGAGUGGUAUAGGUUAGUCGUAUGUUGACCAGUAUUGGUUAGUGGGUUGGAUUUAUGUUUUAGAAUGAAUACGACUUGGGUGGUAUGAGUCAAAUCAAUGGAUAUGGGUUGUCUGGUUACAUCACUUAAUCUUAGACUUUGUAUACUAAGUUUGAUCUGAGUAUGAGUGGCUUACCAUGAUUCAUAAGACAGGGUAUAAGUCGUACUAUGGACUCAUAUGGUGGGAAGUGUUUAAUCCUCUUUAGAUUCUAUUCUAUCAAGGGUACAGAUCAUGGAUACUAGUCAUAUACUUGGAUACAACAUGGUUUGGGGUAACUCAUACCUUUGACAGUAUUGGUUCUAAGAGAUAUGGUGGUUACCACUCGUAUUAGAGGGUACGAUUGGUAUGGAUAGUCUUAUCCUUAUGACGAGAUUUUGGUGCAAUUUAGGUGAGGGAAAUCUGAAUAUUUGUCCACUUAACCUAAUAAGGCCCCAUGACUUUUAAUUCACUUAGGAGGUUAUUUUCCUUAUUAUCCUAUUCUUUAACACUUAUAAAAACACUCUCUAACCCUCUCUAAUGUUCUUGGGCAAUGAAAGCUAGGAUUUUAUCUUAAGGAUUUAUUUGGGGCUUGUGUGGGUGAUUUCUCUCCAUCAUCUUCUUUGUUUAAGACAUAUUCUCUUCCCUCAUUGUUAGUUCCAACUAUAGGCAUGGUUUUAUAUAAUUUUUUGAUGGUUUAAUGAUCUAAUGGGUUUGGGUUUCAAAUAUAAUAUGGGGGUUUUGGUUAUAAAUGCUUGGUUAUGGUUUUUCCAUGUUUUAAUUAUACUUUUAUAUACUUUAAUGGUGGUUUUGGAUAAUUGGUUGCAUGGGAAUGGUUAUUUAGUAAUUGACUUUGGUUUUGGAAAAACUAUGCCCCUAAUAUGUUUGAUAAAAUGCCUAUGAGAAAGUUUUCAUUACAUUGUUAGAUCUUUAGUGGAACAAUUGCACGGUUUGAACUUGGUAAUGGAACCCUAAAUGGUCUAAAAUUUUGGAAUAGUUAAAUAGAAUGGUUUGGUUUAAUAAAUAUCCUUUUGGGUACAAUGAAAUCCCCCAAGUAAUCAUACUAAUGGAAGACAUGUAGGGUAUAUGGGCCUGCCUCAAGUUAAUUGGAUAAUGUGAUCUAUAGGUACAUGGGAAUGCCUUGAUCUCAAAAAGGUUUGGCUAAGGACAAUACUUACAAGUUAUAUUCGGUAUGACUGUACCACUAUUAAUAGCCUUAAUAAGUGAUAAAUGGUAUAAUGGAUUGGUUGUUUAGAAAUGGUUUUAAUUAGGCACUAAUGGCAGGGUGUGAUAGUUAAUCAAGAAGGUGGGAGUUCAAUGAAUGAACACUGAAAACUCAUGUUUUCCGGUAUGAGGGGUAGAUCAUGGAGAUCUUAUAUAAUACUAUGAGGUAAAUGGAAAUCCUCUAAGUACAAAGUGCAUAUUUAUCAUGAAGGGUAAGGGUACUUAGAAAUUCUUUACUAUAAUGGUAUCUCUGGUUCACGUGGAUAUACUCUUCGGGUCCCAUUCAGGGGGUUACACUAGACUUAUAUAGUCCAUGGCUGGUUAAGGACUAUUAAACUACACAUACCCAAGUUAAUGGUUUUAAAUGCAUGCUAAACUCGAUUCUCUUUCCCAACAUGGUUAUAUGUAUGUACAUAUAUGGUUUGUAUGCAUACGAAUGGUUUACUUGGUUUCAUUCUAGUAUUCAUCUGCUAACCCAUCUUUGGGUAGCUGUAUCCCCACGCGAUGCAAGAACCGACCAUUCUACUCUUCCUGCUUAGCAUUCAAACAUUUAAGGUCAGCUUUUGGAUUGAAGUGGUGAGCUUUUAUCUUUUUGAAAGGCUCCAUUUUAUAGAUAUUAUUUCAUAGUUUAUUUUAUUUAUGGAUAUUAGUUUUGGCUAUGGUUGGGAGCAUGUCCCAACUAUAUUUUGGUAUUCUUUUGUUUAGAUGCUUUUGUGGAACUACUAUGGGUUGGUAUAAGCGGGAUCGAUAUUGGUGUUAGCCUUAGUAUUGGCAUUGGUAUUGGGCUGACACUGGUGGACUAAAUUUCUUACUAUUCCAUCCUCUUUUAUUUUAGGAUUAUAUAUUAUUAUUAUGUAACUCAUAUAGUCAUGGCUUGGGUUAUGGUUUGGUUGGUUUGGCUAUUGGUUGGGUUCAAACGGUUGGACUCGGUUGGGUCGGUAUCGGUUAUAGAACUAUCCUAGAGUCUUGAUUUGGAUAGUUAUGUUAUUUUGUUAUAUGUUCAAAAUUCAGCCAACUUAGGGUAGGCGGCUGGAGGUUGGGUUAGGUAAUGAGGGUGGUCUUCAGUCCCGAUCAGACUUGGGAUGCCUAUUAGGCUAUUAUGAUUGGGUCAGGUCAUGUCAAGUUGGUAUCAGAGCUUUAGGUUUAUGGUCAAUUAGGGGUCUAUAAAGCCGUGUCUAGUAGAGUCUCUUUUAGGAGUGUGUAACGUGCCACACUCAUAAGAGAAAGGCUAUAAGGCAUUUAGGAAUGUUUCACUUUCUUGGUGUUCUAUUUUCAAGCUUGGAGUCUAAGUCCUAGAAUUUCCUCUAAUCUUUGUUUGUUCACUUUUUAGAUCAUGCCUCGAUGAUCUGGAACACAAGGAAAUUCUUUUAUCCCAUCUGGGAUGAUGUUGAUGGGGUACGCCCUACACCUGGAGUUCGCACUCAAUCUUAAGGUCCUAUCCCUAAUUGUUCUAGAGUUUCUUCUGUAGCUACUAGUCCUCUUUAAGUUGAGGUGACUAAUGCAAAAUUUCUUAUGUCGAUUCAUGUUAUUGCACAGGCUGAGCGGGAUACAUAUGGUAUUUUAUCUGUUGAGACCAAUAGGGUUAGCCAAUUCAUGAAGAUGAAUCCUUCUACUUUUACUGGAGUAAAGGUGGAGGAAGAUUCUUAGGGUUUCUUAGAUAAAAUGGAGAAGAUAUUCAGGGUGAUGCAUACCACAUAUGUGGAAAGGUAAAAUCUACAGCUUAUUAGCUUAAGGAUAUUGUGUACUAAUGAUAUGAGGAGUGGGAUAGGGAUAAAGUCGAUGUUGAGGAGUUGUCCUUAUGGGAGGCCUUUUCUAAUGCUUUUCUAAAUUGCUUCUUUCCAUAGUAUUCGAGAGAAGCAAAGAUGGAAGAAAUUGUGAAUCUUAAGCAGGGAAAAAUGUCUGUCAAGGAAUAUGCCUUGAAAUUUCAUCAGUUGUCAAGGCAUGCUCCAUCUUUGAUGGCUGAUAUGAGAGCAAGGAUAUAAAAUUUAAAUUUUGGCUAUCUCGAGAUUUGAUCCUUAAAAGAAAGACUACUUUGAUGAUUUAGGAUAUGGAUAUUUUGAGGUUGGUUAUCCACAUGCAGCAGGUGGGGGAUGAAAAGAAGAAGUAAGUAGAGUUUGGGGAAAAGUAGGGUAGGAGGAGCAGGUACUCUGAGUAGGGUGGUGCUCAAAAAUAGGGUGGUCGAGAUAGCAGUAAAUGGUAAAAGAAGAAGUGGGAGAGUUCUACUUCCUUCUCCACUGUUAGCGCUCUUUACCCGAAGUAGCCGGGUGACUGGCGUCUGUAAGGUAGUGAUAACUUUCGGGCACAAGGCGCCCAAUCUCAGGUGAGUGGGGCAUAAUUGGCUUCUUCGUGUCCUCCUUGCCAGUUCUAUGGUCGUUUUCAUCAUGGAUUUUGUGACGAAGGAAGGGACAGGUAUUUUAAAUGUGGCCAGCCAAGCCAUAUGCUCAAAAACUAUUUGGUUGGUAAGGGUGCUUCGGGUGCGGUCAAAGAUCUGGUUGCUUCAUUCUUCUACUCCUGCGCCUAGUGGUGUGGCUUCGACGUCUACUCCUGUUUCUGGUACUAACACUGUCCAAAAUAGGUUAUAUGCUCUUCUAUCUAGGCAAAAGUCUGAGGCAUCUCAUGAAAUCGUUACUGAUACAUUACAACUCAUUUCUCGGGACAUCUAUUAUCUGCUUGAUCUGGGGUCCACUUUUUCCCAUAUGACCCUAUGUGGUUGUAUGUUUUGGUUUUGAUCCUAAGGUUGUUUUGAAUCCUCUUAACAUUUCCACCCUGGUAGGUGACUCGGUUAUUACUAAAAGAGUUUAUAGGGGAUAUGUGGUAUCUAUUAGUAGCAAGCAGACCUUGGUAGAUCUGUUUGAGCUAGAUAUGGUGGAUUCUAAUGCUAUUCUGGGGAUAGAUUAGUUACACUCUUGUUACAUGUCCUUAGAUUAUCGGACCCGUAAAGUUGUCUUUAGGUUCCCUAGUGAAUCAGUUAUAGAGUGGGAGGGUGGUUCCCUAGCUCCUAGGGGGAGGUUUAUUUCUUAUUUUAGAGCUCAAAGACUAAUCUCUAAAGGAUGUCUUAAUCACUUGGUCCGGGUUAAAGAUUCUAACUCGGAGGGUCUUUUUUACUCAGUUCUGGUGGUAAGUGAGUUUCCUGAGAUCUUUCUAGAUGAUCUUCCUGGUGUUUCUCCGAAUAGAGAAAUCGAGUUUGGUUUUGAUUUGAUUUUGGACACUCAUUCAAUAUCUAUUCCUACUUAUACAAUGGCUCCAGCUGAGUUGAGGGAACUCAAGGAGCAACUUAAGGAUCUUCUAAUAAAGGUUUUACCCGGUAAAGUUUAAAAAUAGUUUUUCUUCUAUUUGAACGUCCAUUUUGACUCAAUUUGACUUGAUUUUUCAGCUGUAGAUUUCUAAAAAUGUGAAGAACAUAUUUUUAAAGUAAAUUUCUGAUUUUGCCCUUCUUUUUUGGAAACCCAUUCUAGGGGUCUGUUUUGACCCUGAAUCAAAAAUAGUCAAUGUGGGUGUCAUUGAUUUUGUUUUGAUGUGUAGACUCUAUAUUUGAUGUUUUUAUUAGAGUUCAAGAUUAUUCAUAAAAAUUAAGGUUGUGGAUUCAAAGUGUAGUAGAUCAGUUUCGGUUUUUGAGGUAGAUUAUGGCUUAAAUCUUUCAGAUUGGGUUAGGUAGUAAAUAAUGGUAUAAAAUACAUGUUAAGGGUAGGAACUAAUCAUCAAAAAUGGAUAUCUAUGUGUUUUUCCCGUAUGGGUCCUAUAUGUGAUGUAAUUAUCGAAAUUGAGAUAUUAUGUGAUAUGUGUGACUGUGUAGGGUCCUAUGUGAUAUUGAUAGUCUUGAAUACAUAUGAAUAAUUGCAUUGUUUAAGAUGGUUAAUGUGGUACCAUUGGUGUAUUGUGAUUAUAUUCAUAGUUUAUUAGCAUAUGAGACAUGUGGAAAUUCAUGAAUGAAAUGGAGAUAAUGAGUGAAUAUUGGCUCAAGUAGUUGUGGAAAUGUAUCAUUGUGGUUGGUUGUGGAAAUCAUGUGGUUGGUUACGGAAAUAUAUCAUUUGGUUGGUUGUGAAAAUACUCAUUGUGAUUGGUUGUAAGAAUUACAUCUUCAUAUCAUACUCAUUCAUGAAACAUUGGUACCACCGUGGCAACAUCUGAGAAACACUGCAACACCUGAUAACACCUUUUUAAGGAAUAUACCAGAAAGAAGAUAUGAUAUAUAUGGAUUGUAUACAGGUUAACGAAUCCUCAUAGGUCCUAUGUUGGGAGGCUUUCCUCCAUAGGUCUAAACAGAGAUUNNNNNNNNNNNNNNNNNNNNNNNNNNNNNNNNNNNNNNNNNNNNNNNNNNNNNNNNNNNNNNNNNNNNNNNNNNNNNNNNNNNNNNNNNNNNNNNNNNNNNNNNNNNNNNNNNNNNNNNNNNNNNNNNNNNNNNNNNNNNNNNNNNNNNNNNNNNNNNNNNNNNAUCAUCAUCAUAUACAUUGCACUUACUUUAUUGUAUUUAUUAUUGCCAUAUUGACUUGCUAUUUAUGUAAUUGUCUUAUCUUCUUUUACUUAUAUUUGAUGAUCUUGUAUAUGCAUGGUACCUCUUGUUCUACUUAUAUGUGAUAUAAUGCAUACUUGUGUUCUAUCUGAUUGUGAUGUUGCAAUGUAUGUGAUAUAUUAGAAUUGUUAGUGCAAGCGGUGUGGGAUAUCGUUGUGGGACAUUUUCUGAUUGCAGGUGACAUGCCCUUAGUGUAUAUUUUGUAUGCUUUAUUUACUACUUUUCUUGGUCAGCCUAUGAUACCUAUUGAGUAAAAGUGGAUCGUUUUCAUGCCUACUGCUCCCUUUUGGUGCAGGUCCUAGCUCGAGUGCGCCUCAGCUUGCUUGACUCGAACGAUUGUUGGAGCUUCCAAGGUAGUGGUUGGACAUUUAUGCGUUCGGAGUUCACCUUUAUCUUUCUAUAGUAGUUAUGUCUUUAUUAGUAUUUAGAAACAAAUAUUAUUUCUUUGUGGUUAUUUUCUAAAGUAUUUGACUCCUGGAUUGUAUUUGUAGUUCUUAAACUAUUGACACCUGAUUUUGGGCAUGAUUGGUAUUUUGGAUAAGUUUUUUCCGCAUUGCUAUGAUUAGUUGUAUGGUUCGGCUUCAUUCUCUUACCUUGAGCAUUUCUAUCCUUUCCUUUUUCCUUGUUUUAUCAGUUUGAGUGAUAGACUUACUUGUCAAGGUAUGCUGCUACAAGUAUCAUCAUGACCCUUAUUUUUGGAACGUGACAUUUUUAUUCCACACAACACUCCUAUAUAUAGAUAGAUAAUGAGACAUCAAAUUAUAUUGGACAAUACAUGCAAUAUCUAAGUAACUCGUUUAACCGUAGAAUAUGUCUCCGUUUAUCACUACUGUCUGGUUUACAUUAGACAAUAAAUGCACUACAGCAUUCAUCACUACUUUCUUGUUUAGAUACUGUCACUUAUCCAUAACAUUACUCCGAUCCGUACUCUUCUAUUGUUGGAUUAAUGUAUGGUGCCAUCGUAGCUCCGACAUGAAAACGUAGUAGUACCAUGUAAAGACAAUUUUAUAGCGUAGUUAAUUGUUUGUUUUUGUUUGCACCACAAAAUCUUUGGAAGGAAAGAAUUGAAUUCCAUUUUCUUCCCCUAGAUAGUUAUGCUUCCGAAAUCAUUGUCUUCUUUGACCCAUACAACAAUUUUUCUAUAUGUUUAGAUUUAAAUAUAAAUGAAUCAAAUACUUUAAUAUAAAUUUAAUAUUGAUGUGUUUUAUAUAAGGAAGAGAUAUAUGUUAGAGAUAUAUAUGUUAGAAUUGUUAGAAUUAAAAUAGAGUUAGAGCUAAAACAAUUUACCUACAAUUAAAUUAAUUAUGCGAAGACCAUUUAAAAAUAGAGAAGCUUUUAGAAAAAUUAAAAUAUCUUUAAUUAGUAACUAUUCAGAAUAUAUAAGUCUAAAUAAAACAAAAGAAAAUCCACAAAAAUUAACCUACUUGAUUACAUUAAUAUCUAGUAUUGAAUCAAAACUAAUAACACAUUUAAAAUCUAGAAGAAUGAAACAUAUACCACCUAAUUAUGAUAAAAUUAGAUUUAGAUAUCCACCGAGAUAUUAUAAAUAUAAUUUAAAAUGAAUAAAAUACAACAAUAUAAAGAAUUAAAACAAAUUAUCUCUGAAAAACGUAAAGAAUUAAAAAUAAGAAUAGAAAGACUAAAUUAUAAUAUAUUUGCCGGAGUUAGUAAAAAUUCAAUAGAUACACAAAAAGAUGAAAUAUCAAAAUUAGAAUCACAAAUAGAUAGUUUAGAAUAUGUAUAUCAACAUGACCUAUUCACAAUAAAAUGAAUAAAGAAGAAUUUAUAAUAGAUGAAAAAAUAUAUGAAAACUACGAAGGAUCAAAAAUAAAAAUAGUAUUUUCUAAUCUAGGACGAAGAUAUAAGAAAAUAGGUGAACAUUUGUAUUUAAUGUUAGAAAAAGAAGAAUUGAAAUUAGAAAAUAAAUUAACAGCAAUGGUAAGAAUAGAAAAAGAAAAUGAAGAGAUAGAUAGGAAAAAAGAAAUAGAAAAAAUAAAACAACAAACUACGGAAGAAAUACGAAAAAUAGAAGAAACCAAAAAUAGUAGAAUUGCUGAAUUAGAAAAAGAAUUACAAAUGUUAAAAGAACUGUAUGAACAAAGACAAAAAGAAAAAGAAGAAAAAGAUAGAGAACAAAAAUUACUAAAUGAGAUAAAUCAAUUUAAGGAAAAAUUAGAAAUAAAAAACGAAGAAUUAGAAAUAAAUAACAUAGAUAUUGAAGAAACAGAUAAUUAUGAGUCCGAAGAUAGUGAAACAUACACAGAAAUAUUAACAAAUACAAAAAAUGUAGAAAUCAAUGAAGAACAAAACGAAAUUAAUGAAGAAAACUUAGAAAAUACCCACACAGAAAUAAAUACUCUUGAUAAAAAAGAAAAUGAAAAUAUAAUACCUAAAACAACAGAAAUAAGAAAACCCAUAUAUUAUAAGAAUAAGUUUAAAAAAUAUAAUGAAUAUGAUAAAUGGAUACCAAAACAAAUAGUGAAUAAAAAUUAUAACUUUUUAGAUCUAGACUGUGUAAUAGAUACAGAAAAAACAAUACAAUUAUGGAUAGGAUAUAUGACAAAACAAUUAUUAGAUAAUAAUAUAAAUAUAACAGAUGCACCGGAAUAUAUAGAAAAAACACUAAUAGGAUCAGUAAAACUAUGGUUUGCAAAUCUAACCGAAAAUAGCAAAAAAGUAUUAAGAACUAAUAAACCUAUAGAAGGAACAUCAUCGACAACAACUAAACUAACACCUAUAGAAUUAUUAAAAAAAUAUGAAACAGCUAUAAAAGAUGAAUUUGGUAGUACGACAACAAUCGAAGAAGAACAAAAUGAAGAAAAAGAUACAAAUAGAAAUUUAAUGUUAAAAUUAGCAAUAUGUAAUAUGUGUUAUAUAGAUGAAUAUACUUGCGCAUUUAAAGAAUAUUAUUACAAAGGAGCAUAUAGUAUAGAAGAAAGUAAAGAAAUAAGAAAAUUAUAUUUUAAUAAAUUACCCGAGCCAUUUAGUUCGAAAAUAAUAAAAAGUUGGGAAGAAGCAAAAAUAGUAGAUACGUUAGGAGCAAGAAUAAAAUAUUUACAACAAUGGUAUAGAAACUUAUGUGAAAAAUAUAGAGAAGAAUUAAAAAUGGAAAAAACAUUAAUAAGAAAUUUAGCUUGUUGCAAAAAUAAAAUAGCACCCCAAUUUGGAUGCGAAGAAAGAUAUUAUAAGAAAAGAAAAAGACAUAAGAAAUAUAAGAAAUAUAAAAAAUCAAAAUAUAAAUAUAAAAAACCAAGAAAAAGAUACUAUGUAAAAAAUUAUAAACAUAAAAGACCAUAUAGAAAAAAGAAAUCUAUAAAAGAAUGUACUUGUUAUAAUUGUGGAAAGUUAGGACAUUUAGCUAGAGAUUGUAAAUUACCUAAAAAUCCAAAAAAUAAACAAAUAUCAGAAAUAAAAAUAGAAAAUACCGAAUACAUGCAGAUAGAUUAUAUAGAUUAUGAAUUAGAAAGUGAAGAUAGUAUAUAUGAAAUUUCAGAAAACGAAACAGAUAAUGAAAUAGAUAGCGAAAUAGAUGAAUCAAAUGACUGAAGAAGAUAUAAAAAUAAUAACAAAGGAAGAAUAUUUAAAUGAUGAAGGAACGGAACAAAAAAUAAUAUUUGACAGUAAUAUAUUUGAUGAAAUAAAAGGAAAAGAAUUAGAUUUAAGUGUAGACAAAAUAUUUAAAAUACCAACAAUAAAAAAUAUUUUUACUAGGAAAAAAGAUGAAUAUUAUGUAGUAUGCCAAAAAGAACAUGUAAUAGAUUGCAGAUAUGCAAAAGGAAAAGCUAGUAUACCACUAGUAACAAAAAGAAUAAUUAAUAAAGAAAUAAAUGAUAUAAAAAGUAAAGGAGAUCCAAUAAAAUAUGUACACCUUGGAGGUACAGAGAUAUUAAUAAAAGCAUGUUUUAGAGAAGGAAUAGAUACACCAAUAGAAUUAUAUUUAGCAGACGAUAGAAUUAUAAAACCUAUAGAAAAAAGCAUAAUAACUGCCGUAAAAGGAAAUCUAAUAUACCAAAAAUUUAAAUUUAUAAUAAGUGCAAAUUAUUCAGUAGCAGUAACAGAUAGGAAUAUAGAUAAAUCAUUAGUAUUAUAUUGGAAAAUAUCAGGAAUAGAGUUAACCCCAGGAAGUAAAAUAUUUACAGCAAGAUGUAAAAAUCUAUAUGUAUUAACAACAAAACAUAAAAUAACAGGAAAAAAUAAGAUUAACAAAAUACAAAUAGAAAGCCCAUUCGAACAAAUAGUAAAAACAAUAGAUUAUAAUGAUUAUACCUAUAGAGACAUAGAUACAGAAGAAAAUUUAGAAAUAGUAAAUGAUAGAAUAAGUACAACGAAAAGAAUAGCUAAUGAAAAGCCAGAAUCAUCAAGCUCAUCAAAAAGAACAAGUUAUGAAACAAACUCAAUAAGUAAUUUAAACCAAUAUUACAUAACGGGAAAAAUAAAUGAAAAAGAAUAUUUAAUACUUUUGAAUACAGGACAAGAAGAAAAUCAUAUAGCAAAAUAUCUAGUAAAAAAUGAAGAAAUAAAAACUGACAAUGAUAUAUGCCCAGAUCUACCAAGAAGUUUAAUAAAUAAUAAAAAUAUAGCAGAAAAAGAAAUAAUGUUAGGAGUUAGAAAAAUAAAAAUAGAAUUCGAAGUAAAGGAAGAAAUGCAAAAAGCAGAUAUAAUAUUAGGAAUAAAAUGGUUAGAACAAGUAAAACCAUAUAAUAUAGAACAUACACAAUUAACCUUAACAUAUAACCAAGAAAAGUUAUUCUUAAAAAGAGCCUUAACAUGAAAUGAAGAUACAUGUAUUAAUGAAGAUAGUAGUAGAAGGAUAUUACAGUAGAUAUUAUACGCCUAUGAUAGAUACAGGAGCAGAAGCUAAUUUAUGUAGAUAUAAUUGCUUACCAGAAAGCAAAUGGGAUAAACUAAAAACACCAAUAAUAGUUAAAGGAUUUAAUAAUGAAGGAAGCUUAAUUACUUAUAAAGCUAGGAAUGUAAAAAUACAAGUAUGGGAUAAGAUAUUAACAAUAGAAGAAAUUUAUAAUUAUGAAUUAACAUCAAAAGAUAUACUUUUAGGAAUGCCAUUUUUAGAUAAAUUAUACCCACAUAUAAUAACCAAAACAGACUGGUGGUUUACAACACCAUGCAAACAAAAAGUAAGAGCAAAAAGAGUUAAUAAUAAAAUAAGAAAGAAAACUGAUUGGAUAAAAGGAAGUGAAAAAAUUACACAAAAGUUAGAAAAUAUAAACAAUACUGAAGAUACAGUAGAACUAGUAGUAUUUUCGAUAAAUAAAACAGAAAUAACUAUAUUUUCAAUAAAUAAAAUAGAAAUAAUUCAGAAAAAAUUAGAACAAUUAUAUAGUGAAGAUCCAUUAAAAGGAUGGGAAAAACACAAAACUACUAUAAAAAUUGAAUUAAUAGAUAAGAAUAGCAUAAUAACACAAAAACCAUUAACAUAUAAUUUUGAUGAUUUAAAAGAAUUUAAAAUGCACAUAGAUGAAUUAUUAGAAAAACAAUAUAUACAAAAAAGUAAUAGUAAACAUAAUAGUCCAGCAUUUAUAGUAAAUAAACAUAGUGAACAAAAAAGAGGAAAAAGUAGGAUGGUUAUUGACUAUAGAAAUUUAAAUGCAAAAACUAUAACAUAUAAUUAUCCGAUACCAAAUAAGAUAUUAAAAAUAAGACAAAUCCAAGGAUAUAAUUAUUUUAGCAAAUUUGAUUGUAAAUCAGGAUUUUACCACCUAAAGCUAGAAGAAGAAUCUAAAGAAUUAACCGCAUUUACGGUACCACAAGGAUUUUAUGAAUGGAACGUGUUACCAUUUGGAUAUAAAAAUGCACCAGGUAGAUAUCAACAUUUUAUGGAUAAUUAUUUUAAACAAUUAUCUAAUUGUAUAGUAUACAUAGAUGAUAUAUUAUUAUACACCAAAACCAAAGAAGAACAUUUAAAAUUAUUAGAACAAUUCACAGAUAUAAUAGAAAAAUCAGGAAUAAGUCUAAGCAAAAAGAAAGCUGAAAUUAUGAAAAACCAGAUAGAAUUUUUAGGAAUACAAAUAGAUAAAAGUGGAGUAAAAAUGCAACAACAUAUAGUACAAAAAAUAAUAAAUUCGAAAGAAGAAUUAGAUACAAAAAAGAAAUUACAAUCAUUUUUAGGAUUAGUAAACCAAGUAAGAGAAUAUAUUCCAAAAUUAGCAGAAACCUUAAAACCACUGCAGAAAAAAUUAAAAAAGGAUAUAGAAUAUAAUUAUGAUGAAAAAGAUAAAAAACAAGUUCAAAAAAUAAAAUUACUUUGUAGAGAAUUACCAAAAUUGCAAUUUCCAGAUGAAAAUAGAAAAUUUAUAUAUAUAGUAGAAGCAGAUGCAAGUGAAUAUAGUUACGGAGGAGUACUUAAAUAUCGAUAUGAAGCAGAAAAAAUAGAACACCAUUGUAGAUACUACUCAGGUACGUUCAACGAGACAGAAAUAAAAUGGGAAAUAAAUAGGAAAGAAUUAUGUUCAUUAUAUAAAUGUUUAUUAGCAUUUGAGCCAUAUAUUGUAUAUAACAAAUUUAUUGUACGAACAGAUAAUACACAGGUACGCUGGUGGUUAACAAAGAAAAUACAAAAUUCAGUUACAACAAAAGAGAUUCGAAGACUAGUUUUAAAUAUAUUAAAUUUCACAUUUACAAUUGAAGUGAUCAGUACUAACAAAAAUGUUAUUGCAGAUUACAUAUCAAGACAAAGCUACACAGACUGAAAUAGUAGAGGAAGAUACUCUAGAAAAAAUACUUAACACCCUAACUACGCUUUCAAUGAAAGUGGACAGUAUGGGUAAUGAGAUAGAAAAGCUAAAGACUAAUGAAGAUAAACUGAAGUCUAUAGCUACAAAUCAGCUAACUCAGCAGUGUGCAGAGCUAUGUCGACCGGAAGACAUUAAAAAUCCAGAGCUAGAAGGAGACGUUGGGACACUCCAUAAAACCCAUAACAUUUAUCAAUCUACUUCUGCAGGUACAAGCAAAGGAGUUAAUAGACCAAGAUACCAGAAUGUAAAUAUGAACAAAAUAUUUGAAAAACCAUUUACCCCAAAAGCACAAAAAGACCAUUUAUUCAUACCCCCACAAGUUAACACAUACCGAGACAGCCUAAACCAAGACAAGAAAAUAUACAACUACACAGCCCAAAAAUACAUAGAAAAUAUAUAUAGAGUCCAAACCUUUCUAAACCAUAACCCCAGAGCUACAAAUAUCCAAGAACCAAAUACCAAUUAUAUAACCCAAAAACUACAAGGAUACAAUAAACUGAUAGCACUACCCAAAACUAACCCAAGCCUAGUUAAAACCUGUUUUGACUAUGGACUACUAAAUACCAUAUACACCCAAGACGGAGAAGAGCUAACAGCUAUGGAGGAAUUAUACAAGAUAUUCACUACCUACAAAAGAAUAAAAAAAGGAAAUUUAUUUUAUAUAAAGUGUUAUACUGCACCAGCAGAGAUAUUAUAUGAUGAAAUAAAACCAGUGAUACAGGUUGUAAAGAUAGGACUGACAAGAGAUAUGAUUAUACCAGAAGAUAUUUCGCAACAACCAGAGAUACCUAGAAUCGAGAUACCAGAUUUUUAUGCAAAUAAAAGACUUAUUGGACUAGCUACGAUCAUACAAGAACUAGCAAAUAACUACGCUAACGGAAACCCGAUAUGGAGCUACUAUUCCAGAGACCAUCAAAUGAUAUAUUCAAAUUCAAAAGAGCUACGCCAAGCAGAUAUGGAAGACGUAAGACAAUGGAUAAUGACACUACUUAACCCAGAAAAACAAUCUACCGCAAGAGCAAUAAAAAAAGAAUUUAUUUCAGACGGACUACUAACAAGAUACUGUAAAAUAAUUGGACACAAAUAUCCAGACCACCAAUGUUCGAGGUGCAAUGGAGAAGAUAAUAUUAUUCCAGAGGUACAUCUAGAAUAAAAAAAGAUAAAAUGCCAGCUGGAAAAAUAAGAUAAAGAGCAAUAAUGGAGCAGAUACAGAGCAAUAAUGGAGCAGAUACAGAGCAAUAAUGGAGCAGAUACAGAGCAAUAAUGGAGCAGAUACAGAGCAAUAAUGGAGCAGAUACAGAGCAAUAAUGGAGCAGAUACAGAGCAAUAAUGGAGCAGAUACAGAGCAAUAAUGGAACAGAUACGACAAAAUCAACGGAGACAAGAUACUGUACAAAAACAGAAUUAUUGUACAAAGAGGCAGAAGGCUUUGCAAAGGCAAGCCUUCAUGCGUUGAAGCAAAUCUCUCUCUCCAUUCCACAAACAAAAAAUCUACUCAGUUAAUUAGAAAAAUAUACUCCAAUGGAAAAAGCUAUGGAACAACAGGAACAACAAAACUCAGAAACAUCAAAGCUACCGGAACAGGUAUAUCUAUUUAUAAUUAUGAAUAGCUAAUUUCAUAAUUCCCAACAAUCAUGAUAUGAUAAAAUAAUUCAUAUUAGUUACUUUAUAGUAGAAUUAUUCGAAGAAUAAUAUGUUAAGAAGUUUAUUAACAAAGAGGAAACGGAGAAAUAUCCCUAAGGACUAUGCCAUCCUAAAGGUGAAACCAUUGAGGCAAGAAGCCGUGGCGGGGAGUAACCAGAGUAGAGGCGCUGUUUAAGGGAAAAAGUAUCCGGAUUACCAUGUUAAUAGUGACGGAAGAACAUAUUAUUUAAGAAUACUCUAGUAUAUAGUAAGCCAAUAUGACCAUAUUUUGUUGUGUACGUGAUUGAAGGGAAUAUUUUGAAAAAAGCAAAUUUAUGAAAAAUGAAUGAUAAUAUAUCUGAUGUGAUGGUAGAUAAAUUCAAGAUACUUAUUUUGUAUGCACUUAGAAAUAUAAAAAUAGCAGAUAUAAGAAAAAUAAUAUUAGAAAAAGCUUUUGGUAAAUAUUAUAUGUCUAGAAUAAGCUAUAUACCACAAAUACCUAACUACUCUUAUAAAUACUUAAGGUGAUAAAUUACAUAAAAUUUUAGAAAAAAGAUAAAAAAAAAAAACUUUUGCAGUUACUAGAAAAAAUAAAAAUAAACACAUGGAAAAUAAAGAUAUAAAAUUUCUCAAUAAAAAUAUGCAAAAACUACUAAGACUAAAACAAACAGCUACAAAACAAUUUUAAAAAUAGAUCAUUUAGAUUAUCUUAAAAUUUUAAUAUUAUAUAUACUUAAAAACAUAGAAAUUAUAGAUAUUAAGAAAAUAAUAUUAGAAAAAGUAAUAGAUUACGAAACUGAAACUAUAAAUUACCUAGAACAGUUAUACGAAGAAAUUUACCCAGAAGGAUAUUAUUCAGAUUAAGAUAUGUUAGAAUAUAUUAGACAAACUAGAGAAAAUCAAGAAAAUCUAAAUAAUGAAAUUAAUUAUAGAAACCGAAUUAGAAAAAUAAUAGAAGACCUAAAAGAAAAAUUAGCAUGGAUAGAAAAAACCUUAGAAAAUUUAGAUAAAAAUACAUGUGAUAGUUUAUAUAAUUUAAAAAACUCACUACGAGAAGAACAACACAAGAUAAUAAAUAACAUUGAAAAUCUAGAAUUAGAUAUAUAUUAUAGCACAGAUAGGAUAAAUUACUAUACAAGAAUUUGUAACUCUGUAAUUACUACCGGAUAAAAUAAUUAAUGAAUAUAUCUUACGAAAAAAGUAAAUUAUUAAAAGAUAUUGAAAUAAGAUAUCCACGCACAAAUAAAAAUAGAUUCACUAAAAAUAGAUUCACUAGAAACCUACUAAAUCUAUUUAAUCUACCUAAUCCGCGCACCCCUACAAAUGGUAGGUUUUAAUAGGAUAAUGUAUAUGAGGUAAAAAGUUCAAUGAUUCUAAAGUUCCAAAUUAUUGCUUCUUACCUAACUCAACAAGAAAAUAUUUAAUAGAUUUAGCUUUAAUUAUUUUCAAACUUCUAAUAAUAUGAAAAACUACAUGAAAAGAAAAGCAGUUAGAAUAUUCCACUAACCAUCAUAAAGUUUAUUAUUCGGCUAUUGAAUUUUUCAAACAUGAUGGCAAAAGUUCAAUAAAAGCUCAAAGUCUUCAAGUUAAUUACAUCCAAACUCCUUUCAACAACUUGAAUCGAUGGAUGACCCUUGUUCUUCCAAUGGAAAUGAAACAGCGGCCCACUAAGGUAAAACCCCUAGCACUGAGAGAGGCACAGUCCAACUGACUGGACAACUCACUCUUCCUAGCACAUGGUGUUCUUGCCGACAACUAAAAGAUGAAGAUUGUCUAUUUACUGGUAACAUUACAGUGGCUAUAAACACUAAAACUCCUAGCAAGCUGGAAUGUGUAGAAACUGGGAAGGAAAAUGAGAAACAAACAUUUCCUAAUAAAGGAAGAAAUAUGGAUUUGAAAGAGGGGCUCUCGUUAAAGAUCAAAAUAUAAUUAAAAAUGCGGACGGUAUAAGCAAACUCAAAUUUCAAAUAUUAAUAUUAACAGAAGCCUCCCUAAUUUACACACUUACUAACAACUUUAUAGUCCAAUCAGAUUACCUGUAGAUGCAAUGGUCAGCAUACAAAACACCAAUGAAAGAUGAAAUCAAAGCUCAAGCAAAGGAACUACAAGCACAGUGCUAAAAAUACUGUCCCAAACACCACAAUUAUCAGAAAACAAAAAUAAUCCUAAAAAAGAUGAGGUUCAAGAAUAACCACUGAGCCUAUCUCACAGAGAAGCGAGAGAACGCUCAACUAACCUUUGUCAGUUAUCAAACAAUACAAAUUAAAUAAAUUAAGAACUGAAACCCCACUAAUAACACAAAUUAGAUCAAUUAAGAAUAUAAGUUAAAUUGUUGGCAUGACAAUUAAUAUUGUGUUUAAACAUUAAUGAGCAAACACCAAUCAACAAUAAAAAAAUGAAAGAAUUUUAUGACAAAGAAGCUAAAGUGAGUUGACGAAGAGAAUCGAGAUAAGAGACCAUGGAGAAGAGAGAACCUGGAGAAGAUACAAAAGUGAAAGUAAUUGUGGAUGAAAGAAAAAUAUGAUAAGGAUGGUAAAAACGCAAGUCUUAAUGAUAUCUUACGAUUGUGUAAGGCAAUGAAAGAAAGAACUAAAUUUAAACAACUAAAAUAGCAUUCAUUUUAUGAUCCUUAUCAUUUCAUAAAUAGGAAAAACACAAAAUACUGAAGGUUGAGCACAAAGAAAUAAGAAUUUGUUGAAUCUAAAUAAUUAACUAAAGAAAACAAUUAAAAAGCCAAUAAUUCAUUUUAAAACAGAAACUAAGCUUAACUACCAUCUAAUUAUAGAAGCAAAUAUCCGAAAUCAAAUUGAGGCUAAGACGAGAAAAAAAUCAUAGAAUUCUAGUUAUGAAAUGAUUUUAAAGAUACUACUAUUGAAAUUCUAACAAAUAAUACAUGAGUUAAUGUUUCAGUAAUGAAAAUCUACAACAAUAAUACAUUGACACAUACAGAAAGAAUUGGGAAAAAAAGUUAAGAUUAAUAAAGUACCAUCGGCUUAUCGCAGAAAGGAAAAUCCUGCAUCUGGCAAAUUGCAUGCAGUCACAGAAUAAGGGCAAGCCUCAUUUUCUUCUAAUAUUAAUAUUGAGAUUUAAGGGCCUUACUUUUUCUCAAUAAAAGAUUUCAAAUCUUUCUAUGCUAUAGCAGCUUCUUUGACACCUAAAGACGUUACAUUCAAACCAUCUAAUCUAGAAAACAACAAGUUCAUCUUUCCCCGUGCUAGCAAUGUCUUCGACUCCUUCCUCGAAAAACUAUUCAAGCCGUAUAGAUCAUUAAGGCAUUUGACAUCAAUAAGAUGUGCUUUUUCCCUAACACAAGUAGGCAUCCAAGCAAAAUUCUAGCCUAUAAGCACAUCUAAUAUUUGCAACAAUCACAUACGUAUACGCAGAACUUACCCAUACCCUAUUAUUAGUAUUUUUAUAGGGUAAAAGAUUAUUUCUAAUAUAUCCUAGACUGAAGAAAUAAUAAUAAUAAUAAAUAAAUAAAUAAAUAGUGGUGGUGAUAAUAAUGUUGGAAAAAUAAAUAUUUCCACGCAGGAUAAUAUCCACACAAGUAGCAAUAACAAGAGAGUAACAACGACACCAAAUAUAAUAACUGGGUAAAUAAAAUAUCCAAUGGAGUAAUACAAUAAUACUGAUUACAACAUAGCAUUGUCAAAAGACUACUACUCUUUAUAAAUGAAACAACACUCUUUUUAUUUCUCACAACUCACUACAAUAUUACUCCCACACUAUUAUCUCACAGACUAUAGAAUAUCUGUGGAUUACUUUUUUUUGUAUCUCUAUUGCUCUCUCAAUUUUGGUGUGUUUCAAAAUGAAUGAGAAGUCAUCUAUUUAUAGAUGAACUUCCCAAAGUUUACAUGUUGCGACACCAAUUUUCAAAUCAUGUUGCAACUCAAAUUUUCAACUUCAUGUUACCACACUAACAAUGUUGCAACACCAAUUUUAUUUUCCUUUUUAUUUAUUUUAUUUGACUAUUUUUUAUCCCACAAAUCUCUCCCUUAAUUUUGAUUUUUAUCCUUCAUUCCAAGACUUGAUCUCAAUCUCUAAAAGUCUUCAAACUUGAGAGGCUUUAUAAAAAUAUCUGGAACUUGAUCAUGAAAUUUCAGGUACUUGAGAUCUACCUCCUUCUUGGAAAUGCAUCCUCUGAUAAAGUGAUACCUUGUAUCUAUGUGCUUACUUCGAUCAUGAUAUACUGGAUUCUUGGAAAGAUCUUGUGCUGACUUAUUAUCAACAUAAAUCAUUGAAGCUGUAGUCUGUGGUAAGUUAAGCUCCUUCAAUAAUCUUCUCAACCAAAUGACAUGGCACGUACAUGACGUUGUUGCCACAUAUUCAGCUUCGCACGUUGAGAGAGUAACAAUGGUUUGUUUCUUUGAGCUCCAACGAAUAACACAAUCACCCAAGAAAAACACAAACCUGAUGUGCUUUUCCUAUCAUCCACAUCUUCCGCAUAAUCUCUAUCACAAAAUCCCACAAGGUUAAAAUCAUCAAAAAAAAAGUAAAAUAGUCCAAGGUCUAUCUUACCUUUUAGGUAACGAAGAAUUCUUCUAGAAACUUUCAAGUGAGUGGAGGUAGGAACUUCCAUGAAUCGACUUACUACUCCAACUGCAAAAAGUAUAUCUGGUCUUGUAUAGGUCAAGUACCUCAGACUUCCCACGAGACUUUUGAAAAGAGUGGAGUCCACAUUUUCACUAUUAUCAAACUUUGACAAUUUUAUUCUACUUUUCAUUGGGGUGUUCACAGGAUUGCAAUCAAACAUGUUGAAUUUCUUCAAAAUCUCCUUUGUAUAUCUUUCUUGAGAUAUGAAUAUGCCUUCCUCCAUUUGCUUAUCUUCUAGGCCCAAGUAAUAUGACAUGAGACCUAUGUCCUCCAUCUCAAAUUCAAGGGACAUAGUUUGGUUGAAAGCUUCAAACAAAUAUAAAUUAUUACCUAUCGGAAUAAGAUCAUCAACAUAAAGACAAAUAAUCAAAACAUCUCCAUUAGUAUGAACUUUAAUGUAAAGAGCAUAUUCAUGGAGACAACGAGUAAACCUAUUUUCUUAAAAAAUACUUGUCAAUGCGACUAUUCCACGCUCGUGGAGCUUGCUUCAACCCACAUAAAGCUUUUUUCAAUUUCAACACUUUAUCUUUGGGAUUAUUGACCACAAAGAACAAUGGUUGUUCAACAUAGACUUCCUCUUUAAGAUAUCCAUUCAAAAAUACCGACUUGACAUCUAGUUGAUGGAUUUUCCACUUUAUUCGUGCCGCCAAAGAGAUCAGCAGAUGUAUCGGCUACAUGCGGACAACAGGUGCGUAGACUUCUUCAUAGUCAAUUCCAUGUCUUUGCUUAUAACCUUUAGCUAUGAUUCCUGCCUUGUAUAUCUCUACCUUUCUAUGAGAAUUCUUCUUUGCCUUGUAUAAUUGACUCCAAUUGUUUGAUGAUCUUUAGGAAGAGUUAUUAACUCCCAAGUGUUGUUCUUUUUUAUCGACUGAAUUUCUUCCUCCAUUGCUUGUCUAUAACAGCAUCAUCAAAAUUCAUUGGUUCACUGUCAGCAUAGAGACAACACAAAAAAUCAAAAGUAGUAACUUCUUCUAUGUCCUCAUAGAGUUCUUAGAUGCUCCUCAUCCUCUGUGGCCUUUCACUUGAACCCUGAUCUUGAGAAAAAGGAGAGGCGAUAUUUGCUGGUAGGUUUGUAUCCAGCGCAGGUGCCAUGAUAUCCUACUCUUCUUCAUCUCCAAAGUAUGGAAGAAAAUCAUAUGUUCUUUCUUUCAGAGCCUCUUGGCCUUCCCAAUUUUUAUGAUGCUUCUUCUUUAAAUUCAACAUUACGACUGACCACCAAUUUGUUGUUGCUUGGAUUGUAUAACUUGUAGCCUUUUGAACUAGUGUCAUAGCCAAUAAACAUAUACCUGAUGUUUCGAUGAUCAAGUUUAGCUCUCCCUUGAUGUGGAACAUGAUCAUAGGCUAUGCUCCCAAAAAUUCUCAAGUGCUUAACACUUGGCUUUCUUUCAUUCCAUGCUUAUUGAGGUGUUUGAUCUUCCAUAUUUCUUGUUGGAGACCUGUCUCUUAAAUAAACUGCAUAUGAAAAAGCCUCGGCCCAAAAUUAUUUUGGCACAUUUUUAUCUUUCAACAUACAUCUUGCCAUAUUAAGAAUUGUUCUAUUAUUUCUUUCUGCAACUCCAUUUUGUUAGGGCGAGUGAGGUACCGUUAGAGGGAGACGAUUCCAUGAGAAUGACAAAAGUCAUUAAAUUCUUUUGAAGUGAAUUUGCCUCCUCUAUCGGACCUUAAGGAUUUUAUUUCAUAGCCACUCUCCUUUUCUACAAGUGAUUUAACAUUUUUAAAAACAACAAAAGCUUCUCAUUUUUGCUUCAAGAAAUAUACCCAAGUCUUUCUACUAAAAUCAUCAAUAAAGAGUAAAAAGUAUUUACUUUUACCAAAAGAAGAUGGAUCGAUUGGACCACACACAUCGGUAUGAACAAGCUGAAGUGGAUUAGUUGCUCUUGGCGUGGUUUCCUUCAAAAAACUCCUACUUGCAUGUUUCCUAAGAAGACAAGCUUCACACAACUAAUUGAGAUGAUUGAUUGAUGGAAUUCCAUCAACCACAUUCUUGUCUCUCAAUGAUUUGAGAGUUUCAAAGUUCAAAUAUCCAAAUCGCAUGUGCCAACAUCACGAUUAUCUUGCAUAUUAGCCUUCAAACACUUUGCAUUAAUGGUCUUAAGAUUCAAAGGAAAUAAUCCAUUUUUUUUCAUAUGUACUUUGGCAAUUAAAUUAUUACUUGAAUCUCUACGCCAAAGAUGCAUAUUUUUCAUAUGAAUAUCAUAUCCCUUUUCAAGAAGUUGGACCAAACUCAAAAUAUUAUUUUUUAGUUUUGGCACAUAGUAAACCUCAUUGAUCAAUUUGUGAUCACCAUUUUUACAGGAUAUCAAAAUCGUACCUAUUCCUUCAAUUUGAAUCUUUGAGGUAUCUCCAAAAGAUACAUUACCUCUUUUCAUCUUCUUGAUCUCCAAAAAUUGUCUUCGUAUCCACACAUAUGAUUACUUUUUCCAUUAUAAAGAUACCAUGAACUGUAAUCAUCUAUAUUAUCUUCUGUGAGUGUCAUUAACAAUGUUGAGUCAUCUUCUUCUUUGUUGUUGUCAACAAGGUUAUCUUUUUAUCCAACAUUACUACGACAUUCCCAAGAGUAAUGUCCAAAUUUAUGACAGUUGUAGCACUCAAUUUUAUAUUUUUCAUACCUUAUUUCAUUGAUACCUUGAUAAGCUCCACGUCCUCUUCCUCCUCGUUGUCCACGACCACGACCUCUGAAUGUUUGGUGGUUUUUAUCUUUAUUUUUGAAUUUGUUGAUAUAACUCCUUCCUCUUCCAUGACCUCCACGGCAGCCUCGGCCUCGCCAUUGUCCAUUUCUUCUAUAACUUUUUUCAUCUCCAGAAUCUUUGAAGGAUGCCUGCUCUUUAAGAAGUUGCUCCAAUGGCUCUUCUUUUCUUCUUUUGAGUUUUUCUUUGUGGGCUUGUAAAGAACCCUCCAGUUGCUCUACUAUCAUAGAGUCUAAAUCUUUAGACUCCUUAAUAAUACCCACCACAUAAUCAAAUUUGGGUGUUAAAGAGCAAAUGAUCUUUUCUACCAAGCGCACAUCAUCUACUUCCUACCUAUACCUUCUUAGUUGAUUCACAACAACCAUCACUUUUGAAUAAAAAUUCAAAAUGGAUUUGGAUUCUUUCAUUUUUAAAAGUUCAAAAUCAGCCCUUAGAGUUUGAAGUUCUACGUUCUUCACCUUAUCAACUCCUUGGAGAGAAUUUUGUAAGAUCUCCCAAGCUUCCUUCGAGGUGGUUGCAUCAACCACCUUCUCAGACAUACCUUCAUUCAGACAUUGGUGGAUGAGAGUGAGGGCCUAUUGAUCUUUCUUUCUUGUCUUAAUCAAGACAUCUUUUCCAUUUUGAGACAGAGUCUUCUCAUUGGCGAAUUUUAUAUACCCUUUGUCUAUAAUGACCCAAACAUCUUGAGAACCAAGAAUGGCUUUCAUUCGUAGGCACCAUUUUUCAUAAUUUUCUUCUGUAAGACGGGGGUACUGAAAAGACAGUGGACUAUUAUUUUCUAUGGCUUUGAUACCACAUUGUUAGGAAAGAAAAUAUUUCCACCCAAAAUAAUAUCCACACAAGUAGCAAUAACAGGAGAGUAACAACGACACCAAAUCGUAUAACGGGAUAAAUAAAAUACCCAAUGGAGUAAUACAAUAAUACUGAUUACAACUUGGCAGUGUCAAAAGACUACUACACUUUAUAAAUGAAACAACACUCUUUUUAUUUCUCACAACUCACUACAAUCUUACUCCCACACUAUUAUCUCACAUACUAUAGAAUAUCUGUGGACUACACUCUUUUUCUCUCUAUUGCUCUCUCAAUUUUGGUGUGUUUCAAAAUGAAUGAGAAGUCAUCAAUUUAUAGAUGAACUUCCCAAAGUUUACAUGUUGUGACACUAAUUUUCAAAUCAUGUUGCAACACAAAUUUUCAACUUCAUGUCACCACACUAACAAUGUUGCAACACCAAUUUUCUUUUCCUUUUUAUUUAUUUUAUUUGACUAUUUUUGAUCCCACAAAUAAUAGUAAUAAUAAUAAUAAUAAUAAUAAUAAUUGAAACAACAAGAACACUAGUAGUAAUAGUAGUAGUAGAUGGUCAGAUGCUUCAAAAAGAAAACAAAAAGAAAAAUCAAUAUACACAUCAUACACUACUAAAAAAAAGUGUAAAAACCGACAAGUGAAAACCGACCACAAAAUGUAGUCGGAAAAAACCGACCACUUGUGGUCUAUUUUUUUAAUAUUUGUUAAAAAAUAUUUUUAUUUAAAAAAGUGACCAAAUGUAAUCGCUUUUUUAUUAUAAAAAUCAAAGUAAAUAUUACAAUUUUUUUUAUAUUAAUUAUUAUAAAAUUUAAAAAUUAAAAUUUUAAAAAAAUUAAAAAACCGACCACAAGUGGUCAGUUUACUUAAAAAAUUAAUUUAAAAUGUUUUAAUAAAUCGACCACGAGUAUUAAGAUUAAUAAAAUUCUUUUUUAAUUAUUUUUUAAAGAAGCCGACCACUUGUGGUUGGUUUUUAUUUUAUUAAAAAAAGAAAAUAUUUCUUAAAAAAAUGACUACAUUUGGUCGGUUUUUAUUAAAUAAAAGGAAAUUAAUUUUAAAAACCUAUCACUUGUGGUCAGUUUUUACUGAAAUCAGAAAAUAAAAUUAAAAUUAAAAUUAAAAAUUUAAUUAUAAAUAAAAAACUAGUAGUAACAAAAAAAGAAAAUAGUAAUAAAAAUUUUAAAUGGUAGUAAUAAAAAAUUUAAAAACCAACCACAUGUGGUUGGUUGUGGAUUAAAAAAAGAUAAAAACUAAAAAUAUAAUUUUAUAAAAUAAUUAUAUAAUCUUAUAUUAACAUUAUGUAAUCUAAUUAUUGUUAUUAGUAAAAAUAAUAUAUUACAUUACAUAUAUAAUAUAAUAUAUUAUACAUACGUUAAAUGACAUUAAACAUGCAUAAUCUUUAUAUAAUGAAUAUGUGUUUAUAUAUAUAUAUAUGAUCGAUACCGUUGGGAUAGACCAUUGAAAUCUGUCGUAGACGUAAUUGAAAGAUGAAAACUAAUCUUUAUAGUACGUAUUUGAAAGGUGAUGUUUUAUAGUACGUAUUUAAAUGCAUAAUAAUAAUGUAAUAUAUAACAGAUAAUUCAUCAGAAUAUAAUGAACAUCUUCUAUUAUAAAGUAAUACACUUAUGAAUUUGAUAUAUAUAGUACAAAUUCAAAAGUUUAUAUAUAUAUAUAUAUAUAUAUAUAUGUAUGUGUGUGUGUGUGUGUGUAAUUUUGGAUAUUUAUAUAUGAUAGUUAUCGAUUGAUGAACGAUGUAGUCAAAACCUAGUUUAUUAAGCUAAUCAAAUAUAAUUAAUCGAUCACUUAUCUGAGUAUGUAUAAGAAAGAAAUCUCAUUAUUUUAUUGGAUAAUAAUAUAAUUGUGUAAGUAUCUGUGAUAUAUAUGGUACGUAUUUAGAACUUGAUAUAGUCGAUAGUGUGUAUAUGUGUGUGUAUGUAUAGAUAUAUAUAUAUAUACUAUAUACAUAUUAUACAGUAAAGGUAUAUUAAUGACAUAAGAUAAUAUAAUCUAUAAUUCAUCCGAGUAUUUGUGAAAUACGUUGUAUAUAUUAUGGGGUAGUAAAAUCGUGUAUGUGAUGUUUAUUGUACCUAUUUUAAAGCUGAUAGACAAUUGAAUAUAUGUUUAUAUACGUGUAUCUCGUGUAGUGACGUAUGUAGUAAUCAAAAGCUAGAUAACUGAAUCUACAUGUCAAAAUAUAGUUUGACUGAUAGACAAUUGAAUAUAUGUUUAUAUACGUGUAUCUCGUGUAUUGACGUAUGUAUUAAGCAAAAGCUAAAUAACUGAAUAUAUAUAUAUAGAUAUCAAACUAUUGAAAAAGUAGAUAUAAUAUUUUUGGUCAAUGUAGACACGCGUGUGCUUUAGAAGUUGGAAUAAUGUAAGACUAGUAUUACGAGGUAUAUGAAGGGGGAACGACCGUGUCAAAUAACGUAACACAAUUAAUCAAAAAUUUAUUGGAUUAACACGUUGUAUUAUGAGAGAGGGUUAUUUAUGUCAAUAAAUUUACAAAUUACGAUAAUCUUUUGCAAAAUAGAUUUUAAUUAUGAUAUUAUAUAUAUAUAUAUAUAUAUAAAAUAUCGUAAUUCGCAAAAUGCAUUGAUAUUAAUAUAUUAUUGAGGAAAUAUACUAGUCCUAUUGAUGAGUUGAUAAAAUAACCAAGUAUCUAAUUUGUACAUAUUCGUAUUGCGUUAAUAUAAUGAUAACAUAAAUAAUUAUAUGAUUUAAUCAUUUUAUUAAAAUUGUGCACAUGUGAUUGUUUUACGAUAAUAAUUUGUAUAAAAGUAAUUCAAACACUUAUAUUUUACUUUGUGAUUGUUUUUGUAAAAUUUUAAUUAACUUAGUUAAUUAAUUAAUUAAUUUUUUAAACUAAAUUAUAAUUUUUGAUUAACUAAGUAAUAAUUUUUUUUUACUAAUUAAUGAAAACCGACCACUUGUGGUCGAUUUUCAUUAAUUAAUUAAAAAAAAUAAUAAAUUAAAUAGACCGACCUGACCCGGCAGGUUUUAGCCUUUUAAUAAAACAUAAAAGAACAGAAAUACCCCCAAAUCUCCAAACACAAAACACGAUCCCCAAAUCUCCAAAUCCUUAAAUCGGAUCAACUCUUUGUCGCCGAUUCCCGCCGCUCUGGUAACCUUUAUUUUCUUGUUAGAUACUAGCUAAAGUAUGUAUUGUAGUUACCUCAAUGUAUAUAUUUUCAUAUUUGGUAGUAACUAAAAUUUUUUUGGUAGUAAUUUUACUUAGCUUAAAGUAUAUAUUUUUCAUAUUUGUUGUAAUUAUUAUGCUUCGUUACAUAAUUUUUGUUAGUUGAAAGUUAAAAAAUUAAUGAAAAUUUAGGUUUAGUUAGUUAAAGAUUCAAUUAUAGUUCAAGAAAUUUAGGUUUAGUUAGUUAGCACUUAUCUGAAAAUAAUUUUUUGAAAGAAAAUUAUAUUUACUUUUGUGAAAUAAAUCAUUUUUCAUCUUCCCUCUAAUGUAAACGUAUAAAGUUGUAACAAAGUAAGUUGAUAUGUUAAGAAAAUAAAAUUAAAGUUAAUAUUUGGUGUAUGUUAAGAACUGUAUAGUUUAGAUAUCAGAUUAGCAGUAUUAUUUGAUAAUUCAUUAUGUUAUUGAUUAAAAUUACUAAUCUUUUUGAAGUAAAAGUUGGUUAUAAGAUUUGUUACUUUAUUGAAGGUUGAGAAUAUAUUUGUUACUUUGUGUAAUGAACAAGAUUUUUUAAUUCUACUUGCAUAAUUCGUUGCUUGGAAUUUGAUGUUACCGUUUGGCAGAAUCCGAAUUCAGUGGAAGGAUUACUUUGCUAUUUUACCAGUGAUGGCUUGUCUCUAGCACUUUAAUUUAGGCCAAGCAAAAGUAAGUUGACUUUUCUCUAAGUUGUUAUAAUGAAGUCUUGUUACUUUUCAUCUUGAAGUCUAGUGAAGCCGUGUGUGACCUUGUGCGAUUCACUAGCAUUGUUGUUAUCUUCUUGUUAUUGUUCAUAUUGAAGUCUAGUAAAGUCGUGUGUGUCCUUGUGCGAUUCACUAGCAUUGUUGUCGACAUGUUGUUGAUUCUUUUGUUGCUUGUUUCUUGUAUGGUAGGUGACUUAGUUGGUUGAAAAUGGUUAAGUCUAGGGACUUUAAAGAGAAUUCUUUUUUGUUUUGAAUGUAGUUUGGUAAGUGACUUAGUUGGUUGAAAACGAUUAUUAGGGACUUUAAAAGGGAUUUUUUUUAAUGUGGUUUUGUUUUGAGACUUAGUUGGUUGAAAAUGGUUAAGUCUAGGGACUUUAAAGAGAAUUCUUUUUUGUUUUGAAUGUAGUUUGGUAAGUGACUUAGUUGAUUGAAAAUGGUUAAGUUCAGGGACUUAGAAGGGGAUUUUAUUUUUGGAAUGUGGUUUUGUUUUGAGACUUAGUUGGUUGAAAAUGGUUAAGUCUAGGGACUUUAAAGAGAAUUCUUUUUUGUUUUGAAUGUAGUUUGGUAAGUGACUUAGUUGAUUGAAAAUGGUUAAGUUUAGGGACUUUGAAUGGAAUUUUGUGUUCUGAAUGUGGUUAUGGUAGGUCACUUAGUUGGUUUAAAAUGGUUAAGUGUAGGGACUUUGAAGGGGAUUUAGUGUUUCGAAUGUGGUUAUGGUAGGUGACUUCGUUCGUUGAAAAUGGUUAAGUCUAGGGACUUCGUUGAAAAUGGUUAAGUCUAGGGACUUUAAAAGGAUUUUUUUUUGGAAUGUUGUUUUGUUUUGAGACUGAGUUGGUUGAAAAUGGUUAAGUUUAGGGACUUUGAAGGGGAUUUUUUUUUUAGGAAUGUUUUUUUGUUUUGAGACAUAGUUGGUUGAAAAUGGUUAAGUUUAGGGAAUUUGAAAGGGAUUUUGUGUUCUGGAUGUGGUUAUGGUGGGUGACUUAGUUGGUUGAAAAUGGUUAAGUUUAGGGACUUUGAAGGGGAUUUUGUGUUUUCAAUGUGGUUAUGGUAGGUGACUUCAUUGGUUGAAAAUGGUUAAUUCUAGGGACUUUAAAAGAGGUUUUUUUUGGAAUGUGGUUUUGUUUUGAGACUUAGUUGGUUGAAAAUGGUUAAGUUUAGGGACUUUGAAGGAGAUUUUUUUGUUUUGAAUGUAGUUUGGUUAGUGACUUAGUUGGUUGAAAAUGGUUAAGUUUAGGGACUUUGAAGGGGAUUUUGUGUUCUGAAUGUGGCAAUGGUAGGUGACUUAGUUGGUUGAAAAUGAUUAAGUGUAGUGACUUUGAAGGAGAUUUUGUGUUUUAAAUGGGGUUAUGGUAGGUGACUUUGUUGGUUGAAAAUGGUUAAGUCUACGGACUGUAAAAGGUUUUUUUUUUUGGAAUGUGGUUUUGUUUUGAGACUUAGUUGGUUGAAAAUGGUUAAGUUUGGAUUUUUUUUUGUUUUGAAUGUAGUUUGGUAAGUGACUUAGUUGGUUGAAAAUGGUUAAGUUUAGGGACUUUGAAGGGGAUUUUGUGUUCUGAAUGUGGUUAUGGUAGGUGACUUAGUUUAUUGAAGAUGGUUAAGUUUAGGGACUUUAAAAGGGAUUUUUUUGUUUUGAAUGUAGUUUGGUAAGUGACUUAGUUGGUUGAAAAUGGUUAAGUUUGGAUUUUUUUUUGUUUUGAAUGUAGUUUGGUGAGUGACUUAGUUGGUUGAAAAUGGUUAAGUUUAGGGACUUUAAAAGGGAUUUUGUGUUUUGAAUGUGGUUAUGGUAGGUGACUUAGUUGGUUGAAAAUUUUUUGAUCUAAUUCAUUGAAUCUUAUUAAUUGCGUAGAUGGAACCUGAUUAUAGUUUGAUAUUUCACCGAAACAAUGAAAAUAGAAUGGGUAUUAGGCAGAAAUUUGUUGAACGUGUCAAAAGAUUUGUUGAACAUGCUUAAACACUUGAUGUUUGGACAUGUUUUUGGGUUAUUCGGUGUCCUUGUGUUAGAUGUGAUGGUAUAAAUCUUCUAAGUGAAGAAGAAGUUAAGGAAAAUCUUUAUAGAAAGGGGUUCAUGAGGACUUUUUAAGAUUGUGUUUUAUUCAUGGCAUUGUUGCACAAAAUAACUUUGUUGUUGGAGAAAGUAGUAGGUCUUCAGGGCAUAAUGAAUAUCAAGAUACUAGGAUGACAGAAAUGGUGCAUGAUUCAUUUGGGAUGCAACACAAGGUUGACUUUAGGGAAAAUGUUGAAGAUAUUCCUAAUAAGAAGCAGCCAAUUUCCACAAAGAAUUACAUGAUGCUAGUCAUCCUUUUUUGACGGGUGUUCGCACUCUCAUUUGUCUGUUUCUGUUAGAUUAUUAAGUAUUAAAUCUAACUAAAAUAUUGCGGAAGGAGAAAUGGACUCAAUUAUAUACUUUAUUAAAGAGUUAAUUGAUCCCGUCUUGGAGGUUCCUGAUUUUUUCUAUAAGGAAAAAAGAUUAGUGUCAAAGUUAGGUCUCUCCUCGGUUAGAAUUAAUUAUUGUGAAAAUGUUUGUAUGUUAUACUCUAAGAGAGAUACUAACCUAAAGUUUUGUAAGUUUUGUCAGCACCCUAUAUAUAAGCGUGAUUCUACUGGGAAGCAACUUGGUAUUAAGGAAAUGCAUUAUUUACCUCUUAUACCAAGGUUGAAGAGGUUGUAUGCUUCCAACAGCUCAUCUCCUAAUAUGAGAUGGAAUAGUGAAAAUAGAAGGCCCCCUGGUAUUAUGUAUCAUCCAUCUGGUGGAGAGGCUUGGAAGCGUUUUAAUGCAACAUAUCCAGAUUUUACAACUGAGCCACGAACCAUUCGAUUGGUAUUAUGUGCAGAUGGGUUCUCUCCUUUUUCAGUUGGUGGUGCGCCAUAUUAAUGUUGGCCUAUAUUUAUCACUCCUUAUAAUCUUCCUCCUAAAAUGUUUAUGACUAGUCCCUAUAUAUUUCUGAAUUGUGUUAUUCCUGGUCUGCGUAAUCCAAAAAGAGGAAUAGAUGUGUACUUGCAACCUUUGAUAGAUGAACUUCAGAUUUUAUGGCAUAGGGGGUUGAAACUUGGGACAUCUCUCUUAAACAGAAUUUCAAUCUGCGUGCAUAUCUAAUGUGGACAGUUAAUAAUUUUUCUACUUAUGGAAUGUUGUGGAGGUGGAUGACCGCUGGAAAGUUGGCUUGUCCAUACUGUAUGGAAAAAAAAACUUUCACAUUAAGACAUGACAGGAAAAAUUCAUGGUUUGAUUGUCAUCAUUGUUUCUUGCCACCUGAUCAUGAAUUUAGGAGACUUAAGAAUGCCUUUAGAAGGAAUAGAAGGGAACAUGAUGGUCCACCUCCAAUGUUGUCUGGUUAUGACGUCUGAUAAAUAGUUCAGGAUUAGCCUAAAGCCAGCGAGGAACGAUUGUACAGGCUUGAUAUAUGGCGUUUCGUAUAACUGGAUUAAGUAAAGUAUAUUUUGGGAGUUAGAAUAUUGGCCAGAUAAUUUACUUAGAAAUAAUGUUGAUGUCAUGCAUACUAAGAAGAACUACUUUGACAACUUGUUCAACAUAGUUAUGGAUGUCACCGACAAAACAAAGGAUAAUCCUAAGGCCAGACUUGACUUACGAGAAUAUUGCAACCGCAGAGAAUUACACUUACAGCAGUGGCUCAACGGCAAUGUUCUUAAGCCCAAGGUUAGUUUUACAUUCAAGUUGGACCAAAAGUGGCAAAUAUGUGAGUGGGUUCAAAGUUUGAAGAUAGCCGAUGGUUAUGCCUCAAAUUUGGGAAAGAAGGUUGAUAUGACACAAGAAAUCUUGCAUGGAAUGAAAAGCCAUGAUUGUCAUAUUCUCAUGGAACAGUUACUUCCAAUUACUUUUAUUGGUUUACCUGAAAACAUAUGGAAACCAAUAGCAGAGAUCAAUUUGUUCUUCAAAGACUUAAGUGCGACCCCAUUAAAAGAAGAAAAUCUGGUGUGAAUAGAAAGUAAUAUUGUUGCUAUCACCAACAAUCUAGAGAAGAUUUUACCGCCAGCGUUCUUCGAUGUGAUGGAACAUCUUCCCAUUCACCUUAUGCAUGAAACUCGGCUAGGCGGUCCAGUUCAAAUUAGGUGGAUGUAUCUAUUAGAACGGUAAGCAUUUGCAACAUAUUUAAAUGCAUACUUAUUUUUUUAAAAUAUAGUAAACAUCUAAGCUUGAAAUUAUUGUAUAGGGUAAUUGAAAAAUUGAAAAGAGGUCCCAAAAAUAAACACAGGGCGGCUCUAUAGUUGAGGCAUAUGUUGAGAGAGAAACUUCUCAAUUUUAUUCAUACUACUUUCGUGAUGAAGUUGUUUGUUCAAGAAACAGCCGGAAUAGUCAUCAGGAUGAUGUGAAUGAGCCUCAUUUGUAAAGGAUAUCAAUUUUCAAUCAAUCUAGUUAUAAGGCUAAAAAAAUUAUACCUCGCUGGCUCAAUGCCAUGGAGCACAAAUCAACAACCUUGUAUGUCUUGCUGAAUUACCCGGAAAUUAAGCCCUUUCUGAAGUAAGAAGAUUCAAAUUUUAACAUAUCUUGUUUGUUUACUCAUUCCCUUAAAGAAACUAAUUGUGUUUCCCAUGUUAGAUGUUCAGUUCAUUUAAGACUCAAUUCCACGAAAAUUAAGUGUAUGCAUCCUUUGCAACAUGGUUUAAAAAUGAGGUUCGUCAGUGCAUUAAUGUUUCUACAAAGUUUAAACAUUUAAACAUUCCUCAACUAAAAUAUAUAUAUAUAUAAUAUUUUUAGUUACACCAUUCACUAAAUGCAGCUGCAUACAAAGUUUAUCCUAUCCUAACCCCCUUUACACCUCACCCUAACAACCUACCCUACCCCACACAGUACCAUGCCUCAUCCCUACCUCUCAUAUUUUAUUCCAUUUGGUUAAUAAAUUGAAAAAGGACAAAAAAAAAGGGCCCACGAGGAAUCUCUAUUUUUACAAACCACAAUACAUAUAUACACAUUUACCAACAUCAUCACGAGGAGAGGCAUAUACGUAUAAAUUUUAUUUUUCAAUUAAUUAGCAAAAAGUAGUCCCCCACGAUUUGGCUUGAUUUUUCCAUAAGACACCAUAUAUACAUAUACUCGCACAGAAGACCAUCAGGAUAGAUCAUCUAUUUUUUCUUUUUCUCUUCUUGGAUCGAUAAUAUAAAAAAAAACAGGCACCAACUCACAAUUCCACUCUCAAGCACAGCCACAUACACGCACACCCAUACCCAAAUCACACACAAAUAGUGAAAAACAGUAAAACACGAGGUCAAUCGAAGGGGGAAUAGUAAGAUCGAGAGAGUGAGGAUCACAAGUAGAGAGAGAGAAUAAUGGGAAGAAAGAGUGAUGAAAUCAGGUAGAGAGGGUGAAAAUCAAGAGAAAGGGUGAGGGUUUUAGGUCUUUGGUCACAGUUCUUGUGACUUGGCUCGCCAAAUUAGUUUUCCAUCCAUCGUUCGACCGUUUCUCUUUAGAUUUUCGAUGAAAUCUCACCGAAAUCAGCGUUAUCGAUAUCCAGUCAUCCAUUCAACAAGCCAAGUCCAAAUCCCUAAAUUAUCUCCAUUUUCUUUGAUUUCUAGGUAGAUUCAGCUGGAAAACAUGAACUAGCGACGGAAAUUCAUUGAAAUCCAUUUUGUUUUUUAAUCACUUUCAAGAUAUCAUCGCAUGCGAGUUUGUGUUCUGUUGUGAUUUCAUUCUUAGUUCAUCGGUCUUCAUGUGGAUUUUGGGGAUUUAGGUUCCGUUUGUCUCGAUUGAUUCGUUAUAAGCAGUUUGGGGUUUCAAUUUCUCGCUAUCAAGUUGGAUUCUGCUGCUGUUGAGGUUCUAUUCGAAAUUCUAUAGUCUAUCCUUUCUUAACUUUAUUAUCAAUGAAAUCUUUCUUUAAAGGUCCAUCUCUUAACUCUACUUUUUAAUUAUAUCGAAGUUGGUUCAUAUCAUGAUUUUAUAGUGUCGUUUUGAAUAUUUAAAGAAAAUGUUUAUUGUUGUCGUGAAAAUGAAUGAUUGGUAUGCUUAAAUGUUUGAAUCUUCAUUUCGAGUAUGUGUUUGAUGUUGGUUCAGAUUUUGAAAAGUGAUUUGAUAGUCGUAUUGGUUUAAUCAUGUGAGAUUUGGAGGGCGAAAAUUAAAACAUUGAUAAAAGUGAAUAUUAGUUCAUGUUGAUUUAUUGAUAUUCCUUGAUUCGCUAUAAGUAUCGACUUUUUUUAAAUUCAAUAGUCUCAUGGAUUAUGUCGAUAAUUGUUAGGCAACUGAUAGGGGGAGGUACAUUUAGGAAUGUCGAAUUGGUGAAUACCUAAAUGUGUGUAGAAUGGUUCUGUUUUUUUAUAUUUGAAUCAAUUGUACUAUUUGGUCGGGGAAUUCCCCGAAGUAUCUAUAUAUAUUUAUUCACCGGGGAAUGCCUCGAGGUAUCUAGUACCCGAAAGACGUUUGUGAUGAAGGCCCGAGGCGUCGGGGAGAAUGUUAGUCUAGGAUUAGUUUAGAAUAGGAUUUGUUUUUAUGCAUUUUCCUAUUUUGGACUGUAUAAUUGGACUGAACAUUAUUAUUUUGGUUUUGGAUUAUUGUUUGAUGUUUGUUUUAUGUGUUUUAUGUGGUUUAUACAUUCAUAGUAUCAAAUUAGCUGAUAUUCUCCACCAAACGACCGUGGUCGAACCAUAGGAUCGAGGGGUUCCUAACACCUUCCCUCGGUCAAUAGAAUUCCUUAGUCAGAAUCUCUGUUUGCGGAUCAGUUUAAAGAGUCAACAGUUUUGAAAAAGGAUUUCCAAAGGUGACUUGGCACACCUGAUUAUGCCAAGUGGCGACUCGAAUUUUAAAUGUCAAUAAUAAUUUUUGAAACAAAAAUUUUCACCUUUUGUCACAUAACAAUAAAAAUCCUUUCGAACCUUAAAACGAUUCUUUUUGGUUAAAAAAGGGGUGUGACAGCUCUGGCGACUCCGCUGGGGAUUUUUAAAAAUUCGAGCUAAUUUUUGGAGUUGUAUUGAUUUUGUUUGACAUCAUAGGUGUAUAGACAUUAUUCGUAUUAUUUUGUGUUAUUGUUUCUCAUUGUUGAGUGCCUACGUGCUCUUUGUUUACAGUUUUAUCUUAUGUGUUACCGCUUUAUAUCUGGCAUCAUGUGCAUAACCCGAGUCAUAACCCUAGUCAUUCUUUCUCAACAAGUCCAUAGUACACAUGUUGUACACAAUCUCUAGUUGAGUCAUCCUUAUUUUAGGAGAGGGAGCCGUUGGUGUUAUGGAGUGGGUGGAAAGCUCUCGCAGCCAUUAUCGACCAUGCGCUUCCCCGAAUAGCCUUGUUAGUGGACCCUAGCGUAGGUCAACCUUUAGUUCAUACUUAUUUGCAUCAUACCUAGCGGGAUCUACGUGGCCCUUUGUAGGAGACUCGCCUCUAAAGCAUCCCUACGUGCUAAAUAUUGCAUCUCUGAGGGUAACAUGGUCAUUGGGUAGUGCGUUAGAAGUAAAGUGUGUAGACAAGAAAGUGUUGCAAAACAAAAAGAGAGAAAAAGAAAAAGUGAUGUCAAAAAAGAGUGUUUCGUAGUUUCUUUUUUGGAGUUCUUUAUGGCUUUCGUUUUUCACAAUUCAAAAAUUCAAAAAGAUUUUUUUACCUCUUGCACUCAUUUCUCAAAAAAGAAAAAAAAAUCAAACAUAUCAAAAAGAUUUUCUUUUUAUUCCUUUACCAUGCAUUCAUAAUUCAAAAAUUUUAAAAAUAUUUUUUUAGGAGUUUUUAUAAAAGAAAAUUAAAAAAUGAUAGAUGUUUUGUACAUCUCAUAUAACGAAAAUACCAAAAAUAUUUUUAUUUCAUAGUUGUUGGUUUCAUUUUUAUGUGAAGUGUCAAAUUGAAAACUCAAAAAAAAAAAUUAUUCUUCGGACUUUGGUCGUGUCUCUUAAGUUAGGUCAAUCUGUUAGUUAAUCUUUAAUUGUCCAAUCUGGAUGAACUAUGCACCCCUGAUUCUCCCCUUUCGGGAGUGAGAUAUGUAGGAAGCCUAUUGUUGGUUUAGGGAUCUUACUUAAAAAAUUAAAAACAAAGAUUUUCUUCUCCUCAUUUAGAGUAGGUGUUUCAUUUAGGCCUUGACAAGAAAAAUACAAAAAGAUUUUCCUUAAUAAGCGUAGGUUUUAUUUUUGGUGGAUCUUAUUUGACAAAUCCAAAAAGAUUUUCCUUUAAUAGGUUUAAAUUUCAUUUAUAUGAAACUCCAAAUUGAAAGCCCAAAAAGAUUUUCUUUGGUAAUUAUAGAUUUCAUUUUGUAUAAGGAUUUAAACUUGAAAAAUACAAAAAGAUUUUUGUCAAUUCUUUUUAUAAUUUGUUAUUUUCUUUUCUCUUUGAAGUUUCAAGAAAGAGAAUGGAAAAAGAGUUGAAUUGGCCAUUUUGGCAAGACUUCACAAACUACGCACACCUGAUUCUCCUCUCUCGAGAGUGAGAUACGUAGACGCCCUUCUUGGGUUCGGUGAUCUUUUGAAAAAAAAGAAAAAGAAGGAAAAAGAGGUUUUGAAAAAGAGUUGAACUCUAACACAUCUGUUGUUUUCUUUGUUGAGUCAGUUUAAGGUGGUUGGUUUGUGGCAUUCUAGCUAGUCCUUCACAUCACACCAAAUCCAAAGGGUUAGUUGUGUCCAACAAAGAUAUAGAGAGUGACAUCAUGGAUAAAAUAAAGAAUCAAGAAAAAGAGAGUUUGAAGCAAGAUAUUAGGAGGCUAAUACAACAAAUGACAUAAAUGCAUCGAGCUUGGGGCAGUGGGUUUCCUCCUCCUCUAUUUCCCUUUAUUGAUCCUACAAACACCUCGAGUUUUCCACCUAAAUCUCAAAGUCAGUUUUCUACUGUUGUUGAUGCACCGCAACAUGACUCGAAAUUUAUUCUGAGCCAAAAGCAUCUCAAUACUUCCACCUCUUUUCCUCUAGCUCCUCAGCAUAAGCCUGCUACAUUUACAACAUCACAUGUCGUCUGUGAUCCUAUUGCUCAAUCCUCUACUGGGACUUCUACACUGGCUUGUCCAACGGUUGUGCGUCCCCAUGCUACUAGUGAACCUAUAUUCAAUACUCUUAGUGAUCAUUGUUAUACUCUUGAACCUGCUUUUAAGUUAACUGGACCACCAAAAUUUUUAACAAGAAGUCAAGUAUGCCAGAAGAGUCAAAUAAAAUGGUUGGAAAAAUGAAGAGUGCAGAGAAUACUAUGAAAAAUUCUCUAGGUCCUGCGGGUAAAGAAGAUAUUUCAUACAAAGACUGGAGCAUGCCUCCAAGUGCUAACCUUCCUCCAAUCUUUGAGAUGUUGAAAUUUGAGUAGCAAGAUGGGCAUGAGGAAUUCAUGAAACAUUUGGGACAAUAUUGCAAUCAAUUAAGGGAACCUGGAGAAAAGAAGAAUGAGAAAGAUGACAUGCUAGUGUAGUUGGAUAACGGGCACUUCCAAGAAGAUGACAUUGUCAUUGCCAUCGAUCUCAAGCCCAUGUUCAUACCCAAGCUCUCCAUAAUCACUCCCAAAAUCCAUUAUACUCUAUUUCCCCACCUCCAUAUCUAGUAUAUUGCGCACAACCAAAUGUUUAACUCCUUCCUUACCCACAAUGGCGCGUACCAACUCCUCAAAGUCAUCCUCUAAUUCCAAAAACAUAUCAAAGACCUUAUAGGACGGAUGUUUGAUCCAAGUUAAAUAAUUAAAUGAGGCAAAAAUUAAGGGAUAAUUUUACACUAAUUGGAGAGUCGUAUGCCAGUUUAUUUCAGAGAUUGGCACAACAAAGCAUGAUCACUCCUCUACUUGGGUAUACUCCUGACCCACAUUAAAGAAAUUUUGAUAGUAAUGUACGAUGUGCAUAUCAUUCUGAUGUUCAGGGUCACAAUAUUGAAGAUUGUCGUGCUUUGAAAAGAGAAAUUGAAAAUAUGAUUCAAGACAAAUUGAUUAUGGUGCAGAACAUUGAUAGUGAGGAACACUCUAGUCAUGCUGAUAUGCAAACUAGUGGCUAAGAUAUUAGGCUGAGCUAUUGAGAAGUCACCCCUCCCCCUACUAGGAAGAGGUAUGGUAGUUUGUUUUGUUUUAUUUUUGUUAUCUGAAUUAUUUAAGGUUUGUAGUUCGAGAUCUAUCUUGUUUUGUCCAUUUGUCGUUAUGUUCAAACCCUUCUAUGUUUUUUUAAUUGCAUACUUCUAUCUUUAUGAAGUAUCCCUUUUUCCUUUGUAUUUUAAAUAUAUGUUGUUUGUUUAUUUUCUUUAUACAGUAUAUUUUAGGUUAAUUCUAGUGUUAUGACAUGCUAGCAGAAUUUUCAGCCAAAUCUUAAAAUCUAAUUUAAUCAUGAACGUUGAAUCAGAGGGUUAAAGUUAGAAAAAGAAAGCAUCUCAGUAAAUAGGUAGAGUGUUGAGACAUUUGAUGACAAGUUCAAGCCUUCUUUGAAAAUUAAGGCAAUUAUUUUGAGAAUCACAAGAAUAACUUGGUCAUCAAUUUAAAAACAUAGCUCAAUUAGGUCAAAUAGUGCAUAUGUGAUCCCAAGGAAUAGAACAAAAUCAACUCCACGAAAGCAUGAGUCAUUCAAUGUAAGGGAUGUACAACAAUGAUGGAGUUCUAUGUUCGACAGGUGCAGAAGAAGAGGUGGUAAAUAUGUUUGGGAAAAGUUGGUUUUUUAAAAUAUGUCAUAAGUGAUAUUGAUCCUGCGCUUUCAUAUUGCAUGAUAUGUACUUGCAUUUUCAAGGAUUGAUAUGAUGAAGUCAUUUCAUUCUUCUAUCCAAACAUCGUGUCAUCCUUUGUUUACCUCAUUUGAGCUUUAAUCCUAUUUUCUUUCAUACCCCUCUUUUGGAAUCAAAAUAGAGUAAAAAAAAAUAUGUCCAAAAAGAAAAAAAGAAAAGUGCCAAGACAAAUAGAGUCAGAAAAAUCCAAAGAGAAAAGAGUGUUAAUAAAAGAAAAAGAAUCAAAAGUCUAAAUCAUGCAAAACAAGCUGCCAGAACUAAGUGUGACUUGAUUCUCCUCUCUCGAGGGUGAGAUAUGUAGGUUGCCCUACCCAGGGCUCGGUCCAACCUAAUAAACAUUUUAGAAUUCCCAGUCAAAAGAAACUGGGGCAUGAGUUAAUCCUCAUAGUUUGAGUCGAUUUCAAAAGGCAAGUUAUAAACAAAGAAAGACCUUCAGAUCUAUCUUUGAGAAUGUUAAGGCUAAGCAUACAAUGGAUAUGAUAACGCAUUUUGGAAACUACUUGUCUUCAUCAAAAUAAAGAAUAAGGAGAGAAAUAAAAAUGAGAGAGUCUUACUGGUGAAAACCCUCGCGGGCACUAUAAGGCGAUAGUGAGUUAAGAAAAUAAAAAUAAGAGUCUUAUUGGUGAAAACCAUCGCGGGAACCAUAAGGCAAUAGUGAGUUGAGAGAAAUAAAAAUGAGAGAGUCUUAUUGGUGAAAACCCUCAUGGGCACCAUUAGGUGAUGGUAAGUUGAGGGAGAUAAAAAUGAGUGAUUCUUAUCGGUGACAACCGUCAUGAGCACCAUAAGAUGACGGUGAGUUGAGACAAAUGAAAAUAAGAGAGUUUCUUUGGUGAAAAACCCUCAUAGACACCAUAAGGUAAUGAUGAGCUGAGAAAAGAAAAAUGAGACAGUCUUGUUGGUAAAAACCAUUCAAGGCCCCACUAGCCGAAUGAGGUCUUAAAUGCAGUUGACCUAAGGAAGCAACUCAAUUUUGAAGUCAUUCACUUAACAACAAUCGGUAGAAAGUUUUGGAUGGAAAGAUCAGGUAGUCUAAUCCAAUAUGCAUGCUAUAAUCAUUAGAGUUGACUUUCAUUUUUAGAAAAACUUUUCUUUCAUCUUAUUGAAUGGGGACAUUCAUUAUUAUUUUUUUCUUCUCUUUAUUAUAUUUUUAUUUUCUUGAGUCAGUUUCCAAAUAAACCAAAAAUUAUUGUUAUUUUUCUAUUGUCUUUGAGUCAAGUCCAUGUCAAAACAAGUGAGAAAAGAUUUCAAAAAUAGCUGCCAAUUUCUUCAAUUGCACAAAGCAAGACAGAAAGGCCAGCGUAUGAAAGAGACAUGAUUUUGAGCUAAAAAAAGGGCAUGCAGAAAGCUUUAUCAACAGGCAAAUCUGGGAACUCAUGAAAAUACCAAGGUUUAAAGGGUUUAUCUGAAAAGCAUGGCAAAGUAGAUAUACUGUGUUUAUUUCAGAGUCAAUCUUAAUAAUCUGAGUUUAGAUUAAUGACGUGAAAAAGUAGAGGUAAGUGCCAAUAAUCCAAAACAAAAUGAAGAAAAUGGACACUAGAGCACGUGUUGGGACAGCCAAGUGCGGCAAGCCACCACUAUGUUUUUAAGUGACAAAUUUUCUUUGUCAAAACAGGGGCAAAUUCACUUCACUUAAUUUAGCUACCAUUGGAAAAACAUAUCCAAGGGAAUUUAUUUUUUGUUCAGGAACCUCCUGAAAAAUGGGAAUUUACUUUCUGUUCAAGACCCUCUUGAAAAAUGGGAAUUUACUUUCUGUUCAGGACCCUCCUGAAAAAUGGGAUUUUACAUUCUGUUCAGGACCCUCCUGGAAAAUGGGAUUUUACUUUCUGUUCAGGACCCUUCUUAGAAAUAAGAUUUUACUUUCUGUUCCGGACCCUCCUGGAAAAUGGAAUUUUACUUUCUGUUCAGGACCCUCUCAAAAAAUGAGGUUUACUUUCUGUUCAGGACCCUGCCAAAAAAUGGGAAUUUACUUUCUAUUCAGGACCACCCCCGAAGUCCCCUCCCCCCACCUCUGAAAAAAUGGAAUUUUACUUUCUAUUUAGGACCCUCCUGAAAAAUAAGAUUUUACUUUCUAUUUUGGACCAUCUUAAAAAAUGGGAUUUUACUUUCUAUUCAGGACCCUCCCAAAAAAUGAGAUUUUACUUUCUGUUCAGGACCCUUCUGGAAAAUGGGAUUUUACUUUCUGUUUAGGACCCUCCCGGAAAAUAGGAUUUUACUUUCUGUUCAGGACCAUCCCGAAAAAUGAGAUUUUACUUUCUGUUCAGGACCCUCCCAGAAAAUGGGAUUUUACUUUCUGUUUAGGACCCUCUCGAAAAAUGGGACUUUACUUUCUGUUCAGGACCCUCCUAAAAAAUGGGACUUUAAUUUCUAUUCAGGACCCUCUUGACCUUCCUGAAAAAUGGGACUUUACUUUCUGUUCAGGACCCUACUAAUAAAUGGAACUUUACUUUCUGCUCAGGACUCUCUUGAAAAAUGGGACUUUACUUUCUAUGCAGGACCCUCCUGAAAAAUGAGAUUUUACUUUCUGUGCAGAACCCUCCUGAAAAAUGGGACUUUACUUUCUGUUCAGGACCCUCUAAAAAAAUGGGACUUUACUUUCUGUUCAGGACCAUCCUGAAAAAUGGGACUCUACUUUCUGUUCAGGACCCUCCUGGAAAAUGGGACUCUACUUUCUGUGUAGGACCCUUCUGAAAAAUGGGAUUUUUCUUUCUAUUCAGGACCCUCCUAAAAAAUAGAAUUUUUUUGUCUGUCCAGGACCCUCCUGAAAAAUGGGAUUUUACUUUCUGUUCAGGACCCUCCUAAAUAAUGGAAUUUUACUUUCUGUUCAGGAUCCUCUUGAAAAAUAGGACUUUACUUUCUGUUCAAGACCCUUCUGAAAAAUAGGACUUACUUUCUGUUUAGGACCCUCCUGAAAUAUAGAAAUUUACUAUUAUGUACAAGCCCUUUGUAAGGCUUCGCAAAUUUCCCUCGUAGUUUGAGCCGUAGGGCAUGUCGAGUGAGGCGUGAUUCCGGCCUAAAAGAUUGCAAAGUUUCUUCCUAAGUUAGUAACAUGUUAACUAUAUAGAUUUUAACCUUAUUCUGGGUAUGGAUUGGCUUUAUUCUUUUUAUCCAUCUAUAGAUUAUCGUACCCGUGUAGUCAAGUUUCAGUUUCCUGAUGAACCAGUGUUUGAGUGGUCUGGGAGUUCGGUUUCUCCCAAGUGUCAUUUUAUCUCCUAUAUCAAAGCCAGAAAGCUUAUAUCUAAAGGUUUCAUUUACCACCUAUUUAGGGUCAAGAAAACUAAGUCCGAGACUCCAACCAUCCAGUCGGUUAAUGUUGUUAAUGAGUUCCCCGAUGUCUUUCCAAAAGAUCUCCCAGGGGUACUUCCCAAUAGAGAGAUAGAGUUCAGAAAUGACCUUCUUCCUGACACUCAGCCUAUUUCCAUUCCGUCAUAUCAUAUGGCACCUUCCGAGAUUAAGGAGUUGAAGGAGAAACUCAAAGAUAUCUUAGACAAAGGUUUCAUUAGACCCAGUAUUUCUCCUUGGGGCACACCUAUUUUGUUCGUGCCAAAGAAAGAUCGAUCUUUGCGUAUGUCCAUUGACUACCGUCAACUGAACAAGGUCACAGUCAAAAAUAAGUAUCCUCUUCUGAGAAUUGAUGAUCUGUUUGAUCAGUUGCAAAGUGCAAGUUAUUUUUCCAAGAUAGACCUUAGAUCCAGCUAUCAUCAACUUACAGUGAGGGAAUGUGAUAUUCCAAAGACAGCCUUCCAAACCCGUUAUGGUCACUUUGAGUUUCUAGUCAUGUCUUUUGGGCUAACCAAUGUCCUAGAAGCCUUCAUAGACCUCAUGAAUUGAGUGUUCAAGAAAUACCUUGAUACGUUCGUUAUUGUCUUCAUAGAUGACAUCCUUGGGUACUCCCGUGAUGAGAAUGAUGAUGCAGCUCAUCUUAGAAUUAUCUUGCAAGCUCUUAGAGAUAACCUGUUGUUUGCUGAAUUCAGUAAGUGUGAAUUUUGGCUAAGUUCUGUAGCCUUCCUGGGUCAUGUUGUUUCAACUGAGGGUAUUAGAGUUGAUCCGAAAAAGAUAAAAUUUGUGAGAAACUGGCCUAGACUUAUCUCUCUAUCUAACAUUAGGAGUUUCAUGGGUCUAGUGGGCUAUUACCACUGUUUUGUUGUGGUUUUCUCUUCCAUUGCGUCUCCUAUGACCCGGUUGGCCCAAAAGAAGGUUAAAUACUAGUGGUCCAAAUCCUAUAAGAAGAGUUUUCAGGAGUUGAAGACUCGACUCACUUUAGCCCCUGUGUUGACUUUGCCUAAUGGUAUUAAUGGUUUUGUGGUGUAAUAUGAUACCUCUAGAGUUUGUUUGGGUUGUGUAUUGAUGCAAAGGGGUAAGGUUAUAGCCUAUGCCUCUAGACAGUUGAAGAUGCAUAAAAAGAACUACCCGACCCUUGAUCUUGAGUUAGCUGAUGUGGUUUUUGCUUUGAAAAUUUAGAAACACUAUCUUUAUGGUAUCCAUGUUGAUGUGUUUACUGAUCAUAAAAGCCUUCAGUACGUGUUUACCCAGAAGGAGUUGAACCUUAGGCAUAGUAGGUGGUUAGAGUUGUUGAAAAAUUAUGAUAUGAGUGUGUUGUAUCACCCAGGCAAGGUCAAUGUGGUGGCGAAUGCCCUUAGCAGAUUGUCCAUGGGUAGUGUUGCGCAUAUUGAGGAAGGUAAGAGAGAGUUAGCUUAUGAUGUUUAUUGUCUGGCUAGGUUGGGUGUUAGAUUGCUUGAUUCAGUGGAGGGGAGUACGUUGGUGCAAAGUAGUUUUGAAUCUUCUUUAGUUUUAGAAGUGAGGGAGAAUCAGGAUAGGGAUCCUAGUUUGGUCAAACUUAAGAAGUCAGUUAAGGACCAAAAGGUCAAGGUUUUCUCUCAAGGGGAAGAUGGUGUGUUAAGGGUGCAUGGCAGGUUGUGUGUUCCAUUUGUUGAUGAUUUGAGGUGGAGGAUUAUGGUUGAAGCGCAUGGCGCGCAUUAUUCCAUUCAUCCCGGUACUACCAAGAUGUAUCGAGACUUGUGGGAAAUCUAUUGGUGAAACGACAUGAAUAUGGACAUCAGCGAGUUUGUAGCAAAGUGUGCGAUGUGUCAACAGGUUAAGGUAGAGCACCAAAGACUGGGUGACGUGAUGCAAGAGUUUAGUAUACCUACUUAGAAGUGAGAGAUGGUGAAUAUGGACUUCAUGACUAGGAUGCCUCUUUCGCGUCGUCAUCAUAAUUCUAUUUGGGUUUUAUGGAUAGGUUGACUAAGUCCGCAUAUUUCUUGCCCAUGCAUACAUCUUAUACGACUGAGGAUUAUGCUAGAUUGUAUAUCCAAGUGUUGGUCAGACUACAUGGAGUUCCCUUGUCUAUCAUUUCGGAUAGGGGUACUCAAAUUACUUCUCAGUUUUGGAGGGCGUUUCAGCAGGGUCUUGGCACCCAAGUUCUUUUGAGUUCAUCUUUUCACCAACAGAUAGAUGGUCAGGCUGAGAGGACCAUUCAGACCCUAGAGGAUAUGUUGAGGCUGUGUGCUCUUAAUUUCCAAGGUAGUUGGGAUAAGCAUUUUCCAUUGAUAGAGUUCGCCAAUAACAAUAGUUUCCAUACUAGCAUUGAGAUGGCACCAUUUGAGGCUUUGUAUGGUAGGAGGUGUAGAUCACCCAUACGUUGGUUUGAAGUGGGCAAAGCUCUGUGUGUGGUCCUGAUGCAGUGUUCAAAGCUAUGGAGAAAGUUAUGUUGAUUAGAGAAAGGUUGAAGACCACUCAGAGUCAUCAAAGGUCUUACACAGAUAUAAGGAGGAGAGAACUUGAGUUUAAGGGAGGUGAUUUGGUGUACUUGAAGAUUUCACCCAUGAAAGGGGUGAAAAGGUUUGAUAGGAAGGGAAAGCUUUGUCCCUGUUAUGUUAGCCCAUAUCGAGUCUUGAGCCGUGUUGGUAAAAUGUCUUAUGAGUUUGAGUUUCCCCCGGAGUUGUAUGCCGUUCAUCCUAUCUUUCAUGUCUCUAUGCUUAAGAAGCAUAAUUGUGAUUCCUUUGUGGUUGAUCCUUCAGAGAGUGUUGAUAUUCAAGAUAGCCUUUCCUUCAAUGAGAUUUCCGUGGAGAUCCUAUUCUUUCAGAUCUGUAGACUAAGGAACAAAGAAGUUCCCUUGGUCAAAGUUUUGUGGCAGAACCAAACUGUUGAGGGUGCUACUUGAGAGGCAGAAGCAGACAUGCGAGCCAAAUACCUGCACCUCUUUUAUGCUAGUUUAGAUCAAUCCGAAGGUACCAUUCUUCCUUGAUUCAUCUUUUCUAAUCUAAAGUUCAACUAUGCAUCUAUCUUUGUAUGAGUUCUUGCGAUAUCCAGAGUGGUCAUAAGUUUAGGAAGAUUUUGAACCAUUUAGUAAUUAUUUCAUCUUUGUGUACUCAGUUUUUCCUGUAUUCCAAGACUAACUAGUGACAUUCGAGGACGAAUGUUCCCUAAGGGGAGAUAUUGUAAGGCCCCGCAAAGUUCCCUCUUAGUUUGAGCCGUAGGGCACGUUGAGUGAGGCCUGAUUCUGGCCCUAAAAGAUUGAGAAGUUGCUUCCUAAGUGAGUAACGUGUUAACCGUAUAGAAGUUCCCUAAUUUCUACUUUUUGUCACAUGUGAAAUCUGAUAAGCUUUCCAUCAAUAUCAGAUUUUCCCAAAUCCAACACUUAGGUAAGAAGUUAUGGCUAAUUUAAGCUUUAGUCGUAAAACUGCAUCAUUUAAUUGCCUGGCGCAUAGCGGAGAGGGUUGAUUUGGCAAUUGUCAAUUUCUAGUGGAACCCCGUGAUAGUGGUGCAUCGCGGAGGAGUCCCAGGUCCCAACCAGUGGGAAAACACGAUGGCUCUGAAAUUCUUGUGCCCAAAAGGCUAUUUACAUCAUGAAAUUCUUGAAAUAUAUGAGGUUUUUUACAUGAACUUGAAUUGGUUUUUCACCCAUUAUUAUUGAAUGAAUUAUACUGAUAUUUCCCAUGAAUUAAGAGUCAAAUGGUGUGAUUUCUACAUGUUUUCUUGAGUAUUUACAUCUGUGUAUAAACCCCAUGAUUUACUCCUUGAUAAGCUAAUAUUGAAUUGUAGAGAUAUUGAAGCAUAUGGUUAUAUUGAGAUUUUGAGGUAACUUGCUGAAAUUCCCAGAUUUCCACAUGAUUUAUGAAUCUAUAUGCUAUAUAUUAUGCUUUUGAUAAGCUUUAACUUGAGAUUGAAUAAUGGGUUAGUAAGCCGUAUUUGAGAUUUGUGAAAUUAUGAACGCUUAUGCUAUGAGCACCCAUGUUUUGAGUAUUUUGAGAUGAUUGAGAAAUGAAUUUACCUAAUGGUCCUUGAGCUUUGAAAUCCACUUCACUAUAUGAUAUUAUCGAUUUGAUUAUUGGGUUCUUGGUGAACCAUGUGAUUAUUCUAAAAGUAGAUUUUUUAUGAGAUGAGCUCAGAUAAUCUAAAGGGAGUAGUAUUUAGCACCGAGUGGAUAAGUUACUACGGUUUCUUAUCCCAAAACUAUGUGCCACCGUAGGUUGGGACUGAGGCCGAGUUUAAGAUGAUUAUGAUUGGUCCUGAGGCCAAGUUUUGUUUAGUGAUCAAUAGACCUAGGUUAUACUCCCUAGCAAGAGUAUGACGUUCCUCCCCAAUGUGGGGUCUAAUCCUUAGAAGGACAAAAUGUUGGACUCCAUGUAGGUCGCAUGGUUUAUGUCGGUUACGAGAACCUCCCUUGACAUUUAGAAUUCGAGAUCAAAUACUUAUUUUCCUUCCCUAUAAGCUAUUUUCCUAAAUGGUUGAAUUGCAAAGAUAUUUCCCCAACUAAAGUAUUUUAUCGAUGUGAGUUAUUUCCUAAAUGAAAGCAUCUUCCCUUGUUAUAGUAUUUUUUAUAAAGCCUCGAGAUAAGUUGUUUCCAUAAACUAGAAUGACUUUCCAUUUAAUAUGGAGUGAUUUUCCUAAAUCUUGAGAUGAGAUAUUUUCCUAAAGUGAAUGAAACUUUUUCAAGUAUGUUUUCAAGUUAUAUGAUUCCGAAUUCCAAGUAUAUGAGUUCUAAAUAGUUAUGAAAUGUUGAGCAUUGAAGAAGUUUUACUCUCCAUGAGACUUAUGCAUGAGUUGAAAAUAUUGUUUAAAGUCCCUUAGCCUUUGGGUAUUGAGAACAAGAGAAGGUUUCGAAUUUUGAGAUUAAACAAUGAUGACUCACAAGAUUUGUGUUGCAUGCUCCAUUCUACAUGACUUACGAGCUUUAUAAUUGUGAGUCAUCUCAUAAUGCAUACAUGAUUUGAUUAAAGAAGAUUGUUACUAUUUUAUUCAUAUGCAUUCACCCCCGCAUACUCAGUACAUUCCAAGUACUGAUCCACAUAUAUGUCUAUGUGCUAUAUUGUUUCAUAAUGUAGGUUCAGGUGCUCAGUCUCAGCCUCGCCCGUGAUUCUUUGAGUACUUUGCCUAUGUUUUCUACAGUGGUGAGUCCUCAUGAUUCGAGGACCAAUCUUCAGAUAUUUACCGUACUUCAGAGACUAUGUUUUAUCUUUAGUUCAUUUCAAGUCAGUUGAGGACAUGUCCCAACGGCUCUCUAGAUUUUGAUUUGUAGAGGCUUGUCAGACUAGUGUCAGACUUGUGAUGUGUCGAGGGUUCGCUAUUGUGGUUUUAUUGAGAUUUCUCUAUAUAGUGGUCUUAUGGACCGAGUAUCUUUUCCAUAUUUCCUUUCAUGUGAUAUGACUAUGCUAGUGUUGAGUCCAUUCUUAUCUUGAAUUGAGUUUCAUUGGUGGAAACCGGUUCUAAGGGUUAGCUUAGGGAAAGUAGCCUUAGGCACCGUGUGACAUCCCGGGAGAAGAUUUUGGGUCGUUACACCCUCCUGGAAAAUGAGACCAUACUUUCAAGAAAAAUAAAAUUCUUCUUUAUUAUAAUCUUUGUUUGGAAUAAUUUUCGUUCUACUUUGAUUUUGGUUUCAGGAGCCCGCCUGAAGAACAAGGAGAGAAAAUGGUAAGUCAGGAGCCCGCCUAAAGAACAGGGUGAUGAAAUUGGAAGUUGAUGAAAUUGAAAGUCAGGAUACCUUCUGAAGAACAGGGUGAAAAAGUUAAAAAGUCAAUGAAUAAGGUGGUGAAAUAUAAAGUCAAAAAUGGCAAGUCAGAAGCCCUCUUGAAGAGUAGGGAAAAUAAAUGAAAGUCAAGCAACAAGGUGAACCGAUUGAAAACCAAGAAAAAAGUGAUAAAAUUGCAAGUCAGGAGCCCGCCUGAAGAACAAAGUGAAGAAAUCGCAAGUCAGGAGUCCGCCUGAAGAAUAGGGUGAUGAAACUUAAGUCAGGAGUCCAAAAGAAGCUGCAUAGAUAGGAUUUUUGUAAUUUCAUUUAUGUUUUAACUUGUAAUUUUCAUUUCUGACAUAAUAACAGAGUCGCGGACCAGAACCCUAACGAGACCUCACUCGACUCUCCAACUCGGUAUAGUCCAUCACUCUUCAAUCCUUUGAGAUAACUGUCACUUGAUUCCCUUGUAACUUGGGUAGUUAGGAUGCCUUAAGUUAAGAUUCGGUUGUCCUCCUUCCUUUUAUUUCUUCCUUCGAAUAAUGAUUGGGACAAAAUUCUGUCUCGUCGUCUACUUCUUUGUAUGAAAACACUCCGUGUUUACAUUCAAAGAGAGCAUGAUGUAGACACGUAAGUUUGUCCCUUCGAAAGAUUAAUUUUCACCUAUUUACUUUAUUCUACCGUGUACUCCUAACUGUGUAAUUAUUCCUCAUAAAAGAACAAAAAAUAACAAACUCCCAAACAAAUUUUAUCCUAUCCUAACCCCCUUUACACCUAAUCCUAACAACCUACCCCACCCCACACCCUACCUUACCUUAUCUUUACCCCUCAUAUUUUAUUCCAUUUGGUUAACAAAUUAAAAAAGAUAAAAAAAGGAGGGUCCCACAGGGAAUCUCCAUAUUUACAAAGCAUAAUACAUAUAUACACAUUCACCAGCAUCAUCAUAGGGAGAGACAUAUACAUAUAAAUUUUAUUUUUCAAUUCAUUAGAAAAAAGAGGGCCCCCACGGUUUGGCUUGAAUUUUCCAUAAGACACUAUAUAUACAUAUACUCUCACAGAAGACUAUCAGGACAGAUCAUCCAUUAUUUUUUUUCUCUUCUUGGAUUGAUAAUACACAAAAAACCACGCACCAACUCACAAUUUUGCUCUCAAGAACAUCCACAUACACGCACACCCAUACCAAAAUUACACACAAAUGGUGAAAAAUAGUGAGAUGCAAGGUGAAUUGAAGGGGGAAUAGUGAGAUGAGUGAGUGAGGAUCACAAGCGGAGAGAGAGAGAAUAAUGGAAAGAGAGAGCAAUGAAAUCAGGUAGAGAGGGUGAAAAUUGAGAGAGAUGGUGAGGGUUUCAGGUCUUUGGUCACUGCUCUUGCGACUUGGCUCACCAAAAUUUGUUUUCCAUCCAUCAUUCAAUCAUUUCUCUUCAUAUUUCUGAUAAAAUCUCAUCGAAAUUGAUGCUAUCAGUAUCCAGUCGUCUAUUCAACAAGCCCAGUCCAAAAUCCUCAAAUUAUCUCCAUUUUUCUCUGAUUUUUAGGUAGAUCCAGCUGGAAAACAUGAACUAGCGAUGAAAAUUAGUUGAAAUCCAUUUUGUUUUUUAAUCAAUUUCAAGACAUUUUCACAUACGGGUUUGUAUUCUGUUGUGAUUUCGUUCUUAGUUCAUCGGUAUUCAUGUCGAUUUUGGGGAUAUAGGUUCUAUUUGUCUCGAUUGAUUUAUCCUAAGCAGUUUGGGGUUUCUAUUUCUCACUAUCGAGUUGGAUUCCGUGGUUGUUGAAGUUCUAUUCGAAAUUCUAUUGUCCAAGCUUUCGUAACUUUAUUAUCAACGAAAUCAGUUCUUCAAAGGUCCAUCUCUUAACUCUACUUUUUGAUUAUAUCGAAGUUGGUUAAUAUCGUGAUUUUGUGGUGUUGUUUUGAAUAUUUUAAGCAAAUAUUGAUUGUUGUUGUGGAUAUGAAUGAUCGGUAUGCUUAAAUAUUUGAAUCUUUAUUUGGGGUAUGUGUUCAUUGUUUGUUCGGAUUUUGAAAAGUUAUUUGAUAGUCGCAUUGGUUUAAUCAUGUGAUAUUUGGAGGGCGGAAAUUAAAACAUUAAUAAAAGUGAAUAUUAGUUCAUGUUGAUUUAUUGAUAAUCCUUGAUUUGGGAAAAGUAUCGACUUUGUUUAAAUUUGAUAGACUUAUGGUUUAAGUCGAUAAUUGUUAGGAAAACGAUAGGGGAAGGCACAUUUAGGAACGUCAGAUUGGUGAAUGCUUGAAAUAUGGGUAGAAUGGCUCUGUUUUUUCAUUUUAGGAUCAAUUUUACUAUUUGAUCGCAGAAUGAGCCGAAGUAUCUGUAUAUAUUUAUUCACCGGGGAAUGCCUCGAGGUAUCUUGUACCCGAAGGACGUUCGUGAUGAAGGCCCGAGGCGUUGGGUAGAGCGUUAGUCUAGGAUUAGUUUAGAAUAGGAUUUGUUUUUACGCAUUUUUCUAUUUUGGACUGUAUAAUUGGACUGAACAUUAUUAUUUUGGUUUUGGAUUAUUGUUUGAUAUGUUUGAUAUUUGUUUUAUGUGUUUUAUGUGGCUUACACAUUCAUAGUAUCAAAUUAGCAGAUCUGCCCUACCAAGCGACCGUGGUCGAACCACAGGAUCGAGAGGUUCCUAACACCUUCCCCUCGGUCAACAGAAUUCCUUAGUCAGAAUCUAUGUUUGUGGCUCAGUUUAAUGAGUCAAAAACAGUUUUAAAAAAGGUUUCCAAAGGUGACUUGACACACCUGAUAAUGCAAAGUGGCAACUCUGAGUUAAAUGUCAAUAAUCCUUUUUGAAACAAAAAUUUUUACCUUUUUUCACAUAACAAUAAAAACUCUUUCAAACCUUAAACCUAUUUUUUUGUUAAAAAGGGAGUGUGACAGCUCUGGUGACUCUGCUGGGGAUUUUUCAGAAUUUGAGCUAAUUUUUGGAGUUGUAUCGAUUUUGUUUGACAUCAUGGGUGUAUAGACAUUGUUUGUGUUGUUUUGUGUUAUUGUUUCUCAUUGUUGAGUACCUACGUGCUCUUUGUUUACAGUUUUUAUCUUAUGUAUUACCGCUUUAUAUCUGGCAUCAUGUGCAUUACCCGAGUCAUAACCCAAGUCAUUCUUUCUGCAACAAGUCCGUAGUACACGUGUUGUACACAACAUCUAGUUGAUUCAUCCUUAUUUGAGGAGGGGGAGCCGUUGGUGUUAUGGAGUGGGUGGAAAGCUCUCGCAGCAACUAUCGACCAUACGCUCCCCCGAACAGCCUUGUUAGUGGACCCCAGUAUAGGUCAACCUUUAGUUCAUACUUAUCUGCAUCAUACCUAGCAGGACUUACGUGGCCCUUUGUAGGAGACUCACCUCUAAAGCAUCCCUACGUGCUAAAUUUUGCAUCUCUGAGGGUAGCAUGGUCAUUUGACGAACCGAUUUGGGGAAUGUGUUAGAAGGAAAGUGUGUAGACAAGAAAGUGUUGCAAAAAAAAGAGAGAUAAAAAGGAAAGGUGAUGUCGAAAAAGAGUGUUUCAUAGUUUUUCUUUUGGACUUCUUUAUGGCUUUCAUUUUUGACAAUUCAAAAAUUCAAAAAGAUUUUUUACCUCUUGCACUCAUUUCUCAAAAAAGAAAAAAAAAUCAAACACAUCAAAAAGAUUUUCUUUUGAUUCCUUUAACAUGCAUCCAUUAUUCAAAAUUUUCAAAAAGAUUUUUUUUAGGAGAUUUUAUAAAAGAAAAUUCAAAAAUUAUAGAAAUUUUGUACAUCUCAUAUAACGAAAAUAGCAAAAAAAAUUAUUUCAUAGUAAUUGGUAUCAGUUUUAUGUGAAGUUUCAAAUUAAAAACUCAAAAAAAAAUUAUUCUCUGGUCUUUGGUCGUGUCUCUUAAGUUAGGUCUGUCUGUCAGUUAAUCUUUAAUUGUCCAAUCUGGACGAACUACUCACCCCUGAUUCUCCCUUUCGGGGGCGACAUACGUAGGCAACCUAUUGUUGGUUCGGGGAUUUUAUUUAAAAAAAAAAAGAUUUUCUUCUCCUUAUUUAUAGUAGGUGUUUCAUAUAUGCCUUGAAAAUAAAAAUACAAAAAGAUUUUCCUUAAUAAUCGUAGGUUUUAUUUUUGGUGGAUCUUAUUUGAAAAAUCCAAAAUGAUUUUCCUUUAAUAGGUUUAAAUUUCAUUUUGUAUGAAACUCAAAAUUGAAAGCCCAAAAAGAGUUUCUUUGGUAAUUAUAGAUUUCAUUUUGUAUAAGGAUUUAAACUUGAAAAAUACAAAAAAGAUUUUUGUCAAUUCUUUUGAUAAUUUGUUAUUUUCUUUUCUCUUUGAAGUUUCAAGAAAAAGAAUGGAAAAAGAGUUUAAUUGGCCAUUUUCGCAAGACUUCACGAACUAAGCACACCUCAUUCUCCUCUCUUGGGAGUGAGAUACGUAGGCUCUCUUCUUGGGUUCGGUGAUAUUUAAAAAAAAAACAAAAAGAGGUUUUGAAAAAGUGUUGAACUCUAACACAUUUGCUAUUUUUUUUGUUGAGUCAGCAUAAGGUGGUUGGUUUGUGGCAUUCUGGCUGGUCCUUCACAUCACACCAAAUCCAAAGAGUUAGUUGUGUCCAACAAAGAUAUAUAGAUUGACAUCAUGGAUCAAACAAAGAAUCUGGAAAAAGAGAGUUUGAAGCAAGAGAUUAGGAGGCCAAGACAACAAAUGAUAGAAAUACAUCGAGCUAGGGCCAGUGGGUUGCCUCCUCCUCCAUUUUCCUUUAUUGAUCCUACAAACACCUCAAAUUUUCCACCAAAAUAUCAAUGUCAGUUUUUUACUGUUAUUGAUUCACCGCUUCAUGACACAGAAAUCAUUCUAAGCCAAAAGCAUCUCAAUACUUCCACCUCUUUUCCUCUAGCUCCUUAGCAUAAGUCUGCUACAUUCACAACAUCACAUGUAGUCUGUGACCUUGUUGCUCAAUCCUUUACUGGGACUUGCACACUGGCUCGCCCAAGGGUUGUGCGUCCCCAUGCUGCUAGUGAACCUAUAUUCAGUACUCUUGGUGAUCAUUGUUAUACUCCUGAGCCUGCUUUUAAGUUAAUUGGACCACCAAGAUUUCUUAACAAGAAGUCAAGUACGCCAGAAGAGUCAGAGAAAAUGGUUGGAAAAAUGAAGAGUGUAGAAAAUGCUAUGAAAAAUUCUCUAGGACUUGCGGGUAAAGAAGAUGUUUCAUAUAAAGACUAGAGCGUGCCUCCAAGUGCUAACCUUCCUCCAAUCUUUGAGAUGUCGAAAUUUGAGGAGCAAGACGGGCAUGAGGAAUUCGUGAAACAUUUGGCACAAUAUUACAAUCAAUUAAGGGAACCUGGAGAGAAGACGAAUGAGAAAGAUGACACUGCUAUUGUAAUUGGAGAACGGGCACAUCCAAGAAGACGACGUCGUCGUUGCUGUCAGUCUCAAGCCCAUUUUCAUAUCCAAGCUCUCCGUAAUCACUACCAAAAUCUAUUAUACUCUGUUUCCCCACCUUCAUAUCUAGUAUUUUGCGCACAACCAUAUGUUCAACUCCCUCCUUACUCAUAAUGGCACGCACCAACUCCUCAAAGCCAUCCUCCAAUUCCACAAAUAUAUCAAAUCCCUUAUAGGCUCGAUGUUCAAUCCAAGUUAAAUAAUGAAAUGAGGCAUAAAUUGAGGGAUAGUUUUACACCAAUUAGAAAGUCAUAUGCCAGUUUAUUUUAGAGAUUGGCACAACAAGGCAUGAUCACUCCUCUACUUGGGUAUACUCCUGACCCACAUUCAAGAAGUUUUGAUCAUAAUGUACGAUGUGCAUAUCAUUCAAAUGUUCAGGGUCACAGUAUUGAAGAUUGUCGUGUUUUGAAAAGAGAAAUUAAGAAGAUGAUUCAAGAAAAAUUGAUUAUGGUGCAGAACAUUGACGGUGAGGAAAACUCUAGUCAUGUUGAUAUACAAACCAGUGGCAAAGAUGUCAGGUUGAGCAAUUGAGAAGUCACCUCUCUCCUUACUAGAAAGAGGUCUGGUAGUUUAUUUUUUUUUAUUUUUUGUUAUCCAAAUUAUUUUAAGGUUGUAAUCCGGGAUCUAUCUUGUUUUGUCCAUUUGUCGUUAUGUCCAAACCCUUCUAGCUUUUAUUUUAAUUGUUCUAGCUUUUAUUUUAAUUGAAUGAAGUGUCCCUUUUUCUUUUGUGUUUUAAAUAUUUGUUGUUUGUUUAUUUUCUUUUAUACAGUAUAUUUUAGGUUAAUUCUAGUGUUAUGACACGCUAGCAAAAUUUUUAGCCAGAUCUUAAAAUCCAAUUUAAGCAUGAACAUUGAAUCAGAGGGUUAAAGUUAGAAAAAGAAAGCAUAUGAGAAAAUAGGUAGAGUUCUGAGACAUUUGGUGACAAGUUCAAGCCUUCUUUGAAAAUUAAGGCAAUUAUUUUGAGAAUCACAAGAAUAACUUGGUCAUCAAUUUAAAAACGUAGCUCAAUUAGGUCAAAUAGUAGAUAUGUGAUCCCGAGGAACAGAACAAAAUCAACUCCACGAAAGCAUAAGUCAUUUAAUGUGAGGGAUAUACAACAAAGAUGGAGUUGUAUGUUCGGCAAUUGUAGAGGAAGAAGUGGUACAUAUGUUUGGGGCAAGUUAGUGUUGUAAAAUAUGUCAUAAGUGAUAUUGAUCGUGCACUUUCAUAUUGCAUGAUAUGUACUUGCAUUUUCAAGGAUUGAUAUGACGAACGCAUUUUAUUCUACUAUUCAAACAUUGUGUCAUCCUUUGUUUACCCCAUUUGAGCUUUAUUCCUAUUUUAUUUCAUACCCCUCUUUUGGAAUCAAAAUAGAGUAAAAAAAAGAAGAAAAAGAAAAUAUGUCCAAAAAGAAAAAACAAAAAAAAAGAAAAGUGCCAAGACAAAUAGAGUAAGAAAAUCCAAAGAGAAAAGAGUGUUAGUAAAAGAAAAAGAAUCAAAAGUCUAAAUCAUGCAAAACAAGCUGCCAGAACUACGCGUAACCUGAUUCUCCUCUCUCGAGGGUAAGAUACGUAAGCUGCCAUACCCAGGGCUCGGUCCAACCAAAUAAAAAUUUUAGAAUUGCCCAGUUAAAACAAAUGGGGGCAUGAGUUAAUCCUCAUUAUUUGAGUCGAAUUCAAAAGUUGUAAGUCCUAACCCACUUAAAGUUUCGUUUAGGAUUUAUAUCAUCCUUUCUUUCUAACACUAUCCAAAAGCCAAGUUAUAACCAAAGAAAGACCUUUAAAUCUAUCUUUGAGAAUGUUAAGGCUAAGCAUGCAAUGGAUGUGAUGACGCAUUUCGGAAACUACUUUUCUUCCUCAACAUAAAGAAUUAGGAGAGAAAUAAAAAUGAGAGAGUCUUAAUGGUGAAAACCCUCGCAGGCACCAUAAGGCGAAAGUAAGUUGAGAUAAUUAAAAUGAGAGAGUCUUAUUGGUAAAAACCCUCGCGAUCACCAUUAGGUGAUAGUGAAUUGAGAGAAAUAAAAAUGAGAGAGUCUUAUUGGUGAAAACCCUCAUGGGCACCAUAUGGCGAUGGUAAGUUGAGGGAGAUAAAAAUGAGAGUCUUAUCAGUGACAACCCUCACAAGUACUAUAAGACGAUGGUGAGUUGAGACAAAUAAAAAUAAGAGAGUCUCAUUGGUGAAAAACCCUCACGGACACUAUAAGGCAAUGGUGAGAUGAGAAAAGGAAAAUGAGAGAGUCUUGUUGGCAAAAAUCAUUCAAAGAGCCACUAGCCGAAUGAGGUCUUAAAUGCAAUUGACCUAAGGAAGCAACUCAAUUUCGAGGUCAUUCACUCAACAAGAAUUGGUAGAAAGUUUUAGAUGGAAAUAUCAGGCAGUCUAAUCCGAUAUGCAUGCCAUAAUCAUUAGAGUUGACUGUCAUUUUUAGACAAACUUUUCUUUCAUCCUUUUCAAUGGGGACAUUCAUUGUCAUUUUUUUCUUCUCUUUAGUUAUAUUUUUAUUUUAUUGAGUCAGUUAUCCAAAUAAAGCAAAAGUUGUUGUUAUUUUUCUCUUGUCUUUGAGUCAAGUCCAUGUCAAAACAAGUGAAAAAAAUUUUCAAAACUAACUGCCAAGUUCUUCAAUUGCACAAAGCAAGACAGAAAGGCCUGCACAAGAAAGAGAAAUUGUAAGCCAAAAAAAGGGCCUGCAGAAAGCUUUGUCAACAGGCAAAUCUGGGAAUUCAUGAAAAUACCAAGCUUUAAAGGGUUUAUCUGAGAAGCAUGGCAAAGCAGAGAUGCUGUGCUUAUUUCAGAGUCACUACUAGUAAUCUGAUUUUGGAUCAAUAACGUGACAAAGCAGGGGCAAGUGCUAAAUAUCUGAAACAAAAUGAAGAAAAUGACACUAGAGCAGGUGUCGGGACAGUAAAGUGCGGCAAGCCACCACUAUAUUUUUAACUGACAAAAUUUCUUUGUUGAAACAGGGGUCAAUUCGCUUCACUUAAUUUAGCUAUCAUUGAAAAAGCACAUCCAUGGAAAUUUACAUUUUCUUCAGGACCCUCUUGGAAAAUAGGAUUUACUUUUUGUUCAGGACCCUCCUAGAAAAUGGGAAUUUACUUUCUGGUCAGGACCCUCCUGGAAAAUGGGAAUUUACUUUCUGUUCAGGAUUCUACUGGAAAAUGGGAUUUUACUUUCUGUUCAGGACCCUCCUGGAAAAUCGGAUUUUACUUACUAUUCAGGACCCUCCUGGAAAAUUGGAUUUUACUUUCUGUUCAGGACCCUCCUGAAAAAUAGAAUUUUACCUCCUGAAAAAUUGGAUUUUACUUUCUGUUCAGGACCCUCCUGAAAAAUAGAAUUUUACUUUCUGUUCAGGACCCUCCUAGAAAAUGAGAUUUCACUUUUUGUUCAGGACCAUCACAAAAAAUAGGAUUUUACUUUCUGUUUAGGACCCUCCCAAAAAAUGGGAUUUUACUUUCUGUUCAGUACACCCCCUCCCAAAAAAAUGAGAUUUUACUUUUUGUACAGGACCUUCCCGAAAAAUGAGAUUUUACUUUCUGUUCAGGACUCUCCUAAAAAAUAGGAUUUUACUUUCUAUUCAGGACCCUCCCUAAAAAUGGGAUUUUACUUUCUGUUCAGGACCCUCCCGAAAAAUGGGAUUUUACUUUUUGUUUAGGACCCUCUCGAAAAAUGGGAUUUUACUUUCUGUUCAAGACACUCCUAGAAAAUGAGACUUUACUUUCUGUUUAGGACCCUUCUGAAAAAUGGGACUUUACUUUUUGUUCAAGACCCUCCUGAAAAAUGGGAAUUUACUUUCUAUUCGGGAUCCUCCUGAAAAAUAGGACUUUACUUUCUGUUCUAGACCCUCCUGAAAAAUGAGACUUUACUUUCUGUUCUGGACCCUCCUAAAAAAUGGGACUUUACUUUCUGUUCUGGACCAUCCUGAAAAAUGGGACUUUACUUUCUGUUCAGGACCCUCCUGAAAAAUGAGAUUUUACUUUCUAUUUAGGGCCCUCCUAAAAAAUAGGACUUUACUUUCUGUUCAGGCCUCUCCUGAAAAAUGGGACUUUACUUUUUGUACAGGACCCUCCUGAAAAAUGAGAUGUUACUUUCUAUGCAGGACCCUUCUGAAAAAUGAGACUUUACUUUCUGUUCAGGACCCUCCUGGAAAAUGGGAAUUUACUUUCUGUUCAGGACCUUACUGGAAAAUGGGAUUUUACUUUCUGUUCAGGACCCUCCUGGAAAAUCGGAUUUUACUUACUAUUCAGGACCCUCCUGGAAAAUUGGAUUUUACUUUCUGUUCAUGACCCUCCUGAAAAAUAGAAUUUUACCUCCUGGAAAAUUGGAUUUUACUUUCUGUUCAGGACCCUCCUGAAAAAUAGAAUUUUACUUUCUGUUCAGGACCCUCAUAGAAAAUGAGAUUUUACUUUUUGUUCAGGACCAUCACAAAAAAUAGGAUUUUACUUUCUGUUUAGGACCCUCCCGAAAAAUGGGAUUUUGCUUUCUGUUCAGUACACCCCCUCCCAAAAAAAUGAGAUUUUACUUUCUGUACAAGACCUUCCCGAAAAAUGAGAUUUUACUUUCUAUUCAGGACUCUCCUAAAAAAUGGGAUUUUACUUUCUAUUCAAGACCCUCCCGAAAAAUGGGAUUUUACUUUCUGUUUAGGACCCUCUCGAAAAAUGGGAUUUUACUUUUUGUUCAAGACCCUCCCAGAAAAUGAGACUUUACUUUCUGUUCAGGACCCUCCUGAAAAAUGGGACUUUACUUUUUGUUCAAGACCCUCCUGAAAAAUGGGACUUUACUUUCUAUUCGGGAUCCUCCUGAAAAAUAGGACUUUACUUUCUGUUCUAGACCCUCCUGAAAAAUGAGACUUUACUUUCUGUUCUGGACCCUCCUAAAAAAUGGGACUUUACUUUCUGUUCUGGACCAUCCUGAAAAAUGGGACUUUACUUUCUAUUGAGGACCCUCCUAAAAAAUGGGACUUUACUUUCUGUUCAGGCCUUUCCUGAAAAAUGGGACUUUACUUUCUGUACAGGUCCCUCCUGAAAAAUGAGAUGUUACUUUCUGUGCAGGACCCUUCUGAAAAAUGAGACUUUACUUUCUGUUCAGGACCCUCCUGGAAAGUGAGACUUUACUUUCUAUACAGGAUCCUCCUGCAAAAUGGGAGCACAAAGAAAUAAGAAUUUGUUGAAUCCAAACAAUUAAAUAAAGAAAACAAUUAAAAAGCCAAUAAUUCAUUUUAAAACAGAAACUGAGCUUAACUGCCAUCUAAUUAUAGAAGCAAAUAUCAGAAUUUAAAUUGAGGCUAAGACGAGCGAAAAUUCAUAGAAUCAUAGCUAUGGAAUGAAUUUAAAGAUACUACUAUUGAAAUUCUAACAAAUAAUACAUAAGUUAAAGUUUCAGUAUUGAAAAUCUACAACAAUAAUACAUUGACACGUACAGAAAGAAUAGGGAAAAAAGUUAAGAUUAAUGAAGUACAAUAGGCUUAUCGCAGAAAGGAAAAUCCUGCAUCUGGCAAAGUGCAUGCAGCCCCAGAAUUAGGGCAAGCCUCAUUUUCUUCUAAUAUCAAUAUUUAGAUUUAAAGGCCUUUCUUUUUCUCAAUACAAGAUUUCAAAUCUUUAUAUGCUAUAGCAGCUUCUUUGACACCUAAAGCAGUUACAUUCAAACCAUCUAAUCUAGAAAACAACAAUCUCAUCUUUCCCCAUGCUAGCAAUGUCUUCGACUUCUCCCUCGAAAAGCUAUUCAAGUUGUAUAGAUCAUUAAGGCAUUCGAUAUCAAUAAGAUGUGCUUUUUCCCUAACACAAGUAGGCGUCCAAACAAAAUUCUAGCCUAUAAGCACAUCUAAUAUUUGCAACAAUCACAUACAUAUACGCAGAACUUACCCAUACCCUAUUAUUAGUAUUUUUAUGUGGUAAAAGAUUAUUUCUAAUAUAUCCUAGAUUGAAUAAUUAAUAAUAAUUAUAAUUAUAAUAAUAAUAAUAAUAAUUAAUUAUUAUUAUUAUUAUUAUUAUUUAUUCAAUCUAGGAUAUAUUAGUAAAUAAAUAAAUAAAUAGUGGUGGGGAUAAUAAUGUUGGAAAAAUAAAUAUUCCCACCCAGGAUAAUAUCCACACAAGUAGCAAUAACAAGAGAGUAACAACGAUACCAAAUAUUAUAACGGGGAAAAUAAAAUACCUAAUGGAGUAAUACAAUAAUACAGAUUACAACAUAGCAGUGUCAAAAGACUACUACUCUUUAUAAACGAAACAACACUCUUUUUAUUUCUCACAACUCACUACAAUAUUACUCCCACACUAUUAUCUCACAGACUAUAGAAUAUCUAUGUAUUACUCUCUUUUUAUCUCUAUUGUUCUCUCAAUUAUGGUGUGUUUCAAAAUGAAUGAGAAGUCAUCUAUUUAUAGAUGAACUUCUCAAAGUUUACAUGUUGCGACACCAAUUUUCAAAUCAUGUUGCAACACAAAUUUUCAACUUCAUGUCACUACACUAACAAUGUUACAACACCAAUUUUCUUUUACUUUUUAUUUAUUUUAUUUGACUAUUUUUUUAUCCCACAAAUCUCUCCCUUAAUUUUGAUUUUUCUUCUUCAUUCCAAGACUUGAUCUUAAUCUCUAAAAGUCUUCAAAAUUGAGAGGCUUUGUGAAAAUAUCUGCAACUUGAUCAUGGGAUUUCAUGUACUUGAGAUCUACCUCUUUCUUGGCAAUCCAUUCUCUGAUGAAGUGAUAUGUUGUAUCUAUGUGCUUACUUCGAUCAUGAUAUACUAGAUUCUUGGAAAGAGCCUGUGCUGACUUAUUAUCAACAUAAAUUAUCGUGGCUGCAGUCUAUGGUAAGUUAAGCUCCUUCAAUAAUCUUCUCAACCAAAUGGCAUGGCACGUACAUGAUGUUGUUUCCACAUAUUCAGCUUCGCACAUUGAGAGAGUAACAAUGGUUUGUUUCUUUGAGCUCCAACAAAUAACACAAUCACCCAAGAAAAACACAAACCUGAUGUGCUUUUCCUAGCAUCCACAUCUCCCGCAUAAUCGCUAUCAAAAAAUUCCACAAGGUUAAAAUCAUCAGAAGAAGAGUAAAAUAGUCCAAGGUCUAUCCUACCUUUUAGGUAACGAAGAAUUCUUCUAGCAACUUUCAAGUGAGUGGAAGUAGGAGCUUCCAUGAAACGAAUUACUACUUCAACUGCAAAAAGUAUAUCUGGUCUCGUACAGGUCAAGUACCUCAGACUUUCCACAAGACUUUUGAAAAGAGUGGAGUCCACAUUUUUACCAUUAUCAAACUUUGACAAUUUUGUUCUUCUUACCAUUGGGGUGUUCACAGGAUUGCAAUCAAACAUGUUGAAUUUCUUCAAAAUCUCCUUUGUAUAUCUUUCUUGAGAUAUGAAUAUUCCUUCCUCCAUUUGCUUAUCUUCUAGGCCCAAGUAAUAUGACAUGAGACCUAUGUCUUUCAUCUCAAAUUCAAGGGACAUAGUUUUGUUGAAAGCUUCAAACAAAUAUGGAUUAUUACCCAUCAGAAUAAGAUCAUCAACAUAAAGACAAAUAAUCAAAACAUCUACAUUAGUAUGAACUUUAAUGUAAAGAGCAUAUUCAUGGAUACAACGAGUAAACCUAUUUUUUUGAAAAUACCUGUCAAUGCGACUUUUCCACGCUCGUGGAGCUUGCUUCAACCCAUAUAAAACUUUUUUCAAUUUCAACACUUUAUUUUCGGGAUUCUUGACCACAAACAUAGACUUCCUCUUCAAGAUAUCCAUUCAAAAAUGCCGACUUGAUAUCUAGUUGAUGGAUUUUCCACUUCAUUUGUGCCGCCAAAGAGAUUAGCAGACGUAUCGUCUUCAUGCGGGAAACAGGUGCAUAGACUUCUUCAUAGUCAAUGCCAUUUCUUUUCUUAUAGCCUUUAGCUACGAGUCUUGCCUUGUAUAUCUCUACUUUUCCAUGAGAAUUCUUUUUUGCCUUGUAUACCCAUUUGACUCUAAUUGCUUGAUGAUCUUUAGGAAGAGUUAUUAACUCAAGUGUUGUUCUUUUUAAUUGACUGAAUUUCUUCCUCCAUGACUUGUCUCCAUUUUUUGUCUAUAACAUCAUCAUCAAAAUUCAUUGGUUCACCGUCAUCAUAGAGACAACACCAAAAAUCAAGAUUAGUAACUUCUUCUAUGUCAUCAUAGAGUUCUUGGAUGCUCCUCAUCCGUUGUGGCCUUUCACCUGAACCCUGAUCUUGAGAAAAAUAAGAGCCAAUAUUUGCUGGGAGGUUUGCAUCCUAUUCAGGUUCCGUGGUAUCCUACUUUUCUUCAUCUCCAAAGUAUGGAAAAAAAAUCAUAUGUUCUUUCUUACGGAACCUCCUGGACUUCCCAAUUUUAUAAUGCUUCUUCUUCAAAUUCAACAUCAUGACUGACCAUCACUUUGUUGUUGCAUGGAUUGUAUAACUUGUAGCCUUUUGAACUAGUGUUAUAGACAAUAAAUAUAUACCUGACACUUCGAUCAUCAAGUUUAGCUCUCCCUUGAUGUGGAACAUGAGCAUAGGCUAUGCUCUCAGAAAUUCUCAAGCGUUUGACACUUAGCUUUCUUUCACUCCAUGUUUCUUGAGGUGUUUGAUCUUCCAUAUUUCUUGUUGGAGACCUGUUUCUUAAAUAAACUGCAUAUGAAAUAGCCUCAACCCAAAAUUCUUUUGGAAUAUUUUUAGCUUUCAACAUACAUCUUGCCAUAUUAAGAAUUGUUCUAUUCUUUCUUUCUGCAACUUCAUUUUGUUGGGGCGAGUAAGAUACCACUAAAGGGCGAUGAUUCCAUGAGACUGACAAAUGUCAUUAAAUUCUUUUGAAGUGAAUUUGCCUCCUCUAUCGGACCUUAAGGAUUUUAUUUCAUAGCCACUUUCUUUUUCUACAAGUGCUUUAAAAUUUUUAAAAGCAACAAAAGCUUUUAAUUUUUGCUUCAAGAAAUAUACCCAAGUCUUUCUACUAAAAUCAUCAAUAAAGAUUAAAAAGUAUUUACUUUUAUCAAAAGAAGAUAGAUUGAUUGGAACACACACAUCGGUAUGAACAAGCUGAAGUGGAUUAGUUGCUCUUGACGUGGUUUCCUUCAGAAAACUCCUCCUUUCAUGUUUUCCAAGAAGACAAGCUUCACACAACUAAUUGGGAUGAUUGGUUGAUGGAAUUCCAUCAACCAUGUUCUUGUCUCCUAAUGAUUUAAAAGUUUCAAAGUUCAAAUGUCCAAAUUACAUGUUCCAACAUCAUGACUCAUCUUGCACAUUAGCCUACAAACAUUUUGCAUUAAUGGUCUUAAGAUUCAAAGGAAAUAAUCUAUUUUUUGUCAUACGCACUUUGGUAAUUAAAUUAUUGCUUGAAUCUCUAAGCCAAAGAUGCAUAUUUUUCAUAUAAAUAUCAUAUCCUUUUUCAAGAAGUUGGUCCAAACUCAAAAUAUUAUUUUUUAGUUUUGGCACACAGUAAACCUCAUUGAUCAAUUUGUGAUCACCAUUUUUAUAGGAUAUCAAAAUCAUACCUAUUCCUUCAAUUUGAAUCUUUGAGGUAUCUCCAAAAGAUACAUUACCACUUUUCAUGUUCUUGAUCUCCAAAACUUGUCUUCGUAUCCACACAUAUGAUUACUUGUUCCAUUAUCAAGAUACCAUGAACUGUAAUCAUCUGUAUUAUCUUUUGUGAGUGUCAUUAAUAAUGUUGACUCAUCUUCUUCUUUAUUGUUGUCACAAAGGUUAGCUUUUUUUUCAACAUUACUACGACAUUCCCAAGAGUAAUGUCAAAAUUUAUGACCGUUGUAGCACUCAAUUUUAGAUUUGUCAUACCUCAUUUCACUGAUACCUUGAUAAGCUCCACGUCCUCUGCCUCCUAGUUGUCCAUGACCACGACCUCUGAAUGUUUGGUGGUUUUUAUCUUUAUUUUUUAAUUUGUUAAUAUAACACCUUCCUCUUCCACAACCUCCACGGCAGCCUCAGCCUCGCCAUUGUCCAUUUCCUCUGUAACUUUUUUCACCUCCAAAAUCUUUGAAGGAUGCCUGAGUUUUAAGAAGUUACUCCAAUGGCUCUUCUUUUCUUCUUUUCAUUUUUUCUUUGUGGGUUUUUAAAGAACCAUCCAAUUGCUCUACUAUCAUAGACUCUAAAUCUUUAGACUCCUCAAUAGUACACACCACAUAAUCAAAUUUGGGUGUUAAAGAGUGAAGGAUCUUUUAUACCAUGCGCACAUCAUCUACUUCCUCCCUGUACCUUCUUAGUUGAUUCACAACAGCCAUCACUCUUGAACAAAAAUCCAAAAUGGAUUUGAAUUCUUUCAUUUUUAAAACUUUAAAAUCAUCCCUUAGAAUUUGAAGUUCUACCUUUUUCACCUUAUCAACUCCUUGGAGAGAAUUUUGUAAGAUCUCUCAAGCUUCCUUCGUGGUGGUUGCAUCAGCCACCUUCUCAAACAUGCCAUCAUUCAAACAUUAGUGGAUGAGAGUGAGGGCCUAUUGAUCUUUCUUUCUUGUCUUAAUCAAGACAUCUUUUCCAUUUUGAGACAGAGUCUUCUUAUUGGCGGAUUUUGUAUUCCCUUUGUCUAUAAUAACCCAAACAUCUUGAGAACCAAGAAUGUCUUUCAUUUGUAGGCACUAUUUUUCAUAAUUUUCUUUUGUAAGGCGGGAGUACUAAAAAGACAGUGGACUAUUAUUUUCCAUGGCAUUGAUACCACAUUGUUGGGAAAACCAAUAUUUCUGCCCAGGAUAAUAUCCACACAAGUAGCAAUAACAGGAGAUAAACAACAACACCAAAUAGUAUAACGGGAUAAAUAAAAUACCCAAUGGAGUAAUACAAUAAUACUGAUUACAACUUGGCAAUGUCAAAAGACUACUACACUUUUUAAAUGAAACAACACUCUUUUUAUUUCUCACAACUCACUACAAUAUUACUCCCACAAUAUUAUCUCACAGACUAUGGAAUAUCUAUGGAUUACACUCUUUUUCUCUCUAUUGCUCUCUCAAUUUUGGUGUGUUUCAAAAUGAUUGAGAAGUCAUCAAUUUAUAGAUAAACUUCCCAAAGUUUACAUGUUGUGACUCUAAUUUUCAAACCAUGUUGCAACACAAAUUUUCAACUUUAUGUCACCACACUAACAAUGUUGCAACACCAAUUUUCUUUUCCUUUUUAUUUAUUUUAUUUGACUAUUUUUGAUCCCACAAAUAAUAAUAAUAAUAAUAAUAAUAAUAAUAACAACAACAACAACACUAGUAGUAAUAGUAGUAGUAGAUGGUCAGAUGCUUCAAAAAGAAAACAAAAAGCAAAAUCAAUAUACACAUCAUACACUACUAAAAAAAGUGUAAAAACCGACCACAAAAUGUGGUCGGAAAACACCGACCACUUGUGGUCGGUUUUUUAAUAUUUUUAAAAAAAUAUUUGUAUUUUAAAAAGCGACCACAUGUAAUCACUUUUUUAUUAUAAAAGAUCAAAGUAAAUAUUCCAAUUAUUUUUAUAUUAAUUAUUAUAAAAUUUAAAAAUUAAAAAAUCGACCACAAGUGGUCUUUUUACUGAAAAAAUUAAUUUAAAAAUAUUUUAAUAAACCAACUACGAGUAGUCAGAUUAAUAAAAUUCUUUUUUAAUUAUUUUUUAAAGAAACCGACCACUUGUGGUCAGUUUUUUUAUUUAUUUAAAAAAGAAAAUAUUUUUAAAAAAAUUACUACUUCUGGUCAGUUUUUAUUUAAAUAAAAAGAAAUUAAUUUUAAGUGGUCAAUUUUUACUGAAAUUAGAAAAUAAAAUUAAAAUUAAAAAUUUAAUUAUAAAUAAAAAAAAUAGUAGUAACAAAAAAAAAUAGUAAUAAAAAAUUUAAAUAAUAGUAAUAAAAAAUUUUAAAACCAACCACAUGUGGUUGGUUCUGGAUUUAAAAAAAGAUAAAAAAUAAAUAAAUAAUUUUAUUAAAUAAUUAUAUAAUCUUAUAUUAACUUUAUGUAAUCUAAUUAUUAUUAUUAGUAAAAAUAAUAUAUUACAUUACAUAUAUAAUAUAAUAUACUAUACAUACGUUAAAUGACUUCAAACAUGCAUAAUCUUUAUAUAAUUAAUAUGUGUAGACGUAAUUGAAAGAUGUAAUUGAAAGAUGAAAACUGAUCUUUAUAGUACGUAUUUGAAAGGUGAUGUUUUAUAGUACGUAUUUACAGUCGUAAUAAUAAUGUAAUAUAUAACAGAUAAUUCAUCAGAAUAUAAUGAACGUGUUCUAUUAUAAGGUAAUAUACAUGUGAAUGUGAUAUAUAUAGUACGCAUUCAAGAGUUCAUAUAUAUAUAUAUAUAUAUAUAUAUAUAUAUAUAUCUUGUAGUGAGUGUUUGUACAGUCGUAAUAAUAAUGUAAUAUAUAACAGAUAAUUCAUUAGAAUAUAAUGAAUGUGUUCUAUUAUAAAGUAAUAUACUUGUGAAUUUGAUAUAUAUAGUACGAAUUCAAAAUUAUAUAUAUAUAUAUAAAUAUAUAUAUAUAUAUAUAUCUGUAUAUACAUAUAUAUAUAUAUAUAUGUAAGUUUGGAUAUUUGUAUAUGAUAGUUAUCGAUUGAUGAACGAUGUAGUCAAAACCUAGUUUAUUAAGCUAAUCAAAUAUAAUUAAUCGAUCACUUAUCUGAGUAUGUAUAGAAAGACAUAUCAUUAUUUUAUAAGAUAAUAAUAUAAUUGUGAAUGUAUCUGUGAUAUAUAUGGUACGUAUUUAGAACUUGAUAUUGUCGAUAGUGUGUAUAUGUGUGCAUAUGUAUAGGUAUAUAUAUAUACUAUAUACAUAUUAUACAGUAAAGGUAUAUUAAUGACAUAAGAUAAUAUAAUCUAUAAUUCUUCUGAGUAUUUGUGAAAUACGUUGUAUAUAUUAUGGGUAGUAAAAUCAUGUAUGUGAUGUUUACUGUACAUAUUUUAAAGCUGAUAGACAAUUGAAUAUAUGUUUAUAUACGUAUAUCUCGUGUAGUGACGUAUGUAGUAAUCAAAAGCUAGAUAACUGAAUCUAUAUAUCAAAAUAUAGUUUGACUAAUAGACAAUAGAAUAUAUGUUUAUAUACGUAUAUCUCGUGUAUUGACCUAUGUAGUAAGCAAAAGCUAAAUAACUGAAUAUAUAUAUAUCAAACUAUUGAAGAAGUAGAUAUAAUAUUUUCAGUCAACGUAGACACGCGUGUGCUUUAGAAGUUGGAAUAACGUAAGACUAGUAUUAUGAGGAAUAUGAGAGGGGGGAGGAAGCAGGGGAGGGGGAGACAUAACAUUGAACAACUGUGUCAAAUAACGUUACACAAUUAAUCGAUAAUUUAAUUGAUUAACACGUUGUAUUACGAGCGAGGGUUAUAUAUAUCAAUAAAUUUUACAAAUUACGAUAAUCUUUUGCAAAAUAUCUUUUAGUUAUGAUAUUUUAUAUAUAUAUAUAUAUAAAAUAUCGUAAUUCCCAAAAUGCAUUGAUAUUAUUAUAUUAUUGAGAAAAUAUACUAGUCCUGUUGAUGAGUUUAUAAAAUAACCAAUUAUCUAAUUUGUACAUAUUCGCAUUACGUUAAUAUAAUGAUAACAUAAAUAAUUAUAUGAUUUAAUCAUUGUAUUAAAAUUGUGCACAUGUGAUUGUUUUAUGAUAAUAGUUUGUAUAAAAGUAAUUCGAACACUUAUAUUUUACUUUAUGAUCAUUGUUGAAAAAUUUUAAUUAACUUAAUUAAUUUAUUUAUUUAUUAAUUUUUUUAACUAAAUUAUAAUUUUGAUUAACUAAGUAAUAAUUUUUUUUACUAAUUAAUGAAAAUUGACCACUUCAUUAAUUAAUAAAAAAACAUAAUAAAUUAAAUAGACCGACCCAACCCGGAGGGUUUUAGCCUUUUAAUAAAAUAUAAAAGAACAGAAAUUAAACCCCCAAAUCUCCAAACGCAAAACACGAUCCCCAAAUCUCCAAAUCCUCAAAUCCAAUCAACUCUUUGCCACCGAUUCCCGCCACUCCGGUAACUUUUAUUUUCUUGUUAGAUACUAGCUAAAGUAUGUAUUGUUGUUAUCUCAAUGUAUAUAUUUUUCAUAUUUGGUAGUAACUAAAAUUUCUUUGGUAGUAAUUUUACUUAGCUUAAAGUAUAUAUUUUUCAAGUUUGUUGUACUUAUUAUGCUUCGUUACAUGAUUUUUGUUAGUUGAAAGUCAAAAAAGUAAUGGAAAUUUAAGUUUAGUUAGUUAAAUAUUCAAUUAUAUUUAAAGAAAUUUAGUUUUAGCUAGUUAGUACUUAUCUGAAAAUAAAUUUUUGAAAGAAAAUUAUGUUUACUUUUGUGAAAUAAAUCGUUUUUCAUCUUCCCUCUAAUGUAAAUGUAUAAAGUUGUAACAAAGUAAGUUGAUAGGUUAAGAAAAGAAAAGUAAAGUUCAUAUUUGGUGUAUGUUAAGAACUGUAUAGUUUAGAUAUCAGAUUAGCAGUAUUAUUUGAUCAUUCAUUAUAUUAUUGAUUAAAAUUAUCAAUCUUAUUGAAGUAAAAGUUGGUUAUAAGAUUUGUUACUUUAUUGAAGGAUGAGAAUAUAUUUGUUACUUUGUGUAAUAAACAAGAUUUUUUAAUUCUACUUGCAUAAUUUGUUGCUUGGAAUUUGAUGUUACCGUUUGACAGAAAACGAAUUCAGUGGAAAGAUUACUUUGCUAUUUUUCCAUGACUACUUGUCUCUAGCACUUUAAUUUAGGCCAAGCAAAAGUAAGUUGACUUUUCUCUAAGUUGUUAUAUUGAAGUCUUGUUACUUUUCAUCUUGAAGUCUAGUGAAGCCGUGGAUGACCUUGUGUGAUUCACUAGUAUUGUUGUUAUCUUCUUGUUAUUGUUUAUAUUGAAGUCUAGUAAAGCCGUGUGUGGACUUGUGCUAUUCACUAGCAUUGUUUUCGACAUGUAAUUGUUGUUGUUGUUGCUUGUUUCUUGUAUGGUAGAUGACUUAGUUGGUUAAAAAUGGUUAAGUCGAGGGACUUUAAAGAGAAUGUUUUUUGUUUUGAAUGUAGUUUGGUAAGUGACUGAGUUGGUUGAAAACAGUUAAGUUUAGGGGCUUUAAAAGGGAUUUUUUUUAAUGUGAUUUUGUUUUGAGACUUGGUUGAAAAUGGUUAAGUAUAGGGACUUAGAAGGGGAUUUUAUUUUUGGAAUUUAGUUUUGUUUUGAGACUUAGUAGGUUGAAAAUGGUUAAGUUUAGGGCCUUAUAAAGGAAUUUUUUUGUUUUGAAUGUAAUUUGGUAAGUGACUUAGUUGGUUGAAAAUAGUUAAGUUUAGGGAAUUUAAAAGGAAUUUUUUUGUUUUGAAUGUAGUUUGGUAAGUGACUUAGUUGGUUGAAAAUGGUUAAGUGUAGGGACUUUGAAGGGGAUUUUAUGUUUUUAAUGUGGUUAUGGUAGGUGACUUCGUUGUUUAAAAAUGGUUAAGUCUAGGGACUUUAAAAGGGUUUUUUUUUUUGGAAUGUAGUUUUGUUUUUGAGACUUAGUUGGUUGAAAAUUGUUAAGUUUAGGGACUUUGAAGUGGAUUUUUUGGGGGGGAAUGUGGUUUUGUUUUGAGCCUUAGUUGGUUGAAAAUGGUUAAGUUUAGGGACUUUAAAAGGGAUUUUUUUGUUUUGAAUGUAGUUUGGUAAGUGGCUUAGUUGGUUGAAAAUGGUUAAGUUUAGGGCCUUUGAAGGGGAUUUUGUGUUCUGAAUGUGGUUAUGGUAGGUGACUUAGUUGGUUGAAAAUGGUUGAGUUUAGGGACUUUGAAGGGGAUUUUGUAUUUUGAAUGUAGUUAUGGUAGGUGACUUCGUUGGUUGAAAAUGGCUAAGUCUAGGGACUUUAAAAGGGUUUAUUUUUGGAAUGUGGUUUUGUUUUGAGACUUAGUUGGUUGAAAAUGGUUAAGUUUAAGGAAUUUGAAGGGGUUUUUUUUGGUUUUGAAUGUAGUUUGGUUAGUGACUUAGUUGGUUGAAUAUCGUUAAGUUUAGGGAUUUUGAAGGGUAUUUUGUGUUCUGAAUGUGGCUAUGGUAGGUGACUUGGUUGAAAAUGGUUUAGUGUAGGGACUUUUAAGGGUAUUUUGUGUUUUCAAUGUGGUUAUGGUAGGGGACUUCGUUGGUUGAAAAUGGUUAAGUCUAGGGACUUUAAAAGGGAUUUUGUGUUUUGAAUGUGGUUAUGGUAGGGGACUUCGUUGGUUGAAAAUGGUUAAGUCUAGGGACUUUAAAAGGGAUUUUGUGUUUUGAAUGUGGUUAUGGUAGGGGACUUCGUUGGUUGAAAAUGGUUAAGUGUAGGGACUUUGAAGGGGAUUUUUUUGUUUUGAAUGUAGUUUGGUUAGUGACUUAGUUGUUUAAAAAUGGUUAAGUUUAGGGACUUUGAAAGAGAUUUUGUGUUUUGAAUGUGGUUAUGGUAGGUAACUUGGUUGAAAAUGGUUAAUUUUAGGGACUUUAAAGGGAUUUUAUUUGUUUUGAAUGUAGUUUGGUAAGUGAUUUAGUUGGUUGAAAAUGGUUAAGUUUAGGGACUUUAAAAGGGAUUUUGUGUUUUGAAUGUGGUUAUGGUAGGUAACUUAGUUAGUUGAAAAUUCUUUGAUCUAAUUUAUUGAAUCUUAUUGAUUGCAUUGAUGGAACCUGAUUAUAGCUGGAUAUUUCACUGGAACAAUGAAAAUAGAAUGGGUAUUAGGUAGGAAUUUGUUGAAUGUGUCAAAAGAUUUGUUGAACAUGCUAAGACACUUGAUGUUUGGACAUGUUUUGGGGUUAUUCGGUGUCCUUGUGUUAGAUGUGAUGGUAUAAAUCUUCUAAGUGAAGAAGAAGUAAAGGAACAAAUUUAUAGAAAGGGGUUUCACAAGGACUUUUUAAGAUUGUGUGGUAUUCAUGGUGAUGUUACACAAAGUAACUUUGUUGUUGGAAAAAGUAGUACGUCUACAGGGCAUAAUGAAUAUCAAGAUACUAGGAUGACAGAAAUGGUGCAUUAUGCAUUUGGGAUGCAACACAGGGUUGACUUUAGGGAAAAUGUUGAAGAUGUUCCUAAUAUGAAGCGGCUAAUUUCUACAAAGAAUUACAUUGUGCUAGUCAUCCUUUUUUUUAUGGGUGUUCACACUCUUGUUUGUCUGUUGUUGUUAGCUUAUUAAGUAUUAAAUCUGACUGAAAUAUUGCAGAAGACGGAAUAGAAUCAAUUAUAGACUUUAUUAAAGAGUUAGUUGACCCCUUCUUGGAGGUUCCUGAUUCUUUCUAUAAGGCAAAAAUAUUGGUGUUAAAGUUAGGUCUCUCAUCGGUUAGAAUUGAUUGUUUUGAAAAUGGCUGAAUGUUAUACUUUAAGAGACAUGCUAACCUAGAGUUCUGUCAAUUUCGUCAGCGCCCUAGAUAUAAGCGUGAUUCUACUGGGAAUCAACUUGGUAUUAAGAAAAUACAUAAUUUACCUCUUAUACCAAGGUUGAAGAGGUUGUAUGCUUCCAACAGCUCAGCUCCUCAUAUGAGAUGGCAUAGUGAAAAUAAAAGGNNNNNNNNNNNNNNNNNNNNNNNNNNNNNNNNNNNNNNNNNNNNNNNNNNNNNNNNNNNNNNNNNNNNNNNNNNNNNNNNNNNNNNNNNNNGAUGGGUUCUCUCCUUUUUCAGUUGGUGGUGUGCCAUAUUCGUGUUGGCCUGUAUUUAUCACUCCUUAUAAUCUUCCUCCUAAAAUGUUGAUGACUAGUCCCUAUAUAUUUCUAAAUUGUGUUAUUACUAGCCCGCGUAAUGCAAAAAACUGAAUAGAUGUGUACUUGCAACCUUUGAUAGAUGAACUUCAAAUUUUAUGGCAUGGGGGGGUUGAAACUUGGGACAUCUCUCUUAAACAUAAUUUAAAUAUACGUGCAUAUCUAAUAUGGAAUGUUAAUAAUUUUCCUUCUUAUGGAAUGUUGUCGGGGUAGAUGACCGCUGGAAAGCUGGCAUGUCUAUACUGCAUGGAAAAAAAAUCUUUCACAUUGAGAAAUGGCAGGAAAAAUUCAUGGUUUGAUUGUCAUCGUUGCUUCUUACCUCCUGAUUAUGAAUUUAGGAGACUCAAGAAUGCCUUUAGAAGGAAUAGAAGGGAACAUGAUGAUCCACCUCCAAUGUUGUCUGGUUAUAAAGCCAGCGAGGAACGAUUGUACAGGCUUGAUGGAUAUGGCUUUUCAAAUAACUAGAUUAAGCAAAGUAUAUUUUGGAAGAUAGAAUAUUGGCCAUAUAAUUUACUUAGAAAUAAUGUUGAUGUCAUGCAUACUAAGAAGAACUACUUUGAAAACUUGUUCAACUCAGUUAUGGAUGUCACCGGCAAAACAGAAGAUAAUCCUAAAGCCAGACUUGACUUACCAGAAUAUUGCAACCGCAGAGAAUUACACUUACAGAAGGGGCCCAACGGCAAUGUUCUUAAGCCCAAGGCUAGUUUUACAUUCAAGUUGGACCAAAAGCAGCAAAUAUGUGAGUGGGUUCAAAGUUUGAAGAUGCUCGAUAGUUAUGCCUCAAAUUUAUCGGUUUACCUGAAAACAUAUGGAAACCAAUAGCAGAGAUCAGUUUGUUCUUUAAAUAGUUAUGUGCGACCACAUUAAAAGAAGAAAAUCUAGCGCGAAUGGAAAUUAAUAUUGAUGUUAUCACCAACAAGCUAGAGAAAAUUUCCCACCAGCAUUCUUCGAUAUGAUGUAACAUCUUCCCAUUCACCUUGUGCACGAAGCUCGGCUAGGUGGUCCAGUUCAAACUAGGUGGAUGUAUCUAUUUGAACAGUAAGCAUUUGCAAUAUAUUUAAAUGCAUACUUAUUUUUUUAAAAUAUAAUAAACAUCUAAGCUUGACACUAUUAUAUAGGGCAAUUCGAAAUUGAAAAGAGUUCACAAAAACAAACACAAGGUGGAAGGCUCCAUAGUUGAGGCGUCUCUUGUAAGAGAAACUUCUCAAUUUUAUUCAUGCUACUUUCGUGAUGAAGUUGUUUGUUCAAGAAACUGCCGGAAUAGUCAUUAGGACGAUGUGAAUGAGCCUCAUUUGUAACCGAUAUAAAUUUUCAAUCAAUCUGGUUGUAAGGCUAAAAAGAUCAUAUCUCGCUGGCUUAAUCCCACGGAGCACAAAUCAACAACUUUGUAUGCCUUGCUGAUUUCCCAAAAAUGAGCCCUUUCUGAAGUAAAGAGAUUCAAAUUUUAACAUAUCUUGUUUGUUUGCUCAUUUCCUUAAACAAACUAAUUGUGUUUCCCAUGUUGGAUGUUCAAUUCAUUUUAGACUUAAUUCCACAAAAAUCAAGUGUGUGCAUCCUUUGCAACAUGGAUUAAAAAUGAGGUUCAUCAGUGUAUUAAUGUUUCUACGAAGUUUAAACAUUUACUCAUUCCUCAACUAAAAUACAUACAUAUAUAUAUAUAUAUAUAUAUAUAUGUAUGUAUGGUAUUUUUAGGUACACCAUUCACUAAAUGCAGCCGCAUAUAAAUUUUAUCCUAUCCUAACCCUCUUUACACCUCAUCCUAACAACCUACCCCACCCCACACCCUACUUUACCUCAUCCCUACCCCUCACAUUUUAUUCCACUCGGUUAAAAAUUUGAAAAAGGGUAAAAAAAGGCCCACGGGGAAUCUCCAUUUUUACAAAGCACAAUACAUAUAUACACAAUCACCAACAUCAUCACGGGAAGAGGCAUAUACAUAUAAAUUUUAUCUUUCAAUUCAUUAGCAAAAAGAGGUCCCCUACGAUUUGGCUUGAUUUUUCCACAAGACACCAUAUAUACAUAUACUCUCACAGAAGACCAUCAGGAAGGAUCACCCAUUUUUUCUUAUUAUCUUCUUGGAUCGAUAAUACACAAAAAACCAGGCACCAACUCACAAUUCCACUCUCAAGCACAGCCACAUACACACAUACCCAUACCCAAAUAACACACAAAUGGUAAAAAAUAGUGAGACAUGAGGUGAAUUGAAAGGGGAAUAGUGAGAUCGAGAGAGUAAGGAUCACAAGUCGUUGAAUUCCAUUUUGUUUUUUAACCAAUUUGAAAACAUUAUCGCAUAUGAGUUUGUGUUCUAUUGUGAUUUCACUCUUAGUUCAUUGGUCUUCGUAUGGAUUUUGGGGAUUUAGGUUCUGUUUGUCUCGAUUGAUUCAUCAUAAGCAGUUUGAGGUUUCAAUUUCUUGCUAUUGAGUUGGAUUUCAUCGCUGUUGAGGUUCAAUUCGGAAUUCUAUAUUCUGGGCUUUCUUAACUUUAUUAUCAAUAAAAUUGGUUCUUCAAAGGUCCAUCUCUUAACUUUACUUUUUAAUUAUAUCGAAGUUGGUUAAUAUCAUGAUUUCGUGGUGUGAUUUUGAAUAUUUUGAGCAAAUGUUGAUUGUUGUUGUGGAUAUAAAUUAUUGGUAUGCUUAAAUGUUUGAAUCUUCAUUUGGGGUAUGUGUUCGAUGUUGGUUCGGAUUUUGAAAAGUGAUUUGAUAGUCAAAUUGGUAUAAUCAUGUGAGAUUUGGAGGGCGAAAAUUAAAACAUUGAUAAAAGUGAAUGUUAGUUCAUGUUGAUUUAUUGAUAAUCCUUGGAAUGUGGUUUUGUUUUGAGACUUAGUUGGUUGAAAAUGGUUAUGUUUAAGGACUUUGAAGGGGAUUUUUUUUGUUUUGAAUAUAGUUUGUUUAGUGACUUUGUUGGUUGAAUAUCGUUAAGUUUAGGGAUUUUGAAGGGUAUUUUGUGUUCUGAAUGUGGGUAUGGUAGGUGACUUAGUUGGUUGAAAAUGGUUUAGUGUAGGGACUUUGAAGGGGAUUUUGUGUUUUCAAUGUGGUUAUGGUAGGGGACUUCGUUGGUUGAAAAUGGUUAAGUCUAGGGACUGUAAAAGGGUUUUUUUUUUGGAAAGUGGUUUUGUUUCGAGACUUAGUUGGUUGGAAAUGGUUAAGUUUAGGGACUUUGAAGGGGAUUUUUUUGUUUUGCAUGUAGUUUGGUUAGUGACUUAGUUGUUUAAAAAUGGUUAAGUUUAGGGACUUUGAAGGAGAUUUUGUGUUUUGAAUGUUGUUCUGGUAGGUGACUUGGUUGAAAAUGGUUAAUUUUAGGGACUUUAAAGGGAUUUUUUUUGUUUUGAAUGUAGUUUGGUAAGUGACUUAGUUGGUUGAAAAUGGUUAAGUUUAGGGACUUUGUGAGGGAUUUUGUGUUUUGAAUGUGGUUAUGGUAGGUACUUAGUUGGUUGAAAAUUCUUUGAUCUAAUUUGUUGAAUCUUAUUGAUUGUAUUGAUGGAACCUGAUUAUAGCUGGAUAUUUCACUGGAACAAUGAAAAUAGAAUGGGUAUUAGGCAGGAAUUUGUUGAAUGUGUCAAAAGAUUUGUUGAACAUGCUAAGACACUUGAUGUUUGGACACAUUUUGGGGUUAUUCGGUAUCCUUGUGUUAGAUGUGAUGGUAUAAAUCUUCUAAGUGAAGAAGAAGUAAAGGAACAUCUUUAUAGAAAGGGGUUUCACGAGGACUUUUUAAGAUUGUGUGGUAUUCAUGGUGAUGUUACACAAAGUAACUUUGUUGUUGGAGAAAGUAGUACGUCUACAGGGCAUAAUGAAUAUCAAGAUACUAGGAUGACAGAAAUGGUGCAUUAUGCAUUUGGGAUGCAACACAGGGUUGACUUUAGGGAAAAUAUUGAAGAUGUUCCUAAUAUGAAGCGGCCAAUUUCUACAAAGAAUUGCAUGCUGCUAGUNNNNNNNNNNNNNNNNNNNNNNNNNNNNNNNNNNNNNNNNNNNNNNNNNNNNNNNNNNNNNNNNNNNNNNNNNNNNNNNNNNNNNNNNNNNNNNNNNNNNNNNNNNNNNNNNNNNNNNNNNNNNNNNNNNNNNNNNNNNNNNNNNNNNNNNNNNNNNNNNNNNNNNNNNNNNNNNNNNNNNNNNNNNNNNNNNNNNNNNNNNNNNNNNNNNNNNNNNNNNNNNNNNNNNNNNNNNNNNNNNNNNNNNNNNNNNNNNNNNNNNNNNNNNNNNNNNNNNNNNNNNNNNNNNNNNNNNNNNNNNNNNNNNNNNNNNNNNNNNNNNNNNNNNNNNNNNNNNNNNNNNNNNNNNNNNNNNNNNNNNNNNNNNNNNNNNNNNNNNNNNNNNNNNNNNNNNNNNNNNNNNNNNNNNNNNNNNNNNNNNNNNNNNNNNNNNNNNNNNNNNNNNNNNNNNNNNNNNNNNNNNNNNNNNNNNNNNNNNNNNNNNNNNNNNNNNNNNNNNNNNNNNNNNNNNNNNNNNNNNNNNNNNNNNNNNNNNNNNNNNNNNNNNNNNNNNNNNNNNNNNNNNNNNNNNNNNNNNNNNNNNNNNNNNNNNNNNNNNNNNNNNNNNNNNNNNNNNNNNNNNNNNNNNNNNNNNNNNNNNNNNNNNNNNNNNNNNNNNNNNNNNNNNNNNNNNNNNNNNNNNNNNNNNNNNNNNNNNNNNNNNNNNNNNNNNNNNNNNNNNNNNNNNNNNNNNNNNNNNNNNNNNNNNNNNNNNNNNNNNNNNNNNNNNNNNNNNNNNNNNNNNNNNNNNNNNNNNNNNNNNNNNNNNNNNNNNNNNNNNNNNNNNNNNNNNNNNNNNNNNNNNNNNNNNNNNNNNNNNNNNNNNNNNNNNNNNNNNNNNNNNNNNNNNNNNNNNNNNNNNNNNNNNNNNNNNNNNNNNNNNNNNNNNNNNNNNNNNNNNNNNNNNNNNNNNNNNNNNNNNNNNNNNNNNNNNNNNNNNNNNNNNNNNNNNNNNNNNNNNNNNNNNNNNNNNNNNNNNNNNNNNNNNNNNNNNNNNNNNNNNNNNNNNNNNNNNNNNNNNNNNNNNNNNNNNNNNNNNNNNNNNNNNNNNNNNNNNNNNNNNNNNNNNNNNNNNNNNNNNNNNNNNNNNNNNNNNNNNNNNNNNNNNNNNNNNNNNNNNNNNNNNNNNNNNNNNNNNNNNNNNNNNNNNNNNNNNNNNNNNNNNNNNNNNNNNNNNNNNNNNNNNNNNNNNNNNNNNNNNNNNNNNNNNNNNNNNNNNNNNNNNNNNNNNNNNNNNNNNNNNNNNNNNNNNNNNNNNNNNNNNNNNNNNNNNNNNNNNNNNNNNNNNNNNNNNNNNNNNNNNNNNNNNNNNNNNNNNNNNNNNNNNNNNNNNNNNNNNNNNNNNNNNNNNNNNNNNNNNNNNNNNNNNNNNNNNNNNNNNNNNNNNNNNNNNNNNNNNNNNNNNNNNNNNNNNNNNNNNNNNNNNNNNNNNNNNNNNNNNNNNNNNNNNNNNNNNNNNNNNNNNNNNNNNNNNNNNNNNNNNNNNNNNNNNNNNNNNNNNNNNNNNNNNNNNNNNNNNNNNNNNNNNNNNNNNNNNNNNNNNNNNNNNNNNNNNNNNNNNNNNNNNNNNNNNNNNNNNNNNNNNNNNNNNNNNNNNNNNNNNNNNNNNNNNNNNNNNNNNNNNNNNNNNNNNNNNNNNNNNNNNNNNNNNNNNNNNNNNNNNNNNNNNNNNNNNNNNNNNNNNNNNNNNNNNNNNNNNNNNNNNNNNNNNNNNNNNNNNNNNNNNNNNNNNNNNNNNNNNNNNNNNNNNNNNNNNNNNNNNNNNNNNNNNNNNNNNNNNNNNNNNNNNNNNNNNNNNNNNNNNNNNNNNNNNNNNNNNNNNNNNNNNNNNNNNNNNNNNNNNNNNNNNNNNNNNNNNNNNNNNNNNNNNNNNNNNNNNNNNNNNNNNNNNNNNNNNNNNNNNNNNNNNNNNNNNNNNNNNNNNNNNNNNNNNNNNNNNNNNNNNNNNNNNNNNNNNNNNNNNNNNNNNNNNNNNNNNNNNNNNNNNNNNNNNNNNNNNNNNNNNNNNNNNNNNNNNNNNNNNNNNNNNNNNNNNNNNNNNNNNNNNNNNNNNNNNNNNNNNNNNNNNNNNNNNNNNNNNNNNNNNNNNNNNNNNNNNNNNNNNNNNNNNNNNNNNNNNNNNNNNNNNNNNNNNNNNNNNNNNNNNNNNNNNNNNNNNNNNNNNNNNNNNNNNNNNNNNNNNNNNNNNNNNNNNNNNNNNNNNNNNNAUAUAUAUAUAUGUAUGUAUGGUAUUUUUAGGUACACCAUUCACUAAAUGCAGCCGCAUACAAAUUUUAUCCUAUCCUAACCCUCUUUACACCUCAUCCUAACAACCUACCCCACCCCAAACCCUACUUUACCUCAUCCCUACCCCUCACAUUUUAUUCCACUCGGUUAAAAAUUUGAAAAAGGGCAAAAAAAGGCCCACGGGGAAUCUCCAUUUUUACAAGGCACAAUACAUAUAUACACAAUCACCAACAUCAUCACGGGAAGAGGCAUAUACAUAUAAAUUUUAUCUUUCUAUUCGUUAGCAAAAAGAGGUCCCCUAUGGUUUGGCUUGAUUUUUCCACAAGACACCAUAUAUACAUAUACUCUCACAGAAGACCAUCAGGAAGGAUCACCCAUUUUUUUUUUAUCUUCUUGGAUCGAUAAUACACAAAAAACCAGGCACCAACUCACAAUUCCACUCUCAAGCACAACCACAUACACACAUACCCAUACCCAAAUAACACACAAAUGGUAAAAAAUAGUGAGACAUGAGGUGAAUUGAAAGGGGAAUAGUGAGAUCGAGAGAGUAAGGAUCACAAGCGGAGAGGGAGAAUAAUGGAAAGAGAGAGUGAGGAAAUUAGGUAGAGAAGGUCAAAAUUGAGAGAGAGGGUGAGGGUUUUAGAUCUUUGGUCAUAGUUCUUGCGACUUGGAUUGCCAAAAUUAGUUUUUCAUCCAUCGUUUGACCGUUUCUCUUCAGAUUUUUGACAAAAUCUCAUCGGAAUCAGCACUAUCGGUAUCCAGCCAUCCAUUCAACAAGCCCAGUCUAAAAUCCCUAAAUUAUCUCUAUUUUUCUUUGACUUCUAGGUAGAUCUAGCCGGAAAACAUUAACUAGCGACAAAAAUUCGUUGAAUUCCAUUUUGUUUUUUAAUCAAUUUCAAAAUAUUGUCGCAUAUGAGUUUGUGUUCUAUUGUGAUUUUCACUCUUAGUUCAUCGGACUUCGUAUGGAUUUUGGGGAUUUAGGUUCUAUUUGUCUCGAUUGAUUCAUCAUAAGAAGUUUGAGGUUUCAAUUUCUUGCUAUUGAGUUGGAUUUCAUCGCUGUUGAGGUUCAAUUCGGAAUUCUAUAGUCUGGGCUUUCUUAACUUUAUUAUCAAUAAAAUUGGUUCUUCAAAGGUCCAUCUCUUAACUUUACUUUUUAAUUAUAUCGAAGUUGGUUAAUAUCAUGAUUUCGUGGUGUGAUUUUGAAUAUUUUGAGCAAAUGUUGAUUAUUGUUGUGGAUAUAAAUUAUUGGUAUGCUUAAAUGUUUGAAUCUUCAUUUGGGGUAUGUGUUCGAUGUUGGUUCGGAUUUUGAAAAGUGAUUUGAUAGUCAAAUUGGUAUAAUCAUGUGAGAUUUGGAGGGCGAAAAUUAAAACAUUGAUAAAAGUGAAUGUUAGUUCAUGUUGAUUUAUUGAUAAUCCUUGGAAUGUGGUUUUGUUUUGAGACUUAGUUGGUUGAAAAUGGUUAUGUUUAAGGACUUUGAAGGGGAUUUUUUUGUUUUGAAUGUAGUUUGGUUAGUGACUUUGUUGGUUGAAUAUCGUUAAGUUUAGGGAUUUUGAUGGAUAUUUUGUGUUCUGAAUGUGGCUAUGGUAGGUGACUUAGUUGGUUGAAAAUGGUUUAGUGUAGGGACUUUGAAGGGGAUUUUGUGUUUUCAAUGUGGUUAUGGUAGGGGACUUCGUUGGUUGAAAAUGGUUAAGUCUAGGGACUGUAAAAGGGUUUUUUUUUUGGAAAGUGGUUUUGUUUUGAGACUUAGUUGGUUGAAAAUGGUUAAGUUUAGGGACUUUGAAGGGUAUUUUUUUGUUUUUAAUGUUGUUUGGUUAGUGACUUAGUUGUUUAAAAAUGGUUAAGUUUAGGGACUUUGAAGGAGAUUUUGUGUUUUGAAUGUGGUUAUGGUAGGUGACUUGGUUGAAAAUGGUUAGUUUUAGGGACUUUAAAGGGAUUUUUUUUGUUUUGAAUGUAGUUUGGUAAGUGACUUAGUUGGUUGAAAAUGGUUAAGUUUAGGGACUUUGUGAGGGAUUUUGUGUUUUGAAUGUGGUUAUGGUAGGUGACUUAGUUGGUUGAAAAUUCUUUGAUCUAAUUUGUUGAAUCUUAUUGAUUGCAUUGAUGGAACAUGAUUAUAGCUGGAUAUUUCACUGGAACAAUGAAAAUAGAAUGGGUAUUAGGCAGGAAUUUGUUGAAUGUGUCAAAAGAUUUUUUGAACAUGCUAUGACACUUGAUGUUUGGACACGUUUUGGGGUUAUUCCGUGUCCUUGUGUUAGAUGUGAUGGUAUAAAUCUUCUAAGUGAAGAAGAAGUAAAGGAACAUCUUUAUAGAAAGGGGUUUCACGAGGACUUUUUAAGAUUGUGUGGUAUUCAUGGUGAUGUUACACAAAGUAACUUUGUUGUUGGAGAAAGUAGUAGGUCUGCAGGGCAUAAUGAAUAUCAAGAUACUAGGAUGACAGAAAUGGUGUAUGAUGCAUUUGGGAUGCAACACAGGGGUGACUUUAGGGAAAAUGUUGAAGAUGUUCCUAAUAUGAAGCGGCCAAUUUCUACAAAGAAUUGCAUGCUGCUAGUCAUCCUUUUUUUUAUGGGUGUUUGCACGCUCGUUUGUCUGUUGCUGUUAGCUUAUUAAGUAUUAAAUCUGACUGAAAUAUUGAAGAAGACGGAAUGGACUCAAUUAUUGACUUUAUUAAAGAGUUAGCUGACCCCUUCUUGGAGGUUCCUGAUUCUUUCUAUAAGGCAAAAAGAUUAGUGUUAAAGUUAGGUCUCUCCUCGGUUAGAAUUGAUUGUUGUGAAAAUGGCUGAAUGUUAUACUUUAAGAGACAUGCUAACCUAGAGUUCUGUCAAUUUUGUCAGCGCCCUAGAUAUAAGCGUGAUUCUAUUGGGAAGCAACUUGGUAUUAAGAAAAUACAUAAUUUACCUCUUAUACAAAGGUUGAAGAGGUUGUAUGCUUCCAACAGCUCAGCUCCUCAUAUGAGAUGGCAUAGUGAAAAUAAAAGGCCCCUUGGUGUUAUGUGCCAUCCAUCUGAUGGAGAGGCUUGGAAGCAUUUUAAUGCAACUUAUCCAAAUUUUACAGCUGAGCCACGAAGCAUUUGAUUGGGAUUAUGUGCGGAUGGGUUCUCUCCUUUUUCAGUUGGUGGUGUGCCAUAUUCGUGUUGGCCUGUAUUUAUCACUUCUUAUAAUCUUCCUCCUAAAAUGUUGAUGACUAGUCGCUAUAUAUUUCUAAAUUGUGUAUUACUGGCCCGCGUAAUCCAAAAAGCUGAAUAGAUAUGUACUUGCAACCUUUGAUAGAUGAACUUUAAAUUUUAUGGCAUGGUGGGGUUGAAACUUGGGACAUCUCUCCUAAACAUAAUUUAAAUAUACGUGCAUAUCUAAUAUGGACUAUUAAUAAUUUUCCUUCUUAUGAAAUGUUGUCGGGGUGGAUGACCGCUGGAAAGCUGGCUUGUCUAUACAGCAUGAAAAAAAAAUCUUUCACAUUGAGAAAUGGCAGAAAAAAUUCAUGGUUUAAUUGUCAUCGUUGUUUCUUGCCUCCUGAUUAUGAAUUUAGGAGACUCAAGAAUGCCUUUAGAAGGAAUAGAAGGGAACAUGAUGAUCCACCGCCAAUGUUGUCUGGUUAUAAAGCCAGCGAGGAACAAUUGUACACGCUUGAUGGAUAUGGCUUUUCACAUAACUAGAUUAAGCAAAGUAUAUUUUGGAAGAUAGAAUAUUGGCCAGAUAAUUUACUUAGAAAUAAUGUUGAUGUCAUGCAUACUAAGAAGAACNNNNNNNNNNNNNNNNNNNNNNNNNNNNNNNNNNNNNNNNNNNNNNNNNNNNNNNNNNNNNNNNNNNNNNNNNNNNNNNNNNNNNNNNNNNNNNNNNNNNNNNNNNNNNNNNNNNNNNNNNNNNNNNNNNNNNNNNNNNNNNNNNNNNNNNNNNNNNNNNNNNNNNNNNNNNNNNNNNNNNNNNNNNNNNNNNNNNNNNNNNNNNNNNNNNNNNNNNNNNNNNNNNNNNNNNNNNNNNNNNNNNNNNNNNNNNNNNNNNNNNNNNNNNNNNNNNNNNNNNNNNNNNNNNNNNNNNNNNNNNNNNNNNNNNNNNNNNNNNNNNNNNNNNNNNNNNNNNNNNNNNNNNNNNNNNNNNNNNNNNNNNNNNNNNNNNNNNNNNNNNNNNNNNNNNNNNNNNNNNNNNNNNNNNNNNNNNNNNNNNNNNNNNNNNNNNNNNNNNNNNNNNNNNNNNNNNNNNNNNNNNNNNNNNNNNNNNNNNNNNNNNNNNNNNNNNNNNNNNGCUAGGUGGUCCAGUUCAAACUAGGUGGAUGUAUCUAUUAGAACGGUAAUCAUUUGCAACAUAUUUAAAUGCAUACUUAUUUUUUUUUAAAUAUAGUAAAUAUCUAAGCUUGACACUAUUAUAUAGGGCAAUUCGAAAAUUGAAAAGAGGUCGCAAAAACAAACACAAGGUGGAAGGCUCUAUAGUUGAGGCAUCUCUUGCAAGAGAAACUUCUCAAUUUUAUUCAUGCUACUUUCGUGAUGAAGUUGUUUGUUCAAGACACCGCCGGAAUAGUCAUCAGGACGAUGUGAAUGAGCCUUAUUUGUAACCAAUAUAAAUUUUCAAUCAAUCUGGUUGUAAGGCUAAAAACAUCAUAUCACGCCGGUUCAAUCCCACGGAGCACAAAUCAACAACUUUGUAUGUCUUGCUGAUUACUCGAAAAUUGAGCCCUUUCUGAAGUAAAGAGAUUCAAAUUUUAACAUAUCUUGUUUCUUUGCUCAUUUCCUUAAACAAACUAAUUGUGUUUCCCAUGUUGGAUGUUCAAUUCAUUUUAGACUCAAUUCCACAAAAAUCAAGUGUAUGCAUCCUUUGCAACAUGGAUUAAAAAUGAGGUUCGUCAGUUUAUUAAUGUUUCUACGAAGUUUAAACAUUUACACAUUCCUCAACUAAAAUAUACAUAUAUAUAUAUAUGGUAUUUUUAGGUACACCAUUCACUAAAUCCAGCCGCAUACAAAUUUUAUCAUAUCCUAACCAUCUUUACACCUCAUCCUAACAACCUACCCCACCCCACACCCUACUUUACCUCAUCCCUACCCCUCACAUUUUAUUCCAUUCAGUUAAAAAUUUGAAAAAGGGCAAAAAAAAAGGCCCACGGGGAAUCUCCAUUUUUACAAAGCACAAUACAUAUAUACACAUUCACCAACAUCAUCACGGGAAGAGGCAUAUACAUAUAAAUUUUAUCUUUCAAUGCAUUAGCAAAAAGAGGUCCCCUACGGUUUGGCUUAAUUUUUCCACAAGAUCACCAUAUAUACAUAUACUCUCACUGAAAACCAUCAUGAAAGAUCACCCAUUUUUUCUUUUUAUCUUCUUGGAUCGAUAAUACACAAAAAACCAGGCACCAACUCACAAUUCCACUCUCAAGCACAGCCACAUACACACAUACCCAUACCCAAAUAACACACAAAAGGUAAAAAAUAGUGAGACAUGAGGUGAAUUGAAAGGGGAAUAGUGAGAUCGAGAGAGUAAGGAUCACAAGUGGAGAGAGAGAAUAAUGGAAAGAGAGAGUGAGGAAAUCAGGUAGAGAAGGUCAAAAUUGAGAGAGAGGGUGUGGGUUUUUGGUCUUUAGUCAUAGUUCUUAUGACUUGGAUCGCCAAAAUUAGUUUUUCAUCCAUCGUUUGAUCGUUUCUCUUCAGAUUUUUGACAAAAUCUCAUCGGAAUCAGCGCUAUCGGUAUCCAGCCAUCCAUUCAACAAGCCCAGUCCAAAAUCCUUAAAUUAUCUCUAUUUUUCUUUGAUUUCUAGGUAGAUCUCGCUGGAAAACAUGAACUAGCGACAAAAAUUCGUUGAAUUCCAUUUUGUUUUUUAACCAAUUUGAAAACAUUAUCGCAUAUGAGUUUGUGUUCUAUUGUGAUUUCACUCUUAGUUUAUCGGUCUUCAUAUGGAUUUUGGGGAUUUAGGUUCUGUUUGUCUCGAUUGAUUCAUCAUAAGCAGUUUGGGGUUUCAAUUUCUUGCUAUCGAGUUGGAUUUCAUCGCUGUUGAGGUUUAAUUCAGAAUUCUAUAGUCUGGGCUUUCUUAGACUUAUUAUCAAUAAAAUUGAUUCUUCAAAGGUCCAUCUCUUAACUUUACUUUUUAAUUAUAUCGAAGUUGGUUAAUAUCAUGAUUUCGUGGUGUGAUUUUGAAUAUUUUGAGCAAAUGUUUAUUGUUGUUGUGGAUAUAAAUUAUCGGUAUGCUUAAAUGUUUGAAUCUUCAUUUGGGGUAUGUGUUCGAUGUUGGUUCGGAUUUUGAAAAGUGAUUUGAUAGUCAAAUUGGUAUAAUUAUGUGAGAUUUGGAGGGCGAAAAUUAAAACAUUGAUAAAAGUGAAUGUUAGUUCAUGUUGAUUUAUUGAUAAUCCUUGGAAUGUGGUUUUGUUUUGAGACUUAGUUGGUUGAAAAUGGUUAUGUUUAAGGACUUUGAAGGGGAUUUUUUUGUUUUGAAUGUAGUUUGGUUAGUGACUUAGUUGGUUGAAUAUCGUUAAGGUUAGGGAUUUUGAAUGGUAUUUUGUGUUUUUAAUGUGGCUAUGGUAGGUGACUUAGUUGGUUGAAAAUGGUUUAGUGUAGGGACUUUGAAGGGGAUUUUAUGUUUUCAAUGUGGUUAUGGUAGGGGACUUCGUUGGUUGAAAAUGGUUAAGUCUAGGGACUGUAAAAGGGUUUUUUUUUUUGGAAAGGGGUUUUGUUUUGGGACUUAGUUGGUUGAAAAUGGUUAAGUUUAGGGACUUUGAAGGAGAUUUUUUUGUUUUGAAUGUAGUUUGGUUAGUGACUUAGUUGUUUAAAAAUGGUUAAGUUUAGAGACUUUGAAGGAGAUUUUGUGUUUUGAAUGUGGUUAUGGUUGGUGACUUGGUUGAAAAUGGUUAAUUUUAGGGACUUUAAAGGGAUUUUUUUUGUUUUGAAUGUAGUUUGGUAAGUGACUUAGUUGGUUGAAAAUGGUUAAGUUUAGGGACUUUAAAAGGGAUUUUGUGUUUUGAAUGUGGUUAUGGUAGGUGACUUAGUUGGUUGAAAAUUCUUUGAUCUAAUUUGUUGAAUCUUAUUGAUUGCAUUGAUGGAACCUGAUUAUAGCUGGAUAUUUCACUGGAACAAUGAAAAUAGAAUGGGUAUUAGGCAGGAAUUUGUUGAAUGUGUCAAAAGAUUUGUUGAACAUGCUAAGACACUUGAUGUUUGGACACGUUUUGGGGUUAUUCGGUGUCCUUGUGUUAGAUGUGAUGGUAUAAAUCUUCUAAGUGAAGAAGAAGUAAAGGAACAUCUUUAUAGAAAGGGGUUCCACGAGGACUUUUUAAGAUUGUGUGGUAUUCAUGGUGAUGUUACACAAAGUAACUUUGUUGUUGGAGAAAGUAGUAGGUCUGCAAGGCAUAAUGAAUAUCAAGAUACUAGGAUGACAGAAAUGGUGUAUGAUGCAUUUGGGAUGCAACACAGGGUUGACUUUAGGGAAAAUGUUGAAGAUGUUCCUAAUAUGAAGCGGCCAAUUUCUACAAAGAAUUGCAUGCUGCUAGUCAUCCUUUUUUUGAUGGGUGUUUGCACUCUCGUUUGUUUGUUGCUGUUAGCUUAUUAAGUAUUAAAUCUGACUGAAAUAUUGCAGAAGACGGAAUGGACUCAAUUAUAAACUUCAUUAAAGAGUUAGUUGACCCUUUCUUGGAGGUUCCUGAUUCUUUCUAUAAGGCAAAAAUAUUGGUGUUAAAGUUAGGUCUCUCAUCGGUUAGAAUUGAUUGUUGUGAAAAUGGCUGAAUGUUAUACUUUAAGAGACAUGCUAACCUAGAGUUCUGUCAAUUUCGUCAGCGCCCUAGAUAUAAGCGUGAUUCUACUGGGAAUCAACUUGGUAUUAAGAAAAUACAUAAUUUACCUCUUAUACCAAGGUUGAAGAGGUUGUAUGCUUCCAACAGCUCAGCUCCUCAUAUGAGAUGGCAUAGUGAAAAUAAAAGGCCCCCUGGUGUUAUGUGACAUCCAUUUGAUGGAGAGGCUUGGAAGCAUUUUAAUGCAACUUUUCAUAAUUUUACAGCUGAGCCACGAAACAUUUGAUUGGGAUUAUGUGCGGAUGGGUUCUCUCCUUUUUCAGUUGGUGGUGUGUUGGCCUGUAUUUAUCACUUCUUAUAAUCUUCCUGCUAAAAUGUUGAUGACUAGUCCCUAUAUAUUUCUAAAUUGUAUUAUUACUGGCCCACGUAAUCCGAAAAGCUGAAUAGAUAUGUACUUGCAACCUUUGAUAGAUGAACUUCAAAUUUUAUGGCAUGGUGGGGUUGAAACUUGGGACAUCUCUCCUAAACAUAAUUUAAAUAUAUGUGCAUAUCUAAUAUGGACUGUUAAUAAUUUUCCUUCUUAUGGCAUGUUGUCGGGGUGGAUGACCGCUGGAAAGCUGGCUUGUCUAUACUGCAUGAAAAAAAAAUCUUUCACAUUGAGAAAUGGCAGGAAAAAUUCAUGGUUUGAUUGUCAUCGUUGUUUCUUCCCUCCUGAUUAUGAAUUUAGGAGACUCAAUAAUGCCUUUAGAUGGAAUAGAAGGGAACAUGAUGAUCCACCGCCAAUCUUGUCUGGUUAUAAAGCCAGCGAGGAACGAUUGUACAGGCUUGAUGGAUAUGGCUUUUCACAUAACUAGAUUAAGCAAAGUAUAUUUUGGAAGAUAGAAUAUUGGCCAGAUAAUUUACUUAGAAAUAAUGUUGAUGUCAUGCAUACUAAGAAGAACUACUUUGAAAACUUGUUCAACUCAGUUAUGGAUGUCACCGGCAAAACAGAAGAUAAUCCUAAAGCCAGACUUGACUUACCAGAAUAUUGCAACCGCAGAGAAUUACACUUACAGAANNNNNNNNNNNNNNNNNNNNNNNNNNNNNNNNNNNNNNNNNNNNNNNNNNNNNNNNNNNNNNNNNNNNNNNNNNNNNNNNNNNNNNNNNNNNNNNNNNNNNNNNNNNNNNNNNNNNNNNNNNNNNNNNNNNNNNNNNNNNNNNNNNNNNNNNNNNNNNNNNNNNNNNNNNNNNNNNNNNNNNNNNNNNNNNNNNNNNNNNNNNNNNNNNNNNNNNNNNNNNNNNNNNNNNNNNNNNNNNNNNNNNNNNNNNNNNNNNNNNNNNNNNNNAAAUUUGGGAAAGAGGGUUGAUAUGGCACAAGGAAUCUUACAUGGAAUAAAAAGCCAUGAUUGUAAUGUUCUCAUGGAACGGUUACUUCCAAUUACUUUUAUUGGUUUACCUGAAAACAUAUGGAAACCAACAGCAGAGAUCAGUUUGUUCUUUAAAGACUUAUGUGCAACCACAUUAAAAGAAGAAAAUCUAGCGCUUAUGGAAAUUAAUAUUGUUGUUAUCACCAACAAGCUGGAGAAAUUUCCCACCAGCGUUCUUCGAUAUGAUGUAACAUCUUCCCAUUUACCUUGUGCACGAAGCUCUGCUAGGUGGUCCAGUUCAAACUAGGUGGAUGUAUCUAUUAGAACGGUAAUCAUUUGCAACAUAUUUAAAUGCAUACUUAUUUUUUUUUAAAUAUAGUAAAUAUCUAAGCUUGACACUAUUAUAUAGGGCAAUUCGAAAAUUGAAAAGAGGUCGCAAAAACAAACACAAGGUGGAAGGCUCUAUAGUUGAGGCAUCUCUUGCAAGAGAAACUUCUCAAUUUUAUUCAUGCUACUUUCGUGAUGAAGUUGUUUGUUCAAGACACCGCCGGAAUAGUCAUCAGGACGAUGUGAAUGAGCCUUAUUUGUAACCAAUAUAAAUUUUCAAUCAAUCUGGUUGUAAGGCUAAAAACAUCAUAUCACGCCGGUUCAAUCCCACGGAGCACAAAUCAACAACUUUGUAUGUCUUGCUGAUUACUCGAAAAUUGAGCCCUUUCUGAAGUAAAGAGAUUCAAAUUUUAACAUAUCUUGUUUCUUUGCUCAUUUCCUUAAACAAACUAAUUGUGUUUCCCAUGUUGGAUGUUCAAUUCAUUUUAGACUCAAUUCCACAAAAAUCAAGUGUAUGCAUCCUUUGCAACAUGGAUUAAAAAUGAGGUUCGUCAGUGUAUUAAUGUUUCUACGAAGUUUAAACAUUUACACAUUCCUUAACUAAAAUAUAUAUAUAUAUAUAUAUUUGUAUGGUAUUUUUAGGUACACCAUUCACUAAAUGCAGUCGCAUACAAAUUUUAUCCUAUCCUAACCCUCUUUACACCUCAUUCUAACAACCUACCCCACCCCACACCCUACUUUACCUCAUCCCUACCCCUCACAUUUUAUUCCAUUCGGUUAAAAAUUUGAAAAAGGGCAAAAAAAAAGGCCCACGGGGAAUCUCCAUUUUUACAAAGCACAAUACAUAUAUACACAUUCACCAACAUCAUCACGGGAAGAGGCAUAUACAUAUAAAUUUUAUCUUUCAAUUCAUUAGCAAAAAGAGGUCCCCUACGAUUUGGCUUGAUUUUUCCACAAGACACCAUAUAUACAUAUACUCUCACUGAAGACCAUCAGGAAGGAUCACCCAUUUUUUCUUAUUAUCUUCUUGGAUCGAUAAUACACAAAAAAACAGGCACCAACUCACAAUUUCACUCUCAAGCACAGCCAGAUACACACAUACCCAUACCUAAAUAACACACAAAUGGUAAAAAAUAGUGAGACAUGAGGUGAAUUGAAAGGGGAAUAGUGAGAUCGAGAGAGUAAGGAUCACAAGCGGAGAGAGAGAAUAAUGGAAAGAGAGGGUGAGGAAAUCAGGUAGAGAAGGUCAAAAUUGAGAGAGAGGGUGAGGGUUUUAGGUCUUUGGUCAUAGUUCUUGCGACUUGGAUCGCCAAAAUUAGUUUUUCAUCCAUCGUUUGACUGUUUCUCUUCAGAUUUUUGACAAAAUCUCAUCGGAAUCAACGCUAUGGGUAUCCAGCCAUCCAUUCAACAAGCCCAGUCUGAAAUCCCUAAAUUAUCUCUAUUUUUCUUUGAUUUCUAGGUAGAUCUAGCCGGAAAACAUGAACUAGCGACAAAAAUUCAUUGAAUUCCAUUUUCUUUUUUAAUAAAUUUCAAAAUAUUGUCGCAUAUGAGUUUGUGUUCUAUUGUGAUUUCACUCUUAGUUCAUCGGUCUUCGUAUGGAUUUUGGACAUUUAGGUUCUGUUUGUCUCGAUUGAUUCAUCAUAAGCAGUUUGAGGUUUCAAUUUCUUGCUAUUGAGUUGGAUUUCAUCGCUGUUUAGGUUCAAUUCGGAAUCCUAUAGUCUGGGCCUUCUUAACUUUAUUAUCAAUAAAAUCGGUUCUUCAAAGGUCCAUCUCUUAACUUUACUUUUUAAUUAUAUCGAAGUUGGUUAAUAUCAUGAUUUCGUGGUGUGAUUUUGAAUAUUUUGAGCAAAUGUUGAUUGUUGUUGUGGAUAUAAAUUAUUGGUAUGCUUAAAUGUUUGAAUCUUCAUUUGGGGUAUGUGUUNNNNNNNNNNNNNNNNNNNNNNNNNNNNNNNNNNNNNNNNNNNNNNNNNNNNNNNNNNNNNNNNNNNNNNNNNNNNNNNNNNNNNNNNNNNNNNNNNNNNNNNNNNNNNNNNNNNNNNNNNNNNNNNNNNNNNNNNNNNNNNNNNNNNNNNNNNNNNNNNNNNNNNNNNNNNNNNNNNNNNNNNNNNNNNNNNNNNNNNNNNNNNNNNNNNNNNNNNNNNNNNNNNNNNNNNNNNNNNNNNNNNNNNNNNNNNNNNNNNNNNNNNNNNNNNNNNNNNNNNNNNNNNNNNNNNNNNNNNNNNNNNNNNNNNNNNNNNNNNNNNNNNNNNNNNNNNNNNNNNNNNNNNNNNNNNNNNNNNNNNNNNNNNNNNNNNNNNNNNNNNNNNNNNNNNNNNNNNNNNNNNNNNNNNNNNNNNNNNNNNNNNNNNNNNNNNNNNNNNNNNNNNNNNNNNNNNNNNNNNNNNNNNNNNNNNNNNNNNNNNNNNNNNNNNNNNNNNNNNNNNNNNNNNNNNNNNNNNNNNNNNNNNNNNNNNNNNNNNNNNNNNNNNNNNNNNNNNNNNNNNNNNNNNNNNNNNNNNNNNNNNNNNNNNNNNNNNNNNNNNNNNNNNNNNNNNNNNNNGACUUAGUUGGUUGAAAAUGGUUAAGUUUAGGGACUUUGAAGGGUAUUUUUUUGUUUUUAAUGUUGUUUGGUUAGUGACUUAGUUGUUUAAAAAUGGUUAAGUUUAGGGACUUUGAAGGAGAUUUUGUGUUUUGAAUGUGGUUACGGUAGGUGACUUGGUUGAAAAUGGUUAGUUUUAGGGACUUUAAAGGGAUUUUUUUUGUUUUGAAUAUAGUUUUGUAAGUGACUUAGUUGGUUGAAAAUGGUUAAGUUUAGGGACUUUAAAAGGGAUUUUGUCUUUUGAAUGUGGUUAUGGUAGGUGACUUAGUUGGUUGAAAAUUCUUUGAUCUAAUUUGUUGAAUCUUAUUGAUUGCAUUGAUGGAACCUGAUUAUAGCUGGAUAUUUCACUGGAACAAUGAAAAUAGAAUGGGUAUUAGGCAGGAAUUUGUUGAAUGUGUCAAAAGAUUUGUUGUACAUGCUAAGACACUUGAUGUUUGAACACAUUUUAGGGUUAUUCCGUGUCCUUGUGUUAGAUGUGAUGGUAUAAAUCUUCUAAGUGAAGAAGAAGUAAAGGAACAUCUUUAUAAAAAGGGGUUUCACGAGGACUUUUUAAGAUUGUGUGGUAUUCAUGGUGAUGUUACACAAAGUAACUUUGUUGUUGGAGAAAGUAGUAGGUCCGCAGGGCAUAAUGAAUAACAAGUUACUAGGAUGACAGAAAUGGUGCAUGAUGCAUUUGGGAUGCCAAUUUCUACAAAGAAUUGCAAGCUGCUAGUCAUCCUUUUUUUUAUGGGUGUUUGCACUCUCGUUUGUCUGUUGCUGUUAGCUUAUUAAGUAUUAAAUCUGACUGAAAUAUUGCAGAAGACGAAAUGGACUCAAUUAUAGACUUUAUUAAAGAGUUAGCUGACCCCUUCUUGGAGGUUCCUCAUUCUUUCUAUAAGGCAAAAAGAUUGGUGUUAAAGUUAGGUCUCUCCUCGGUUAGAAUUAAAUUUUGUGAGAAUGGCUGAAUGUUAUACUUUAAGAGACAUGCUAACCUAGAGUUUUGUCAAUUUUGUCAGCGCCCUAGAUAUAUGCGUGAUUCUACUUGGAAGCAACUUGGUUUUAAGAAAAUACAUAAUUUACCUCUUAUACCAAGGUUGAAGAGGUUGUAUGCUUCCAACAGCUCAGCUCCUCAUAUGAGAUGGCAUAGUGAAAAUAAAAGGCCCCCUGGUGUUAUGUGCCAUCCAUCUGAUGGAGAGGCUUGGAAGCAUUUUAAUGCAACUUAUCCAAAUUUUACAACUGAGCCACAAAACAUUUGAUUGGGAUUAUGUGCGGAUGGGUUCUCNNNNNNNNNNNNNNNNNNNNNNNNNNNNNNNNNNNNUUGGCCUAUAUUUAUCACUUCUUAUAAUCUUCCUCCUAAAAUGUUGAUGACUAGUCCCUAUAUAUUUCUAAAUUGUGUUAUUACUGGCCCGUGUAAUCCAAAAAGCUGAAUAGAUAUGUACUUGCAACCUUUGAUUGAGGAACUUCAAAUUUUACGGCAUGGUGGGGUUGAAACUUAGGACAUCUCUCUUAAACAUAAUUUAAAUAUACAUGCAUAUCUAAUAUGGACUGUUAAUAAUUUUCCAUCUUAUGGAAUGUUGUCGGGGUGGAUGACCGCUGGAAAGCUGGCUUGUCUAUACUGCAUGAAAAAAAAAUCUUUCACAUUGAGAAAUGGCAGGAAAAAUUCAUGGUUUGAUUGUCAUCGUUGUUUCUUCCCUCCUGAUUAUGAAUUUAGGAGACUCAAUAAUGCCUUUAGAUGGAAUAGAAGGGAACAUGAUGAUCCACCUCCAAUGUUGUCUGGUUAUAAAGCCAGCGAGGAACGAUUGUACAGGCUUGAUGGAUAUGGCUUUUCACAUAACUAGAUUAAGCAAAGUAUAUUUUGGAAGAUAGAAUAUUGGCCAGAUAAUUUACUUAGAAAUAAUGUUGAUGUCAUUCAUACUAAGAAGAACUACUUUGAAAACUUGUUCAACUUAGUUAUGGAUGUCACCGGCAAAAUAGAAGAUAAUCCUAAAGCCAGACCUGACUUACCAGAAUAUUGCAACCGUAGAGAAUUACACUUACAGAAGGGGCCCAACGGCAAUGUUCUUAACCCCAAGGCUAGUUUUACAUUCAAGUUGGACCAAAAGCAGCAAAUAUGUGAGUGGGUUCAAAGUUUGAAGAUGCCCGAUAGUUAUGCCUCAAAUUUGGGAAAGUGGGUUGAUAUGACACAAGGAAUCUUACAUGGAAUAAAAAGCCAUGAUUGUAAUGUUCUCAUGGAACAGUUACUUCCAAUUACUUUUAUUGGUUUACCUGAAAACAUACGGAACCCAAUAGCAGAGAUCAGUUUGUUCUUUAAAGACAUAUGUGCGACCACAUUAAAAGUAGAAAAUCUAGCGCGAAUGGAAAUUAAUAUUGUUGUUAUCACCAACAAGCUGGAGAAAAUUUCCCACCAGCGUUCUUCGAUAUGAGGUAACAUCUUCCCAUUCAACUUGUGCACGAAGCUCGGCUAGGUGGUCCAGUUCAAACUAGGUGGAUGUAUCUAUUUGAACGGUAAGCAUUUGCAACAUAUUUAAAUGCAUACUUAUUUUUUUUAAAUAUAGUAAACAUCUAAGAUUGACACUAUUAUAUAGGCCAAUUCGAAAAUUGAAAAGAGGUCGCAAAAACAAACACAAGGUGGAAGGCUCUAUAGUUGAGGCAUCUCUUGCAAGAGAAACUUCUCAAUUUUAUUCAUGCUACUUUCGUGAUGAAGUUGUUUGUUCAAUAAAUCGCCAGAAUAGUCAUCAGGAAGAUGUGAAUGAGCCUCAUUUGUAACCGAUAUAAAUUUUCAAUCAAUCUGGUUGUAAGGCUAAAAAGAGCAUAUCUCACCGGCUCAAUCCCACGGAGCACAAAUCAACAACUUUGUAUGUCUUGCUGAUUACCCGGAAAUUGAGCCCUUUCUGAAGUAAAGAGAUUCAAAUUUUAACAUAUCUUGUUUGUUUGCUCAUUUCCUUAAACAAACUAAUUGUGUUUCCCAUGUUGGAUGUUCAAUUCAUUUUAGACUUAAUUCCACAAAAAUCAAGUGUAUGCAUCCUUUGCAACAUGGAUUAAAAAUGAGGUUCGUCAGUUUAUUAAUGUUUCUACGAAGUUUAAACAUUUACACAUUCCUUAACUAAAAUAUAUAUAUAUAUAUAUAUUUGUAUGGUAUUUUUAGGUACACCAUUCACUAAAUGCAGCCGCAUACAAAUUUUAUCCUAUCCAAACCCUCUUUACACCUCAUCCUAACAACCUACCCCACCCUACACCCUACUUUACCUCAUCUCUAACCCUCACAUUUUAUUCCAUUCGGUUAAAAAUUUGAAAAAGGGCAAAAAAAAAGCCCACGGGGAAUCUCCAUUUUUACAAAGCACAAUACAUAUAUACACAUUCACCAACAUCAUCACGGGAAGAGGCAUAUACAUAUAAAUUUUAUCUUUCAAUUCAUUAGCAAAAAGCGGUCCCCUACGGUUUGGCUUGAUUUUUCCACAAGACAUCAUAUAUACAUAUACUCUCACUGAAGACCAUCAGGAAGGAUCACCCAUUUUUUCUUUUUAUCUUCUUGGAUCGAUAAUACACAAAAAACCAGGCACCAACUCACAAUUCCACUCUCAAGCACAGCCACAUACACACAUACCCAUACCCAAAUAACACACAAAUGGUAAAAAAUAGUGAGACAUGAGGUGAAUUGAAAGGGGAAUAGUGAGAUCGAGAGAGUAAGGAUCACAAGCAGAGAGAGAGAAUAAUGGAAAGAGAGAGUGAGGAAAUCAGGUAUAGAAGGUCAAAAUUGAGAGAGAGGGUGAGGGUUUUCGGUCUUUGGUCAUAGUUCUUGCGACUUGGAUCGCCAAAAUUAAUUUUUCAUCCAUCGUUUGACCGUUUCUCUUUAUAUUUUUGACAAAAUCUCAUCGGAAUCAGCGCUAUCGAUAUCCAGCCAUCCAUUCAACAAGCCCAGUCUGAAAUCCCUAAAUUAUCUCUAUUUUUCUUUGAUUUCUAGGUAGAUUUAGCUGGAAAACAUGAACUAGCAACAAAAAUUCGUUGAAUUCCAUUUUGUUUUUUAAUCAAUUUCAAAAUAUUGUCGCAUAUGAGUUUGUGUUCUAUUGUGAUUUCACUCUUAGUUCAUCGGUCUUGGUAUGGAUUUUGGGGAUUUAGGUUCUGUUUGUCUCGAUUGAUUCAUCAUAAGCAGUUUGGGGUUUCAGUUUCUUGCUAUCGAGUUGGAUUUCAUCGCUGUUGAGGUUCAAUUCCGAAUUCUAUAGUCUGGGCUUUCUUAACUUUAUUAUCAAUAAAAUUGGUUCUUCAAAGGUCCAUCUCUUAACUUUACUUUUUAAUUAUAUUGAAGUUGGUUAAUAUCAUGAUUUCGUGGUGUGAUUUUGAAUAUUUUGAGCAAAUGUUGAUUGUUGUUGUGGAUAUAAAUUAUCGGUAUGCUUAAAUGUUUGAAUCUUCAUUUGAGGUAUGUGUUCGAUGUUGGUUCGGAUUUUGAAAAGUGAUUUGAUAGUCAAAUUGGUAUAAUCAUGUGAGAUUUGGAGGGCGAAAAUUAAAACAUUGAUAAAAGUGAAUGUUAGUUCAUGUUGAUUUAUUGAUAAUCCUUGGAAUGUGGUUUUGUUUUNNNNNNNNNNNNNNNNNNNNNNNNNNNNNNNNNNNNNNNNNNNNNNNNNNNNNNNNNNNNNNNNNNNNNNNNNNNNNNNNNNNNNNNNNNNNNNNNNNNNNNNNNNNNNNNNNNNNNNNNNNNNNNNNNNNNNNNNNNNNNNNNNNNNNNNNNNNNNNNNNNNNNNNNNNNNNNNNNNNNNNNNNNNNNNNNNNNNNNNNNNNNNNNNNNNNNNNNNNNNNNNNNNNNNNNNNNNNNNNNNNNNNNNNNNNNNNNNNNNNNNNNNNNNNNNNNNNNNNNNNNNNNNNNNNNNNNNNNNNNNNNNNNNNNNNNNNNNNNNNNNNNNNNNNNNNNNNNNNNNNNNNNNNNNNNNNNNNNNNNNNNNNNNNNNNNNNNNNNNNNNNNNNNNNNNNNGACUUAGUUGGUUGAAAAUUCUUUGAUCUAAUUUGUUGAAUCUUAUUGAUUGCAUUGAUGGAACCUGAUUAUAGCUGGAUAUUUCACUGGAACAAUGAAAAUAGAAUGGGUAUUAGGCAGGAAUUUGUUGAAUGUGUCAAAAGAUUUGUUGUAUAUGCUAAGACACUUGAUGUUUGGACACAUUUUGGGGUUAUUCCGUGUCCUUGUGUUAGAUGUGAUGGUAUAAAUCUUCUAAGUGAAGAAGAAGUAAAGGAACAUCUUUAUAAAAAGGGGUUUCACGAGGACUUUUUAAGAUUGUGUGGUAUUCAUGGUGAUGUUACACAAAGUAACUUUGUUGUUGGAGAAAGUAGUAGGUCUGCAAGGCAUAAUGAAUAUCAAGAUACUAGGAUGACAGAAAUGGUGUAUGAUGCAUUUGGGAUGCAACACAGGGGUGACUUUAGGGAAAAUGUUGAAGAUGUUCCUAAUAUGAAGCGGCCAAUUUCUACAAAGAAUUGCAUGCUGCUAGUCAUCCUUUUUUUUAUGGGUGUUUGCACUCUCGUUUGUCUGUUGCUGUUAGCUUAUUAAGUAUUAAAUCUGACUGAAAUAUUGCAGAAGACGAAAUGGACUCAAUUAUAGACUUUAUUAAAGAGUUAGCUGACCACUUCUUGGAGGUUCCUCAUUCUUUCUAUAAGGCAAAAAGAUUGGUGUUAAAGUUAGGUCUCUCCUCGGUUAGAAUUGAUUGUUGUGAAAAUGGCUGAAUGUUAUACUUUAAGAGACAUGCUAACCUAGAGUUUUGUCAAUUUUGUCAGCGCCCUAGAUAUAAGCGUGAUUCUACUGGGAAGCAACUUGAUUUUAAGAAAAUACAUAAUUUACCUCUUAUACCAAGGUUGAAGAGGUUGUAUGCUUCCAACAGCUCAGCUCCUCAUAUGAGAUGGCAUAGUGAAAAUAAAAGGUCUCCUGGUGUUAUGUGCCAUCCAUCUGAUGGAGAGGCUUGGAAGCAUUUUAAUGCAACUUAUCCAAAUUUUACAACUGAGCCACAAAACAUUUGAUUGGGAUUAUGUGCGGAUGGGUUCUCUCCUUUUUCAGUUGGUGGUGUGCCAUAUUCGUGUUGGCCUGUAUUUAUCACUUCUUAUAAUCCUCCUCCUAAAAUGUUGAUGACUAGUCCCUAUAUAUUUCUAAAUUGUGUUAUUACUGGCCCGUGUAAUCCAAAAAGCUGAAUAGAUAUGUAUUUGCAACCUUUGAUUGAGGAACUUCAAAUUUUACGGCAUGGUGGGAUUGAAACUUAGGACAUCUCUCUUAAACAUAAUUUAAAUAUACGUGCAUAUCUAAUAUGGACUGUUAAUAAUUUUCCUUCUUAUGGCAUGUUGUCGGGGUGGAUGAUCGCUGGAAAGCUGGCUUGUCUAUACUGCAUGGAAAAAAAAUCUUUCACAUUGAGAAAUGGCAGGAAAAAUUCAUGGUUUGAUUGUCAUUGUUGUUUCUUCCCUCCUGAUUAUGAAUUUAGGAGACUCAAGAAUGCCUGUAGAAGGAAUAGAAGGGAACAUGAUGAUCCACCUCCAAUGUUGUCUGGUUAUAAAGCCAGCGAGGAACGAUUAUACAGGCUUGAUGGAUAUGGCUUUUCACAUAACUAGAUUAAGCAAAGUAUAUUUUGGAAGAUAGAAUAUUGGCCAGAUAAUUUACUUAGAAAUAAUGUUGAUGUCAUUCAUACUAAGAAGAACUACUUUGAAAACUUGUUCAACUUAGUUAUGGAUGUUACCGGCAAAAUAGAAGAUAAUCCUAAAGCCAGACUUGACUUACCAGAAUAUUGCAACCGUAGAGAAUUACACUUACAGAAGGGGCCCAACGGCAAUGUUCUUAAGCCCAAGGCUAGUUUUACAUUCAAGUUGGACCAAAAGCAGCAAAUAUGUGAGUGGGUUCAAAUUUUGAAGAUGCCCGAUAGUUAUGCCUUAAAUUUGGGAAAGAGGGUUGAUAUGGCACAAGGAAUCUUACAUGGAAUAAAAAGCCAUGAUUGUAAUGUUCUCAUGGAACAGUUACUUCCAAUUACUUUUAUUGGUUAACCUGAAAACAUAUGGAAACCAAUAGCAGAGAUCAGUUUGUUCUUUAAAGACUUAUGUGCAACCACAUUAAAAGAAUAAAAUCUAGCGCUUAUGGAAAUUAAUAUUGUUGUUAUCACCAACAAGCUAGAGAAAAUUUCCCACCAGCAUUCUUCGAUAUGAUGUAACAUCUUCCCUUUCACCUUGUGCACGAAGUUCGGCUAGGUGGUCCAGUUCAAACUAGGUGGAUGUAUCUAUUAGAACGGUAAUCAUUUGCAACAUAUUUAAAUGCAUACUUAUUUUUUUUAAAAUAUAGUAAACAUCUAAGCUUGACACUAUUAUAUAGGGCAAUUCGAAAAUUGAAAAGUGGUCGCAAAAACAAACACAAGGUGGAAGGCUCUAUAGUUGAGGCAUCCAUGAGGCUGAUCUUGAGCCGCCAUCCAAGCGCGAUCUCUUGCAAGAGAAACUUCUCAAUUUUAUUCAUGCUACUUUCGUGAUGAAGUUGUUUGUUCAAGAAACCGCCGGAAUAGUCAUCAGGACGAUGUGAAUGAGCCACAUUUGUAAUCGAUAUAAAUUUUCAAUCAAUCUGGUUGUAAGGCUAAAAAGAUCAUAUCUCGCCGGCUCAAUCCCACGGAGCACAAAUCAACAACUUUGUAUGUCAUGCUGAUUACCCGGAAAUUGAGCCCUUUCUGAAGUAAACAGAUUCAACUUUUAAUGUUCAAUUCAUUUUAGACUCAAUUCCACAAAAAUCAAGUGUAUGCAUCCUUUGCAACAUGGAUUAAAAAUGAGGUUCGUCAGUUUAUUAAUGUUUCUACGAAGUUUAAACAUUUACACAUUCCUCAACUAAAAUAUAUAUAUAUAUAUAUAUGGUAUUUUUAGGUACACCAUUCAAUAAAUACAGCCGCAUCCCACACCCUACUUUACCUCAUCCCUACCCCUCACAUUUUAUUCCACUCAUUAAAAAUUUCAAAAAGGGCAAAAAAAAGGCCCACGGGGAAUCUCCAUUUUUACAAAGCACAAUACAUAUAUACACAUUCACAAACAUCAUCACGGGAAGAGGCAUAUACAUAUAAAUUUUAUCUUUCAAUUCAUUAGCAAAAAGAGGUCCCCUACGGUUUGGCUUGGUUUUUCCACAAGACACCAUAUAUACAUAUACUCUCACAGAAGACCAUUAGGAAGGAUCAUCCAUUUUUUCUUUUUAUCUUCUUGGAUCAAUACUACACAAAAAACCAGGCACCAACUCACAAUUCCACUCUCAAGCACAGCCACAUACACACAUACCCAUACCCAAAUAACACACAAAUGAUAAAAAAUAGUGAGACAUGAGGUGAAUUGAAAGGGGAAUAGUGAGAUCGAGAGAGUAAGGAUCACAAGCGGAGAGAGAGAAUAAUGGAAAAAGAGAGUGAGGAAAUCAGGUAGAGAAGGUCAAAAUUGAGAGAGAGGGUGAGGGUUUUAGGUCUUUGGUCAUAGUUCUUGCGACUUGGAUCGCCAAAAUUAGUUUUUCAUCCAUCGUUUGACCGUUUCUCUUUAGAUUUUUGACAAAAUCUCAUCGGAAUCAGCGCUAUCGGUAUCCAGCCAUCCAUUCAACAAGCCCACUCUGAAAUCCCUAAAUUAUCUCUAUUUUUCUUUGAUUUCUAGGUAGAUCUAGCCGGAAAACAUGAACUAGUGACAAAAAUUCGUUGAAUUCCAUUUUGUUUUUUAAUCAAUUUCAAAACAUUGUCGCAUAUGAGUUUGUGUUCUAUUGUGAUUUCACUCUUAGUUCGUCGGUCUUUGUAUGGAUUUUGGGGAUUUAGGUUCUGUUUGUCUCGAUUGAUUCAUCAUAAGCAGUUUGGGGUUUCAAUUUCUUGCUAUCGAGUUGGAUUUCAUCGUUGUUGAGGUUCAAUUCAGAAUUCUAUAGUCUGGGCUUUCUUAACUUUAUUAUCAAUAAAAUUGGUUCUUCAAAGGUCCGUCUCUUAACUUUACUUUUUAAUUAUAUUGAAGUUGGUUAAUAUCAUGUUUUCGUGGUGUGAUUUUGAAUAUUUUGAGCAAAUGUUGAUUGUAGUAGUGGUUAUAAAUUAUCGGUAUGCUUAAAUGUUUGAAUCUUCAUUUGGGGUAUGUGUUUGAUAUUGGUUCGGAUUUUGAAAAGUGAUUUGAUAGUCAAAUUGGUAUAAUUAUGUGAGAUUUGGAGGGCGAAAAUUAAAACAUUGAUAAAAGUGAAUGUUAGUUCAUGUUGAUUUAUUAAUAAUCCUUGAUUCAGGAUAAGUAUAAACUUUGUUUAAAUUCGAUAGUCUCAUGGUUUAAGUUGAUAAUUGUUAGGCAAACGAUAAGGGGAGGCAUAUUUAGGAAUGUCGGAUUGGUGAAUGCUUGACAUAUGUGUAGAAUGGUUCUAUUUUAUCAUUUUUGGAUCAAUUGUACUAUUUGUUCGAGGAAUUUCCCGAAGAAUCUGUAUAUAUUUAUUCACCGUGGAAUGCCUCGAGGUAUCUUGUACCCGAAGGACGUUCGUGAUAAAGGCCCGAGGAGUCGGGUAGAGCGUUAGUCUAGGAUUAGUUUAGAAUAGAAUUUGUUUUUAAGUAUUUUUCUAUUUUGGACUGUAUCAUUGGACUGAACAUUCUAUUUGAUGUGUUUGAUGUUUGUUUUAUGUGGUUUAUACAUUCAUAGUAUCAAAUUAGCCGAUAUGCUCCACCAAACGACCGUGGUCGAACCACGGGUUCGAUGGGUGCCUAACAUCUUCCCCUUGCUCAACAGAAUUUCUCAGUUAGAAUCUCUGUUUGCGGAUCAGUUUAAAGAGUCAAAAAUAGUUUUGAAAAAGGAUUUCCAAAGGUGACUUGGCAUACCUGAUUAUGCCAAGUGGUGACUCUGAUUUUAAAUGUCAAUAAUCCUUUUUGAAACAAAAAUUUUCACCUUUUGUCAUAUAACAAUAAAAACCCUUUUGAAUCUUAAAACAAUUCUUUUUGGUUAAAAAAGUGGUACGACAGCUCUGGCGACUCCGCUGGGGAUUUUUCAGAAUUUGAGCUAAUUUUUAAAGUUGUAUCGGUUUUGUUUGACAUCAUGGGUGUAUAGACAUUGUUUGUAUUGUUUUAUGUUAUUGUUUCACAUUGUUGAGUGCCUAUGUUCUCUUUAUUUAUAGUUUUUAUCUUAUGUGUUACCGCUUUAUAUCUGGCAUCAUGUACAUAACUCGAGUCAUAACCCGAGUCAUUCUUUCUGCAAUAAGUUCGUAGUACACGUGUUAUACACAACCUCUAGUUGAGUCAUCCUUAUUUUAGGAGGGGGAGCCGUCGGUGUUAUGGAGUAGGUGGAAAGUUCUCACAGCCACUAUCGACCAUAUGCUCCCCCGAAUAGCCUUGUUAGUGGAUCCCAGUGUAGGUCAACCUUUAGUUCAUACUUAUAUGCAUCAUACCUUGUGGGAUCCACGUGGCCCUUUGUACGAUACUCACCUCUAAAGCAUCCCUACGUGCUAAAUGUUGUAUCUCUGAGGUAACGUGGUCAUUUGAUGGACCGAUUUGGGGAAUGUGUUAGAAGUAAAAUGUGUAGACAAGAAAGUGUUGCAAAAAAAAAAGAGAGAAAAAGAAAAGGUGAUGUCAAAAAAGAGUAUUUCAUAGUUUUUUUUUUGGAGUUCUUUAUGGCUUUCAUUUUUCACAAUUCAAAAAUUCAAAAAGUUUUUUUACCUCUUGCACUCAUUUCUCAAAAAACAAAAGAAAAUCAAAAACAUCAAAAAGAUUUUCUUUUUAUUCGUUUACCAUGCAUUCAUAAUUUGAACAUUUCAAAAAGAUUUUUUUAGGAGUUUUUAUAAAAGAAAAUUUAAAAAUGAUAGAAGUUUUGUACAUCUCAUAUAACGAAAAUACCAAAAAAAAAUAUUUCAUAGUUGUUGGUGUCAUUUUUAUGUGAAGUGUCAAAUCAAAAACUCAAAAAAAAAAUUAUUCUUCGGUCUUUGGUCGUGUCUCUUAGGUUAGGUCAAUCUGUUAGUUAAUCUUUAAUUGUUCAAUCUGGAUGAACUACGCACCCCUGAUUCUCCCCUUUCGGAGGUGAGAUACGCUGGCAGCCUAUUGUUGGUUCAGGGAUCUUAUUUAAAAUAUCAAAAACAAAGAUUUUCUUCUCCUCAUUUAGAGUAGGUGUUUCAUAUCUGCCUUGACAAGAAGAAUACAAAAAGGUUUUCCUUAAUAAUCGUGGGUUUUAUUUUUGGUGGAUCUUAUUUGAAAAAUCCAAAAAGAUUUUCUUUGGUAAUUAGAGAUUUCAUUUUGUAUAAUGAUUUAAACUUGAAAAAUACAAAAAGAUUUUUGUCAAUUCUUUUGCCAAUUUGUCAUUUUCUUUUCUCUUUGAAGUUUCAAGAAAAAGAAUGGAAAAAGAGUUGAAUUGCCCAUUUUGGCAAGACUUCACGAACUACGCAUACCUAAUUCUCCUCUCUCGGGAGUGAGAUACUUAGGCACCCUUUUUGGGUUCGAUGAUCUUUUAAAAAAAAUAAAAAGAAGGAAAAGGAGGUUUGGAAAAAGUGUUGAACUCAAACGCAUUUGCUAUUUUUUUUUUGUUGAGUCAGUUUAAGGUAGUUGGUUUGUGGCAUUCUGGCUGGUCCUUCACAUCACACCAAAUCCAAAGGGUUAAUUAUGUCCAACAAAGAUAUAGAGAGUGACAUCAUGGAUCAAACAAAGAAUCAGAAAAAAGAGAGUUUGAAGCAAGAGAUUAGGAGGCUAAGGCAACAAAUGAUAGAAAUAUGUCGAACUUGGGUCAGUGGGUUGCCUCCUCCUCCAUUUCCCUUUAUUAAUCCUACAAACACCUCGAGUUUUCUAUCAAAAUCUCAAAGUCAGUUUUCUAUUGUUGUUGAUGCACUGCAAUAUGACUCAGAAUUCAAUCCGAGCCAAAAUCAUCUCAAUACUUCCACCUCUUUUCCUCUAGCACCUCAGCAUAAUCCUGCUAUAUUCACAACACUACAUGUCGUCUGUGAUCUAGUUGCUCAAUCCCUUACUAGGACUUUCACACUGCCUCGCCCAAUGAAUGUGCGUCCCUAUACUGCUAGUGAACCUAUAUUCAAUACUCUUGGUGAAAAUUGUUAUACUCCUAAGCCUGCUUUUAAGUUAACUGGACCACCAAAAUUUCUUAACAAGAAGUCCAGUACGCCAGAAGAGUCGGAUAAAAUGGUUGGAAAAAUGAAGAGUGCAGAAAAUUCUAUAAAAAAUUCUCCAGGACCUAAGGGCAAAGAAGAUGUUUCAUACAAAAACUGGAACAUGCCUCCAACUGCUAACCUUCUUCCAAUCUGUGAGAUGUCAAAAUUUGAGAAGCAAGAUGGGCAUGAGGAAUUAGUGAAAUAUUUAGGAUAAUAUUGCAAUAAAUUAAAGGAACCUGGAGGGAAGAAGAAUGAGAAAGAUGACACUGCUAUUGAAGUUGGAGAACGGGCAUAUCAAAGAAGACGACGUCGUCAUUGCCGACAGUCUAAAGCCCAUGUUCAUACCUAAACUCUCCAUAAUCAAUCCCAAAAUCCAUUAUACUCUGUUUCCCCACCUCCAUAUCCAGUAUAUUGCGCACAACCAUAUGUUCAACUCCCGCCUUACCCAUAAAGGCACGUACUAACUCCUCAAAGUCAUCAUCCAAUUCCACAAACAUAUCAAAGCCCUUAUAGGCCGAUGUUUGAUCCAAGUUAAACAAUGAAAUGAGGCAGAAAUUGAGGGAUAGUUUUACACCAAUUGGAGAGUUGUAUACCAUUUUAUUUUAGAGAUUUGAACAAUAAGGAAUGAUCACUCCUCUACUUGGGUAUACUCCUAACCCAUAUUCAAGAAGUUUUGAUUGUAAUGUACGAUGUGCAUAUCAUUCAGAUGUUCAGGGUCACAGUAUUGAAGAUUGUCGUGCUUUGAAAAGAGAUUGAAAAGAUGAUUCAAGACAAAUUGAUUAUGGUGCAGAACAUUGACAGUGAGGAAAACACUAGUCAUGCUGAUAUGCAAACCAGUGGCUAAGAUGUCAGGCUGAGCUAUUUAGAAGUUACCCCUCUCCCUACUAGGAAGAGGUCUAGUAGUUUGUUUUGUUUUAUUUUUUGUUAUCCGAAUUAUUUCAGGAUUGUUGUUUGGGAUCUAUCUUGUUUUGUCCAUUUGUUGUCAUGUUCAAAACCUUCUAUCUUUUAUUUUAAUUGAAUGAAGUGUCCCUUUUUUCUUUGUGUUUGAAAUAUGUGUUGUUUGUUUAUUUUCUUUAUACAGUAUAUUUUAGGUUAAUUCUAGUGUUAUGACAUGCUAGAAGAAUUUUUAGCCAGAUCUCAAAAUAUAAUUUAAGCAUGAACAUUGAAUCAGAGGGUUAUAGUUAGAAAGAGAAAGCAUCUGAGAAAAUAGGUAGAGUGCUGAGAUAUUUGGUAAUAAGUUCAAGCCUUCUUUGAAAAUUAAGGCAAUUAUUUUGAGAAUCACAAGAAUAAAUUGGUCAUCAAUUGAAAAACAUAGCUCAAUUAGGUCAAAUAGUGCAUAUGUGAUCCCGUGGAACAAAACAAAAUCAACUCCACGAAAGCAUGAGUCAUUCAAUAGAAAAGAUGUACAGCAAAGAUAUGUUCGGCAAAUAUAGAAGAAGAGGUGGUACAUAUGUUCGGGGCAAGUUAGUAUUGUAAAAUAUGUCAUAAGUGAUAUUGAUCGUGCACUUUCAUAUUGCAUGAUAUGUACUUGCAUUUUCACGGAUUGAUAUGAUUAAGGCAUUUCGUUAUGCUAUCUAAACAUCGUGUCAUCCUUUGUUUACCUCAUUUGAGCUUUAGUCCUAUUUUAUUUCAUACCCCUCUUUUGGAAUCAAAAUAGAUUCUAAAAAAAAUAUGUCCAAAAAGAAAAAAAGAAAAGUGCCAAGACAAAUAGAGUCGGAAAAAUCCAAAGAGAAAAGAGUGUCAAUAAAAGAAAAAGAAUCAAAAGUCUAAAUCAUGCAAAAUAAGCUGUCAGAACUACGUGUGACCUGAUUCUCCUCUCUCAAGGGUGAGAUACAUAGGCUGCCCUACCCAGGGCUCAGUCCAACCAAAUAAACAUUUUAGAAUUGACCAGUCAAAAAAAACCGGGGCAUGAGUUAAUCCUUAAUGUUUGAGUUAAUUUCAAAAGUUGUAAGUCCUAACCCACUUUAAGUUUCAUUUAGGCCUUAUGUCAUCCUUUCUUUGUAACUUUAUCCAAAAGACAAGUUAUAAACAAAGAAACACCUUCAGAUCUAUCUUUGCGAAUGUUAAGGCUAAGCAUGCAAUGGAUGUGAUAACGCAUUUUGGGAACUACUUGUCUUCCUCAACAUAAGAAAUCAGGAGAGAAAUAAAAAUGAGAAAGUCUUAUUGGCAAAAACCCUCACGGGCACCAUAAGGCGAUAGUGAGUUGAGAGAAUAAAAGUGAGAGUCUUAUUUGUGAAAACCCUCGCAGGCACCAUAAGACGAUAGUGAUUUAAGAGAAAUAAAAAUAAGAGAGUCUUAUUGGUGAAAACCCUCACGGGCACCAUAAGGCUAUGGUAAGUUGAGGGAGAUAAAAAUAAGAGAGUCCUAUGGGUGACAAUCCUCACGAGCACCAUAAGACGAUGGGGAGUUGAGACAAAUAAAAAUAAGAGAGUCUCAGUAGUAAAUACCCCUCACAGACACCAUAAGGCAAUGGUGAGAGGAGAAAGGGAAAAUGAGAGAGGCUUGUUUGCAAAAACCAUUCAAGGAGCCACUAGCCGAAUGAGGUCUUAAAUGCAAUUGACCUAAGUAAGCAACUCAAUUUUGAGGUCAUUCACUCAACAACAAUUGGUAGAAAGUUUUGGAUGGAAAAAUAAGGAAGUUUAAUCCGAUAUGUAUGCCAUAAUCAUUAGAGUUGACUGUCAUUUUUAGACAAACUUUUCUUUCAUCUUUUUCAGUGGGGACAUUCAUUGUCAUUUUUUUCUUCUCUUUAGUUAUAUUUGUAUUUUCUUGAGUCAGCUAUCCAAAUAAAGAAAAAAUUAUUAUUAUUUUUCUCUUGUCUUUGAGUCAAGUCCAUGUCAAAACAAGUGAGAAAAGAUUUCAAAACUGGUUGCCAAUUUCUUCAAUUGGACAAAGCAAUAUAGAAAGGCCAGCGUAAGAAAGAGACAUGAUUGUGAGCCAACAAAAGGGCAUGCAGAAAGCUUUGUCAACAGGAAAAUCUGGGAACUCAUGAAAAUACCAAGGUUUAAAGGGUUUAUCUGAGAAGAAUGGCAAAGUAGAGAUGUUGUGUUUAUGUCAGAGUAACUCUUAAUAAUCAGAGUUUGGAUCAAUGACAUGACAAAGUAGGGGAAAGUGCCAACAAUUCGAAAUAAAAUAAAGAAAAUGGACACUAGAGCAGGUGUUGGGACAGCCAAGUGCGGCAAGCCACCACUAUGUUUUUAACUGACAAAAUUUCAUUGUUGAAACAGGGGCAAGUUUGCUUCACGUAAUUUAGCUACCCUUAGAAAAUCACAUCCAUCGGAAUUUACAUUUUGUUCAGGACCCUCCUAGAAAAUAGGAAUUUACUUUCUGUUCAGGUGCCUCCCAAAAAAUGGAAAUUUACUUUCUGUUCAGGACCCUCUUGGAAAAUGGGAAUUUACUUUCUGUUCAGGACCCUCAUAGAAAAUAGGAAUUUACUUUCUGUUCAGGUGCCUCCCAGAAAAUGGGAAUUUACUUUCUGUUCAGGACCCUCCUGGAAAAUGGGAAUUUACUUUCUGUUCAGUACUCUUUUAAAAAAUGGGACUUUACUUUUUGUUCAGGACCCUCCUGAAAAAUGGGACUUUACUUUCUGUUUUGGACCCUCCUGAAAAAUGAGACUUUACUUUCUGUUCUGGACCCUCCUGAAAAAUGAGACUUUACUUUCUAUUCUGGACCCUUCUGAAAAAUGAUACUUUACUUUCUGUGCAGGACCCUCCUGAAAAAUGAGACUUUACUUUCUGUUCAGGACCCUCCUGAAAAAUGGAACUUUAGUUUCUGUUCAGGACCCUCCUGAAAAAUGGGACUCUACAUUUUGUCCAGUACCCUCCUGAAAAAUAGGAUUUUACUUUCGAAAAAUGAGAUUUUACUUUCUGUCCAGGACCCUCCUAAAGAUGGAAUUUUACUUUCCGUCCAGGACCGUCCUGAAAAAUGAGAUUGAGGUAUGUCUAACACCUUUUCCUCGGUCAACAGAAUUCCUUAGUCGGAAUCUAUGUUCGCGGAUCAGUUUAAAUAGUCAAAAAUAGUUUUGAAAAAAAGAUUUUUAAAGGUGACUUGGCACACCUGAUUAUGCCAAAUGGUGACUCUGAGUUUAAAUGUCAAUAAUCCUUUUUGAAAAAAAAAAUUUCACCUUUUGUCACAUAACAAUAAAAACCCUUUCGAACCUUAAAACGGUUCUUUUUGGUUAAAAAGGGGUGUGACAACAGAAAUCAAUAAACCAAAAUAGUUGCAUAGAGUCAAUAUUGAAUACCACUGGUGUUAUGAUAAUUUUAUUGUGUUAUAUAUUGAUAUUAUAGCUAUAUCUAUAUAAAUUGGUUGUUAAUGAUAUGUUUUAUACAUUAAUGUUUUUUUAUUCAAUUUGCUUCUCUAAUUUCUCUUUCUCAAACAUGUUUGAUGGAUCUUAGUCAAAGGUUAACAUGUAGAUCUGUUGGAAAAGUUUGAUAACUUUUAAUUGUCGCUGUGUUUUAUUCAGAAAAAAUAUUCUAAGGUUUCUUUUUCUCUCUUUAGGUAUUCAAUAUUGGACUCUCUCUUCACCCGAUCCGUUUUUCUUUCUAUCCAUCUCUUCGAUGAAAUACUUUACCUCAGAAAUUCUUUGAGAAGUUUUAGAGAUAGUAAGAAUCCACAAUAUAGUCAUUAAAAUUUUUGUUUAGGAAUGAUUAUUCACUCUAUAGGUUUUGUGUUUUUAAUAUAAGUUUAUAAUAGAAUAAAAUCUAAAUUGUAUUCAAAUAUUAUGCUUUUUUUAAUUACAAUUUUAUUUGUCAUGUGAUUUGUGGAGUUGGGUUGAAAGUCAAGUCAUGGGUCUAACCUCGAGGUACAAAUUUAUGUUCUGUGUUGAUUCAGAAAUCAUGAUCUUAAGUCAAAUAUCAAGUCAGAAUUGAAAAUCGAGAUCUAAGUCGAGAAUGCCAGUCAGGAUUGAAACCGAAUGUCGAGAUCGGAAGUUGAUUUUACGAUUAGGUUUGGGUUUUUACCAUCGCGACAAAACCCAUAAAGAUUAAAACUUUCCACGACUGAAUUGUUACUUAGUUUUGAUUAUGUUAUCCAACUAUAUUUUGAUAUAUUAUUCAUAUAUAUUGGAGUUGAAUUUUUAAUUAUACUUAUUUGUUGAAUUCAACAUAUAAUUUUAUAUUUUGAUAUCUUCAAAUACUUUAUGUGCUUAAUUGGAUAUCUCUUCCUAGGUUGUUAUAGAUGCAUGGUGGGGCUCGAGGCGAUUGAGGGCUCAAUAUGUGUCCAAUAGUUUGGGGGUUUUAAUUUUUUUAUUUAAUCAAAAAAAUUUUGGGAGUUUUGAAUUUAAUUGGUUAGUGUUUUUGUUAUGUUUUGUGCUUUUGGAUGACACAUUUAAAAUUAAAAAUAUGUCAAUUUUCUAUUAGUGAUAAGAUUUUGGGGUUGUUCUAUUUGAAUGUGGUCUCCUGGAUGAUAUAUUCGAUGGGUCUUUUUGUGUUAUUUCCUACUUAAUUAUAUAAACGAAAAACAGGUGAUUAUUUAGUAGGUAAUUCUUAAAUUUUUGUGUCAAGGUUUCUCCACUUUUUUUCUUUUUGAAGUAUUGUAAAGUUUAGCUAUGCAUUGUAAUUAUCUAAUUUAUCUUUUUGAACGUGUUAUGCACUUAGCUGGAUAUAUUUUUCUAGGUUACUAUGGAUGCAUGGUGGGUAGCUCAGAUUUAUAUGAAAUGGUUAUGGUCUUCUAUUGUUUGAAUCAUAAUGUUCUUUCACGUAUCAAUUAACAAAAAGAAUUUUCACUUUCGAUUUUAGUUAAAAUAUUUUAGUUAUUUUAAUGUUAAUAAUAUGUAUUUCUCGAUGUAAUAUACGCGUGUAAUGCACGUACACUGAACUAAUAUAUAUAUAUAUAUAUGUAUAUCAUAAUAUUGAGUUGAUUGUGAGUACUACAUUUUUAUUCUAUACAUAUAUAUUUAUGAGAUACUAGUACUAUUAGAAACACUAUUUUUGAAAAAAAAAAAAUGAGACACUUUUAUGAAAACUCUCUCAAUGAACACAAUUCGGAGAGGUGAGUUGAUAUUGAGGUAUGAGAUAUAGUAUAUGGGUUGCGAACCGUCCAUGGAUCCUACCUAGGAGUUGCGAGCUUGGUUGGUGUACAAACAGUCAUGAAAUGACUUUUAUCAUUCAUCCCAUCCACAUUGCAUUGUGUUUACACAUACGUUUUUCAUGUUUUCUUUAGUUUCAUUGACUCAUGCUAGUUCACUAUAUUUUCGUGUAUAUUUAUGUCAUUUUCACUUCUGUGUAUGUACAUAUUUAGAACUGUUAGUGGAGACGAUGUGAGCUACCAUUUGAAAAUUUUUCUUGUUUUAGCUGACGUGCUCAUAGUUUCAUUUUAUUUAUCUUAUGUUUGUACUUUGCUUAGUCAGACUAUGAUACCUACUGAAUAAAAGUGGACCGUACUCACUCCUAAUAUACUAUUUCAGUGAAGAUACUAAUUUGAGUACCUUACGUGGCAACUGAUCUUUGUGCGAAAAUUUUAAAUUUUUGAGGUAUUGAUGCGCUCCAGAGUUCGGGGCUAAUCCGGACCUCAUCUAUCUUUAUUUUUCUUUACUUAUGACUCAAAGACAUAUUUCGUAUUAUUCAGUAUUCGGAUGGUUGUUUAGAUGUUAUACACUUAUGUCAUCAGAUUUUGGAAUUUAGAAUAUUUUUUUCAGAUUAGCUAUAAUUGUGCUUGUAUUAGUCUGACCUCGCUUUAGAAGGCUUGCUUAACCUGUCUUUACUUUAAAUUUUUUGUUUCUUUUUUCAUUUUGGAUUUUUGACUUACUUAUCAAGGUUAGGUCGUGAUAACUGUCAUUGAGACCUGAGUUUUGAAUCGUGACAACUCUACCCUCUCCAAACUCUAAUUUUGAGACUAUACUAGGUAGCAUGAUUGGUUCUGUUUUGAGAUCCUUUUUGUGCUUUUUGAACGAUUGAUAGAUAUAUUUAUUUUGUUUUUAUUUUAUUUUCCUAAAGUUUUUGGAGGGAACUUAUUGAUAACGAUUUAAUUUGAUAAAUUCUAUGGUUUCAUUGAGUUUGGAACAUCGCAAUUAGCCUAAGAGCACUAUUAAUUUGUGUUGAAGAGGUUCAGAUAAGUUUUGAGUACUUGUCAAGAUUUUAGAGAUUUAUGUCGUUGAUUUUUAAUAGUAUCACCUGAAUGAAUGAGUUAUUUUGUGUAUAUGUUUGGUAUAAUUAGAUUUGUAUCGAAAUUUCAAAAUCAACACAAAAAGAAAUCGAUACAUUUUGGGUCCGUAUAAGGGAGAUAUAGAUGAAAGUGUUGAUAAUGAAGAAUUACAACAGCAUGGCCUUUGUACGUCAAGGGGCACAGAUUUUAAGCAUAGCUGUUAUAGCAACACUUGAAAAGUGUGGCCUAAAGUCAAAAGCUUCACCUCUUGAUACAAGUCGAAUUGGCUCCACUCUUUUGAGAUCUAUGCUUCAAGGACCGCACCUAAAAAUCUAAUACUUGGUCAUUCUAGAAAAGAAAUUACGUGAUUGGAGGACAGCUUAGGAAGGAACCACAUUUGAUGAUAUCAUCCAAAGGGGUUUUGGACAAUAUCGCGUUUGGAAGAUAACAAGGUCCAACGAAGUAAAGGAAAAGCAUAUGUGCCAUAUUUGACAAUUUGGGUCACUUUUGGGCCAUAGUCUUGAAUAUUUGGCUUUGGGUCACUUUUGAGCCCAAUUAGCAUUUAGGGUGGGCUCAAUUGUAAUGAAUAGCCUAGGCUAUAAAUAGGUAGUCUUCUCGUUAUUUUAGGUUAGAUGAUUUUGAAUGAGUUUACACUUGAGAGUGUUUAUUAAGCUUAUUAGGAGCUUUAUUGACUUGUGAGAAAUGUUGCCUGUGAGUGAUUCAUUUCACUCUUGGUCUUCGUAAGAGACUGGUGCUUGUGAUAAUUGAUAUGAAGGUCUUUGAAUUUAAUAUGCCCUUUGGUGGUCCGCUCUUUGUCAUUUUGUGUCAAUUUAUCUAUCCCUUUAUUUUUAUCCUUUAUUUUUCAUUGUUUUCAUUUACAUUAUUUCCUUGUGUUUAUAUUUUCCUAUUUUGUGUUUCCAUCUUCGUAGACUACUCUCGUAUUACCUCUUGUGCCCAUUCUUGAAAAAGUGUUGCCUAAAGUCAAAAAGUAUGAUCUUUGAUCAAAGGUCACAUUUUCUGUUAGUUUAUGCGACACUUUAUAAGGGUGGGCUAAAAACCUAAAAUGUUGUAGUUUGUAAAAGUUUAAUAGCUUAUUAUAUAACUUGAGAAAGUUCCUUUCAAGUUAAUAAAACUAUAUCUAUUUGUUGCAAUACAAAUACAUCACCUCAUAUUUCAGAAAUUUUAUCUGAAAACUAUAUCCAUUUAUUGCAAUACAAAUACAUUAGUUCUUGUUUCAAAAAUCUUACUGGUAGUUCAUAAGUUUAAAAUAGUUUAGUUAAAAAUUCUACCAUCUUUAUCUAAGAAUUUAAAUAUAAGAUUGUAACGACCUACUAAUUUAUUUAAUAAAUUUGUCUCAUUUUAAUCCAUCUCGUACCUUUUAGUCAUUGUUUUAUAAUUAUUGGUCAAACUGAUAUUUUUUAUAAGUCUUGAGACCUAUGUAUAAAAUAAAUUUUAAAGGGAAGGGUUUAUUAUAUAUUAAUAAAUCAAUAAUAAAAUCAGAGAAAGAGAACACAACAGUUAGCAGUUGUGUAUUUUCUUUCCAUUCAUGGUUGUGCAAAGGGGAUUCUCAACUUCUCCAGGUUAGAAACUUUGAAUGAAUUCUCUACUACGUGGAUAGUGGCGUGAGGGGAGUAGAUGGUGGCUUAAGGCAUGGGUUAAAUUGGUGUUUAAUUAUUGUGCAAUUAUUUCCAACCAUUGAAAGGUUGAUAGAGUUUUAGUUAAUGGGUGGGCACGAAUUUUUAAUUAAACAAUGCUAAUUGAUCUUUUGGUUUAUUUGGUUUAAAAUGACUACGUGGUAAAGGUAUAUGCUAUUAUUAAUUUGUGAGAAGCAGUAAAUAACGCGAAGCAUUGUGAAGUUCUCGAAAGUUGGGCCACGGGGUUUUCUUUUUGGCAGUGUUAAAGUUAAUAAUUAAUUUAAGUUUGUAAUAGUAUAAUAUUAUAAUGUUCACUGGAAACUAAGUGUUAGUAAUAGUAUAAUCUUGUAAUUGGUUCCCUGGAAACUAUUGUGUAUAUGGCCAAUGGUGUUCGAAAGUUCAUAAUGGUUGGCAGAAUUACAUUACGAGUGUUUAAUUGUGCCGAUGCAGUUAAGUACGGUACUAUGAUUUAUUUAUUUAUUUUUGUGUAUCGCUUUAGAAUUCAAUUUUUUUUAAAAAAAAAAUUGAGUUUUAGAUUUAUGAUCUUUUUAGAGCAAGAAUUUAUUAAAUUGAGGAUGUUGUAUUUGAUUAGAUUGGACUCAUUCGGAAGCUUUACGUAAAGACAAGUCUGUUAACUGAAGCUUGGCUUAACUUUGAGGCAAGUUGAGACUUUCUUUAGACUCUUUUUCAAAGUGCUCAUUUGUAUAUUUGUUAGUUAUGUAAUGGGAGCAAUGGGAAUUGGGGGUCCUAUUUAGGUGAUUAUGACGAGCAUCUAUGCAGGUACCGAUGUUGUUUGAGGGGAUAAAAUAUGUUGAUUGUAUGUUUGUACUAUUUUGAGAAUACUCUAACUUGAUAAGUUGAGUUGAUUUUGAAAUUGAUGUCUGAUCUGACUUGAGACACGAAGUGGUUUGCUUGACUUUAUUGUUGUUUUGGGAUCGGAGUUGCACGCCUGCACAUCAUGCAUUGAAUUUCAUAUGGGAUCCAAGUGCACGCAUGCACAGUAUUAUAUAUAUUUAUUGGGAUCGGAGAGCACGCCUACACAAUAUUAUCUAUGUAUUGGAUCAGAGUGCACGCCUUCACAGUAUUAUAUAUAAUUAUUGGAAUCGGAGUGCACGCCUGGACAGUAUAUAAUACACAUAUAUAUAAUACUGUGUAGGCGUGCACUACAAUCCCAUACAUAUAUAUAUAUAUGUAUAUAUAUAUAUAUAUAUAUAUAUGUAUGGGAUUGGAGUACACGCCUGCACAGUAUAUUUAUUGGAAUCGGAGUGCACGUGUAAUACUCUGUACGUUUUCCUAGCUUGAAAUCAUCUAAAAAAUGUUAGGAGCUUUCUUUGAAAGAUGAAUCCACUUUUGUACACGUGUUAUUUUUAAGAUUUUCACUUUUUGUCAUGUGAGAAAUUCAAUAAGCUUUCCAUCGAUAUAAAAUUUGCCUAAAUCCAAUAAAUAAAUAAAAAGUUAUGACUAUUUCAAGUUUCCGUCGUAAAACAGCGCCAUAUUGGUCAGUGACGCAUCGCGCCACAAGCUAAAAUUGCAAUUGUCCUUUUCCAGUGUCUCAUCGCGAUUUCCUCUGCAUUGCACCAAAGUUUCAGGUCGUAAAAGAACGGGAAACGCGAUAGUUCCGCAUCGCGCCAUCCCUCAGUUUCCCAAUUAUCAAAUUCCAGUGGCACAGCGUGAUAGUGCUGCGUCGCGCCAGGGGUUCAAUUCGGAAAAUUUUUACUGAAAUUAAAUGACGCGUCUAGGGUUAAAAGGGUCAACUUUCCACCCCUAUUUAAGCCCUUUAACACGUGAUUUAGCCAUCCUUCACCCAAAAUAUACUAGUUUCUCUCAAGUUUUUCUCAAGAACAACCUAGGGCUUUUCAUAGAAGAUUCAGAAUCAAGAAUUUCCUCCAUCAAUCUUCACGAAAUAACAAACCAAGGUAUGCGUAGUAUUCAUUCAUGGACUCCUUUCGUCCAUGAAGCCUAAGAAUCUCUUUUCUAAGUUUAAGUUUAUGGAUUUCUUUAUAAAUUUCAUGUUGGGUUUGUUUUCUUUUUAUCGAGAAUGAUCAAUUGAAUUUAAAUCCAUGUUGGGUGAUCAAUUUUAUGUGGAAUUGAUUUGUAUAGAUGUAUAUUCUUGUGAACCUAUGAAUAAACCCUAGAUGAUGAAAUUAAAGAUGAAUCAUGAUGAUUAAUUGUUGUAUAAUGUUGUCUACAUGUGUUAUGCCUACCAUGUGUUUGAUUAAAUGCCUAGAUGAAGGAACAAUGCCCAACUAGUAUGAUACCAUGAAAUCCUCAUAUAUGUACAAGUUAUACCUAUUGCAUGUUUUGAUGGAAUGCUUCUAUAAAUGUAUUAUGGUUUAUGAUGUUAGUUAUAUGUUUAAGUAAGUUAUGCUUGGUCAGUUUUCCUUCCAUUAAGUCCUGGGGGUAGUUGUACCCGAAAUAUUAGUUAUGUGACUAGAGCCAUGUCAUGUUUCCACGAUACUCUCGGUCAAGCUAUAAAUUCUUAGACUUCAGACAGUCUUAUGACUAAGGAAAUCUCCAUGAUCUCAUGAACUUUGUCAGUUGUCAGACAUCAGUAACAAUCCGUCAGUCAACAAAAUUCAGUAACUCAGUAAAUGUUCAGUUCAGUAAUUAUGUUCAGUAUCUAUUCAGAUGGGAGUAGAAAUUAGCACCGAGUGAACCCAAGGAUGAGAACUCACCUAUUAUAUGAGGGUGUGAUUCUUAAAAGCAAUCCUGACGUUCCAGAACUAUAUAGACAGCAUAGGUUGAGACAUCAUAGCCUGCUAUAUGAGGGUAGAUGAGGUGGCUUAGCCUGCUAUAUGAGGGUUCCCACCAUUCUCAUUAGAGUUACCUGUUAUAUUAGGGUCACUCAUACGUUGUCCUUACUAGUAGCGCGGUAUUGACACCCUUCCAAUCAGGGUACAAAUUGGACACCAUCUCAGCUAUUAUAGCAUAUUUGGGGCAUGUCAGUUCGAUGACUACUUUCCAUAGUUUCAGUAUCAGUAUCAAUCAAGAACUCAGAUAGUUCUUUAGAUUUUAGGACUGUCAGAUACAGUCAACUUAGAUACGAAACUCAGCUUGUUCCAUCAGAUUCAGGACUGUCAUAUACAGUCACUCAUGUUAUCAGUUAUAUCAGUUAUCAGUAUGUCAUGUUAUCAGUAUUCAGAUUCAGUACUCAUGUUAUCACGAUUUCAGAUAUAGUUCCUAUGUAUGUAUGCAUGUAUUUUCACGUUCAUACUAGUCAAUUAGCCAGUAUUGUUCAUGCAUAUGAACCCCAUGCAUUCAGCCUACCCUACAUGCAUACCAGUACAUUCAAAGUACUGACGCAUUUGAACUAUGGUGUCUUAUACCAUAGGUUCAGAUACUCGAGCUCCAGAGCAACAGUAGAUUCUAGAUAUCUGCAGACAGAGUUAGAAGUGAGUCCUCAUCUUUCGAGGAUAUGAUUAUUUUCCCUAUUAUCUCAUUAAUCAGUUUAUUAGCUAGAGUUAGUUGGGCACAUAUCCCAUCAAAUCCUUACUCGGACAGUUCAGUCAGUUAGAGGCUUUCUAGACUAUCAUGUUUCAGACUUCAGUAUGUUUAAUAUUGUUUUGGGUAUUCUAUUACCCCACAUAGAUGUUAUAUCAUUCAGAUCAUGUUUAGUAUUGAACCUUAUGACCUUUUGGUUCAUGUUUCCGUAUUAUAAAUUAUUUUAUGCAGUAUACAGGUACAGAUAUCAGUCAUGGGUUAGCUUGUGGUCCUUUGGGGUCAUGAGCACCUUGUAGCAUUUCGGGUACCAGAUUUGGGGCAUUACAAACUUGGUAUCAAGCCUAAGGUUCAAUAGAGUCCUAGAAAGUCUGAAAGCCGCAUCUAGUAGAGUCUUGUACAUGGGUGUGUUGCGCGCCACAUUUAUGUACAGAAGGCUAUAAUAUGUUUUAGGAAUAGUUUUCCCUCUUUCAAUAUCCAUGUUGUGCCAGUGAGCAUAAUCUCAAGUCAAUCUCUCAGUCUAAUCCUCUUCUCCCAUUCUUCUAUAGAACAAGCCUCCUUAAAGAAGAAAGGGAAAUCAGUCAGCCCCUCCGCCCGAAGAACCUUUAGGCGAACAUGUUUCUCAUGCAGAGUUUAGAGUUGCAUUCACUACUCUUGCUCAGUCAGUUUCCGCUCAAAAUGAAUGACCAGCAGUCAUUCUGACCAACCCAGUGGCAAUUCAGCCGCAGUUAAAAUUCGGGACUUCACCUGAAUGAAUCCUUCGUCCUUCCUCAGGUCUAAGGUAGAUGAAAAUCCUCAGGAAUUCAUUGAUCAGGUUCAGAAGGUGACAGACAUCAUGGGGGUAACUACUGUUGAGAGUGCUAAGCUAGCUGCAUGUCAAUUACAGGAUGUGGCUCGUACUUGGUUCGAAUAGUGGAAGUCAGAGAGGCCAGAUGAUCCAGGUCCUAUAGAGUGGGAGAAGUUUGUCACUUCAUUCUUAGACAGAUUCUUUCCCCAAGAUCUUAGAGAGGCUAAGGUGCAAGAAUUCAUAAAUAUUAGGCAAGGAGACAUGACAGUGAAAGAGUAUUCUCUUAAGUUUACUCAAUUAGCCAGAUAUGCCCCUCAUGUAGUUGCAGACAACAAAGCCAAGAUAGGUAAGUUUGCUUCAGGGGUAAAUGAUAGCGUGGUAAAUGAGUGCAGAUCUGCCAUGCUGAACAGUGGCAUGACUUUAGCCAGGCUCAUGACUCAUGCUCAGCAAAUAGAGGAGCAGAAGAUUAAGCAGAGGGAGAAGCAAAAUAAGAGAGUAAAGACAGGUAGUUUUAACUUCGUUCAGCCUAAAUCAGAAGAAGGAAAUUGUUCUCAGUUUUAUCCUAAGUCAUCAGUUCUAACCCCUUCGUCAGCCAGUGCUCCAGUUCCUAAGUUCAGGAAAGGUAACAGAGAUAGAGCGCCAGGCGUAGGUCUUAGAAGAGUGUUAGCAAUGCUCGAACUAAUACCCUUUGUCAGACUUAUGGUAAGAACCACAAGGGUUCUUGAAGAACUGGUAGCGAUGUCUAUUUCGGUUGUGGCAAGCCAGACCACAGAGUCAGAAACUACCCUCAGUCAAGUUAUCAAAGUCAUCUUCGCUCCUCAGCUCAGUUUAGUCGCCCGAAUCAGUAGGGUGUCACCACCAGUGCUACUAGUAGGCAACGCCUAAAUCAUCUCUAUGAUCUUCAAACCUGAAAGGAUCAGAAAAAUUCUCCUGAUAUAGUUACUGGUACGUUAUAGAUCUUUCAUAUGCAUAUUUACGCUUUGCUAGAUCCAGGAGCUUAUUUGUAUUUUGUUACUCCCUAUAUAGUAGGAGAUUUCAGAAUCAGUCCUGAAAUUCUAGCAGAGCCCUUUCCAGUCUCUACCCUAAUGGGUAAAACCAUCAUAGCCCGGCGAGUAUACAGCAACUACCCGAUUAUGAUAUUUUAGAAAGUUACUUCAGCAGACUUAGUUAAAUUAGAGAUGACUGAUUUUGAUAUCAUUCUCGGCAUGGAUUGGCUUCAUUCAUGCUAUUCCACAGUCAACUGCAGAAAUAGAAUAGUCUAGUUUCAGUUUCCAAAUGAACCUAUCCUUGAGUGGAAGGGUAGUACUUUAGUGUUCAGAGGUCAGCUUGUUUUCUACAUUCGGGCACAAAAAAUAAUAUCUAAAGGAUGUGUCUAUCAUUUUGUUCGAGUUAAGGACACAGUACCAAAACUCCCAGUCUUGAAUCAGUUCCAGUUGUAGGUGAAUAUUCAGAUGUCUUUCCCGAAGAUCUUUCAGGAAUUCCUCCCAAAAGGGAAAUAGACUUUGGCAUUGAUCUUCUUCCAGUUACUCAGCCUAUAUCGACUCUGCCAUACAGAAUGACACCAGUAGAUUUUAGAGAACUGAAAGAACAAUUGAAGGAUCUCUUAGAUAAGGGUUUCAUCAGGCCCAACAUUUUCUCGUAGGGCGCUCCAGUAUUAUUCAUGAGCAAGAAAGAUGGUCCUCUCAGAAUGUGUAUAGACUACCGACAACUUAAUAAGGUCAUGGUCAAGAACAAGUAUCCUCUUCCCAGAAUUGAUGACUUGUUUAACCAACUUCAGGGUGCCAGUUAUUUCUCUAAGAUAGAUCUCAGAUCUGGCUAUCAUCAGCUCAAAGUUAGGGAAUGUGACAUUUCAAAAACAGCUUUCCGAACUCAGUAUGGUCACUUUAAAUUUCUCGUCAUGUCAUUUGGUUUUACCAACGCCCCAGCCGCUUUCAUGGACUUGAUGAACCGUGUGUUCAAGCAGUACUUGGACAUGGUCAUCAUAAGCUUCAUAGAUGAUAUUCUGGUCUAUUCCAGUAGUGAGCGCAAUCAUACAGACCAUUUCAAGACAGUACUUCAGACUCUCAAAGAUCAUCAGCUAUUCGCCAAAUUCAGUAAAUGCAAAUUUUGGCUAAGGUCAAUAGCAUUCCUUGGUCAUAUUAUUUCCAGUGAUGGCAUUAAAGUGGAUCCUUAAAAGACCAAAGCAGUAAGAAACUGGCCUCGCCCUGUCUCUCCAUCAGAUAUCAGGAGUUUCUUGGGUUUGGCCGACUAUAACAGACAGUUUGUUGAGAGAAUUUCUUCUAUUUCAUCCUUUAUAUCCAGAUUAACUCAAAAGAAAGGCAAGUUUCAGCGAUCAGAUCCUUGUGAGAAAAGUUUUCAGGAGCUGAAGACUCGACUCACCUCAGCUCCAGUAUUAGCUCUUUUAGGUGGUCUAGAUGGUUUCGUAGUGUAUUGUGAUGCAUCCAGAGUAGGUCCGGGUUGUGUCCUUAUGCACAUAGUUAGGUCAUAGCCUACGCCUCCAGACAGCUUAAGCCUCAUGAGAAGAAUUAUCCUACCCAUGAUCUUGAGUUAGCAGCCGUAGUAUUUGCCUUGAAGAUUUGGAUGCAUUAUCCAUACGGUGUUCAUGCAGAUGUGUUCAUUGAUCAUAAGAGUCUUUAGUAUGUCUUUUCAUAGAAAGAUUGCAAUCUUCAUUAGAAAAAGUGGUUAGAGCUCUUAAAAAAUUAUGACAUGAGUGUCCUCUAUCAUUUGAGCAAGGACAAUGUAGUGGCCGUCGCUCUUAGUAGACUAUCCAUAGGUAGUGUUUCUUAUGUUGAGGACUGUAAGAAGAAGUUAGCUCAGAAAGUACAUUAGCUUGCCAGACUAGGCAUUUGCUUAGUCGAUACAAAUGAGGGUGAUAUAUGGGUUCAGAGUAGUUCAGAAUCAUCUCUAGUUUUUGAGGUGGAAGAAAAGAAAGAAAGAGAUCCCAGCCUUGUCAAGUUGAAAGAGUCAGUUCAGGAUCAGAAAAUAGAGGUUUUCUCCCAAGGAGGAGAUAGUGUUCUUUGUUGUCAGGGUCGUCUCUGUGUUCCAGGUGUAGAUGACUUAAGGCAAAAAAGUCUUGCAGAAACGCAUGGUGCACGCUACUCUAUUCAUCUAGGGGCCACAAAGAUGUACCACGACUUGCGGGAAACCUAUUGGUGGAUUGGGAUAAAGAGAGACAUUAUAGAGUUUGUGGCUAAGUGCUCUACAUAUCAGCAAGUUAAGAUAGAUCAUUAGAAGCCUAGUGGGUCCAUGCAGGAGAUCAGUAUUUCAGAAGCCUAGUGGGUCCAUGCAGGAGUUUAGUAUUCCUACUUGGAAGUGGGAAGUUGUGACCAUGAACUUCGUGAUGGGUUUGCCUCGAACUCGUCAUCAACAUGAUUCAAUCUGGGUCAUUAUAGACAGAAUGACCAAAUCAGCUCAUUUCCUUCCAGUUCAUACCUCUUAUUCAGUCGAGGAUUAUGCCAAACUCUACAUCAAGGAGUUAGUUAGAUUGUACAGUAUUUCGCUAUCUGUUAUCUCAUACAGAGGUACCCAGUUCACCUCUCAUUUUUGGUAAGCAUUCCGAAAGGGUCUCAGUACCCAAGUUUAUCUUAGUACAACCUUUCAUCCUCAGAUAGAUGGUUAAGCAUAAAGUAACAUUCAGACGUUAAAAAAUAUGCUAAGGGCGUGUGCAAUCAAUUUCAAGGGAAGUUAGGAUGACCACUUACCUUUGAUUGAAUUUGCAUACAACAACAACUAUCAUUCAGUAUUCAGAUGGCUACAUUCGAAGCUCUCUAUGGUAGGAGAUGUACAUCUCCAAUUGGUUGGUUCGGAGUGAGUGAGGCCUCAGUUAUAGGGCCUGAAUUGGUAUUUAACACCUUACAAAAAGUCUAGUUUAUUAGAGAAAGACUCUGGGAUGCUCAGAGCUGAUAAUGCUCAAAUUACACUCUUGAAUGGGUGUAAGCGAUCGUUGUCAAUAUAAAACCCAACUAGGUUGGGGUCGAAUCCCACAGGGAAUAUGAUAUGAACUUCAAUUUGCUUACAAAAUACUUUACUGGUAGUUUAAUGUUUCCGUAAAUGGGGUUUUAAGGUCCAUAGAGAGUUACUUGUCACCUUCAAUAUUUUAGUGUUUGAAAUCAGUCUAAAUGGGAAACCACAGUUAUGUUUACUAUGGGUUUUGGGAAUUGACAAAUACUAGGUAAUGCUUGGGAUUCUUGAAGUAAGUAGGAACAGCAGAAUAUCCCUGACGACGAUACUAUCUGACUUAUCUCUCGACCUCACCAGAUAAUUUCUUAUCUAAUUCUCUCGAACUUCGAUAACUUAUCUAUAUCCAAUGGGAUUUUAUCUCAGGAAGAUCAAUCCAGUUAUGGCAUUGAUCAUUAAACAGAAGGUUGGUAGCUUCCGAGUCCCUAUUGAUAAUUCACAACCUCUAGUCUAUUUCUCCGUUAGAAGCAAAUAAAACCUAACGUAUAACCUAAUAUUUGCAACCAAUAGAUUUCAGUUAAAACAACAGAAUUUCAAUACGUCCUACUACUUUUUGAAUCCGUUAAAUACCUAGUAACAUAUCAAAUCCUAGUCCAUGGAUCCCAUAACUCCAGCUAAUGGAAUUAGCCGCUCAUGAUUUAAUGAACGAAAUACAAAGUUGAAUUCAUGAUAAUAAGGAUAAACUUAUGAAUGGAUGAAAAGCAACAAGUAGUUUUUUUCAAUUUAAUACCAAAAAUAGGAAUCCACAAAUAGUUGAUAAGCGUUCCAGAAAAUAAAACUCUACCCCUAAAACUAAAAAGAGAACUCCUUGAAUAAACCCUAAAAGAUGAUAUUUAUACUAAGGCCUGAUUAAAUAAAUAAAAUAGCAAAUUCAAUUAAUUAUCGGAUUAGGUGACGCCCAAACUGAUGUUGCGUCAAGAGGCUGACGCCCUAUCACGGAUGGCAUCAAACUUGCUCCAGUUUCUUUAAUUCUCUACCUUAGGCUGAUAAUGACUCUAAUGCCGUGUCAAGGAUCUGACGGCGUAUCAUCAACAUCGUCAGAUGUCUUCUCCUAUAGCUAAUUUUUUGCUUAAGGCUGACGCCAUUCUUGACGCCUUAUCACCCACUUGACGCCACAUCAUAGACGUCGUCAGAACUGCUUCUCAGUUCCAAUACCUUGGUUAAGGCUGAAGCUGCUUCUGAUAGGCUAUCACAAGGCUGACAACUUAUCAAGGAUGUCAUUAGCCAUGUUUUUUUCUCUUUUGCCCAGAUUUUCAACUCUUUUGCUCUAUUGUCGUUUAUUUACAUUCCUUCAUCCUUUUACUGCAAUAUCAUGAGCAAAAACAUCAAAACAACAAGAAUUGCUUCAGAAUUCACAAUUAUUUUGAGCUAAAAAGCAUUAAAUAUGUUAGCUUUUGCUCACACAUCAACACCCUCAACUUAAAAUAAUUGCUUGUCCUCAAGCAACAAACUAACUAAGAGAAUACAAAGAACAUUCAACAGUUGACAAUCAUUUUAGCUCAAAACUCAGUUACCUCCUCCAAGGUCAACCACUUUAAACUACUAUGUAUCUUAUUGAAAAGAAGCAAUGUAACACAAGGGAUUCCAGCCAUGGUAUCAUCUAAGUACCAACAAUCAUGCUCAUAUCAAUAUGACACUACCCAAACAGGUAAGUCACUUAGCAACAUACUAGUGUGAGCUCACAACAAAAAAUUUCCCCUUUUUCUCUCAUAAUAGAAAUCAAAGUAUCAAUAUAGGGAUCAUCACAAAAACACUCGCUCUCAGAAUUAAGUUCCAACCAACGUAUGCCAAAUACCAUAUGCUUGCCCUUAUCUUUAUUACCAAAGCGUCUAGACAGGUAAGCUAGGAUCACUAUAGGUCUUUCUUAGGCUUGUAACAUAGGCUAAGGGUUGGUAUUAUAUUAUACAGCAUUUAGAGUGACUAACCUCCUUGGCACUACUUUAACUUGUGGGGUCCACUUAUUAACUUCUUUUUCUCUCUUUUUCUUUUUGUUCUUUUUUUCUCUUUUAUUGAUCACACAUUCAGAAUUGGUGGAUCUUUAUUCCUAUUCAAACAAAUUUCUUUUCUUGCUCUUUUUUACUGACAUCCAACAUUUUAUUUCUUUUUUGCUUAUUCUUUUUCUUUUACUCUACCCUUCUUCAUACCUAAUUUACAUCAUGCACCCCUAUGAUAGCUACCCUCAACUUAGGUUGUUUGCCUAAGUCAAGGUGCACAGUAUUCAAAGAGGUGCAGGGAUAAAACAGGUUCAUUAUGAUCUAAAAGGAAAGAUGAUAGCUAUUAUAGAAAGAAAUAGUUAAUUUAGGCUCAAAACAGGGAUCAAGUGGUAACAUGUACACAGGGAAGGUCAUUUUAGGUUAAAAAGUGACUCAAUUCAAAAAUGCCCUAUGAUCCUUUCCGAACCCCUAUCUUUUAACUAAGGUAAGAUGAACCCUAAAAAUUCUAGAUUCAGCAGUACAAAGGGAACUCAGUAGAGAUCUCACACACACAAGGCACACAAGCAUAUCACUAGCUAUUACCUAUCUGGUUCAUGCAAUUGUUCAGCCGUGGUUAUUAAGCACUAGACUAAUGCCCUAACCAGAUGCACAAUGGUCACAACCAGAUGCAAUUCACACAGUCAUGCAAGACAAACCAUUGGAGAGAUAUUCAAAAUCACAAGAUAAGUCAACUACCUACAGUACUUGCACUACUCCUAUUUAGUUACCGAACAUGCUAAAACAACAUUCUACCCUACACCCUCAACCUAAAAUCAAAACAAAAUGAAACUAAGGGUUAGGGUAUACCUGGAGCCAAUCAAGUCUCAAAUCAUGGGUCCUUGACCCUGCAACAGUGUCAUCCUCAUCAAGAGCUUCUCUCUGUUCUGGUGCAGCUUCUAUGCUAGACGAGGCUCCUAUAGCCCUCGCUCGCAGUGCUGUGUCCCAUUUCCAAUUGUCAUCUAGGGACGCUUGCGUUGCCUUUUUUGGAUUUGUUUUCUCCUAUUUUGUUAGAUCAUCAUCUGCUUGUAGUGUCUUCUUUUCUUUAUUCUUCUUCUUUCCCAUUUUUCUUAGCUUUGCUCUCAUUCUCAUCAUCAUUUUAUCUCUUUCUCUUACCUUUUUUUAUCUUCUUUGUUUUUCUUCUUUUUCUUUUUCACUGGCUCCAUAGUGAGAUCAAGGAUUGGGGUUCAUCCUCAGAUUCUUCAGCUUCCUGCCCUACAGGCAUUAUAAAGACAUCAGCCUUUACCUUACCUAGGGCCACUCUAAAUUCAACAAGAUCUGCUCCAGUCAAUUUCUGUGCCCUUGCAUCAAAACGGUUCUCCAGAUCUGCCACCCAUGCAGGCAAUAUAGCAAAAGGCUCAAGAUCAGCCUUAAUUCUCUUAUCUAUAACAGCGGCAAACUAGUUGGCAAAGGUAUAUAGUUGCGUCUCACACCAUUUGGCCUAUUUGGACACUUUUCUGAUAUCAAUCGGCUGGGUUGUAAUUCCUACUAGUACAGUAGGAGCUAAAGAGCCUGGCUCAUUUUUAGGUACUGAACCUGCCUGUACUGAAGAUUUUGGUGGGGCAUCCUUAGAGUCUUGCAUAUCCACUUCAGGUACUGAACUAGGGCCUACAACUGAUGGGUUCACCUUAACCCUCACCCCUCUAUCAAGUAUCAGCCUCAGCUGAUUUUUAUCAUAUCGUAUAGGGUUGUGGGUCUUAGUGGCAUACAACGUCAUCAAUCCCUGCUAUUUUUGGUACCCCUACCUCUGUGCAUAACCUGGUGACCAAACAAGGGAAUGGGUAAGCAGUGCCAGACCUUGUUACCAGAAUCUUAAUCUCUUUAGCUAUGAUCUCUUCGAAGUCCAGCUUAAGGUUGGCCACAAGACAUGCAACCAAUAUAUCUCAAUCAUCCCCAAGAAUAUUAUCUCCGUCAGUUGGCAUCAAAUUAGUACAUACAAUACCCUACCAGAACAUUGUCUUUUGAGUCAAAAGAGCUUUGUAAAUCUUCUCACUAGGUCUGGUCAGCCAUAACGGAUCUCUUUCCGCUAUCAGUGUAGCUAACCAAGGAUGUUGAUUAUCCUUACUCUUCAGUCGAUGCUAGAAUUCUUGAUUUUUAACCUAAGGAAUGAAGUUGGAUCCAUGUAUAAAUUUGUUGAUAGUCAUGUCAGAAAUAUCUACAUUUACCCCACGAACUGGAAAUUUGGUCAACAAAGGCUAGUCUACUGUGGUCUCUCUAUUCUUGCACAUACUCUCUAAUCUAGCCUAGUAGUUCGCAUAGAACUCCUGGACUAAUGUAGGACAAAACAGCUUUUCUCCCUUAGUAGUCCAUCCUAGCCCAUAGUUUUUGAACUUCUGCUCAACUGUAAGAUACCUGUCAAUCAUCUGAUGAUGACACUCUUUUCUGGAAAAAUUGGCCUUCUGGCAGAUCUUUUUUUUUGUUAUGAUCAUACCUUUGAGGAAGAUGUCCUCUACUUCAGGGAUAUACCAUCUAACAUUCUCUUAAACCUUAGGAUUCUUGCAUUUUAUCAAAGUUCCCCGAGCUGGUGGUUCUUUCUCAACUUGAUUCUCAGCCGAGGUAGUUUCUAAGGAUGGAUCCUCAGAAUCAGAUUUGUUAGACUCAGUAUGUCCUACCUUCGGUUCUUUAAAUUCAACCUUCUCAUACUUAGGCUGUUCAGCCUCAUUUUGCUUAGAACCUUCUUUCUUAGAAGAUUCACUCUCAGCUAGAGUGGUGGUCUCAGUAUCAUCACUAUUCUCUACCUCAAAGGGUUUAGGUGGAGGAGGUGUCUUUGGACUUGAUUUCUUUCUCUUCCAGCUGAGCAAUGGUUCUUCAUCUUCAUAAUCUGAGUCUUCAUCAAUUAGCUUUCAAACCAUCUUGGGCUUGGAAACUUUAUUCGGAGUGUUAGGAUUCUUUCCUUUUGGUGCCAUUUCAAUGUUUCUAUGAUAUCAAGAAAACAAUAUUCAGUACUCAGUGUUAAGAACACAUGCAUUCCAUUUGAAUUCAGUAACUUAAGAAAAAGAAGGUCAAGAUAAUGCAUUAUCAACAUGCUUUGAUGACAUGGCUGGUAAGGCGUCGCAGUUAUGAUAGCCUAUCAGCUUUAUCGUUAGCUCUAAACAGACUGACUUUUCUUUUCUCAGGCUUGUGACGAUAUUCCUGAUAAGGCGUCACGUUGGUGAUAGCCUAUCAGUGAUGCCAUCAGUCCAGAUUUUCGGCCCAACUCAGUUUUUAUUCUUAAUUUAGGGACCAAAUUUUCCUUAGAAUCACAUGGAGUUUUCACUCAUUAAACUAGGGUUUUAAUAUUUGCAAUUUAAGCACUAUUUCAACCCUAAUUUUUUAUUUUCAUAGUAAUGGCACAAUCACUUAACUUAUUCUUUCCACUGAAGAGAAGAGUGAAGAUGAGCUUAAGAACAUACCUGAUGAUCAACUUUGACUUGCUUAUAUGAGAGAGAGAAGAAAAGAUGAGAGAUUGAUUUUGAAUGUCUUUGCAAUCCCACAACUAUCAGGAAGGUUGUUUCCUUGUUCACUUGGGUGUAUUUUGAAAGGAAGUAAAUAUCCUAACAAAGGCAGGAAAUAACAAAAAAAGGAAAUAAAACUUAAAGAAGGAAACUAACAAAAAUUGGGAACUUGAAAGGUUUUGUAUCCGGUCCGGGUUGGAUUUUAACUAAUUUGGGCCCAGAGUUUCAAAACUAGGGUAAUGGCUAACGAAAAAUUGUGAUAAGCUGUCAUAAAUGUGAUAGCUUAUCACGAAGGUCAUCAGCCUUAACAGAGAAGGUCUCAAACUUUGGUCUUUCUGACAACAUUGGUGAUAAGCCGUCACAGUUGUGAUAGCCUAUCACAAAUGUCGUCAGGACCACUUAUCUUGCUUUUUUUAUUUGUUACCUUGACCUUUUUGUACACUUUUCAGUUCCUUCCGAUUAAUACCUAAAUGAAUAAAAACAAAAUGCAUGAAAAUAAAAUUUUGGGUUGUCUCCCAAUAGCGCCUGAUUUAAUAUCGCGGAACGACUUGGUCAUCUUGACUACUCAUACUUCAUCAAGAUACCAUAUCGAUACCUCAUUACCAUUUUCCUGGAAUACAUCCACAACCAAGAAGAUAUUCAUGUCCUUCAACGGCUUCAUAGGAGGAUGCAUUUUGAAUCUGGCCUCCCUUUCUCCAUACCUGAACUUUAGCUCAUUGAGCUCCAUAUCUACCAAUACUCUUUCUGUGGCUAAUAAUGGUCUACCCAAAAUAAUGGGUACCUCAAAAUCAACAUCACAAUCCAAUAUCACAAAAUCUGCAGGCAGAAUAAAGUUAUCCACUUUUACCGGCACAUCGUGCAAUAUACCAACUGGUCGCUUCACCGAUCUGUCUGACAUCACAACACGCAUCAUUGUGGGGGUAUGUUCCCCUAAUCCAAGCUUCUUAUAGAUAUCAAGUAAUAUUAGAUUAAUACUUGCUCCUAAGUCACAUAAAGCUUUGGUAAACUUCAUGGACCCAACUGUGCACGGUAUAGUAAAUGCUCCAGGAUCAGGUUUUUUCUGCACUAAGGAUUGUGAAGAAAUAGCACUACAAUGGUAGAUGUUGUCCACCAGCUCACAGCUUACCUUCCGUUUCUUUGUUAACAAUUCCUUCAUAAAUUUAGCAUAGUUUGGCAUUUGCUCAAGUGCCUCCAUCAAUGGCACAUUCACUGUCAGUUGUUUCAGUAUUUCCAUGAAUUUGCUAAAUUUUUUGUUAUCUACUUUCUUCUUCAAUAUCUGAGGAAAGGGAGGCAGCGGUCUUGGCAUUUCUUUCAAUACCAGUUCCCCUUCCUUUUUAUCUUUUUUCUCCAAAAUAUCAACAAAACCAUCCAGCUUCUGAGACUUCACUAGAUUAUUUCCUUCUGGUUUAUCGACGCUUACCUCAUUCUCCAUAUCUUUACUCAUAGAAGGGCCAGAUAAUAUCUUACCACUUCGAGUAGUAAUCGCCAUACAAGAACUAUCAUUCUGCAAGUUUUGAACUGUAUCACUAGGUAAAGUACCAGCUUUUCUCUGAUUUAGAGUAGCAGAAAUUUGGCUCAUUUGUUUCUCCAGUUGUUUGAUAAAAGCAGAGUGUGAGCUAACCAACUGACUGAGGGUAGAAAACUCACUCUUCAUAGUAUUUACCCCCGAGUUAGUAGCUUCAACUCCCUUUAACAACUUUUCCAUCAUAUCCUCCAUAGACAUCUUGUCGGAACUAGUUGUUGUAGUAUCCGGACUUCCAAGAGGAACAUACAAACCACUCCUAUCAUUAUUGUUUCUCUAGUGUCCCUGCUCUCUAUCUUUAUAAUUAGUCUUGUCAUAGAAAGUCCAACCUUGGUUCCCUUGUCUAUUGCCUCGAAAACCCCCCCCUGAUUACUCACAUAGUUUGCCUCCGCAUCAGCACCUGCAAAAAUAGUACCCUGAGAUUCCACAUCAUUAACUAUUUCAGUCUUGCCAAAUAGCAAGUGCUUGGCCAGCAAGUCCAUCUGUAUCUUCAAAUGGGCCAUGUCCUGAUCUCGGUCCUCAUUCCUUCUAUGCUGCUCCGCAGUUAUACCACCAGCAACAGUCGGGCUAGCCACUACAGAAUCCCUAGUGUGCCAAGCCCGACUCUGUUUGGUCAUUCAAUUCAGUAUGUCAGAAGCAUCUAGAAAAGAGAGAUCAAUGAACAAACCACCUGCAGUAUUGUCAAUAAUUGGCUUUGUCAUAGAGUUGAAAGCUCUGUACAAAGUCUUCAUCAAGUACAAGUCAUUCAUGUUGUGGUUCGGACAUUGUGCAAGUUUCUUCUUAAAUAUUUCCUAGGUUUUGUGCAAUACUUCAGUCGGGAGUUGUUUGAAUUUACUAAUUUUAUCCCUCAACUGUACCCUUAUGGAGGGUGGAAAGAACCAUUCUAGGAAUACAUCUUUCAACUGUCUCCAGUUGGUUAUAGAAUCAAGAUCUAGUUCAUUCAACCACAUUGUUUUCUCUCCAGACAGAGACAACGAAAAGAACCUCAACCUGAUCGCAUUCUGGCUCACUCCUGGAUUGUCGAAGGAUUUUCAAAUGGUGAUUAAGUUCACCAAAUGCAUGUUUGGAUCAUCACCGGGAAGCCACUAAAUAACCUCUUCAAAUUCAGGAGUUGGAUUAUGGUACUUGUUAUGCUGAAUUUUGCACUUGGUGCCAACGGUGGAGGAAUGAUAGCACCCAUUACACCAGCUAUGUCCAUUCCGUCAUCAUCAUCAUCAGCCUCAUAUUGAAUAGUCUGUUGACCAUAUAUUUCUUGGACUGAAUGGUUUCUAUAGACGUUUCACUACACUGGUGCAACAAUUUGCUCAGCUCUCCUUGGGUUUUGAGGAUUCAGCAAUUCCUCAUCACCCAUGUCUUCAUCAUCAGGGUUCUGGUGACAUGCUUGUUGACCUAAAUUCUGCGCAUUCACUUGAGUCCUGGCCAAAGCUGCUGGUCUUUCUGCUUCCUGUUAUUUUGCCAUUCUCCCUAUCAGUUGAGGUUCCAGGGUUGAUUGGUAAUAGUAGUUCUCCAGAACUUCUUGAAUUUGGCAUAAACAACAUAGUACCUUAAAUAGAUGAAAACAAUAAAUAAACAUAAAUCAAGGAAACUUAACUAUCAACAAAUUUUUGCACACAAACUUUUAGUCUACAACCGUAUUCCCCGGCAACAGUGCCAUUUUUUAUAAAGUUCAAAUUAUACUCUUGAAUGGGUGUAACCAAUCGUUGUCAAUAUAAAACCUAACUAGGUUGGGGUCGAAUCCCACAGGGAAUAUGGUGUGAACUUUAAUUUGUUUACAAAAUACUUUACUAGUAGUUUAAUGUUUCUAGAAAUAGGGGCUUAAGGUCCACAGAGAGUUAAUUGUCACCUUCAAUAUUUUAGUGUUUGAAAUCAGUCUAAAUAAGAAACCAGAGUUAUGUUCACCAUGGGUUUUGGAAAUUGACAUAUACUAGGUAAUUCUUGGGAUUCUUAAAGUAAGUAGGAAUAGCAGAAUAUCCCUGACGACGAUACCAUCUGACUUAUCUCUUGACCUCACCAGAUAAUUUAUUAUCUAAUUCUCUCGAAUUUAGAUAAAUUAUCUAUAUCCAAUGGAAUUUUAUCUCAGGUAGAUCAAUCCAGUUACGGCAUUGAUCAUUAAAUAGAAGGUUGGUAGUUUUCGAGUCCCUGUUGAAAUUCACAACCUUUUGUCUAUUUCUCCAUUAGAAGAAAAUAAAACCUAAGGCAUAACCUAAUGUUUACAACCAGUAGAUUUUAGUUAAAACAACAGAAUUUCAAGAUGUCCUACUACUCUUUGAAUCCGUUAAAUACCCAGUAACCUAUCAAACCCUAUUCCAUGGAUCCCAUAACUCCGGCUAAUGAAAUUAGCCACUCAUGAUUUGAUGAACGAAAUACAAAGUUGAAUUCCUGAUAAUAAGGAUAAACUUACAAACGGAUGAAAAGCAACAAGUAGUUUUUUUCAAUUUAAUCCCAAAAAUAGGAAUCCACAAAUAGUUGAUAAGUGUUCCAGAAAAUAAAACUCUCCCCCCAAAACUAAAAAGAGAACUCCUUGAAUAAACCCUAAAAGAUGCUAUUUAUAAUAAAGUCUAAUUAAAGUAAUAAAAUAGCAAAUUCAAUUAAUUUUCGGAUUAGAUGACGCCCAAACUGACGCGUCGUCAAGAGGCUAACGCCUUAUCACGAUGGCGUCAGACUUGCUCUAGUUUCUUCAAUUCUCUUCCUUAGCCUGAUGAUGACUCUAAUGUCGCGUCAAGGAUCUGACGGUGUAUCAUCAACAUCAUCAGAUGUCUUCUCCUACUGCUAAUUUUUUGCGUAAGGCUGACGCCAUUCUUGAUGCUUUAUCACCCACUUAACGCCACAUCACAGACGUCAUCAAAAUACUUCUCAGCUCCAAUUCCCUAGUUAAGGCUGACGCUGCUUCUGAUAGGCUAUCACAAGGCUGACGACUUAUCAUGAAUGUCGUCAAGCAUAUUUUCUUCUCUUUUGCUCAGAUUUUUAACUCUUUUACUCUAUUAUCAUUUAUUUCUAUUCCUUCAGCCUUUUACUGCAAUAUCAUGAGCAAACACAUCAAAACAAAAAGAGUUGCUUCAGAAUUCACAAUUAUUUGAACUAAAAAUCUUUAAAUGUGUUAGCUUUUGCUCACAUAUCAAGAGCCGACAGAAGUCUUAGGUAGAUGUUCGUAGAAAAGAUCUCGAGUUUGAGAUUGGUGAUCAUGUCUAUCUAAAGAUAUCUCCCAUGAAGGGAGUGAAGAGAUUCGGCAAGAAGGGAAAGCUCAGUCCCCGAUAUAUUGGUCUCUUCAAGAUUCUCAGUCAAUUUGGCAAGGUAGCCUAUGAUCUUGAAUUUCCUUCAAAUCUAGCCUCAGUUUAUCCAGUCUUUCAUGUCUCUUUGCUCAAGAAGUGGAUAGGUGACCCAUCAGUUGUAGUCUCUAUUCAGAGCAUUGGUGUUCAAAACACUUCCAGUCAAAAUCUUAGACUAUCAGACUCAUAGAUUGAGGAACAAAGAAGUCCCUCUAGUUAAUGUUGUUUGGCGAAAUCAGUCCAUCGAGGGAGCUACUUAGGAAGUAGAGGCAGACAUGCGUACCAAGUAUCCUUACCUCUUCUUUUCCAACUUAGAUCAAGCUCAAGGUAACAUUCUCUAUAGUCUUAGUCAGUUUCAUGUUCAGUGUUCAUCACAAACUUAGUAUGCAGUUUUAUGCUCAUGUUCUCAUUGUAAACUUGGUAUCAAGUACUAUUGCAUAUUCAGUAAGGUACUCAUGUAUCAGUUCUGUUAUGUAAUUAUGCAUCAGACAUGCAUUCUUAUUAUGAGAAACUUAGUUCUUCAGAACACUCAGUUAUGCAUUCAUGAAUCAGUUACGCAUGCAUCAGAUAUGCAUUUUUAGUAUUGUAUUAUAUGUUCAGCCUGUCAGUCAUGAGAUCAUGUUUUAGUUAUUUAUGUUCAGUAUGUACGCCAGUUUAUGUUCUUCCCCUCACUCUCAGUUUCAUUCAAGGACAAAUGUUCUCAAGGGGGAGAUAUUGUAAUACCUCGUACCUUUUCCUAGCUUGAAAUAAUCUAAAAAAUGUUAGGAUCAUUCUUUGAAAGAUGAAUCCACUUUUGUACAUGUGGUAUUUUUAAAAUUUUCACUUUUCGUCAUAUGGAAAAUUUAAUAAUCUUUCCAUCAAUAUAAAAUUUUUCUAUGUCCGAUAACCAGGUAAGAAGUUAUGACUAUUUUAAGAUUUCAUCGUAAAAUAGCACCAUAUUGGUUAGUGGCGUGUCGCGCCACAAUCUAAAAGGGCAAUUGUCCUUUUCCAGUGUCUCAGCGCGAUUUUCUCUGCAUCGAGGCAAAGUUCCAAGUCACAAAAGAAGGGCAAACGCGAUGACUCCGCGGCGCGCCAUCCCUCAGUUUCCCAAUUGUCAAAUUCCGGUGACAUGGCGCGAUAGCACCGCAUCGCGCUAGGGGUUCAAUUAGGUAAAUUUUUACUGAAAUUAAAUAACGCGUCCAGGGUUAAAAAGGUCAACUUCCCACCCCUAUUUAAGCCCUUUAACACAUGAUUUAGCCAUCUUUCACCCAAAAUAUACUAGUUUCUCUUAAGUUUAUCUCAAGAACAACCUAAGACUUCUCAUAGAAGAUUCAGAAUCAAGAAUUUCCUCCAUCAAUCUUCACGAAAUCAUAAACCAAGGUAUGUGUAGUGUUCAUUCAUGGACUCCUUUGUCCAUGAAGCCCAAGAAUCUCUUUUCUAAGUUUAAGUUUAUGGAUUUCUUUAUGAAUUUCAUGUUGGGUUUGUUUUGUUUAUGUUGAAAAUGAUCAAUUGAAUUCAAAUCCAUGUUGCGUGAUCAAUUUUAUGUGGAAUUUAUUUGUAUAGAUGUAUAUUCAUGUAAACCUAUGAAUAAACCCUAGAUGAUGAAAUUAGAGAUAAAUCAUGAUGAUUAAUUGCUAUUUAAUGUUGUCAACAUGUACUAUGCCUACCAUGUGUUUGAUUAAAUGCCUAGAUGAAGGAACAAUGCCCAACUAGUAUGGUAUCAUGAAAUCCUCCAUGUAUGUACAAGUUAUGCCUAUCACAUGUUUUGAUGGAAUGUUUCUAUAAAUGUAUUAUGGUUUAUGAUGUUAGUUAUAUGUUCAAGUAAGUUAUUCUUGGUCAGUUUUCCUUCCAUCGAGUCCUGGGGGUACUUGUACCCGAGAUAUUAGCUGUGUGCCUAGAGCCAUGUCAUGUUUCUAUGAUACUCUCAGUCAAGCUAUGAAUUCUUAUACUUCAGACAAUCUUAUGACUCAGGAUGAACUUUGUCAGUUGUCAGCUAUCAGUAAUAAUCCAUCAGUCAAUGGAAUUUAGGAACUCAGUCCAUGUUCAGUUCAGUAAAUUAUGUUCAACAUCUAUUCAGAUGGGAGUAGAAAUUAGCACCGAGUGAACUCAAGGAUAGGAACUCACCUGUUAUAUAAGGGUGUGAUUCUUAGAAACAAUCCUUGCGUUCCAGAACUAUGUAGCCAGCAUAGGUUAAGACAUCAUAGCCUGCUAUAUGAGGGUAGAUGAGAUGGCUUAGCCUGCUAUAUAAGGGUUCCCACCGUUCUCAUUAGAGUUACCUAUUAUAUUAGGGUCACUCACACAUUGUCCUUACCAGUGGCGUGGUAUUGACACCCUUCCAAUCAACGUAUAAAUUAGAGCCUAGCUCAGCUAUUAUAACACAUUUGGGGCAUGUCGGUUAGAUGACUACUUUCUACAAUUUCAGUAUCAGCAUCAGUCAAGAACUCAGAUAGUUUUCAAGAUUUCAGGACUGUCAGAUACAGUCAACUCAGAUAUAGUACAGAACUCAGCUAGAUUAAUCAGAUUUAGGACUAUCAGAUACAGUCACUCAUGUUAUCAGUUAUAUCAGUUAUCAGUAUGUCAUGUUAUCAGUAUUCAGAUUCAAUACUCAUGUUAUCAUGAUUUUAGAUAUAGUUACUAUGUAUGCAUGCAUGUAUUCUUACAUUCAUACUUGUCAGUUAGCCAGUAUUGUUCAUGCAUAUGAACCCCAUGCAUUCAGCCUAUGUACUGAUGCAUUUGUGCUAUGGUGUCUUAUACCAUAGGUUCAGAGACACGGGCUACAAAGCAACAGUAGAUUCCAGAUAUCCGCAGAUAGAGUUAGAAGUGAGUCCUCAUCUUUCGAGAACAUAAUUAGUUUCCCUAUUAUCUCAUUAAUCAGUUUAUUAGUUGGAGUUAGUUGGGGACAUGUCCCAUUAACUCCUUACUUAGACAGUUCAGUCAGUUAGAGGGUUUCUAAACUAUCAUAUUUUAGACUUCAGUAUGUUCAAUUUUAUUUUGGGUAUUCUAUUACCCCAUACAGAUGUUAUAUCAUUUAGAUCAUGUUCGGUAUUGAAACUUAUGGACUUUCAGUUCAUAUUUACGCAUUAUAAAGUAUUUUAUACAGCAUAGAGGUACAGAUAUCAGUCAUGAGUUAGCUUGUGCUCCUUCGGGGUCAUGAGUACCGUGUAGCAUUCCGGGUACCAGAUUUGGAGCAUUACAGCACGCCUGCAUAUUAUAUGCAUUUGCAUUACAUUACAUCGCACUGCAUUGAUUCAUUUGGUUCAGAUUGGUUAAAGUAUAUUUGUUGACCUGGUACUUAUUGCGUAUGUGUUAUUUAUUUCACUAGAUUGAAAAAUUCUUUGAUUAUGGUAUGAUAUCCUUAUUGACUGGUAAACUUGACUAUUCAGUUAGAUUAAGGUGGUCUUUCUGAGCGCAGGUUGUGUGUUUGAUUUAGAUGAUUUAUGUGGAGUCACUCAUCACCACUUUGAAUUAGGAUCGGUCGACGAUGCUUGCUGAGUACACGUGGUUCCGUACUCACUCUUGCUUUUUCUGCACCCUACGUAUAGGUACAGAUCCAACGGGAUAUUGAUCUCUAUGGUUCCUUCUUACUAGCAUUAUCGGAGAUUCAAGGUAGCUGCUACAGGCUUUAGAUACUACUGAAAUCUCCUUCAGCCUUAUUCUUAUGCAUCUUCCGCAUUUUGAAAGACUAGAACUUUCUUUUGGUUCUAUAUUUUAGUGGCUUGUAUUAGUGACUUCCAGACCUGGGAUAUCUAUGAAUUAAUUUUUUUAGUCUAUUUAUCUACAUUAUGAGAUUGUUCAGGAUUGGUUACAUUCUUAUUAUCUUCCGCUUAUAUAAAUUUGAGAUGUUGUUCUUGGAAUUGGAUAUAUGGCUUACCUAUUCCGGAGGAUGGAAUAGGUGCCAUCACGGUCCCGAAUUUGGACUGUGACAAAGAUUUAACGUACUCCUAAUAUCAUGACUAUGUAAGAUAAUAAUGAACUUUUCCAAAUAUUAAUGGUAACUUUAUAAUACAUAUAAUAGUAUAUUCUAAGAGAACUUUUACUGAAGAAUUAAAAUUAAUUAUAAUUUAACAUAUUGAAAUAAAACUUGAUAAUGUGUAAAAAAGAAUGCAUUCCUAUUUCGUUAUACCAGAAAAUUAUAAACUAUUUAUUUUAUAAAACUUGAAAUAGUAUUCAACUGUACACAAUAUAUAACUUUUCUUAUUAUCAUACAUAAAUUUUUUUUCAUUUUUUUAAAUUUUAGUUUUCUGAUGUAGUGAAAUAGACUGCAUACACUUACCUUCCUCAAACCUCACUUGGUGGAAAUAUAAUGAGUAUGUUGUUGUAGUAGUUUUGAUUGUUCAAGUGAGUGAGCAAAUUAGGUUAAGUUUCUACUAAAUGAGUGAGCAAAUUAAAUUACGGUUCUUUCAUUAAUUAAUACAUGUACUAUUGGUUCUAAGGUUUUCUUGCUUCCGUACGUACUUAAUUUUUCUAAAUGAAUUAUUUUUGUUUGUGCAUGAAAAGAAAUAUUUGAAUAAAUUAAUCUUUAAUAAGGUAUCUUUCUAACUUUACAUAUAAAAAGGUUAAAAGAGUAAAUUUAAGAAUAUUAUUAAAAGUAUUUCUGAUAUCUUAUAAAGUUUGGCCUAUCAACCACUAAUUGUCUUGAACCACCCCUGUUAUUCAUAUUGAUUGAGGGAGUGUUUGAAUUUUAAAAUAAAAUUAGGGAAUGUAAAUAAUUUUCUCCCAUAAGCUUGAUACUUUACAUAAUGUUAUGAGUUGUUCCAAGAUUUUCUAAAAAUAAUUAUACUUUUCGGUUUCAAAAAAAUAACCUAGUUUGAUUUGGCAGUUUAAAAAAAUAAUGAAGACUUUUGAAUGUACAUGCCACGUGAAAAAUUAAAAUCAAAACAUUGCAAGAAAAUAAAAGUUCAAUCUUUUUGAAACAAAUUAAAUAAAAAAAAAAAAAGUAGGUCAUUUUUUUAAAUGAAGGGAGUACAUAAUUUUUCUUUUCAUAAUUCUUUUUAAUUUACUUCAUUUCACAAUAACCCUUGGGGUUCAACCCUUUUGCAGACCACACACAUAAUGGGGUUUUAAUGCACUGAGCUGUCUUUUUAACGUAAAAAUCAUUUUUCUCGAUUUUUAUUUUUUGUUUAGUUAUUCGAUAUUUAGUACACAUAAGUCGACUAAUGUUAAUUUUCAUUGUAUAAGGCCCAGUAAAAAGAGUAACUGUCGAUAACAAUUUUUUCUUUUUUCUCACCUAUGACUUUGAUCAGAGUAAAUAUAGCUUAUCAAUCUUAUUUCUUACCGCAGCUCUAAACAAUAAUAAUCACACACUAGUCCUCUUGUUUCUUCUUUUAAUUUAGGAAAUUUUCUACAAGAAGAAAAACAAAACAAGCAAUAAUUAAGAAAAUGGAGAAAAAGAAGCUAGAGUAAUAUAACAAAUAUAACAUCAUGGAAUUGGCGGAAAUCACCAAAACACUCUCAACUAAAAAGAUAGCUUCCAGUUAACCAUAAUAACGUUUUCUCUUUUCUGAUGGCCAUGGCCACCGAUUCACCUGGUCAACCUCUCCCUAAGGUUGAUUUUGUUGGAAAAAUUACUACUAGAUAUUGGAACUAAAAAUAAUAAUAAUAAUAAUAAUAAUAAUAAUAAUAAUAAUAAUAAUAAUAAUAAUAAUAAUAAGUAAAUAGUCACAUAAACUGUGUCGUGGCAAACCACUGCCUUAAAAGCGAUUUCAGCCUAACUUCUGUGCAAAUCCUUCUAGUCAGUUGCCCCUAAGGUUCCAUAGCUACUUCCAAACACAUACACUCGUGGCUGAAAGUUCGAAGGUUGCCCAAAAUAAUUCAAGAAGAGUAAAGAAGGAAGAGUACUCUUUUUUCUUUUUCUUUCUUUUUGUUGUGUCUUUUCUUUUCUCUAUAGAUGCUCCAUCUAUAACAUAUAGAAAUUGACAAGGACGGAUGAACUUUGAGUUAUUGAUGGUGAGUAUUAAUGGCAUUAAAAGUCACUACUACAAUGUUGUUGAAUUUACGUUCUGAAGGAGGUAUGUUCACUUUCUUUUUAAUUUAGAAGUGUUCAACUCCUCUGAAACGUAUGUUUUUUUUCUUUUUUUAAUUCUUUGCAUUACACAAAUGAUUAUGGAUAGUAUUGAUGUUACUCCUCCACUAAUACAAAAAUAAAAAAUAAGAAUAAAUUUUGGGCAAAAGGAAGGAACAUGUACUUAAGUGUCAAUAUCUUUCGAUUUGAAUUAACACGUAGUGAUAUAAGGCAACAACAAAUAUCCAAAAGUGAAGUACUCUUAAACUAGAUGGACAUAAGUUGGGACCCCAACAACACAUACCAUAUCCUUGAUUUUAGGCAACCUCCGUGAUACUACAAAGUGCUUUUAUAGCUUCGUUUGACCACAAAUGAGUAUCCACCAUAUAACCUCAAUCCAUGGGUUUUAUCCUCAUCCCCUCGACGAUUCAAGGAUCAUUUUUCUUGUCAAAUCCUUGGUCAUAGAAUCCACCAAAUUUCUUUCGGAUCUUACAUAUUUUAAGGAAAUAACACCGUGUUUCUAUAAUUAUUUAACUACACCAUAUCUUAAGCGAAUAUGUCUCAUUUUUUCAUUGUAUACACUAUUUUUAGCAAUUCCAAUUGCCGCCUAUGAGUCACAAUAUAAAAACACCAGUGAUACUUAUCUUCCCUAGAAACGCACAUCUUCCAAAGGAUUUCUCAGCCACUUAACUGCUUGCCCUACCAACUCAAGAGCAAUGAAUUCAGAUUUCAUGGUAGAAUGUGCUAUACAAGUCUGCUUUGAAGACUUCCAUGAUAUAGCACCUGCACCCAAAGUAAACACAUAGCCAUUGGUAGAGCUAACUUUAUUAUUGUCAGUCACCCAUUUUGCAUCACAAAAACCUUCUAAAACGGCGAACAUCAAUCCAUAGUACCUCUCAAAUACCUUAACAAGCGAUAAAAAGCAUUUUUGUGUUCACUACUGGAAUUAUGAGUAUAUUUACUCAAUCUACUAACAGCAUAAGCUAUAUCAGGCCGAGUAUAGUUCAUGAGAAAUAUUUCAAUCCUAAUUAUUUUAGCAUACUCAGUUUGAGAAACACUGAAAUCUUUAUUCUUUUUCAAGUGUAUGCUAGGAUCAUAAUGAUUUCUCACUGAAACUACAUCAAAAUAAUCAAACCUUUUCAACAUCUUUUUAAUAUAAUGAGACUGACAAAAUCCAUUAAUAGUUCUUUUGAUUUUAAUCCCGAAAAUCAUAUCAAUUUCUCCAAGGUCUUUCAUUUUAAAUUUAGAAAAUAAAAAUUCUUAGUCUCAUUUACAACAUUCACAUUAGGGCCAAAGAUUAAUAUGCCAUUCACAUGAAAAUAUAGAAUCACACAAUUUGAUCCUAUCAUUUCAGAAAAAACACAGGUAUCAAAUGAAUUAACAACAAAGCCAUUAUUCAUUAAUGUAAAAUUAAAUUUUUCAUACCACUGCUUAGGUGUAUGCUUAAGUCCAUAUAAGGAAUUUCUCAAUUUACAUACUUUAUCCUCUUGUUCUGGGGCCACAAAACCCUCAAGAUGAGUCAUAUAGAUCUCUUCCUCUAAAUCACCAUUUUAAAAUGCAAUUUGGACAUCCAUUUGGUGUACUACUAAACUAUGAAUAGCAGCUAGAGCAAUAAGAUUCCUAAUGGUUACUAUUUUAGUCAUGGGAGAAUAAGUAUCAAAAUAAUCAACGCCUUUCAUUUGGUUAAAACUCCUAAUCACAAGUCUAUCCUUAUAUUUAUCAAUUGUACCAUCAUGCCUCAAUUUCUUCUUAAAUAUCCACUUGAUACUUAUGGGUUUACAACCUUUAGACAAAUCAUGCAAGUUCUAGGUAUGAUUAGAGAUUAUAGAGUCUAAUUCACUUUUAAUAGCCUCAUUCCAAAAUAUUGCAUCCAUUGAACUCAUUGCUUCAUUAUAAGUCUUAGGGUCUUCUUCUAUUAAGUAGAUAAACACUAAUUCAUCAUUUAAAGUAUCGAUAUCAAAAUUCUCAGUUAAAAAGAUGGUGAUAAAAUCAGGACCAAAACUAUUCUCAGUUCUAUGUCUUUUACUUCUUUUAAAUUCAUUUUUAUGCUCAUUAUCAAUAACAUCAAAUGCAAGAAUAAGAUGAGAGUUAACAAAUAUAGAUACAAAAUUAUUAUUUUUCAUAUAACUAGGCACAUCAUUUUUCAAAAAAUAGCAUGCUCAAAAAAUUCUACAUCCCUAGAGUCACAAAUAGAAUAAUCAUUUAAUGAUAUAAAUCUAUAUGCAACACUAUUUUGAGUAUAAUCAAUAAAUACAGUAUCAAAGGUCUUAGGACCUAUAUUUACUCGUUUAAAAUUAGGUAGACCAAUCUUACCCAAACACCUUCACACUUUCAAAAAUUUUAAGUUAGGAAAAAUCCUUUUCACAAUUCAUAUGAGGUCCUAUCAAAAUUUUUAUGAGAAACUCUAUUAAGAAUAUAACAUGUAGAUAAGAUAGCUUCCUCCACAUAUAGUUAGGUAGAACCGAGAUUAAAAGCAUAGAAUUCAGCAUCUCCUUAAAGGUUCUAUUCUUUCGUUCGACUACACCAUUUUUUGGGGAGUAUAGGGAGUAUUAAACUCAUGGACAAUAUCAUUUUUCUCAUAAAAAUCUUGUAGAUUUUUAGUACUAUAUUCACCGCCCCUAUCAGAUCUAAAUCUCUUGAUUUUUCUAUCUAAUUGAUUUUCUGCUUCUACUUUAAAUUUUAAAACCAUGCAUUUAACCUCAUCUUUAGACUUAAGGAGGUAUACCUUAGUUUACCUAGAAAAUUCAUUAACAAAAGUAAUGUAAUACUUCUUUCCACUUUUUCUAAUAGUGUUCUUAAAAUCUGCUAAGUUUGAAUAUACUAGUUCAAGCAAUUCGAUCUUUCUACUAGUAACAUAUUUAAAAGGUUUCUUGGCAUGCUUUCUUUUACACACAGAGGACAUUUAGAAAUAUCAUCAAUGUUUGCUGCAAGAAUUAAUCCCAUUUUUCUAAGUCUUUUAAGAAAAGCAAUAUUAACAUGACCUAGUCUACUAUGCCAUAAAUUAAUAGACUCGACAAUAUAAGUAGAGUUAGAAAUACAUGCAUUAUUGGUAAGCUCUUGAUCAAUGUUCAGUAAAAAUAAUCCCUCCCAUUAAGGUAUCCCUUCCCAACAAAGUCUCCUCUACGAUAAAUAACUAUUUUAUCCUCUUCAAAAAUAAGUUUAAUGCCUACUUUGUUAAGAAGCUCCAAAAACUAAGUUUCUACAGAGCGAGGGAACAUAUAGAACAUUGUUCAAUGCUAAAGUUUUUCUAUAAGUUAAUUUAAGUAAAAAAUUUUCGUUACCCAUAACUCUAGAAGUAGUGGAGUUACCCAUAUCUACACCCUCGCCAUUGAUGGAUUCCUCAAAGUCAUGAAAUAGCUCUUUGUUGGUGCAGAAAUAUCUUGAAUCACCUGUGUCCAACACCCAUUCAAUCUUGUUAGCUACUAGAUUUGCCUCAAUGAUUACUGCAGUAAUUACUUUAUCACCCUCAUUAAGAUGAGCUUGAACAUCAUCUUGUCCUCCCUGUUUUGGCUUCUUUUCUUUUCUUAGAUAACAGUGGACAACCCUAUGGCCAAGUUUUUAGCAGAUAAAACAAUGCCCCUUUGAUUAUUUAAUUUGACUCUCUGGCUUGUUGAAUUAUUUUUCUUCUUCACUUGUUGCUUAUUCUGGACAUUCUUUUGUUUGCCUUUGUACCUUUCUUUUGCAAUAAUACCAAAAGAUUUCACAAGGUUAGCUUUAGAAGAAUUAAGAGAAAGAGCUUUCAUCUUAUCUUUGAGACAGUUUACCUCAUCAGUCCUCAUGUGGCUAAUAAGUUCUUGGACAAUUAGAUUUUUUUUUCUUAUGUUUCAAUUGAUUUCUGUAGUCACUCCAAGAUGGUAGAAAUUUUUCAACAAGUACAUUGGCCUGAAGAAUCUCACACAUAUUCAUGCCCUCAUUGAGAACAUUAGCAGUUAAUUUUUUAUAUUCGUGAACUUGUUCCAUAAUUGAUAUUGCCAUCCAUUUGGAAUUUAAUCCACAGUCCAACAAUAUAGUUUUUCUUUUCUGCAUCAUCAGCAACAUAUUUUUUUUCUAAAUUGUCUCAUAUUUCCUUAGAAGAUUUAUAGCUAAUAAAUAAAUCAAACAAAUGAUUAGUCAUAUGGUUCAACAAAUAUCCUCUAGCUGUUUGGUUAUCUUUUUCAAAAAAAAAAUUAGCAAUAUCAUCAACCACAAUAUGGGUAGAUCCAGUAGUAAUGUUAUAACAAUUAGUAGGAGGUUCAUUAAACAAAACAUAAUCAACUUCUAAUUUUUCAAAGAAAAUUAGAAGUUUUCGUGAACAACGUUUAAAAUUAUUUUUAUCCAAUGGCUUAAGUUUUGAUAAAUCAGAAAAAGUCUUGUUCAAAGAAAUAUCCAUUUAUCAAUAUUGUAUGAAAGAAAAUUGCUUUCAAAUUAUUGAAAAAAUUAUUACAAUAUUGAUAUUUGAACUGAAAAUAAUAAUAAGUAAAUAGUCACAAAAACUGUGUCGUGGUAAGUCACUGUCUUGAAAAGGAUUUCGGCCUGAAUCCAGUGUAAAUAUUUUUAGCCGGUCACUCUCCAAGGUUCCACAGCUACUUCUAAACAUGAGCACUCAUGUUUGAAAGUUUAAAGGUUGCCCAAAAUAAUUCAAGAAGGGAAAAGAAGAAAGACUCUUUUUUUAUGUCUUUUCUUUUCUCUGUAGGUGCUCCUUAUAUAGCAUUCUGAAAUUGACAAAGACGGAUGAACUUUGAGUUAUUGAUGGUGAGCAUUAAUUGAAUUAAAAGCCAUUACUAAAAUGUUGUUGAAUUUAAGUUCUGAAGGAGGUAUGUUCACUUUCUUUUUAAUGUAGAAGUGUUCAACUCCUCUGAAACGUAUGUUUUAUUUUAUUUUUUAUUUUUUUAUUCUUUGCAUUACACAAAUGAUUAUGUAUAGAGUUGAUGUUACAGAUUUACCAAAAAAAUGAUUAAAUUUUAAGAUUUAAUUUUUCCAUAAUAUUAACCCCAUACCAAGUGUCGCAAAACCUAUCACUAUGAAACAAAUGUUUGCAUACCUUCACGGUGAGCCUAGAGUUAUAUGCGAGAAAUAUAAGGUUGAACAAAUAAUUAUUAAGAAGAAUUUAGAGUAUGCCAUAAUAGGAAAAUUCUCCUAUGAAUGGCUAGAAAUACAAGAUCUGAGGAGGUUGAUUUCCAAAUAAUAUUAACAGAAAAAGGGGAAUAUAAUAUUAAACUGUUGAGCAAUAAAAAUGUGUUGAUUGAGACUUCCAAUUUGGAGCAUUAUGUGAACCUAUUGUCAAAACCUGUGUUUAUAUAACGAGGAUAGACAUAUCCAAUAAGGACUCUAAAGUUGGAUCCUAUGUUUUAUAAGGAGGAAUAAAUAUCCACUUCAAUUUCCAAAUUUUUUUUCCUUCAAGCGUUCUCACAUCUUUGUGAAAGAGGCUAUUUUCUCAUUAGAUAAACCAUUAGAGUUGGAUCUAAUGACAAGGAAUCAAAUAAGGUCUAAUUGUGCUAAAGUGAAGGUAGAAGUUGAUCUGCUCACCAAAAAGGAUUGAUGAAGGACUAAGUAAGCAAUCAAGAUAAGUCAAUAAAAAAUGGGUGAGAACAAAAUAUAACUACAUACCUAAAUAAUUUACAAACUGUUCAAUUCAAAAUCUUAAUGAACAACAAUGCUAUAUAAUUCAUUCAAAAUUAUACCCAAAGAAGAACAAUGACAAUGUAGAAAAAAAAAGAAAGAAAAAUGAAAAGAAAGUCUAAAAAGGUGAUAAAGCGCAAGUGAAUCAAGCUUAAACAAAUGAGGAACAACAGAAAAACAAAUAGUAGGAGAAAUUCAAGGAACAAAGAAAUAGAAAGAGGGAAAAGGAGAAGAAACAAGAGAGGAAAAAUGAAGAAAAAUUGGAAUAAGCAUACUCAGCAAAAAAACCUUGGAGUAAAUACCCUCAAUAAGUUUGAUGCAUGAAAAAAUUAGGAUGAAACGGGGGAAAAUAAAGAGAAGCAACCAACAAAUAUGAAAGAAAAUAAUAUAAAGUAGAAGAGGCUUUCAAAUAUGAAGAAAAAAAUUUAAAUGGCAAUGGCACAAAGGAUAAAGAUGAAGGAGCAAAGGAGGAUCAAAAAAAAAUAAUGAAGUCCCAUCUAUGCCCGUUGAUUCUCAGAUAGUGGAGAAAGGGGUAAACAAUGAGAAUGAGGGAAAUGCUAGAAGUAGUAACAUGGAGAAAAAUAGCAUGGAUCACAAUUAGGAUAAGAUGGUGAACGAGUAUAACGAAAGCUCAUCCCCCAAGCAAGUGGAGUUGGUAGAUAAGAAGGAUAAAGUUAUUCCUAAUUUAUUAAAAAAAUCACAAAGGAGGAAAAAUAGUAUAGAAAAGAAACGGAAGAUAAUGGGGAGAUUGGAAAAAACAUAAAUAAAGUUGUAAGGGAGAUCUAUCCCAUAAAAAAUAAAAAACAGAUGGCGUGAUUCAAGAGAAAUAAGUCAAAUCAGCCUACACCUACUCUCCAAUUUAAAACAAAAAGUAGUAAGGAUAAGUCAGAAGAUAUUCUCAAUGAUUGUGAAAUUAAUUUUCUAAAAUAUAAGGUCUGUUAAAUCAUAAAUAGAUUUUGAGAGAUUAAUGAAUCUUUAUAAAAGACAUCAUUAUAAUCUUAUAACUCUAAUAAGACCUUUUUAAGGUCCAAAAGAGAUAGAUCAAUAUAAAAGAAGACUGGACCUAUAAAAUGCAUAUUGUGAUUGUUCAGCAAAGAUAUGUGUUUUGCACGUUGAUUACUGAAAUAGAGAUGUGAUGAAACACAACAUGCAGUAGUUAACCAUGAAAUUCAACAAAAUUAAUGUGAAAAUUCUUAUUACAAUCAUAUAUGCAAGGUGUUAUGCUUUAGAAAGGUUAGAGCUUUAAAGAAUUGGAGUAUAUUGUUGAUGAUAAUUAGAUACCUUGGCUUGUGGAUGGAGAUUUCAAUUUUAUUUUGAAUGAGAGAGAGAAGCAAAGGGUCUAGACUUCACUCAAUAUGAGGUUAUGGGUUUUCAUCUAUAUGUAAGUAAUUGUGCUUUAACAGAACUAAGGCAUACUGGUAACAAAUUUACAUGGUGGAAUGGGAGAAUUAAAGGAGGUUAUAUUUUCAAGAAGUUAGAUAGAGUAUUUUGUAAUUAGUUUUUUUAGAUAUCCUAACUUGUAAUGAAUUACAUCAUCUGAUGAGGCAGGGAUAUGAUCAUGCACCAAUACAUGUGAUUUCCGAUACAGAGGAAGAGCGAAUAACCAAGACUUUUAGAUUUAUCAAUUUUUGGACAAAAACUCUAAUUUCAAGAAGAUUAUUAAGGAAAAUUGAAAUAUUGUUCUGUGGGCAGUCCUUUUAUUGAGUUUCAGGCCAAGAUCAAGAUAGUAAAAGAAAUAUAAGCAAAGUAGGGCAAAAAGAUAUUUGGAAAUAUUUUUUAGUAAAUUGCUACUUUAAAGAAUGAAUUAAGAGUGAAUGGAAUUCUAACGAAGAUAAACUCUUAUGUUGAAAAUAGAGUUUAUCUCAAUAAAGAUGAGGUUGAACUAAAGAAGUUUUUGUAUGUAGAAGAGAAGUUCUGGAAACAGAAAGCAGGAAUAAAAAUGAUUUCAAUAUGGGGAUAGAAAUAGAAGAUUUUUUCAUAACUAUGCGAAGCGAAGAAGAAAAAUGCUACUCCUAUUAGAGAUUCAAACAACUAGACAUAGUAGUUCUAGUGAGAACAUUAGAGCAGAGACUAUUUCUUUCUUUGAAGAGCAAUUCAUAGAAACUUAUAGAUAUGAUGACAAUGGAAUGUCGAAACUCAUACAAAAGAUGAUAACCUCUAAAUAGAGUGAAGAAAUGGAUAGACUUAUCAAGUAUGGAGAAAGUCAGAUGUGUGGUUUUUGCAUAACAGGGAUAAAACAAGUUAACCUGAUGGAUUUUUUGAUUUUUUUUCUCAAAGAUAUUGAAAAAUAAUUGGGAAUGAUAUUACAAAAAUGGUUAAGAAAAAUUUUUAGGCAUCAGCUUUCUAGAUUCAUAACACAUACUAAUUUAGUUUUGCUUUCGAAGAAGGUGAAUGUGAAUAAUUUCACAGAUGUUAGACCACUAAGUCUUAACACUUCUACUAAUUAGAUUAUUUUAAGAGUAUUGCAUGAAAGAAUAACAAGGUUGAUAACUAAUACUAUAGAAAUCAGUUUGAUUUUGUCAAGGGAAGAAGCAUAACUAAAAAUAGUGUUAUUAGAUCAGGAGAUAAUAAGGGAUAUUAGCAUAAGGAAGAAAUAUCAUAAUGUGGUAGUAAAGUUGAAUAUGACUAAAGCAUAUGAUGGGGUUUCAUGAUUUUUUUUCUCAUUAAAGUACUAAGGAAGUUUGAUUUUUCAGAUGUCAUUAUUGAUAUGAUCUAGAGAGUAAUUUCUAGGAAUUGAUAUUCAAUACUGGUUAAUGAAAAAUCCUAUGAUUUCUUCCAAUCUUCAAGAGGACUAAUGCAAGGAGAUCCACUAUCUUCUACUAUAUUUAUUAUUGCAGCAUAGGUGUUGGCUAGAGGAUUGAACAAGCUUAAUGAAUAUGUUGAAUUCAAAGAAUAUGACAUUCUUAAAUGGAGUCCCGAAAUCAAUCACUUGUCAUAUGUAGUUGACAUAUUUUUGUUUUGUUUAGGAAAUAGAAAAUAUAUAUGUAAAAGGAUGGGAGUGUUGAGGGAAUAUGAAAUUUUUUUGGAUAGAUGAUAAAUUUGAAUAAAAGUUUUUUUCUAUUUUUUUACAAUAACAUAUCUCUUAUUGUUGGGAUCAGAGGAGAAUAACAUAUAUAAGACAUAGCUCUUUCCUUUUAACUCAUUUAGGAUGUCCAAUUUUCUAUGGGAGAAAGAGAAAGUCACAUUUUUGGAACUGGUGAAAAAAGUACAUAAGAAGGUAGAUAAGAGAAAUAUGUUAUGGCAAAAUAAAUGAUUAUCUUAUAAAAAAAACUCAUACUGAAUGCAAAUGUGCUACGUUUUAUGUCAAUAUACUUACUACCAGCAAUGAAUCCUCCAAAGAAGAUUAUCGGGUAGUUGCAUCAAGUGUUUGUACAUUUGUUCUAGUGUAAGACGGGAGAUAAAAAAAAGAAGUAUUGGGUAACAUGAAAAAGUAUAUGUUAUCUACAGAGAAAUGGAGUAGCGUUCCGAUCCCUACAUUGUGUUUCGAAAGCACUCUUUGAAAAACUUUGGUAGAAUUGCAGAACUCACACAUCUUUGUAAAGUUUAUUUAUAUGGAAUAAAUAGUGCAAAAAGCUUCAUCACCUUAUUACAAAGAAAAUAGGAGCCCCCAUUCUUGAAGAAAGAUGUUGGAAUCAUGAGAGGAGAUUGAACAUGAUAUUUGAUAGAAGAUCAAGUUAAGGAAAGUUAGUUUUUGAUUUGAUAAUUAGAACAAACAAGGCACAUUGUAUUUCAUAGAAGCAUAGGGGUUUGGAGAAGAAGAGAUGGAAUAGGCAAUAUUACAGAUGGGAAGUGGGAUAGGAAGAGGUUGAGAGGUCUAAUAUCUAAAUGAAUGACUUACUAUAUAGUGGAGAGUAUCAUCCCUAAGCUUAUUGAGGGAGGAAUUAAUAAGCAUUUGUGGAUAGAGAACAAUAGUGGGGUUUUCAUAUGAAAUCAUGAGGCAUAAAAUAGGAGGGAGAAUGGUGGAAUAAUAUUUAGGGUAGAGGCGUUCCUUUUAAGACUAGUUUUCUACUAAGAAAAUGUUGGAAAGGAAGAAUAGCAACAGAAGAUGAUCUUGAAAGAAUGAGGAAAAAUAUUGCAUUCAGAUACUAUUUCUGUGAGAUAUAAGCAGGAGAUAAUGAGCUGUAUUUUUCUAAUAGCUCUCAUAGUCCAAAAGCUAUGAAGGUCGUUUGCUUCUUGUGUAGAUAUCAAAAUUCAUGGAGGACUACAGCUAGUAAUCAAAGGAUAGUGGGAGGCAGUCUUUAAGCCCAAGCUAAAAAAAACAUUUUUGGAAAUUCUAACUAUACUGAUGUGGAAACUAUAGAAGAGAAAACAUGUUAGGAGACAUGAAAAGAAAGUCAAUUUUUAUAAGCUAUAAUAGCAGUGUCAAAACACUGUAUACCAGCUUGUAAAAUUGAAAUACCCUUAGAUUAAUGUCCCAAUAAAUUGGGAAGGAAUAUUGGGGUGUUUUAGGACUACAGGAUUAGAUUACAGCAUCAAGUAGUAAAGUGAGUAGUGACACAACAUGAAUGGAACAAAUGCAACACAGAUGGGGUGAGUAGAGAAAAUCUCGGGGGUAGUACUUAUAGCUUUUCUUAGAGGAAUGGGCAAGAAAAUUUAGUGUAUGUAGAAGCACAGGUAAUAGGCUACAAAACUAAUAUGGAUGCAGAAAUAAUAGCCAUUUUGAGGUCCCUUAGACACGGUAAGAGUAACAACAUCGAUAACAUAAGUGUGAAAACAUACUCGCUUAGCAUUACAAAGAUGGUAAAGAGAAAAUGGAAAGUUCUAUGCAACAAGCAGUAGAGAUAAAGGAAAAUCAAGAGUUAAUACUGAGAAAAUAAUCACACAUAAAGCAUGUUCUCAAGGAAUCAAACCAUUAGCAAAUAGGAUGGCAAAUGAAAUGUGCAAUUAAUAUGGAUUCUUAAAGGUUCACAUAGUUCAAAAACUAUAAGUAGAGUAUAGAAAAACUUUGAAUGCAGACAAAGCAUAAAAUAUCAAUAUUGAGGAUCAAAUCAAGAAGGAUAACAGUAUAUGAACUUCUACUUGAAUAGGUUUAAAAAUAGCACUACAAGGUCUCACAGUUAUGAUAUUUAUGGAUAUAGUUUUUGUAAUUAUAGGGCUUACAUAACUGUGAGUAGCAUUAUGCUACCUAGCCUAGAGUAUAUUAGCUAACAAAAACUUUCAUCAGUAACAAGUGAGUGCCAUGAAUUCAGAUGGCAAAGGAUAGAUUCAUUGGUGAGAAAGAACUCUACAAAGAAGAAAAAUAUGAGCAUCUUGGAAUCUCCACUGCUCCUUCAGCUGGAAAGGAAAGAGUUAGAUCAAAAAAGAAAAAGAUAAAAAUGAGAUAGAGGUGAGGUUUGACUUACAAGAAGUUGUAGCCAAAGCAUACAAGACUUGACACCUCUAUUGAAUCCAUCUUGAAAUCCACUACAUCCACCGAAAUACACCUCUGCAAAUAUAGGGAAAGGGAUUACAAAAUGUGAAAAAAUAAUGGAGAAGAGAUAAAAAGAAUGAAAACUUACUUCUGUGAGCUGAGAAAGAAUCUGAUCUACUUCAUCAAGAUGAAAAUAUUGAUGACCAAAGCAAGAGGAAACAAAAGGUUAGGUUAAAAAAAGCUUCAAGCAGCGACUUGAAAGGAAAAGGAAAAGAGGAAAACAAAAUAGGAACAAUAUUUUUUAGGGAUGGAUAUAUAUAUAUAUGUAUGUAUGUAUAUAUGUAUGUAUGUAUGUAUGUAUAUAUGUAUGUUGGCGGGUUCCUUAAUGAAUUUGGCCAAAUAUUUUUGUUUGAUUUUAUUUCAGCAUUUUUGGGGCUCAUUUGAGCCAUUUUUGUACAGACUUACUGGAAUAAAUAGAGAAACCCAAAGCUCCAUAAAUUGAUUUUUUUUCUUUAAAAAAAACUAUAACCUCAUUGCAUAUGCUUUCUUCCUGUUCUCUUUCUAAUUUUGUUUGCUAUAGUGAAUUUGCCAAAUAGUCACCCAAGUUUUGGAUAUUUUCUUCAAAUAUCAGUUGUGUUUUAUUUAGGACUAUUAUAUCACUAAACUAUCCCUCUUUUCCUCAAAAAAUACUAAACACCUCAAAAUGUCUUUUUUUUUCUCUUAGUUGGCAUGUCAUGUCAUUAAAAUCUCUUUUUUAAAAAUACUAAAUCUAUUUAACUCAUCAAACCCAUUUAAUCAAAAUAAUUUUUUUUUGAAAAAAUUCAUUAGUUUAUUAAAAAGAAAUUUUUAUACUUAGAAAAAUUUUAUUGUUACGAAAACUUGACAUAUAUUUAUUCAAGGGUUAUUUUUCUGAACAAUCAUUCAUAUUUUUUGAAUUGUCUACAAAAAUUAUUUUUAGCUUUUUAAAGAUAAUAAUAUGACCAACUAUCACUAUUAUUCUAAAAAAACAAAAUAUUUCAUAUGUCCUUUCUCUUCUAAUUUACAUGUCACGUCAUUAAAUUAUUUCUUAUUAAUAAUAGACAUAUUUAACUCAUCAAUCUUAUUUAGUCAAAAUUAUAUUCUUAUUUUUUUUUAAUAAAACUAGUUUUACGAGGCCCGUGCUAAGCUUGGGUCCAAACUCAAUUAAGAAAACAUAAUUUGUAUCACAAUUUUUUAAUUUAUAAUUGAUAUAAUUUAGGUAAAAAAAAACUAAAUAUACAAUAUUAGAUUGUUUAAUGCAAGUUAUAGAAAAACUUUUAAGUUUGCAAGUUAUAGCAACUUUUAUAAAAAAAUAUUCAUUUUUCUAAAACAAAAAAAAGUAAAUACCAAUUCAAAUAUGGAAAAUACAAAUUUUAUACUACUAAAAAUAAAUAUACUUUCCUUAAAAAUAGAUUGAAGUUAAUAAUAGAUUUCAAUCACACCCAAAAUGUCUUCAUAACCAUUUUUUCCCCACUUUUUAAAGCAUACAUGAAUCUAAUUCAUCUUCUUCAAUAACUUGCAUUUCUUUCAAUAAAAAUAUAUGAUUUUUCAAUCAUAAUCUUCCAAAAAAUAUUAUUGUUUUAAAUGAUAUUUUAAGGUAUAUCGAUUUUAGUAUUUCAUAUGAAAAUCAAUUUCUUGAGUUUUCAAAUUUAAAAAACGUGACUCAUAAUAUGAAUUGUAAUAAUUUGCAUUCAAUAAUGAUACAUCAUGGAGGAAGAUGGAAUGCAACGGGUAUAUAUUAAUUAUUAACUUGAUAUUUUGUAUUAAUUCUUUUUUUCUUUUUGAAAUAUAUAUUGUCUUAUUAUUGAUUAAGAAAAAGACAUUUAGAGAAAAAGUUAAUAUUAUUUUUUAUAUUUAUUUUCUCUUAUGUGAUGUUGACCUGUUGAUUUUUUGCGAUAAUGUGGUGGAAAGUCACAAAAAAAUAUUGUUCAAUUAAUUAAUAGGUGUAUGAUUAUUGAUUGUCAAAUAUUUUUAUUCGGUCAUAUUACAUUUAGUAACCUAUUAUGAUAUUAUAUUUAUUGUUUAAGUAAGUUGUUUUAUUUUAAAAUUUUUUUGAUGUGCAUGUUUUGUCAGUAUUAAAAUAUGUUGAAAUUAUCAAAUUUCAUAUGUUUAUCAUUUUUUUAUUUUUUGAUAUGUAUAUUUUGUGAGUUUUAAAAUAUGUUGUAAUUUUCUAAUAACAUAUCUUUACCGAUUAUUAAGUAUUAGUUACUUAACAAUUUUGUAUUAUGUUUGCAGGUAGACCUAAAGAUUUUUCUAUAGAUGGGAUUAUGUAUGAUGUGAAUAUCAAGUGUUGACACCUAAUUUUUUCCCUUCACGACUAAGUUUAGUCCCGAGUUUCUUUGAUUUUAAAUAAAUUACAAUAUUUAUUUUAUUCAGAUGAAAAACCCUUUAAAAGUAUUAUUUGGGUAAUUUUGUCAUUUUAAGUGGCGAUUAUAUAUUAUCGUAAUUAAUUAUACGAAAAAUAUAUGUAAUUUCAUCACUUAAAUAUUUAUUCGAUAGAAUAUCGAAUUUUAAUUAAGGAUUAUCUUGAAAAUAAAUAUAAUGAUUAAAAUUUUAAUUUAAAUAUAAUUUAUCCUCAAAAAUAAUUUAUUUGGAUAAAUAUGUGUUUGAUUUUACAAAAUCAAGAAGCUCAGGAUUGAACAAGAUAUUGAUUUGUAUCAAAUUUCAAUUGAAUUUGGCCAAAAUUAUCUAAUUCAGUAAUAAUUGAAAUUAAAUUGGCCAAAAUUGCAUUAAAUAAAAUUAGCCGGCUCUUAAACUAAUUGGGGUUAUUUUUUAAAUAACCCCAAAUCUUAAAAUCAAUUUUAGCCCCCACUAGCCUAAUUUAACACAACUUCAGCAACCCACUUAAAUCCUAAUGAUCCAGCCCAAAACUGCCUUACCCGACCCAUUCCCUUUACCUUCUUCAACAAUAGCCUUCAGCCCCUAGCAAUACGCACAAAAACAACAGCCAACAACUUCUACAGCAACCAACAAAACUCCAGUAAACCAUUGACCUAUCCACCGAUAAAACGAUAACCCAUCUCCGACCCGAACUCAACCCACAACCCGUGACCCAAUCCAGCAACCCGACUCCGACCCAAGCAACAUCAAUAACUAUUAUUUCCAAUAGCUCAGGCUUAUCUGAUGAUCAAUUUGAAAUUCAAAAUUUGAAUUUUGUACUAAUUAGUACAAAUUCGUACAAAAUCCAGCCCACCUCCUUAUCCUCUUUUCAAAAUCCAAAAGAAAAUUCCUAAGGAAAUUUCUAAAUUACCUUUAUUCCUCUUUGUACCACAUCGUUGGAAAUUUAAAGUUGAGCCCAAAAUUUUCUCUAUAUAAGCUCAUCCUUGAGCUAAAAUAAAGGAAGUCUCAAGAGGGUGAAAAACUAUUUUGAGCAAAAAAUCAGUGAAUUUUCUUUUUAUUAAAAUUUUUAGAAGUUGUCGAUUGAUCGAAAUUCAUGAAAGUCUUGAAGAACCAUUUUCAGUGGUGGUCAAGGUUCCGACAACAACUCAAGGCCUCAUUUUGCUACCUUGAAACAAGUAAUACCUCCUCCUUUUUUACAAUUUUCUUGUCCUUCUAUAGUCUUAUUGGCAUUUUGAUAAUGUUGUGUACUGGGGUUAUAUGUUGUAUAAGGCCUCAAAGGCCAUAGGAUUUUGAUGCGAUGAAGUGGAAAUGGUUGUAUUAUUGUGAUAUCCCUUUGCCCGUCCCAGUCGUUCCAUUAUUGCAUUCAAUUUUUUCUCAAGUUUAGUCUGAAUUAUUUGAAUAUAAUCUUGUGUAUGGUUUAGUUCCAUUUAUGGUAUUUAUUUGAUAGGAAGAAGUAUACGAUCACCUCUGUUGAGCUCAUUCAUAUAAUUGUUAUAGGUUGAUUCUUUCCCUGAUGCUCUAUCUGCUCCUAAGUUUUCGGAGGUCGUAACUAGAAUGCUUUCUUGGUGCAAAAACUCGUUGAACCUCUCUGUUGUUUGUUUGAAUAUGGCCAUCCAUAUAUUAUAAUGUUAGCGGAUUCUUACUAUGAUAUUUCUUUCUCACAUCCUAAGUUUGUUCAGACACCUUAUAUAUAUGACUAAAAAAAUGAUCAAAACAGACCCUUGGCUCACAAAAUUGCACUUUCUGAUUAUUGUUCUAGGAUCUUUCUGGUUUACAGUACCAUAUAAGGUUCUUGAACUACAUGCUUUGAAGUGAUUAUUUGGUUGUUAUUGCUCAAGUCAUUAAUUUUUUCCCUUUAAGUUCUGUAACAGAAUAGUAUUUCGGUUAUUGUACAAAUUUCAUAUAGGCUUCAACUAACGUAUUAGCAAUAUUAGUUGUGAAAGGAGCAAGUGGUGUUAAGUGUUGUUUCCUAUUCUUUUAGCCUUCAUGAACCCAAGAGUAUCUACUUAGGAUUAAAGUUUGGAUUUUGUUUAGACAUUUUAGACAGUGCCAUUUGCAGAUAAUUUCAUUCGUUCAGAAACUUAUGCAAAUUUCUUUAGUUAUAGAAAAUAAUGCUCUUGUUGAUCAUUAUUGAUUCAUUUCAUCAUCCAAAUUUUGUGCAAGUAUGCUAAAACUCUCAAUCUCACCAUUUAGAAUUGGUUUUUUUUCUAUAAGUGGUUUUUUUGAGUCAAAGUUCAGAUUUUAUUUAGGAUAUUGUAGGAAUAGAUUGUUUGUUCCAUCUUUUGUGAGUAUUAUCUUUAAUAAAUUUGUGGUAAUUCAGACUAUGCAAUGAGUCAUCUAUUUAAUUUGUGAAGCUAUAACUACAUCUUUUAUGCUAGAAGUUCUGGGGCAUGAGAACAUACCAAACUCGGUGCUAAAUACUACUCCCUUUAAUCUGCAUGCUCAUUCUAUAGAAAAUCCACUUUUAAAACUAGUAUAAGUGUUUAUAAUGAAAACCUCUUGUGAAUCUGUUUACUGUAAACUGUAGUGAAAAUUGUAGAGUGGAUUCCAUAUAUAAGUUGAGAUCAAAAGAUCAAAUCUUUGUUCAAAAUUUGAAUAUAACUAAUCAUGGGAUGCUUAAAAGCAUAAUCUUCUUGAAAUAUCAAUAUUCAACUAGGGCUUCAUAACUCGUGCAUCAAAUUCAUGUCAAAUCAUCAUAAAUUUUAUGCUAAAUAAUGAAAUUAUUGAUAAUUCAAUUCUAAAUAUCAAAAUUAGUGUCACACGCAUAAAAUACGAAAGUAGACAUGCAAUUCAACAUCUAAAUCACUUAUAAUCUCAUAAUCUUCAAAUAGCAAUAUUUGGGUAUGAACCCUACUUUGAAACUGAUGUAAAUACAUGUAAAAUUAUCUUCAAAAAUAAAUUUUGGACACAAGGAUGAAAGAAUUAUACAUGUUGAAAACCCCACAUACUUUAAUUGAUGAAUAGAUGAAGAAGCUUGAACUUUGAGUUCCUAUUUGUGCUCUUGAAGAUUGAUUCUUGAAGUUCUUAAAUUGGGAAUCUUGAAUUUUGGGUUAUCUUGGAAAAAGAAUUAUGGAAUUUGGAUUUCUUGAGGUUUAAGUUUUGAGGUUCUAGGGUUUCUUGGAGAGUAAUUUGAUGAAAAGUGAGCAUAUAAUACUUAUAAUAGGUUAAAUCUUGUGUUUUACACGAUUUGGGGGCUUGGGAAAUGACUAGGUUGCCCUUUGGAAAAAUUAAGUCGGAACUAGAAUCCCAAUUUUGGGCCCCAGUGUGACGCGCCAAAAUUGUGGUGGCUUACUAGAAAAAGGACGAGUGACAUUUUGGGCUCUGGCGCGACGCGGUGUAAUUGCGUUGCGUCACAAGAAAAGGACAGGAGCCAUUUUCCACUCCACCGUGAUGCGGUGUCUGUCCCUUAAGGAUUCUGGCGUGAUACCGAAAAAUUGCGGUGAGCUACUGGAAAAGGGAUGAAUGGGAAUUUGGGCUUCACCACGAUGCGGGCUAAUAUUGGUGCUUCACUAAAAAUCGGACAAUUGCGAUUCUGCACCUCACCACGAUGCGGUGCUAUCGUGGUGCACUACUAUUUUCACUAAAAUUGCCUUAACUUUUCAUCCGAGUAUCAGAUUAAGGCAAAAUUGGUAACAGUGGAGAGCUGGUUCAAUUACCUACAAUUUGGUGAAUCUAUAGCUGAAAAAUUCUACUCGUAUCUAGAGUUAUACAUUUUUAAAGUUGUUCCUUGACACACUAGGAGCUAAACUGAGCUAGGAAAAGUAUAGGGUAUUACAAUAUCUUCCCCUUAGAAACAUUCGUCCUUGAAUGAGACUAGUUAAACUAAGGAACUGAGGCUAUAUACUGUCAUACAUAACUGAAACAAAAUUGCAUGGCUAAAUCUAAAGCAUACUGAGCGACUGAAUUAAUCUACAAAUGCAUAGCUUGACAUAAAGAUAAUCACAUAGAUGAAACUGAGACUAUAAAAGAACUGAAUUAAGGAAGAUUGUUACCUUAGGAUGAAUCUGAGUUUGUGGAGAAGAGGUGAGGAUACUUGGUACACAUGUCUUCUUUUGCUUCCCAAGUUGCACCCUCAAUGGACUAAUUUCACCGGAGAACUUUUACCAAGGGAACUUCUUUGUUCCUUAGUCUACAGAUUUGGUGAUCAAGAAUCUCUACUGAAAGUUCUUCGUAUGUAAGGCUAUUAUGAAUGUCUAUGCUUUCUAGAGGGAUUACAACAGCUGAAUCGUCCAUGCACUUCUUCAAUAAGGAUACAUGGAACACUAGGUUAACAGAUGACAAGUCUGUAGGUAGCUCAAGAUCAUACGCUACCUUCCCGACAUGACUCAAAAUCCUGUAGGGACCCAUAUAUUGGGGACUAAAUUUUCCCUAUUUUCCAAAUCUUUUCACCUCCUUCAUGGGUGAAACCUUCAAAUGCACAAGAUCAUCUACUUCAAACUCAAGAUCUCUUCUUCUUAUGUCUGCAUAAGAUUUCUGAAGACUCUGAAUUGCUUUCAAUCUCUCUCAAAUCAACUGAACUUUCUCCAUGGCUUCAAACACCAUAUCUGUCCCAAUCAAAGUGGCCUCACCCACUUCAAACUAACCGACUGGUGAUCUAUAUCUCCGCCCAUACAGAGCCUCAAAUGGGGCCAUCUGAAUACUAGAAUGGCAACUAUUAUUGUAGAUGAACUCGAUCAACGGUAAGUGGUCAUCCUAACUUCCUUUGAAAUCAAGAACACAUGCCCUUAACAUAUUCUCUAAGGUCUAAAUGGUCCUCUCUGCCUGACCAUCUGUCUACGGAUGAAAAUUUGAACUGAGAUGAACUUGGGUACCAAGACCCUUCUAAAAGGCUUUCCAAAACUGAGAGGUAAACUGAGUACCCCUAUCUGAGAUGAUGGAUGAGGGAGUUCUAUGUAAUCUAACUAACUUACUGAUAUGCAACUUAGAAUAAUCUUCAGUUGUGUAGGAUAUGAGAACUGGCAAUAAAUAGGCUAAUUUGGUCAAUCUGUCUACAAUAACCCUUAUCGAAUCAUGCUGACGACACGAAUGGGGUAAACCUGUCACAAAUUCCAUGUUCACCUCUUCCCACUUCCAAGUAGGAAUACCAAAUUCCUGCAAUAUGCCACCAGGUCUUUGGUUCUCUACCUUAACCUGUUACAAGUUGCACACUUAGCUAUAAAUUUUGUGAAUCUUUCUUCAUACCACUCCACCAAUAGACUUCCCACAAAUUACGGUACAUCUUAGUGGUUCCUAGAUUAAUGGAGUAACGCGCACCAUGCAUUUUUGCCAUAAUUUGCUACCUUAAAUCAUCAACACAUGGCACACACAAUCUACUCUGGUAUCUCAACACACCAUCUCCCCCUUGGGAGAAAACCUCUACCUUUUGGUCUUUAACUAAACCCUUUAGUUUGACCAAACUAGAAUCCAUAUCCUGCUUCUCUUUCACUUCAGAAACUAGAGAAAAUUUUGAACUACUCUAAACCCAACUAUUCCCUCCAGCUUAGUUAACCAACCUCACACCCAAUCUAGAUAACCGGUGAACUUCUUAAACUAAUUCUCUCUUAUCAUUCUCCAUAUUAGCAAUACUGUCCAUAGAUAAUCUAUCAUAAUCCGGGUGAUACAACAAACUCAUAUCAUAAUCCUUCAACAAUUCUAACUGCCUUCUCUGACGAAGAUUUAACUCCCUUUAAGUAAACACAUACUUCAAGCUUUUGUGAUCUGUGAAUACAUCAAUAUGCACCCCGUAAAGAUAGUGCCUCCAAAUUUCCAAUGCAAACACCACAACAGCUAGCUCAAGGUCAUAGAUAGGGUAGUUCUUUUCAUGAGGUUUAAGAUAUCUAGAGGCAUAGGCUAUAACCUUACCUCUCUACAUCAAAAUAUAACCCAAACCUAUUCUAGAGGCAUCAUAAUAUACAAUGAAUCCAUUUGUACCAUCAGGUAGUGCCAAAAUUGGGGCUGAAGUAAGUCGAGUCUUCAAGUCCUGAAAACUCUUCACACAAGAAUAUAACCACUGAAACUUAACUUUUUUUGAGUUAUCUAGACAUAAGGGAUGCAAUAGAAUAAAAACCUUCAAAAAAACGUUUGUAAUAGCCUUCUAAGCCUAAGAAACUUCAAAUGUUUGAUAGAGAGAUAGGUCUAGGAUAGUUUCUUACUUCUUCUAUCUUUCUGGAAUCAACUCUAAUGCCAUCACUGGAAAUAAUAUAACUAAGUAAACCUGUUGAUCUUAGCCAAAAUUCACAUUUGCUGAAUUUGGCGAACAACUAGUGAUCCCUAAGAGUUUGCAACACAAUACUAAGAUGGCCUACGUGAUCAUCCUCUCUACGAGAAUAGACAAGAAUAUCAUCGACCAAGACUAUGACAAACAUGUCCAAAUACUGUUUGAACACUCUGUUCAUUAAGUCCAUAAAGGCUGCUGGGGCAUUUGUUAACCCGAAGGACAUAACUAAAAACUCAAAAUGACCAUAACGGGUUCUGAAAGUUGCCUUUAGAAUAUCAUAUUUUCUUAAUCUAAUCUAGUAAAAGACGGAUCUAAGGUCUAUGUUGGAGAAAUAACUUGCACCUUGAAGUUGGUCGAAUAAGCCAUCAAUCCUAGGAAAAGAAUAUUUUUUUUUUAUUAUGACUUCAUUCAGAUGACGAUAGUCAAUGCACAUUCGCAAAGAAACAUCCUUCUUUCACACGAAUAGGAUGAAGCGCCCCAUAGAAAGACACUGGCCUAAUGAAUUUAUCUAAGAGGUCUUUAAGAUGCUCUGUUAACUUUUUAAGCUCAUAUGGAGCCAUAUGAUAUGGAGAAAUAGAGAUGGGAUGAGUAUCUAGAAGAAUGUCAAUAUCAAAUUCUAUUUCCCUAUCAGGAGGUACCCGAAGAAGGUCAACGCCUGAAAGGCAGCUUGAAAUUCAGCAUGGGAUACAUUUUCAUUCAGAGGGUCAGCGAGUUAUGGUGGCUGGUUAUUAUUUUUGCAGGUAUUAUUUUGGUGAGGAGUCAUAUUCAAUUGUCACAUAAAAGCAUGAGUUAAAAGUAGAUAAAGACACUGUAAGCACGAUAGAUCAUAAAAGAAAGAGAUGAUUUCCUAAAAAUGCCCCGUAGCCUCUUGCUUAUAAAUGUCGUGCGCUUCACACCCAUUAUCAAGACUCUAUGUAACAUGACUUUUCUAACUCCCUAGGACUCUUAUAACCUUAGGAUCUGAUACCAAGUUUGUAAUGCCCCAAAAAUGGGUCCCGAGAUGUCACAUGGUGGUCAAGACUACGAGUAGCCUUAAGCUAACCAUAUAAGCCUUAUACUAAAUCUAAAGCUCAUAAUAAAAAAAUAUAGAUAUAUAAUCAAAGCAAAUAUUGAAUUUUGUCUGAGCUCAACUGAAAUUAAUUGAACAUGAUAUCUGAAAGUAUUUUCCUCAAAAGUCUGAACAAUCAACACUAGAAAUCUGAAUCAUAUCUAGCAGUCUGACAAGCCUCUACUACUAAUAACUAGAGACCCACUGGUACAAGCCCCCAGCUAGCUUGAACUUACUGAAAAUUCUGAAUCAACUACUAUAAUAAACUAUAAAAACUAAAUAACUAGGUCCCCAAACUAUGAGGACUCACCAACUAUCGUGAUGUAGAUGGAGAUGCUAGAAAUCACUCACGCUGCUGAAACUAAGUACCUAAACCUACAUUAUGAGACAAUGUAGCACAUAGACGUAUAUGUGGAUUAGUAUUUCUGGAAUGUACUGAGUAUAUGUGGAUGAAAUGCAUUGUAAAACAGUGAGGGAAUACAUAUACCUUUCUCAUAAAUAAUCCAUGCUAAGUAAUAAAGGCUCACUUUGGCUUGAGUAAUUGAAAGUUGUAAUCUUAAAUCAUGAAUGAUAAAAUAUACUAUAUGAAUGUUGUGAUCCACCACACUUCUAAAUCUGUACUUGAAAUCUGUUUUUAAUCAUACAUGCUAAGUGUAAAAGGACUCACCUCUGUAUUGUAAACUAAAAGCUGAAAUCUAUUAGCUAGUGACUUAUAUGAAAUAAUAUCUAAAUAAAAUCAUGAGCCUUUACACUUAGUUUUCUUAAAGAUAUUUUGUUAUUCUUUACUCUUUUCUGUAGGCUGUAGGACAGUUCUUCUAAUCGACAUAAACCAUGUGAGCUAAUAUAGAGUCCAACGUCUAGUUCCCUUAUGGGAAAACCUCACAUUAGGGAGAGGUGUCAUACUUUUGCCAUGGAGUAUAACAUAAUCUAAGUGAUCACAUCUGUAUCUGUCAUCCAUAUAAAAAUAAAAAAAAAUUGAUAAUUUGAACCUACGGUUUCUCGUAGUUCUGGGGCAUGAGAACAUAGAUAACUCGGUGCUAAAUACUUCUCCCUUUAAUCUGUAUGCUCAUUCUGUAGAAAAUAUACUUUUAAAACUAGUAUAAGGGUUUAUAAUGAAAACCUCUUGUGAAUCUGUUUACUGUAAACUAUAGUUAAAAUUGUAGAGUGCAUUCCAUAUCUAAGUUGAGAUCAAAAGAUCAAAUCUUUGUUCAAAAUCUUAAUAUAACUAAUCAUGGGAUUCUUAAAACCAUAAUCUUCUUGAAAUAUAAAUACUCAACUAGGUCUUAAUAACCCAUGCAUCAAAUUUAUGUCAAAUCAUCAUAAAGUUCAUUCUAAAUAAUGAAAGUAUUGACAAUUCAAUUCUAAAUCUGGAAAUUAGUGUCAUACGCAUAAAAAUACGAAAGUAGACAUGUAAUUCAACAUCUAAAUCACCUAUAAUCUCAUAAUCUUCAAAUAGCAAUAUUUAGGUAUGAACCCUAAUUUGAAACUCAUGUAAAUACAUGUGAAAUUAUCUUCAAAAAUAAAUUUUGGACACAAGGAUGAAAGAAUUAUCCAUGCUGAAAACCCCACAUACCUUAAUUGAUGAAUAGGUGAAGAAGCCUGAACUUUGAGUUCCUAUUUGUAAUCUUGAAGAUUGAUUCUUGAAGUUCUUGAAUUGAGAAUCUUGAAUUUUUGGUUGUCUUGUAAAAAGAAUGGUGGAAUUUGGAUUUCUUGAGGUUUAAGUUUUGAGAUUCUAGGGUUCUCAGAGAGUAAUUUAAUGAAAAGUGAGAAUAUAAUGCUUAGAAUAGGUUAAAUCUCGUGUUUUACAUGAUUUGGGGGAUUGGGAAAUAACUAGGUUACCCUUUGGAAAAAUUAACUCGAAAAUGGAAUCCCAAUUUUAAGCCCCAGUGCCAUACGCUGCAAUCGCGGUAGCUUACUAGAAAAAGGAUGAGUACAAUUUUGGGCUCUAGCGCGACGCGGCGUAAUCACGUUAUGUCACUAAAAAAGGACGAGUGUCAUUUACACUCUACUGCAAUGCAGUGUCUAUCCCAUUGAGGAUUCUGGCACGAUACCAAUAAAUUGCGGUGACCUACUAGAAAAGGGACGAACAGGAAUUUGGGCUUCACCGCGAUGCAGGCUAAUCGCAGUGCUUCACUAGAAAUUGGACAAUUGUGACACUGCACCUCACCGUGACAUGGUGCUCUACUAUUUUCACUAAAGUUGCCAUAACUUCUCGAUCGAGUAUAUAAUUAACAAAAAAUUGGUAUCGUUGGAAAGCUGGUUCAAUUACGUACAAUUUAGUGGAUCUAUUGCUGAAAAAUUCUACAUGUAUCUAGAGUUAUACAAUUUUAAAUUUGUCCCUUGACACACUAGGAGCUAAACUAAGCUAGGAAAAGUAUGGGGUCUCACAGCUAUACCCUACUUGCCUCAUUGCUCAGGAGGUGACAAAAUCACCCACCUCAGCUUGUUUUACAUGCCAACCUCAUAAGAAAGAGAAUUCCACACACCAGGCUACCAAAUAUACAACAAGGAAUUUUAAGUGCAAAAACUCUCUCCCUCACAAAAGAAAUCUCUAUGCAAUAAGUGUCAUACCAUAGGCUGGCCCCUAUUUUCAAUCGCCACUAUGAUGAAAGUAAAUGGUCGAAGAUCUUAAAGAACUUUCUAAGCUUGUAACAUAGGUUCGGGCCAGGAUAGGAUAUCAUUUGGGACAAUAUGUCUACUUCCUUUCUUGAACAUCAACAUCACACUAUUUAAAUUGCCUUUUUGACUAUGGGCCACUCUCUUUGUUUUCUCUCUUUUUUAUGCCUAUUUUUUGCUUCUAUUGUUCACCACUUUUCUUUUAUUUUUUUCUUGCAACUUUCGUGCAAUUCAUUUCUUUGUUGGAUCCUUUCUUUUUCUAUUCAUUUAUUUUCAAUGCUAAGGCACAUUAGGCAUUUCACUUACGACUUCGUGGCCUGAAACUUCCUUCCGUCAAUCUUUACCACUCCCAACUUAGUCUUUUUACCUCAAGUUGUAUUUUCAAGUUCAAGGAGGGUAUAGUCCAAAAGAGGGUUAAAAAGAAUGGUUCACGGUUUGUAAUGAGUUUGCCAAAUAAAGGUCCAAAGGCUCAAAGUAGGUAACUAGGGAUUAACUUUAUGCACGGGUAUGAUUUUUAUACUAGAGAGGGUUCCAAAGUCAUAAAGAUGGCCUAAGAUCAUUUCUCCAACCAACUACAAUUAAAAUUACCUUUGAAAGAUUAAUGGGGCAAGUUCUAGAUUACUCAAGUAUAUAAGAGAUAAAAGUAAAUAGCUCACCUCACAUGGCAUGCAAAAUUCGCCAAGGGAGUUCAACUUUUCCUCCCACUAGAGAUAAAUUGGAGUAUGUAUUUCUAUUCACAAGUCAAAAAUUUACAGAGCCAUAAAAAGAGAAAAAGUUUUAUUAUAAAAUUUCUCACGUCCAUGCCCUUAAUUUUUAAAAAAUUUUGGACGGAGGGGGUUGUUCAUUUUAUAUUAGCACCCUACACAAUUUGCUAAACUAUGGCAAAAACUAAAGCCUUAGCCUCACAUUUUGGCUCAAAAUGGGCAAACCACCCAUAUGGCUACUCUGACUUUGCUAAUGGUUUAUAACAUGAUCCCAAAUCAACAAUGCCAAGGGUACUCAGAAUUCCCCUACAUCUAUGAGACAUAUGCUAUGGGUACUUAGAAUUUCCCUGUGUCUAUGUCUUAAAACCCAGUCACGAUGUUAUACCCUUAAAAAUAUCGUCACUCAAUCUAUCAUAGGGCAAAGCUAUCCAUGUAUCAUGAAAAUCAAAAUAAAACUAUAGUAAGAAUAAAAACUAAAACUAAAAGAAAAACAUGAUAUUCCAUAAAACAUGGCUACCAUCAGAGUACCCAAGGAUGUAGCAUUCCAAAAUCAAAACCAAAUAAUAUCCAGAAUGUCAUCCCAAAAUAACAACAUAAAAUAAAAUAUCUAGCAAUACAACAUCACAAUAAUAUAAAUCCAGGGGCAACCCCAACUAUAAGGAAUGCAGUGUCUUCACUGCAUGUGCAAUAAGGCAAGAGUAAAAGGGGUCUCCCUGAAUCUACAUCAAGAGCUGCUCUCUUCCAUUGACUCUGCACCAUCACCAUCAACAUUAUUAGUAAAUCAAUCAACAGGGGCCUUAUCCUUACUAUCCAUCUUAAGGGAAGGUAGUUGAUGGUUGGGCUUGAGCCCCUUGAAGAUGUCCUUCACCCCCUUUCACAGCUUCUUGAAGAAUUUAUCUUUCUUGUUCUCUCUCUUUAACAUAUUCUCAUGUAAAUCCCUGAGGUCCCUGUGUGAUGAAGCUAAGGCUGAAUAAGCUCUCUCCAAAUUAGUGAUAGUGGCUUCCUUCUUUUUCUUCACCUCCCUCUAUUUCCCAUAGUCUAGUGGAUGGCUCUCCUGGUCCCUAAGAAAACCUAGAUACUAGCUCCCUAACCUCCUGCAUCUGGCUUGGGAUAUCAUCGAAGGGGAUAACUAAUAAAGGUCUACAAGAAUCUGUGCCCUCCUAGGUCGACUUACCUGAGUGCACCUUUCUUUUCUUACUCUGACCUGGGGCACCCUCACCCCUUAACUUAAGUGGAAAGAUAUGGGAGACUGUGAGUACCCAUGUAUUUGCGGCAUAUUUCUCCACCUGUGCCCUUCUGUAUAGCUCUUUGAUAAGGGAAGUGAGGAGAAUAUAUGUACCUCUAUGAUUUCUGAAACACCUCCGCACUGAGUAUAAAAUCUCAUCUAUAUUUAGGGUGAUGCCUAGAAAAAGACAUGUCACCAUCUGAGCUUGAAAGUCUAUAACAAUGAUCAUAUUAGUGCAUGGUGAUACUCAGUUACAGAUAAUAUUCAGCCAAAGCCUGGCCUUAGCUGUGAAGUCAUUCUGCAGAACGUCUCUCUUGGUAGUGGCCCAUGGAACCUCUUUGCCAGGAUAUAAAAUUUUUGUCAUCCAGGUCCCUGGCUAAUAUAAUUUUGCAUAAAACAGCUCCAUAUCAGUAUUUGGGAGUUAUACACCUCGUUGAUCUUUUCCGUCCCAAAGUUCACUUGCUUUCCCCUAAUAGUCAUCACUGGGUUUAUGAAAGAAUUUAUGCUUAGGUUAGCGUAGAACUCCCGUACCCACUACACAUUUGCAUAGCAAGGGUCCAGGGUAAAGUACCUUUACCGAGUUUCGAGAAGUCUAGCAGGUAUUCCUAGGAGAUUCUCCUCUACCUUGUCUAAGCUAAUACCUCUUUCAGGGAGUAACCUAGUCCUAUGAAUGUCUGCAUUAUAGAGGUUCUAACUUUGUAGGGACAUGAAUCUUGUGUUGUCAAAUUCUUCCGUCUCUGAGGCUUAUAUCCUGUAAACAAUGCCACCUAGGCCAUCAUUAGCACUAUCAUACCAAAAACAUGCUAGAUCAAAAAAAUAAAUGCAUAUGGCAAUGUUACGAAAGAUUUUGGGGGCAGAAUUAGAUGUACAUAAAUUUUUACUUCCUGGAGACACUGCCCUCAAGUAUGGAGAUCGGGGAGCAAUGACUGCGAUCGAGGUACUUGAGACCUUAGUCAACAAAUUCUGCACACUCUUCUAAACAUAAUUUUAACCCCAAUUCUUUGUUCCCACUAGAAUAAAUGAUUAGGGACCCAGACUUGAAAGAAUUCAAGUUGGACUCAUUGGGGCGUUAAAUCAAACACAUGGUGCACACUUCAAAUUCAAGCAGUUUUAGGCCUAAUUUUGGGUACUCAAGAUUUUCCCAUUAGUGUGUAUACCAACUACAAUAGCUAACCAUGGCAAUAAUCAUAAAUUAACUUUCAUUUAGUAAUGAAAACAUCAUUUUAGGCCUUGCCUAAACUACAAGUUCUAAGCAUGUAAUUGUAUCCAAAUCAAAGAAGUUGAGACAACUUAAUAAAUUAGUUGAUGAAAGGGAUAAUGACACUUGGAUAUGCAAUGCAAAUCCACAAAUUUGAAGAAUUUUGAGAGAAAUUAAGAGAUGUGUAAGAAAGAAAGGGCAUUCGAAUGGUCUUUUAAACUGAUUUGACCAUGAUCAUGGUCCUAGUUCCACGAACACAGUGAUGUGGCCUCCGCUAUUGUAGUGGCAUGGACCACGGUCGCAGUAACUAAGACCAAACAAUUGGGUCUCCUGCACGUUGUGCUUAUACAAACUGGUAAUUUCACACAUUCCUCUUUUAACAUUAGUCAAAAUUCCUCUUAGCACUAAUAUUACAAAGAUUAUGCAUGAAUAAAUGCAAAAAUAAAAUCUAAUCUAUCAUGAAUAAAUAAAAACGAUAUGUGUCACUUUUCGUGGCGUGAUGGGUUGUCAUAGUUUAAUAUCUUAGCACGAUGCCCCUUCCACUUUCUUUUGUGUCUCCACUUAGAAGGGUUGAAUCUCGGUCCCAACUUCUAUUUAAUAUGUAAUAAGGGCAGAGGGACAAAAGAUCCAGAUCUUCCAAGAUGAGGCUUGGAAGAGGUGAGGAAAUGGCAAGGUUCGAUUUUGCUAUUUUGGAGACUUGAAUCUUUUACCCAACUUCACAUCAAAUUUUUGGUUGGAUCCUUGGGUAAAAGUGAGCACAUCAAUAGGCCACUUCUUAUACAUCAAAAGUUGAGUUCCUUGAACAUUAAUGGUUUUUUAAAUUUAAUAGUGGGAUUUUAUUAAUCACAUAACACAAAAAUAAUUGUUUCUACAUUGGAUGGGACAACCCAAUGGGAAAAUAAAAAACAAAAAAAAGCAAAAUAAGGUAUUUUGGGUCCAGCCCAUUAGCCUAAACUCGAAUCCUUCAAACAUAUAAAAGUGAGCAUAGGAUUUCCUAAAUAUAAAGACUUCUAUUUCCAUCAUUUAAGCUCAGUCUCAGGUGAAAAAUGGUGUUGUCUCCACUCCUCAGUAUUUAAUUUUUUAUGGUUCUACUUUGGGUCAUCAACACUGUGUCCUUGUUUGCUCCUCCUCUUUGUUCUUCAGCUCUCAGAAGUAAUUUCUCUCAUUUUUGUUGAUUGCAUAAGUUGUUGUUCAACCUUCUUUCUUAUUUUUUGAGCUGAUUUCUUCCUUGUUUGAGUUCCCUCAGUUGAGUUAUCUGGUGGAUCAGAUGUUGUUUGCUUUUUGGUGCUAAAUCGACGUGUCUAGACCCCUGAGUCAGUUUGCAUUGCCAAGUAAGUAUUGUUACCAGCUUCCACGCUUUCCAUUGCUUUGCCUUCAUUGACCUUCUCAUUAAUGUGCAGAUAUAGAUGGGAUGAAGAUUUUGGGAUGCUCGGACCCAUAAAUUCUUGAACAGCAGAUUCUCACAUAGGUGUAAUAGUUGCAUAAAUAUCCGGUGACCCUUUCCCUUGACUAAGAGUCCUUUUUUAUGGCUGAUUCUGUAUAGGCUUGUCAGCUUUUUCAUCUUUUUGGUGCCCUUUAGGAAUGUAAAUAUUGACUGUGAUGUCUACUAUCUGUAGACAUUAUAGCCUUCAGCCUCUUCCCUCUAUUUAUCCUUUCUUUGUUGUUAUUCUGUUGUAAGUACAUUGAAAUUUAUCACUAUUUAGAAUCUUUCUUGCUUUGCUAUCUAACUGUUGAAAUGAUGUAAACCUGAAAUCCCUUUUAUCUAGGCUAAAUUUGUACAGUAACCAGUCAAUUGAUUCCCUUCCCUCAUUAUGUGCUUAAAUUGUACCUAGUUAUCUUUCCAAAUUGAACUAAUAUGCUCUUUAGUAUCUAGAAAAUUCCAUGUACACUGUCAUUCAUUAGUCAAUACCUUCAACAUAACCAUUGAAUUUGUUUAAAUAAUGAUUUUGUUAAAAUUGGCUUGACUACAAUGAUUUGCUGCUUUGAAUAUUGCAUAUGCUUCUGGUUCAGUAUUUGUAGUAUCUUCCAUUCUUGUACCUUCUACAUAUAAUAAACCCCCUCUUGCAUCCCUUAGGCAGAAUGCAUAUGUACCUUUUGCAUAUACCAAAUCCCCUCUCUACCCUAGAUUACAUCUUUCACUUGUUGGUACGUUGAAUCCCACUCUUUUGAAUUCUGCUCCAUAUUAUAUAAAUCCCCUUUCAUGAUUCAAUUAUCAAAAUAGAGGUUAUAAUUUCCUCUUCUGAUUCUCAAUAAAUUUGGUGCUCUACUAAAUCCCUUGCCCUUAACAUUUUUAUCCACACAUAUGUUCCUGCUCUAGUUUUCUACACAAUUUUAUUUGGAUGUUGUUUUUUACAAUACUUGUUGUGUAUAUAUCUACUCCAUAUUGAAUACUAAGUUCUAAAGUUCCACUACAGCUUACAAAAUAAAGCCAUUGAUACAUCUUGAAUGAACCUUUCUGAACCCCAAUCCACCUUCUUCUUCCAGGACACAAAGUUUAUUCCAUUUGACCCAUUGUCUGUUCCUCCCUCCUAUAUGACUACUCCAAAAAAUUGAGCAAACAUUUUUUGGAUUGUAGUCAUCAUAUUUAAAGGGGGUUCAUCAAAUACAAACAGUGAAUUGGAAUGCUUUGAAGAACAUGUUUUAUCAAAACAGCUCUUCCUCCAUAUGAGAACAAUUUCCCUUUCAAUCCUUGUAAUUUCCUACUAAUUUUGCUCAUUAUUGACUAGUAGUAGUCCUUUCUUUUCCUCAUAUGAAAAAUAUGGAAACCUAAAUAGGUGAAGGGGAAUUCUUUUCUUAAUAUCCAGUAACUAUUUCUGCCAUUAUCACAACACCUUGAGAGACUCCUUUAUGUAAAUAAAGAGAACUCUUCUCCUUGUUUACUUUUUGACCAGAUGUUCUUUCAUAUUUCUCCAAUUUGUGCUAGUCACCAGCUGCAUUGUGUGAAGUUCUACUUCGCAUAAUAUAAUCAUAUCAUUUGAAAAUGCAAAGUUAUUCACCUUGGGCUCCCUCUAGGCAGUCCAACCAUCUUAAAUUCCUUAGACUGCAUCAAUGAAUUCAAUGUUCUAGACAUUAUUUUUUCUGCAAUAAUAAAAAGGGUGGGUGAUAGGGGAUCUCCUUGCUUCAAUCCUCUAUACGACUUGAAGAAACCUUUAGGUUGUCCAUUUAUUAGAAUGAAGUACCAAUUGUUUCCUACAAGUCUAUCUACCAUAUCUAUCAACAAUUCACUAAAACCCACCUUCCUCAAUACUUUAGCAAGAAAUGCUAGUCAACUCUAUCAUAUUCUUUCAUCAUGUCUAGCUUGAUUACCAAAUUAGGAAUCUUACCCCUCUUUUUUAUAUCUACAACUAUUUCUUACACCAUCAAUAUGUUCUCUGAUAUACUUCUUCCUUGCACAAAUCUAGACUAUUCUUCUAAAAUUAUAUCUGGUAGCACUGAUUUAGUCCUCUCAUGAAUAAUUCUUCAAAAUGUCUUAUUCAAGCAAUUACUUAAAGAGAUUGGUCUCAUGUCUAAAAAAUUAUUAAUCACUAACUUUUUAGGUAGAAGUACCAAAUUUGUAUGUGUUAUAAAUUUAGGUAAUUUAAAUCCACAAAAGAAAGCUAUAACCAUAUUGUGAAUAUCUUUCCCUAUGAUCUCCCAUGCAUCCUGGAAAAAAGCCUCUGUCAUGCCAUCUGGACCUCCUAUACUAGUCCUUCUUAGUACUAUCACUACUUGUUGGACUUCUUAAAUAUCAGGAAUCUUAUUUGUCUCCUCAUUCUGUUGUUCUGAAACUACUAUAGGUAAUUCAUUCAAUGUUUUAAAAUUAGUAUUCUUCAUCCCCUUUGAGAACCAUUUUUGAAAAAAAAUAAUUGCCUCAUCCACAAUCUCUUUCUGAUCCUCUAACCAAUCCCCUUUAUCAUUCUGUAUUUGAGCAAUCUUCAAUCUACUUCUUCUCCCCUUACUAUCGUAUGAAAGAAUUUGGUGUUUCUUUCCCCAUUUUUUCCCUAUCUUUAAACCAUUCAAAGCCAGCCUUCUGCCUCCAAAAUUUUUCUUCCUUUUUUAAUUAAGUAUUCAGUCCUGUUUGUGCCUUGAAUAAAGCCUCUCUAUUGCUUCCAUCUAGGACCUCUUCAAACUAUUUUUAUCUUACCUUGAUAACUUCCUCCAGUGUAGCAAUUUCCUGGAAAAUAUUACCAAAGUAUUCUUUACUCUACUUUGUCAAUGCUGUUUUAACUAUCUUCAGUUUAUGGUGAAAGAUGAUGAAUGAAUUCCCUACUACAUCCAUAUGCCAAUUAUUCCUUAGGACUUAUAAACCAACUUUUUCUUUUAACCACAUAUUUAGAAACCUAAAAGGUUUAUAAAUAUGUUCAUUUGUUGUGCUGAAAUGAAUCUUCAAAGGGCUAUGAUCUGAUCCACUUCUAACCAAAUGCUCUACCUCUAAAAGUGGAAAAAAGUCAUCUAACUUUUCAUUACACAUAACCCUAUCCAACCUUUUAAAGAUACAUUCACCAUCUAUUCUUCCAUUCUACCAAGUGUAUUUGCUUCUCUUAAAUAUUGUAUCGUGUAGUCCAAACAAAUUAACACAAUGACUGGCAUCUUCUGUAUCUGCUAUUAUCACUGACAGGCCUCCUAAUUUCUCUUCUUCACUAACAAUCACAUUAAAAUCCCCUCCCACCAUUCAAGGUUCCUAAAAUGAUUGAGCCAUGUCCUCCAAAGAAUCCCACAGUGUUAAUCACUAAUAUUGAGAACAUUUAGCAUACACUACAGUGACUACCACCGUAAUAUUAAUCUGUCGAUUGAGUAAUUUAAUAGUCAAAUAUUGUUCCUCAUUCUUUAUCACCAAACACUCUACUGCAUCAUCAAUAAAGGCCCAGAUCUUUCAAGAUGAACAAGUUGUUGCCUGCUUCAUUCCUAAUCUCUUCUUGUACUUAUCAAUAUUAUGGUUAUCUUGGAGUGGUUCUAUUAAACCAAUGAAUGAAAAUUGAUGCCUCUUCUGCAAUAUUAUAAGCCUAGUGAAUACUUUUUGCAUAUUCACUGAUCUGAUAUUCUAGAUUAGUGAAUUUAUUUAGACUUAUUCUUUAGUGAACUCUUUGUCUACAUUGUUGAAUAUUUGUUCUUUUUUCCUUCUUCUUUCAUAUUCCUUGAUUGGAUUUCAACUGCUGUAUUUGUUUGGGAGAUAAAUUUCCAUCUAUUCCAACCUUCUCAAUAGCGUUGCUCAAAUCCCCCUCAUCUAGAGAUAGCUUCUCCUCGUUACGGUACUCAACCUGAUUUCCCACUUGUAUUGCCAAAGGUAAAACAUUCUCCACCACUUUUUUAGCAGAUUCCUUCUCCUUAUACUUGACAAUUUGUAACUCAUUCUGUCUAUCUUGUUGUUCUGUUAUUUUCUAGUUUUCUUUCCCCUUAUUAUCUGAUGUAUCUCAUAUGCUACUAACCAUAUACUAUGUUUCCCCUCUUUAUAUUUCUCCUCUAUCUUUGGAUUGGUGAGUGAAUCCUCCUUGUUAUCUGGUGAUUUGUUGUUGAAGCUAUUUAAUACCCAUUCUUUCGUGCUUUGUUAAAGUUGCUUCCUUUUCUUCUCUUUAUCUUUUCCACUACUUUUUUCUUCUUGAUGCUCUUGUGUAAGUACUCAAAAUGCAUUUGCAACUAUAAUUUCGAUUGUGUUGGCUUCGUCAGUCUCCCCUACAAUAUGACCAUACUUGUCUUUUGUACUUGUUUCUCCUUAUUUACCAUUGUUGUUUAAAGUUACUUCUACUUCCAUAGCCUUUUGACUUGGUUACUUCCUCAUUCAGCUCUUCUUCUUUUGCAUGUACCUUUUGUGCUUCAACUUUGUCUCUUUUUUCCUUGUCAAAUAAUUCUGGAUGAAUAUUCCAAUGACUUUUCAUCAUGACCCUGAAGACAAUAUUCCUUGAAGUAUUUGAGUUUAUAAUCAUAUUGAAUAUUUAUCCACUUAGAUUUUAUCAACACUGUCACAUCAUCUUCUUUGUUUAUCUUCACCCUUUGUGGUAAUGCAACAACAAGAUCAACUUUUACCUUCACUCUUGUACAGCGAGGUCUGGUCUAAUUCUUAGUUUCCAUAUUUACCGUUAAAGGCUUCCCUACUACCAAAGCAAUUGAAAAUAUUGAUUUUUAGCGAAAAAGUUAGGAGGUAAAUCCGGCAUGGAUAUCCAGGCUAAUAGUUUUUUCCACACCAGGCUCAAACUAUGGAUCCCACUCAAGUGUCCUCAUCUACCAAUACAUCUCCUUGGCUUUUAUAUAAUACAUAGCAUUUGAUAUAAUAUUCACGUAAUCUUCCAAUAUGCUUAAUCGAAUGAGUAUAUGCCUUAAAUCCAGUACCCCGAUAUUAAAAUCUCCUUUAAUACCAUAUUGUAUGGUUAUACUCUUUCUCAACUCCAUAAUAUCAGUUUUACCAUAUGAAAACUUACCAUUUACUAUGAAUUGUAAAUUUUCUUGUAUAAUCAAGCCUUUGACCUCCUACAAUUUCUAAGUUAUACUUAGUUCCCCUUCAAUCAAUACAAUGGUUCCUCUUCAAUCAAUACAACCGGUUUCGGAGGGAUUCUUUCCUUGCUACUUUUAACACUUUUUGGUUUCAAUAGAUUUGCAUAUGUGAUCUUCUUAUUGGAUUCUCCUAUAUUAUCCGAGCUACUUUUGUCUUCCUUUUUAUAAGAGUUGUUCACCAGUGGGAUUACCCCACCGGAGAUGAUGGCCAUAGCGACCGAGAUCGUAUGGAAAGUUUGUUUAUUGGUAGGGUUAGGGUUAGGCUGUCUGACUGACGCCAAAGUCUACAACUAUAUACGAGUCAUUCCUUGGCCAUUGAUGGAUGGGGCUCCAUAUGUUCCUUUGGCAUAUCAAAUUCCAACAUAUAAGGAUUUUACUCCUCCUCCUUACAAUCUACCAUUUUCCUAGGUAGAUGGAUUCUCAUAACAUCUUCUAAGCAUAAUGUUGAGAAGUGGUUUGAAUGAGGUCUAACCCCUAAUUUCGAAAUUGCUUUCUCCAAAGUAUCUUUACCCCAGAAUGAACUAGAUCCAUCAUAAGAUAUUUGCCUCGAUUCUUCUGUGACUCUAGCACCAUUUCUUUUAUUCUGGCUUCUUCAUCCUUAUUUGAUUUAGUAGAUUAGGAAGUCAACGAGGAGCCUUUGAUACCAAGCUCAUCAUCAUAGCUUGGUUUCUCUUCUUGAUCACCCUCCUCUCGGGAAAUGUGUAAGGUAGUGAUAUUUUUAAGUUUUUUUCUUUGCCCAUUUCCUCAAUCUUGAAAAUUUCCCUUCCAAAUACCUCAUGAUAUUGAUGCAUGUCUUGCACAUUCUCCCCCAUUGUAGUUACCCGAUCCAAAAUAGUUUGAAGCAUUGCUUCAAGACUAGUGGACCCGGUAUGUUGCUUUUCCUUCUCCUCAUCAUAGGACCUAUCAAGCUCAUAAGAGGAACUAGCAACUUGGUUAGCAUAAAAAGGGGAGAGGGCAUUUUGUCAAUCACUCAAAUGUCCAUCUCCACCACUGCAUAAAGAACAAAUAUGCUCCUAAUAGGAUUGAGUUGGUGAUUCCAUCUCUCUCCAGGGAGCAUAGUUACAAUCUCUCUUAAAAUGGGGUCCAUCAUACUAUGGACAUGGGUCAUCAAGAUAUGACUUCCAACUACCAAAAUUAUAUUUGUCGUAAUAUCCCAUGGAUACAAGUAAAAGAAAAUAAAAAUUUACCUAACACAAGAAACAAAAGAAAAUCACAAACAAGUAUUUACAAGCUUGAAUUCAAGCAAGUAAGUUAAAAUUUCAAUAUAUUUACCUAACUUUGGAGUCGGGGUUAAAUCCACGAGGAACAAUGUAAGUGGCAAUCAAGUUAAUUCGAAAUAAUAGAUACAAGUUAAAUUCAAAACAAUAGUACAAGAAGAUAAAAAUAGGGGAGAUAAGAACCUACACUAAUGUUUCUUUUUGGUUUUUUCUAGUAUAAAUUUAGGACUAUGAAUAAUUAGAGUUUUAUCAAUUAGGCACAGAUCUUGGGAUUAUGUAUUACUAAGGGAAGUGACAUGUGGAUGCUAAUAGUUAACUUCAUUCUAGUAGAUCAAGUAUGGGUAGGUUCGGUUAUAGGUUUUUUAUGCUAGUCUUUCAACCAAACACCAAACUUUUACCCAUUGAUUCUUUUGAAUACCUAAUAGGUGUGUGCAACAAUUGGUAACCAAACUCUAAUCUAGGAAUCCCUAUUUCUAGGAUGAUACCCAAGGUAUAGUUUGCUUCAUAACCACCCUUAUGUCUAAGAUAAUGAUAGAUUAGCAAACUACACACAUAAUUGUCUAUCAUUUCUUUGGUUUCCACAUCCCUCUUUCAAGGAUGAUGUGGAUUCCUAAAGUUCAAGCCACAACCAUUAUUUUGAAGAUGGCCAUGAGCUUUCUAGAGCUUGCAGUUUUCACCCAUCAAACCCAUAUGGGUAUUUGGGGCUUUCACCUAUAAAUCCCAACCAAGUUAGCAUAGCAAUGAUAAAAUCUAUCGACAUUAACUACUAAAUAGAGGCUAACAAUAACAAACCACACACACUUAAAUCUCUAUUCACACAUAACCCCAAGAGGGAGAUCUAGCUAUACAUAAGAUAAAAAAGCAAAGAUAUACCCAUAAUCUCCAUUGCAAUGAUUUAUUGAAGCUUAAGUAAAUGUUACUUCAAACUUUGGACUCCCACAAAUCUCUAAUGAAAGUGAGCUAAUCCUCCACUUAGAAGGUCUCCAAUGUAUUCUUUACCAAAAAUUACACAAUAAUUUCUUCUCCAAGAAAUGGAGUCUAUGAACUCAAGAACAAAACCUAACUAUUUGGGUAAUAUGGAAUAUGAUGAAUAAUUCUAGGGUUUGAGUCUUUUUGUAAAAAUUUGGAUUACCACAUGCAUUUCCAGUUUUUCCCUUGGGCUGCAAUCUUCCAUUAAGCUGCGAUUGCACCAGUUUGGCCGCAAUCACGGCUACCGCAAUCCCUGUCAGUUUAUGCAACCACGGUUGAUUGACCGUACUUGACUUUGGAGAUCGUGGUCAUCAGACCGUGACUAUGGUAAUUAAGGUCAUUCUGCUCCAGGUCUUCAGUUACAGUUCUUUUUCUUUUUUUUGAUCAUUUUAAGCUCUAAUCCAUAUCUUUCUAUCUCAUCAACUCUAUAUCUGUAAAGUAUGGAUAUUAGUGUAUUUAAUCACAAUUAUGUCUCAUUUAUUUAUUUAAAAUAAGGUAAUGUACAUGAAUUUUGAGUGCGAAUGAGUGGUAAAACUACCACUCAUCAGCCAUAUGCUUGCCCUCAGUGUAGUACUCAACGAAUAUCAGAAUAUUGAAGCUUAGGAUCAAAUAGGUCUUUAAGGGUUGUAAUGUAAGCUAAGGGACGGGUAGGAACUAUUCUACCUAGUAAUAGUGACUAUUUUCCCUAAGCUCUUUAACACAUCACACUUUUCUCAUUCAAUUCACCUCUAACAAUCUAUUCACACCACUUUUAUCUACCUCUAUCUUUUGUUUUGCCCCAUCUUAUUAAGCUUCUUCACAUACACUAUGGUGAGAGUAUUAUCUAUCAACUCGUGAUUCAAUUCCACCCUUAUUCACACCUAUUUUAUGUUACGUACCCCUAUGAUAGCCAUCCUCAACUUAAGCGAUUUGCCUUAGUUGAGGUGCACAAUGUCCAAGGAGGACCAGGGCCAAAACAGGUUCAUUGUAACACAACUGGGCUAAAAAUAGGAAUUUCUUUAGCACAAAUUUCUAUAACUCCAAACAACAACACAUAAAUUGUACACACCAAUAACUAUUACUUUGGGCCUUCACUUUCACCUUUCUCCAGCUUGAAUUCCAAACUUCUCAACUUAAUUAAUUUUACACUAAAGCACUUAGGAUCUUUGGAUCAAAUUAAGGUCUAUCAAAGAAGGGCAUACAGGAAACAUAUGAGGCUUCCAAAGAAAAUAAGCUAAAGUCUCAUUGGGGAUAUCUAGGAUUAUGCACACGAGUGGGUAAAAGAGGGUAUGAAAUAUGGCAAUCAAAGAAAUGCCUAUAUCAUCUCCUUAACCCACACUCUUUAUUUUGUUUUGCAUAUACACUAGGAAAGUUGUAGACAACAAGUGAAACAUGGAAUAUACAAUAACCUCACAAACACAUGGCAUAUGAUCAACUCAAUUAGAAUCCUCAUAGACUCUCAACUAAACAAUAGCAUGAAGUCAAUCAUUAAGCUAACAAGUACAAGAGUCAUAAUCAUGAGCCUAGGAGUCUAAAAAGUAGUAAUUCAUACAAUCAACACGCUUUUACAACCAAAACACUUGCAUCAUAUAUUCAAACAUAGCACCAACAAGAACAUCCCACUUAUUCCUAACAUAAAAAAUUUUAAAAUUACUCCUAAAAUGGGAAUUUCCCACCCCCACUUAAAAAUCUACUUUGUCCCCAAAGUGUAUUUAAAUGUAGAGAUAGAAAUACUUUAUGAGGCCUCUAGGCCUAGCUAGUAGCAUCUUCAUUCAUCAAAAAGGUACGAGGACCCCACACAUAGUCUUCGGCAUGCUCCUUAGCUCAAAUUUUUCGUUACUCAAACUUCCUAUCAACCUAUGACUCAAUCAGAAACAAAAACAAAUGAAGUAAAAACUAAAAAUACUUAAAAUAAAACCUACCUUCACUUGGUUUGCCUCCCAAGCAGCACCUGACUUAGUGUCGCAUCACGACCCAAUCUUCGACUCAUCUAUUUUCCUUAAUCCUUUUCCUCCUACUUAGAGGCUAUCUUCUUAUUCAUUUUUACCUCUUGAGUGUGAACUUUAAAGGUCAAUAACUCUCUCAACAAUAGACUUUUUAGGUUCAUCAAUCUGGAUCAUUUUGGGCUAGGGUAGUUAUUUCUUAGGAUACUCAAUGAGCCAGUUCGAAGAGGUCCUUUAGGGACUAAACUCCCUCAUCCCACACUUAUCCCCUUCAAUCACUGUAAUCAUGCACAAAUCUUUACAGUGGGAUAGUGUGUUGAGUGGUUUUUACACUUUAAAAAUCACCUCUUCAUCAUCCAGCCUCAUUGUGAGGUACCCUCUCUCACAUCAAUCAACGCUUCUUCCGUCAAAAAAAAUGGACGUCCUAAGAUGACUGGCACUCUUUCAUCUGCCUAAAAAUUUAAAACAAUUAAAUCAGAAGUAAUAAUAAACUUACCAACCUUGUUGAGAACAUCCUCUAUUUUUCCUUCAGGAUGGGCAAUGGUUCAGUCUGCCAAUUGGAGUAACACAGAGCUCAAUCUCAACUUCUCCAAGCCCAACAUAUUAAAUAAGGAGAGGGGAAUCAAAUUGAUGCUUACUCCUAAAUCACUAAGUGCAUAGACCACCUCAUUUCAAUUAAUUUAAAUGGGGAGAGUGAAACUUCUAGAAUCUUUAAGCUUUUUGGUCAUCUGUUGUAUCACUAUAGAACUAAACUCUUUCGUGAGUGUUACUGUCUCAACAUCCUAUAGCUUAAAUUUGUUAGUGAGCACUUUAUUCAAGUACUUAGCGUACUUGGCCAUUCCCUGGAAAACAUCUAAAAGAGGAAGAUUAAUGUGAAGCUCUCUGAAUGUGUCAAAGAACUUCUUGAAUCACACAUCUUCCUGCACUCUUUUGAGCCUCUGUCGGAAAGGUGGUGGUGGUCUCUCCAUUACCUGUUCAGCAACUUUGGUUUUUGAGCACUCAGACUUUCUCAAAUUUACAGCAACUUUGUCAUCUACCUACUUAGGAGCUAUCUCAGCAUCUACCUCCUUAGUUGUCUUUGCAGGUUAUUCAUUGAGCUCUUUACCACUCUUUAAAGUAAUUGUCAUUACUUGCUUAAAAGGUUCAGUUUUACUUUGCAAACCACCUUGAGACCUAGCAUUUUGUUCUUGCUGUAUUUGUCCAACUUACAUCUCAAAAUUGCUUAUAGCCACCUACUAGCUCUUCAUAUCUACUACCAACUGUGCUUGAGUAGCUAGAAUUUAUUUUAGCAUCUCUUCCAUAUUAUUUGUUUGACUGGUGGCCUAAUUCUGCUACUGAAGCUACUGCUUUUGGUUGUUCCAUGAUGAGAUUAGUGGUUGAGUCUACCACUUUUGAUUGUAGGUGUUCCGAUAAUUCAGCCUUUGAGUAUAGUCCACAAACAUUACUAAUUCGGGAUUUGCAGCUCACAUAGCUGCAGAAUGACCAUUGUUGCCACAAACCUCACACCAAGUAUUUGUCUGCUGAAUUUUAUUACUGUUGAUGCAGGCUAUAUAACCCCUAAUUUCAUAUUGCUACAUUGAGUUGUUAACUGAUUCUGUAGUGCAGCAAUCUGAGUGGAUAUAGCAGUAAAUUACUCCACCUCCAACACACCGACAACCUUCUUUGUAGCACUUCUUGAGAUAGAAUGCCACUUAGUAUUCCCUUGUCUAAUCGGUUCUAUAAGGUGUAUAGCUCAUCAUAGAUCAAUUCCAAUGCUUGACCACUUGCAGCGUAAUCUAGCAAAAUUUUUGUGUUAUGAUCAAGUAUCUUAACAAAAGUGUGAGCUAGUACCUCAUUAGAUUAUUGAUGAUGUGAACAGUCCCAAAAAAGAGCUUUAAAUAUGCCCAAUGCAUGAUAUAAGCUCUCAUUUGGCUUAUGUUUGAAGCACACAAUCUCACUGCACAGUCUUGCAUUCUUGCCAAAUGGAAAGAAUUGGAUGAGGAAUUUCUAGGCUAAUUCAUCCCAAGUUAUGAUUGAACUUGUUGGCUCAGUGUUCAACCACUUUUUUGCUUCCCACAACAGCAAAAAGGGGAAAAGUGUCAGCCUAACAUAGUCAGUUAACACACCAGUAGGGAUGAAUGUGUCAUUGAUCUCAAGGAAGUUCCACAGGUGGACUUGUGGAUCUUCAUAUGAAAGCCCCAUAAACUAUCCAUUGUUGAUAAAAAGUUACACCAUGAUCUGUUUUGGCACAAAGUUACCUCUAGCAUCUGGUUUCUGAAAAUGAGAGGUCAAAUUUGUUGGAUGUACGAUUACCAUUUUGCAAACUGUCCUGCAGGCUGGUUGAUCUUCAGCUUUGAGAGCAGGAUUGUCUUGAUCCUUUUGAAUUUGUGGGAUACAAUGGAGAAAGAUUGUUUCUCUCCUUAAUUGAUGAAAGCGUUGCUCGGGUUUGGGGCUUAGUUCAACCAAUUCCCUAUCCCUUGCUAGCUUACUAGUCUGUAAACCUAUUUUGUGCAAAUUUAAUACCAAGACCAAGUGUAAAGCACCAAGGAAAUCUAAAAAUCAAAACAAAAACUAAAAUAGUUGCCAAUUUACAAAUCCCCAACAACGGUGCAAAAACUUAUUGCGCCUAAGCACACACACAAGUAUACAUAGUCUCACUAAGUAAUGCAGUGGCCUUAAAUAAAUCCGAAUAUCAAUCCUUCAGAGACUUGUAUUAAGAAACUAUCUAAUUCUAGUUUAACAAUUAAGAUUAACUAGUACAAUUUAGCCAAAAGAGUUUUGAAAGUUUAUAAUUAAAAGUAAACUACAAUAAUGUGGAAAAAUAAAGACUGGACAAUCAAUGGAUGACAGCCCAGGGUUAAAGCACUAUGAACAAUCACACUAUGCUAUUGAACUUUAUUCAUUAGAUUAUUUAUCUUGGUUGUUCAUUCACAGGGUUGAUAUUAUGAUCAUGGUCUCUCGAGCCUCUAAUCACCUAUCUAACUUAGACCCACAACUACAACGUUGAGCAGGCGGGGAUGUGAGAACUAAGAUAAACGCAUUUGUAUUUCAUCCUAUAGUGAACAAAAUAAGGCUUCUAGAUAUAUCUAUAUCCUAGACACUAAUUCAAAUCCCUUAUUUUAUAAAAAAAAAUAAGAACCUUACUCUAUUUAUCCCCGUAUUCUAUCUUCUUAUUCCUCCUCUUAAGCUCACAAAGUCAAAAUUGAUAUAUUCUAAGGGUCGCGAAUCCUUAAAAUAGUUAUAACAAGGAUAAAUAAACAAUUAAAUAUGAUAAGCAAUCCAAACAAACUCAAUUCAAAUCAAAAGCGAACAUGUUGUUAGCCUUAACCCCAUAAAGGGGGCCCGUUUAGCCGCUAAUGGACAUAAUCAAAAUCAAGAUCAAUGAAUACAUACUAUAAUCUAUAAAAAAAAAUUAAAGAGAUAAAAACCCUAAUUGAAGUGAUUUCAACCCACUCUCCAAGCUCCAAAGACUUCCAAGUGUGUUUAACAAUGUGUACAAGUGUCCUAUUUAUAGGAGGACAAUUUGACCGAUGUGGGGAAUAAGGUCAAUGGCGCAUUGCUUAGUCCUAAGGAUUAUGGUCCAUUAAGUUUUGAUUGCUCCACUUGAAUAAGGUGUCGCUCAUUGCUUGAUCCCAGGGAAUAGGGGGUGUGUCGCCCCUCUAUCGCGAGGGCACACUGAAAAUUGAAUUUUUGGCUUCUUCACUCUUCUUAUGCCUUUACCCUUCCAUACCAAGACUUGUGGUGUUAUUUACCCUUUAUUUACAGCUUGUUAACCAUCCAUAUAUCAUCAUAAUCAACUCAUCAAUCAUCCUAUAUCAUCCAACACCACAGAUUAGAGCUCAAAACAACACAACACUCAAGACAAUAAACUAGAAACUUAAUCUAAGACUAGUGUUGUCCUAUUAUUCUUUAGCUUAGUGUUUUGACUCUUGGCUUAUUUAAAUUGCACUUUGAAUACUAUAAACAAGUUUUCCAUACAUAAUUACACAGCCAUAACCUUAGGAACUCAUUACACAUAUUAGAAUCCAUCACGAUCAACUAAAACAACACGUAUCUCAAGCUAGCAACAAGAAUUUUCUCAUUUUAACUCUAAGUAACCAAAUAAAGUACAGACUUGCUUAAUAGACCAAAAAUAUUGCAAUUAAGUACUUAAAUAAUUAGAUGCUAAUUAUAUCAUCAUUAACAUAUUAAGCACACAAUUUGCCCUCAAAAUAAAACUAAAUAAACUAGGAUAAUAACACUAAGGUGCAUAAAACCACCUCAGAUCACCAGUCUUGGAGUAGAGGCUUUUGAUUCUAUAACUACAAGUAUCUUCCCCAUUUGUUUCAGACCUACAUCUGUAUUAUUUGAUUCCAAAUUGACUUUCUUCUAUGUGUCUGUGUAUUUUACUUAUGGUUUUGAUUCUGUUAGUGAGCCUCUUGCCAUGCCUAUUUGUAUAUAUACCUCGGUAGGUGAUUCUUUAGUGGUAGAUCGGGUGCACCAAUCUUGUGUUGUGACUUUCGCUGGGCAUGAGACUUUGGUAGACUUUUUAAUGUUAAAUGUGGUCAAUUUUGACGUUAUUUUGGGUAUGCAUUGGUUGUCUCCUUAUCAUGUUGUCUUAGAUUAUUUUUCUAAGACUGUGACCUUAGCUUCGUCGGGUAUGUCAAGGAUAGCUUGGAAGGGUGUACUUUAUUUAGGUCCCAAGAGGGCCAUAUCUUAUGUUUAGGCUCAUCGAUUGGUUGAGAGGGGAUGUUUAGCUUACUUUGUUUAUAUUUGUGAUACCAGUAUUGUAUUUUCUCCUUUUUUGAAUUCAGUUCGUGUUGUCUAUGAGUUUAUAUAUAUGUUUCAUACUGACUUGCUUUGUAUGUCUAUGGAUAGAGAUAUUGAUUUUGCUAUUGAUGUUAGCUGUGCACCAAGCCCAUUUGUAUUUCUCCUUAUAGGAUGGCCCCAGCAUAGUUGAAGGAACUAAAGGAUCAAUUGCAAAAGUUGUUAGAUAAGAGAUUUAUCCAACCUAGUGAUUUUCCUUGGGGUGCGCCUGUCUUUUUUGUAAAGAAAAAAAUGGGUCAAUGCGGAUAUAUAUAUUGAUUAUUGGCAGUUGAAUAAGGUGUUAGUUAAGAAUAAGUAUCCUCUUCCUCACAUUGAUGACUUGUUUGAUUAGCUUCAGGGUGUUGCGGUAUUUUUGAAGAUCGAUUUGAGGUCAAGUUAUCAUGGUUGAGGAUUAGAGCUUUAAAUAUUCUGAAGAUAACCUUUUGGAAUCUGUAUGAUCAUUACAAGUUCUUGAUCAUGUCUUUUAGGUUGACCAAUGCCCCUGCUACAUUUAUGGAGUUGAUGAAUUUAGUGUUUCGAUCGUAUCUUGACUCCUUUGUUAUUGUAUUUAUAGAUAAUAUCAUGGUGUAUUACAAGAGUGAGGCUGAUCAUGAGGAGCAUUUACGGAUUGUGCUUCAGAAAUUGAGGAUGAGAAGUUGUAUGCGAAGUUCUCUAAGUAUGAGUUUUGGUUGGAGUUUGUUUCUUUCUUAGGUCAUGUGAUGACUAAGGAAGGUAUUAUGAUUGAUCCAUCCAUGGUUGCAGUGGUUUGUGAUUGGGUAGACCUACUUUGCCCAUCGAGAUUUAGAGUUUUGUUGGCUUAGCGGGUUAUUAACGGUAUUUUGUUAAGAAUUUUUCAUCCAUUGCAGCUCCAUUGACCAAGUUGACCCAAACAAAGAUUUUUUUCAGUGGUUCGAUACUUGUAAGGUGAGCUUCCAAAAGCUCAAGGAUUUGUUGACUUCAGCUCCUAAAUUAGCCUUACCCAAGAAGGGCAUGGGCUUUACCGUAUUUUAUGAUGCUUUAGGUGUUGGAUUGGGUAUUAUGCUAAUGUAGGAGAGCAAGGUGAUUGCUUAUACCUCUCAUCAGUUGAAGCCUCAUAAGAGGAAUUAUCCUACACAAAAUUUGGAGUUGUGCACAGUUGUGUUUGCAUUGAAGUUCUGGAGGCACUACUUGUAUAGUGUCCGUUGUGAGAUAUUCUCAGAUCAUCGUAGCCAUCAGUACUUCUUCAUCCAGUAAGAUCUUAAUAUGAGGUAGCGUCGUUGGCUUGAGUUUCUUAAGGAUUAUGACUUGACCAUUCUCUAUCACCCAAGUAAGGCUAAUGUGAUUGUGAAUCUUGAGACGAAAGUCAACUAGCAUGGGUAGAUUUGUGCAUAUUUUGACCCAGGAGAGGCCUUUAUACCUAAGAGGUUUAGUCUUUAGCUAAUCAAAUUGUUAGGCUUGAUAUUUUGAUGCCUGAGCGUGUUUUGGCAUUUGUGGAGGCCAGAUCUUCUUUGAUGAAGCAGAUUUGAGCUCAUUGGUAUGAUGAUGUUGGAUUAAGAUUGAUUCGAGAUAAGGUGUUGGAUGGGGAGGUUAAGGAAGCCUCACUUGAUUCAGAUGGAGUUUUGCGGAUUGGAGGUCGAGUUUGUGUGCUGAGAGUGGGUAACCAAAUUAGGUUGAUCUUGGAGGAGGCCCAUUAUUCCAGAUAUUCCAUCCAUUCAGGGCUGACAAAGAUUUAUCAUGAUUUGAGAAAACAUUAUUGGUGGUGGUUUUGUUGCUUAUUGCCUAUGUUGUCAGCAGGUGAAGGUUGAGCAUAUGAGGCCUGGUGGAUUGCUUUAGAGGUUUCCCAUUCCCGAGUGGAAGUGGGAACGGAUCACUAUGGAUUUUAUGACUAGUUUGCCUCCAGUAUCUCAUGGUUCUAAUAGUGAUUGGGUCAUCAUGGAUCGAUUGAACAAAUCAACUUAUUUUAUCUUGGUUCAGGUCUCAUUCAAUGCUGAGAGGUUGGCCCAUAUCUAUCUUCAUGAAAUUAUGUGUCUACAUGGUGUGUCGGUGUCCAUUAUUUUAGAUCGAGGUUUUGUGUUCACAUCUUACUUUUAGAAUACUUUUUAGGAUGACUUGGAUACUUGGUUGAUCUUAGCACAAUGCUUUAAACCUAAAUUGAUGCCAGCCAGAGUGGACUAUCCAAGUUUUGGAGGAUUGCUCCACGAAUGUGUGAUGGAUUUUUGUGGCCAGUAGAAGUAGUAUUUGGUUUUAGCUGAGUUUGCAUAUAAUAAUAGCUACUAUUCCAACAUCGACAUGGCUUCUUUUGAGGCAUUGAAUGGUAGGCGUUGUCGCUCCCCAGUGGAUUAAUUUAAUGUUUCAAAGGUGAUACAUCGAGGUACAGACUUGCUUUAGGAGUCUUUGGAUAAAUUUUAAGUCAUUCAGCAUAGACUUAGAGCAGCUCAGAGUAGGCAGAAGUGCUAUGCUGAUCGUAGACUUCGUACCUUGAAAUUUGGUGUUGAUGAUCGUGUUUUCCUUUAAGUUUUACCCAUUAAGGGUGUGAUGAGGUUUGGAAAGAGGGGCAAGCUUAGCCCCAUGUAUAUAGGUCUAUGUGAGAUUCUUUAGACUAUUGGUAAUGUAGCCUAUGAGUUAGUUUUUCCCCCUGAUCUAUCAAAUGUUCAUCCAAUUUUUCAUGUUUCUAUGCUUCGUCGCUACAUUCUGGAUGAGUCUCAUAUUAUUCAUUGGGAGUCAGCUCAGUCAGAUGAGCAGUUGUCAUUUGUUGAGGAGCUAGUCUCCAUAUUGGCUAGGGAUGUUAGGCAGUUCCACUCUAGAGUAAUCCUUGUAGUUAAGGUUCAGUGGCGACAUCAACCUGUAGAUAAGGCUGCUUAGGAGUUCAAGUACGAUAUACAUAGUUCUUACGCCCAUCUCUUCAUUGAUUUAGGCAUUUCUUUCCCUUAGUUUGAGGACGAACUAGAUUUUUUAGCGGUGAAUGAUGUAAUGACCUAUUUUUUUAUGAAAUAUGUGAAAUUUGUGAGUUUGUGUGAUUUGACUAUUUUACCCCACCCCGUAGUUGCAUUAUGGUAUUUCUGGGGUGUGGGGGUGACAGGCAUAAUUUUGUAUGUAUUUUGUACUAUUUAUGUAAUAUUGUGUUUUUUGAUAGCUUCAAGAGCCUUAUUUUGGACUUAUGCGAAUACUUUUGAUCCCUGCGACAGAUGGCUGAACGGACUAUGCCAACAACUCUGAAAUAUUGAUUUUAGGCUAGGUAGGCUUUGGUUCAGGUCUCGGUUAGACCUAUUGGUUGGAAAGUUGAAAAAUUUUAAAUCUGGGUGUGGGACCCACAUUUAGCUGAAAUGACGUCGGAUGGAAAAUUCAACUAUUUCAGCAGAUCUGGAAUGUCGAUUUUAGGGUGGUAACAUAUUUGGUGUGAUUUUACGGCUUUUAAAUCUCAUUUCAACCCUCAGUUUGGAAAAUUGUGAUUUCGAGUUCGGCGGUCAACUUUGUGAAAAUGAUGAUUUUUCAAAUAUUUGAAUUUUGUCAUUGAGUUUGGAGCAUCAAAUUUGGUGUGGUUACAUAGUUUGUUUGUCUAUAUCAGACUCCGAAUGAAUCACGGACACCCCAUCGAAGUCCGAAGUGGACAUUAAAAAAUAGCCUUUUUCUUCAGUUUGUGCAGAUUUUCCUACACUAUUAAAGCAGUUUUGGGGCUUAUUUCACUCAUUUUUUUCAUUUUGCCUCUUGACAGUUAAAUCCUAAAAUAGUGUGAGAACUUAAAAAUUAAGCUUCUGGGAUCUUGGGAAGGUAGAUUAACAUCUAUUUCUUAAUUCUAUUAUGGAUUUAAAGCGAUAUUUCAUUCUUUUCUACUCUAAUUCCUUGAUUAAUUUUUCAAAACUCCAAAAAUUUUAGAACUUGAUUUUAAGCCCCAAUUUCACUCCCUUUCACUUGAAUAAUGUUUUAAUCUUAUAAUUACUAGUUUUUCAUCAAUUUAAUCUCCAAAACAACUCGGAUUCUUGAUUUUAACCUGAAUUUUAAAGAUUUUACCCAGUAAAGCUUAAAAUGGGUUUUCUUCGAUUUGAACCUCAUUUUUUACUCCAUUUGACUUGGGCUUUCAGCUGUAGGUUCCUAAAAAUAUGGGGAAUAUGUUUUUGAAGUAAAGUUAUGAUUUUUUCAUUCUUUUUUGAAAAUUCAUUUCGUGGGUCCGUUUUGAUCUCAAACCAAAAUUAGUCAACAUGGGUGUCGUUGCUUUUAUAUUGACGUGUAGACUCUAUAUUUGAUAUUUUUAGUGGACUUCGCAACCGUUCAUGAGGAAUAAGGUUUUGGGAGCAAAGUCUUGGUUGCGAUAUUUUGGCUUUUGAAGUAGGUUAUGGCUUAACUUUUUCAGACUGGUAGGGUAGUAAAUGAUAGUACAAAAUACAUGUUAAGGGUGGGAACUAAUCGUGAAAAAAAUGGCUAUCUAUGUGUUGUGACCUUGUGGGGGCUUAUAUGUGAUGUAAUUAUCAAAAUUAAGAUAUUAUGUGAUAUAUGUGAUAUUGAUAGCCUUCAAUACAUGUGAAUAAUUAUAUUGUGUUGUUAAAAUGCUUAAUGUGGUACCAUUGGUGUAUUUUGAUUAUAUUCAUACUUUAUUGGCAUAUGAGUCAUAUGAAAAUUCAUGGAUGAAACAGAAAUAAUGAGCGGAUAAUGGCUCAUAUGGUUGUGGAAAUAUAUCAUUGUAGUUGGUUGUAGAAAUAUAUCAUGUGGUUGGUUGUGAAAAUACUCAUUGUGAUUUGUUGUGAGCAUUACAACCUCAUAUCAUACUCAUUCAUGAAACAUCGGUACCAUCAUGGCAACACCUGAGUAAUACUGGCAACACCUUAUAAAACUCUUUCUAAGGGAUAUACCGGAAAGGACAUAUGAAAUAUGUGGAUUAUAUAUAGGUUGACGAACCCCCAUGGAUCCUGUGUUGGGAGGCUUGCCUCCGUAGGUGUAUACAAAGAUUAUGCGAUGAUCCCAGAGGUUGUGUGAUGACCUCGUGCAUCAUCAUCAUCAUCAUCAUCAUCAUAUAUAUUGCACUUACUUUACUGUGUUUAUAUUGUGUUGUAUUGCCAUAUUGCAUUUCCAUCUAUGUAAUUGCCUUGUCUUCUUACUUGUAUUUUAUGAUCUUGUAUAUGCAUGUUCCCUCUUGUUCUACUUAUAUGUGAUAUAAGGCAUACUUGUGUUCUAUCUUGGUGUGAUGUUGCAAUAUAUGUGAUAUAUUAGAACUAUUAGAGCAAACGGCAUAGGCUAUUAUUAUGGGACAUUUUUUUACUGUAGCUGACAUUCCCUUAGUGUGUAUUUUGUAUGCUUUAUUUUCUACUUUGCUCGGUCGGUCUAUGAUACCUACUAUGUAUAAGUGGACCGUAUUCACUCCUACUUUACCCUUUUAGUGCAGCUUCAGGUUCGGGUGCGCCUCAGACUUGUUGAUUUCGUGCGCCUUCAGAUUACUCGAGGUAGCGGUUGAACAUUCAUAUGUCUAAAGUUCACCUCCAUCAUUCUAUAUUAGUUAUGUCAUUAUUAUUAUUUGCAGACAGAUAUUAUUCUUUAUAGUUAUUUUUCUAAUGUAUUUGACUCCUGAAUCGUAUUAGCAGUUCUUACACUAUUGACAACUGAUUUUGAAUAAGUUUUUUUCGCAUUGUUAUGAUUACUAGUAUGGUUUGACUUUGUUUUAGAAGCCUUACCUUGGGGUACUUCUUUAUUUUCCUCUUUUUAUAUCAGUUUGGGUGAUAGUCUUACUUGUCAAGGUACACAGCGACUAGUGUCAUUAUGACCCUCAUUUUUCGAUCGUGACAAUUAGGUAAUAGAAAGAAAAUUUGACUAGGGAAUUAGUAAAUACCAAAAUAAAGAGAUACAAGUAAUUUGGUAUCCUAUAACAUAAUAUGAUUUGAAAUUUUAAGUACGUAAAAUAUUUACAGCUCGGUGAAGAUCAAAUAUUAUACUUUCCUCAUUCCAUCACAUUUUUGCUAUAUUCAGUUAGAUUAAUUAAAUAGUUUAAUUAAAAUUUAAAUAUUCAAAAACUAUAUGAAAAGCACUAUAAAUAUCGAUUCUCCCGUUAAUAUAGUGAGAACAAUCUUAAAAUAUUAAAUUAAAAUUUAUGUGAUUCGGUCCUCAAAAAGUGAAAUAUAAUAGUAAAUAUUUAGGGAUGAAGAAGUAAGAAAAAUAAUUAAACAAAGAAUACAAAAAAAUUGAUAAAAAGUUAUUAUAUAAAUCAAUCGAAAAGCAUAUAUAGAAAUUCUUUAAAUAGAGAGAGAGAGAGAGAGAAAACUUCCAGAAACAGCAUACAUAUUGGGAAAAAUAGGUUUGCAUAGCUAUGAUUUCAAAAAUUACAAUUCAUAGCUCGUGAAUCUAUUAUAUUUGUAUCAGCGAAUACAAAAUAUAAAAAAAUUUAAAACUUGAUUUUAUUAUAUACAAAAUAUUAUAAUGUACAAAUACUAUGAUUAAACUAUAUAUAAUAUAAAAUCAUAUAAACACAAACUUAAGAAAAUACAAAAACAUACAAUCAUAUGAAGGUAGUCAUAGAAAUCGAAUAUAGUUGAUACAAAUACAGUAAUACAUGAUGAGAUUGGGAGAGAUGGGAGGAGAGUAGCGAGAAAGGGGAAAUAUAGUUAAGUUAAGCAAUGAAUUAAGUAAAACUUAGUUGAGUAAGUAAUUAGGUGCUUAUGUUUGCUAGUCGUGUAGUUUUUUUAAAGAAAAUGUUGACCCACUUUAGGGAUGCAUCUGAGGACUACAAUUUUUUUAUGCAUAAAAAAAUUAAACAUGAUACCUAAAAAUUAAAUCAUGUCAAUGAAUGUCUAUUAAAUUUAAAAAAUAAAGAAUUAAAAAUAAAGAAGGCCUUCAAAAUGAAAAGGUAAAAGAGCUUUUGAAAGAAAAUUAUAAAAAAUAAAUUUGACUUUAAAAGAUAAGAUUAUGACAUAGAAAUAACUAUUGAAAAGAUUAAAAUUAAGUUGGAAACUUUUGUGAGGACUAUCAAAGCCCGGGUCCAAAAUUAAUUAAGAAUAUAUAAGUUGUAUAAUACUUUUUAAUUUAUAAUUGAUAUAAUCUAGUAGUAGUUAGGCAUGCCUUAUUGACAAAUCUUCAUAAUAAAAGUAACAACAUAAUUAGGUACUUCGUAAAGAAAAUAUUAUGCUAUAGAAAGGGAGUUUGACUGAUGAAUUCGUAAAUAUCAAAAUAAAGAGAUACAAGUAAUUUGGUAUUCUAUAACAUAAUAUGAUUUGAACUUUGAAGUAAUAAAAUAUUUACAAUUCAGUGAAGAUCAAAUAGUAUACUUUUGUCAUCCUAUCAUAUUUAAAAAAAAAAAGAUAUUUGCCUAAUCUUUGAAUAUAAAUUGAGUUAGAUUAAUUAAAUAUUUAAAAUUAAAAUUUAGAUAUUCAAAAACUAUAUAAAAAUCACUAUCAAUAUCAAUUCUCCCAUUAAUAUAGUGAAAACAAUCUUAAAAUAUUAGUUAGUAAAAUUUAUGUGAUUUGAUCCUUAAAAAGUAAAACAUAGUAGUAAAUAUUUUGGGAUGAAGGAUUAUAAAAAUAAUUAAAAAAAGAAUACAAAAAGAUUCAUAAAAAAAAUAUUAUUUAAAUCAAUCAUGAAAGCACAUAUAGAAAUUAUUUAAAGAAAAAAAGAGAAAACUUUCAUAAAUAGCAUACAUAUAGGCGAAAAUUGGCCUGCAUAGCUACAGUUUCAAAAAAUAUAAUCCGCAGCCCAUGUAUCUAUUGUAUUUGUGUCAACUGUUAUAAAAUGUAUUUGUAUAAGCUAAUAAAAAUACAAAAAAAAAUGAAACUUGAUUUCAUUAUAUAUAAAAUAUAGUAUACAAAUACUAUGAUUAAACUAUAUAUAAUAAAGAAUCAUAUAAAUACAAAUUGAAGAAAGUACAAAAAUACAAUCAUAUGAAGGUGGCCAUAAGAAUCAAACACAGUUGAUACAAAUACAGUGAUAUACCAUGAAAUUGAAAGAGAUUAGAGGAGAGUAGCGAGAAUGAUGAAAUUGGGAGAAAUGGGAGGAGAGUGAAGAGAAAGAGAGGGAAAUAUCGUUAAGUUAGGCUAUGAAUUAUAAUUAAUUAAAAACUUAGUUGAGUAGGUUAAUUUGGUGCUUAUGUUGGUUAAGCUAUAUAGUUUUUCUAAUGUAAAUGCUGACCGGGGCACUUGAGGGAUGUAUGUGAGGACUAUUUUUUUUAAUUCAACAUAUGUGAGGACCACAAAUUUGUUAUGCAUAAAAAAUUAAAUAUGAUGCCUAAAAUUUAAAGCAUGUUGAUAAAUGUCUAUCAAAUUUAGAAAAUAAAGAAGGCCUUCAAAAUGACAACGUAAAGAGCUCUUGAAAAGUAAACUAUAGAAAGUAAAUUUGACUUUAAAAUAUAAGAUCAUGGUAUUAAAGUAAUUAAUUAAAAAGAUUAAAAUUAAGUUGGAAAUUUUUAUGAGGACUACCAAAGUCCUUGAUUUGUAUCUUAUAAAUAAUAAAAAUAUAUUAAUGCACCCAAGAGUGUGGCCUAGUGGAUCAAUAAAGUAGGGAUAAGCACCAUGACAUCUCAAGUUCAAUUUCAAGCAGAGACAAACACUAGGUGAAUUCUUUUCAUCUGUUCUAGACUUGGUGGCUAGAGUUAUCUGGUACCGGUUGCUAGUAAGAGGUGGCAAGUAUCCCGUGAAUUUAGUCGAGGUGCGCACAAGCUAGUUCGGACACCACGGUUAUAAAUAUAUAUAUAUAUAUAUAUAUAAUUACUUAAACUUUCUGUUUUUCUAAAGUAAUUUUCUUGGAUAUUUAUUCAUGUUUCCAGAGUCGCUUAUAAAAAUCACUUUUGUUCUUGCUAAGACAAUAAUAUCACUCAAUUGUCAAUAUUUUUCUCAAAAAAUCACUAAAUACCUUAAAUAUCUCAUCAUUUUCUAAUUAGCAUGCCAUAUCAGGAAACCAUCAUUUUUUAAAAAAAUAAUAAAUAUAUUAACUCAUCAAAUUCAUUUAACCAAAAUUAUAAUCUUAUUUUAAAAAACAUACAUUAAUUUAUUAAGAAGAAAUUCUCAUACUUAGGUAUUUAUAUUUUUUUUCUAGAGUUAUUUUCCUAGAUGAUCAUUCAGGUUUUCAUAUAAUUGCCUACAAAGAUCAGUUGUUUUCUAAAGAAAAUAAUAUCACUAAAUUAACUAAGUUAUCUAGAGAUUUUAAUUUGCAUGCAAAAUAGAAUGGUAAAUAUUAAGUGAGGUAAAGAAUUCCUAAUGAUUAAAGUUAAACUAAUGCAUUCUUUUCAAAGAAAAAAGAAUAAAGUUACAAUUUUAGUUAAAUGAGUUUGAUGAAUUAAAUGAUUUAUUAUUUAAAAAAAAUAUGAUUUUAAUGACAUGGUAUGUCAACUAAGAGAGAAGAAUAUUUUUGAGUUGUCUUUGGGCCACAUGUGACAAAAAAGUUUUAAAAUGAGAUGUAGGUAACACAAAUCUUAAUAAUUGAGUGGAUGUGACAAUUACUUUAUUAUGGAAUAAGAAAGUUUCGUAAGUUUGAAAAUAGCUCACAAGUUUUUAAAUUUACACUUUGAUCCAAAUUUUUACCUAAUAAAAUGAGAAAUAGAGGGGAAAAAGGUGUCUUUCUCUCUCUUCUCAUCCAUUAUUGUUUUCUCUCUCUUAGUGAUUAUUGUUGUUCAUUGUUGUUUCUCUUUUAUUCAUCAUCUUCUGAUUCAUUAUCAUCAUCUUCUACUUCAUUAUCAUCCCCAUCUUCUUCUUGUUGACCAUUGUAGUCGUUGUUGUUGUUGUUACCGCUACUGUUUCUAUUUGACCAAUUUACUUAGGUCAAAUCUUGUAUCAUACAUCACUUUCCACUUUGGCAUUACUUCAUAGGAGACUUUGGUAAGUCAAAUUAUGAGUUUUAGUUAAAUUUUUCAUCAGGGUAACCGCUAUUGUGCUGCUUUUCCAACAAUGGAUAGAACCCAAUCAUGAAUCCAACAUAAGAUCCAUCUAUUUAAACAGAUAAAUCAUCUGUUGCGAUAGAUGAGACAUCUAUGUCAAUGAAAGACUGAUAUGUUUGAUUCAUGUUUAUGGUUCUAUAGGCAAUAACAUGAAUCAAACAGAUGAGUCACCUGUUUCAACAGAUGAUUUAUCUAUUUAAACAGUUUAAUUAUCUCGUGCAACGUGAUAAAUAUCUAUUGCAAUAGAUUAUUAACCUGUUACAACAGAACCUAAACUCAAUUCUAAUAGACGUGUUAUCUGUUGCAAUAGGAUAAAUAUCUGCUGCAGCAGAUUAUUAACCUAUUACAACAGAAUCCAAACUCGAUUCCAACAGACGGUAAAUAUCUAUUACAAUAUAUUAGUAACCUAUUGCGAUAGAACCUGACCUCAAUUCUAAUACAUCGUAGUCUGUUGCAACAGGUAAUUUAUCUGUCACAACAGGUUAAUUAUCUGUUGGAACAUGUUACUCAUCUGUUGGAGUCAGAUUCAAAGGUGCCUCAGUACUGUAACAUCAAUCCCAAUAAAUAUAUAAUCUGUUGCAAUAUAUGAUUCACCUGUUACUACAGAUGACUCAUCUGUUGAAAUCAUCUUCAGGAGCAUAACAUGAAUCUCAAUAGGUAAGUAAUCUGUUGUGACUGAUUGCACAUCUGUUGGGAUUUAUUUACAGCACUAUGAAAUCACUAUUAACUUUUUUUAACAAAUGACUUUAUUUAGGUACCACUAAUGAAGGGAUCAAUAACAAUAGGGGUAGAUUAUCAUGGUCAAUGUAUCAAGAAGAUCAAUCAAUAUGUAUGGCGUUGGAAUGGGAGUGAAAUGGUAGAGACGAUAGCUAUGACAGUCCAAAGUAACAUUUCGUAUGAUGAUUUUGUGAACUUAAUCAUCAGUUAUUUCGGACUGAAUUAUCAAUCAAAAUGACGCAUUAUCAGCUACAUGCACAGCUCUUUUGAAAAUCAGAGGGUACUACCUUUCAAGAUAAUCGAUCAGGUUCGGUUGAGUGCUUAUCUUAGUGAUUCAUCCAGGAUGGUGUUAAGGGUGUACGUGGUUGAAAAGAAAAGAGAGAAUGAGAACUAGAACAUAGAAGAACAACAACAAAAAGACAUCUUUGAUGAUAGGUUGGAUGAUCUAGACAUGAAUAGUCCAAAUAAUGAUCAAAUACCUACGCCCAUUGAUACGACCAAUAUGAUGUGCAGUUCUUUUCAAUCGACACAGUCUGGAAAUUUUCAAGACGACGAGAUCAACUUUUUAAUUGGAAUGUCAUUCAAGGACAAGAAUAAACCAUCUACCACUUUGUUUAUCUCUUUCUUGAAAAAAUAUUUCAGAAUAAAGAAGGUGAUUAAUUUGAGCAGUAUCUUUUUCUUCAAAUGUGCUAAUUCAAACUGCAAGUGGUGGUUGAGAGCUCAUAAACAUGAAAAUCAUCACACAUGUGGUUCGGAGCACAUCUCGGGACAAAAUCCUUACACCACGGCAAAGGUCCUUGGUUAAUAUUUCAGGAGUAGCUUCCCUGAUGGCAAAGGCCCUUCAACAAGGGUUAUGGCCAAUCAACUCCUUACAAAAUUAGGUGUCCUGGUCAGUUAUUUGAUGAUAUAUAUGGCUAUGGGGGUCACCAAGUAAUUGUUUAGGGGGACACUCAAGCAUGGGUAUGCAGUCCUGGAUGCCUACCGUUACAUGAUUGAGUCCACAAAUCUGAUAAGUAAGAUAAUAUUGCAUCUUGAUGAAAAUGAAAGGUUCAAGUACUUUUUUGUAUCCUAUGGUGGUUGGAUUCAAGAUUUUUGAUAUUUGAAAAAAGGCAUAGCCGUCGAUGGUACCUUCUUGAGGAGCAAGUAUAAUGGAGUUCUUCUAGCGGCGGUGGCGCAGGAUGCGGAGAAUCACAUCUUUCCUAUCACUUUUUAUGUAGCGAACAAGGAAUAUGAUACCUCUUAUGGAUUUUUUUUGAACAACUGUGAAGCUGCAUCAAAGAUACCGGAGAGUUGUGUUUUGUAUCGGAUAGGCAUCCAAGUAUUCCGAAGAUGGGUUCAUGUUUCUUCCUCUUACCUUACUUUGAUUGUUGCAUCAGGCAUCUUAGAGAGAACAUCAGAAUCAGCUAUCACAACGAAAGGGUCGUGACCUAUUUUUAUAGAGUAGCUAAAGCAUAUAGUAGAGAGAAGUUUUUAGACCAUUGUUAUCAAAUAACGAAUGUAAAUCCUAAGGUAGUAGAAUUUCUCGUACGUGUUGGUUUCGAGAGAUGGACCUGGGCAUUCUGUUCGAUAAAUAGGUACAUAAAGUUUAAUGUCUUGUUUAAGUUACAAGUUUAGUAUGAUGUUGUACUAAGUGAUUCUUUUGUAUAGGUACAAUAUUAUGACAUCAAACAUAGCUGAAUCAGUGAAUUCAUUAUUUGGUGAUAAAAGAGAAUUUCCCACCAAGGCUAUGUUUGAAAAAAUAAUCCAGAAGUACGGAAAAUUUUUUAUUGAAAGACGUGAGCAGUUCAAGUGCCCAAAAACAAGAACCUGAUUUGUUCUCGAAAUUAGAAAAGUAAUAUCAACAAACGUCAAUUUGGGGAAUAGGUUAUUACCUCAUAAAAUAGCAGAUUACAAAUUCAGUAUCACCGGUCAUAGUGAUGUUGCCACGGUCAAUCUUCAAAUAAGAUCUUGUACAUGCAAAGUAUUUUACUUGGUCAAAAUACCCUGUCCACAUGCUAUGGCAGCGCUUCAAGCUCAAUAUGGUCAUAAAUAUGGAAUUGAAGUUUACAAGAACUCCUCUCAACAUUAUUCGAUGGAAAAAUAUGAAAUGGCAUAUAGUAGGCAUAUUACUCCGGUGCCUCCCGAAGAAUCUUGGGUUGUUCGUGCAGAGCUUAUGGGGAGAUUAAUACCUACUCCAUAUAUUGACCCAAGCACUAUCAAAUUGGGAAGAAAGCCAUAUAAGAGGAGGGAUGGAGUCAGAAAAUUAUUUUCAUCAAGAAGAAACAAGUGCUCCAUAUGUAAGAGCGAUUGCCACAAAAGAACUACAUGCCCGGAUCGUAAUCCACCAUGAUCAUUGUAAUUACAGGAACUUGUAUAGUUGUUUAUUUUGGACCUUUAUAUAUUUAACUCAUUAUUUUGAACGUAAUGUUAUCAUUUAUUAUAUAUAAAAUAUCUUUUUAAUAACAUGUGCAUCAAUAAAAAAAAGGCAAAACAUGAACUAAACAAUACAGCAGACCACAAGUAUUUUCAACAGAUUACCCAUUUGUGGCAACAGAUGGACAUUACCUGGAAGAAUCCAACAUAGUUAGUUCCAUAAAAUUGGAAGAUUUUCCUCCAACAGAUAAUAAAUCUAUCGUAACAGAUGGAUAAUCUGUUAACAGAAUUCCAACAGAUGACCAAUCUGUUCCAACACAUGGUCCAUCUAUUGAAAGAACUCAAAAGCCAAAAUUGCUAUUGCUACUAGAUUCAAAUUGCUCCUUACCUCCAACUGUCGAUAUGUUAACAUGUAAAAUGUUUAGAAGAAGAAAUAGACAGAAUUUGUAUAAGAAUUAAAAAGCCAAAAUCGACUAAAAAUAAAUUUUUCAUUAAACGAAAAAUAAAACACAUUAGGUAUAGAUACGAUAUAGAAAAAUUAAAAUACAUAUGCUAAAAGAAAAAACACAUUCUAAUUAUUAUUAUAUCAUCAUCAUCAGCGCAUAGAAUAUCGUCGUUCAAACUGGUGGCAUUUUGUUUUCUGUGAAAAGUCAUAACUUUUUUAUUUACAUUAAUACAUCUCACCUUUUCAAAGUAGUUUUAAGAAAACUUGAUAACUGUCGUUAUUAUUGAGUUGGUGCAACAGAUCGUCCAUCUAUCAUAAUAGAUUUACCAUCUGUUGCAACAUAUAGAUUAUCUUUGCAAUAGAUGGAUCAUAUGUUGGGGAUGUUUUGAUUUCUUCUAACAGUUGAUUCAUCAGUUGCAACAGAUGGAGAAUUCGAUUCAUCAGCUAUUUUGAAUGUGUUAGAUAAAAGUCACGACUUUUCACCUCUUUUUUAAUAGUCAUCACAUGCAUGCAGAUGAAUAAACAAUGUCUGGUCUGUCGCAACAGAUUAAGAAUUUAUUGUAAUAUAUGGAUUAUCUGUUGCGACAAAUUGACCAUAUAUUGGAGGAGAUAUUUUAAUUUCUUCUAAUAGUUGAUUCAUCAGUUGCAACAGAUGGAGUUUUCAAUUCAUCAGCUGUUUUGAAUGUGUUAAAAGAGUCACGACUCUUUCCACCUCUUUUUUAAUAGUUAUCAUAUGCGUGUAGAUGAAUAAACAACACUGUAGUGUCUUUGAUGGGGUAGGAAGAAUAAGGUGCAUGCAAUGGAUCCACUUUCAUGCGUAGGCGUUAUAUAUUAUUGAUCAGUCUACCGCGACAGGCACACAUAAAGUGCAAUAAUUUUGUGAAUGUAGUUUUUUACCGAUUAGACACUGAUCCUUCAAACAAGAUCCUACAUUAUACAUUUUAGUUUGAUCGGUGCAAACUGAUAAGGCCAAAGGGUUCCAAGACCAUGGUGUCGAUACCCUGUUACAAUUUAAUGAUGGUCUAUGCUCAUGUUUUUCUAUCAAGAUUGGGGAAGAGUUCAAGUUUUUGGAGGCGGUGUAAAUAUCCAAUAGUGAUUAGACCAAUUUUAAUGGCUCAAUGUACUUCUUGAAAGACCUUCAAAGCCUCACACUACAGUAAACAAUGAUGAAACUAAUAGAAAUUACCCUAUUCCAAAUUUAUAUGGAUGGAUUUCUAGUGGAGAUUUUUAUACAGCAGAAGGUACUUGGGAGAAUACCUGUGUAGGAAAGAGGAGGUGAAGAAGGCCAUAUAUCAUCUCAGACCUUGUUUAAGAGGAAACACAGGGAGCAAGCAAUGAUAUUCUAGCGAAUCUGGCCAAUGAAAUUGACAUGAGAAACAGAAAAACUGGAUUAGCUUCAAAUAUGGAAGUGUAUCCAAAAAUAAAAAUCCAUCAGUCAUUGAAAAAAGAAGAAUGGUGAACAGGACUGGAGCUGGACACUUUGCUCGAGAAUGUAACUAGCGAGAGUGGCCUCAAUGAAGACUCUCACAAAGUGUAGGACCAGAACUCUAAGAAAGAAGUUUUGCGAACACACGAAAUUGGUACGAUUGUCAGCCAAAAUUAAAACCUGAACCAACUAAUCCUAAAUUAAAAAUACGAGAUCAAGACAGGGUGGAAAUUUCUCAAGUUAAACUUGCAUGUCAUGCCUUAUGUUUGUGGCUAUGAUCAGGUCGAUAGCAGUAGAAACAAAAAGGUCUGAAGUUGGGCAGAAAUCCCAUGCCUUGUUGUUUCCACUGCCUUUGACCUGAACAGAGCCAUAAACAGGAGGCAUGGGAUACAAGUUUAACUUGAGAAAUUGCCACCUUGGCUUGAUCCCCAUAUUUUAAUUCAGGAGUAGUUGGUUCAGAUUUCAAUUCUGACCGACAAUUGUACCAAUUUCGUAUGCUCACGAAACUUCUUCCAUAGAGUUCUGGUCUUGUACUUUAUGGUUCUUCAUUGAGGCCACGCUCGCUAUUUACUAUCUCUAGCAAAAUGACUAGCUCCAGUCCUCUUGACCAUUCUUCUUUUACUUCAAUGAAUGAUGGAUUUUCAUUUUUGGAUACGCUUUCACAUUGGCAGCUCAUCUAGUUUUUUUAUUUUUUAUGUCAAUUUCAUCGGUCAAUUUCGCUAUACUUUCCUUCCUACCCCUUGUUUCCUCUUACAAAAGGUCUGAGAUGAUAUAUGGCCUUUUCAACCUCCCUCUUCCCGUACAGGUAUUCUCCCAAGCACCUACGGUUAUUUAAUAGUCUCCUCCAGCAACCCAUCCAUAUAAAUUUGGACUAGGGAAAUUUCUAUUGGUUUCAUCGGUGUUUGCUGCAGUGCGAGGCUUUGGAGGCUUUUUAAGAAGUCCAUUGAGCUUUUAAAACCGGUCCAAUCACUAUUGGAUAUUUACACUGCCGCUAAAAACUUGAACCCUUCCCCAAAUUUGACACAAAAAUAUGAGCAUAAACAGUCAUUAAAUUAUAAUAGGGUAUCGACACCACCUACUUGGUCCCUCAGCCUUACCAGUUCGAACCUAACAAUCUUAACUAUAAAAUGUCAUAUCUUGUUUGAAGAAUUAACGCCUAAUAGAUAAAGAACAAAUAUUCAUUAAAUUAUUGUACUGGAUGUGUGUUUUCACGAUAGUUUGAUCACUAAUGCAUACCUCCCACAUAUAAAGUGGUUCCAUCUGCAAGUAGCUUAUUCCUCUGAACCUAUCUUUACUCUAGCCUUUAAUGCUGGUCGGACAAAAAUAGAUCUAGUUUCACUUCUUUUUAUCUACAAACCAGAGAAAUACAUUUAAUGUCAAACAAGAGAAGAAGAAAAAGAACAUCACAAAAGGGUAACACAAAAUUAAGCGAAUCAAUAGAUGACCAAUCUGAUGCAAUAGAUUGUCCAUCCGCUACAACAGAUAGAUGACAUAUUGCAAUAGAUGAGUCAUCUAUUGGAAUAAAUCAAACCAGCCUUGCUACUGGUUUGAUUUCUUCAAAUAGUUGCUCCGUCUGUACAAAAAGGUAACACAAAAUUGAGUGAAUUAACAGAUGACCAAUAUGAUGCAAUAUAUUACCCAUUUAUUCAACCUAUGAGGCAUUUUAUAGCAGAUAUAUAAACAACGGUUCAUUCAUUCAAGGCUUAAAAGUCACAUUUUCUUUAAUUUUCUCAAUAAAUAGGAAACUGGUAAAUGGGUAAAUCAUCAAUAGAAACAGAUGUAAAUAUCUAAUUUAAAUGACAUACAAAGAAGAAGAUGAGAUGGAAAGAGCAAUAGCGAACCAUAUCUUCAAUGUGAAAAAAGCAAAGGGAUCAGAACAACCAUUUCAGUUGGAAAAAGAUAUUGAUUGGUUGAGAUCUAAAAGGAUUCUCAUAUGAGAUGGAAAGAGCAAUAGCGAACCAUAUCUUCAAUGUGAAAAAAAGCAAAGGGACCAGAACAACCAUUUCAGUUGGAAAAAGAUAUUGAUUGGUUGAGAUCUAAAAGGAUUCUCAUCCAAAAGAAGAGGGGGGAAAGGCAAAAUGGAAAGAAAGAGAUAAAAAAGAAAGAGUGAUAGAUGAGUUGAGUUGAGUCUUGAGUCUUACUUAUGUUAUGGUUGAAGAAGAUAGUAUUCUUAUAGAUAUGGUUUUCAAAUAUUCAUUAAUAAAUUUUGACUUUGAGGGGCACGAGGAGACGGUGACAUUGAAAAGAUCAGAUAAGACUACUCACACAAGAGAUUUCUGGUUAUCCAAGUAUAAUUUUUACCGCCUUAGUAUUUUAACUUUUUUUAUAUCUGACAGGAAAUACCUAAAUUUCUUUUAAAAAAAGAGGUGUUAAAACAUCUAAGUGCAACAAAUAACAAUUUUUGUUUGAAAAUAUCCAAAACUCGGUACACAAUAUUGAAGUGUUAGUAAUAUAGUAAUACACUCUAUUUCCUAUGUAUUGGUAAUACAAAGACUUUAAACACAUGGAUUAACUUAUUAAAUGACCUUAAUACCCCUCAAUUUUCCUUUCAAAAUAUUUCACCAUUCCUUUUUCCGCCAUUUUAAUUUGCACUGGUGAAUCUUUUCAAAAUAUUUCACAAUUUCUUUUUCCACUAUUUGAAUAAACAACAAUGAAUGGUUGAUUUAAAUAACUAUAACAUAUUUUUGCUUUGCUUUGAGAGUCAUUAAAAAGAUUUAAGAAAAAAAUUGAAACUAUUUUUUAAUUUUACGUCUUGUAUUUUAUUUUUGUUUCGACUAUGUUAAUCCGUCGGCGUAACAUUUUUGGCAAAGACGAAGGUCUUCAAAUUAAUCCUAAACCUCUAUAUAAUAGUUUAACAAUAUUAAUUAUGUUUGAAAAAAUAAAAGAACUUUGUUACAAAAAAUGUACAAAAUCAAAGAAGGGUAUUUUUGCAAACAAAAAUUUCUUUUAUAGAAAUUAUGUAAGAUGUAUUAUUUCCUAUAAAUCAAACCAAACAAUGUAUAAGAAAUAAAUAAUAUAUGCAUAACUAAUACAAGCAUAAAUAAUACAAGUAUUACUAAUGCAAGCAUUACUAAUAUGGUAUAUUUUGUAUUGUUCUUAUACACUCUACCAAACGUCCCUUGAUUGAUUAAUCUAGGACCGGGGGUGAGUUCGCAUAGGGUCAACUACAAUUUUAAUUAAGUCUUUGGGCAAUUGAAAUAAUGAGACGGUAUUGUGUUCCUCUUGACCAGAGUCAUCGAUCGAACCGAUUCUUUCUACCUCAUAUGUUAGAACAAUACCUCAAUUGAUUAAUCUAGGACUAGGGGUGAGUUCUCAUAAGAUCAACUACAACUUCAAUUGAGUCUUUGGAAAAUUGAAAUGAUGAGACGGUAUUGCAUUUCUCCCGACCAGAGUCAUUGAUCGAAUCAACUCUUACUACCUCAUAUAUUAGACCAAUACCUCAAUUGAUUAAUCUAGGACCAAGCAUGAUUUCUCAUAGGGUCAAAUACAACUUCAAUUGAGUCUUUGGGCAAUUGAAUGAUGAGACGGUAUUGCGUUCCUCCCGACCAGAGUCAUCGAUUGAAUUAAUUCUUACUACCUCAUAUGUUAUACCAAUACCUUAAUUGAUUAAUCUAGGACCAGGGGUCAGUUCUCAUAGGGUCAACUACAACUUCAAUUGAGUCUUUGGGAAUUUGAAUAAUGAUAUGGUAUUGCGUUUUUCCCGACCAGAGUCUUUGAUCGAAUUGAUUCUUACUACCUCAUAUGUUAGACCAAUACCUCAAUUGACUAAUCUAGGACCAGGGGUGAGUUCUCAUAGGGUCAACUACAACUUUAAUUAAGUCUUUGGGAAAUUGAAUGACGAGACGGUAUUGCAUUUCUCCCGACUAGAGUCGUCGAUCAAAUCGAUUCUUACUACCUCAUAUAUUAGAUCAACACCUCAAUUGAUUAAUCUAGGACUAGGGGUGAGUUCUCAUAGGGUCAACUACAACUUUAAUUGAGUCUUUUGAAAAUUGAAUGAUGAUACGGUAUUGUGUUCUUCCCGACCAGAGUUGUCGAUCAAAUUGAUUCUUACUACCUCAUAUGUUAGACCAAUACCUCAAUUGAUUAAUCUAGGACUAGGGGUGAGUUCUCAUAGGAUCAACUACAACUUCAAUUGAGUCUUUGGGCAAUUGAAUGAUGAGAUAGGAUUGCGUUUCAUCCAACCAGAGACAUCGAUCAAACCAAUUCUUACUACCCCAUAUAUUAGACCAAUACCUCAAUUGAUUAAUCUAGGACCAGGGAUGAGUUCUCAUAGGGUCAACUACAACUUCAAUUGAGUCUUUGGGAAAUCGAAUUGACGAGAUGGUAUUGCGUUCCUCCCGAUAAGAGUCAUUGGUCGAACUGAUUCUUACUAUCUCAUAUGUUAGAAAAAUACCUCAAUUAAUUAAUAUAGGACCAGGGGUAAGUUCUAACAACAGAUGGGUAAUCUGUUGUGAUAUAUAACAAUCCAUUUGAUAAUUUACAACAGAUGGGUAAUCUAUCGCAACAGAUUACUUAAUCUGUUUAAUAAUUUGCAACAGAUUAGUAUCUAAUGCAACAGGUUGAACAUUUAUUUUUAUACAAUUUUAAUUGAGUUCAUAUACCUAAAUUGAUUAAACUAGGACCAGGGGUGGGUGAGUUCAUAGGGUCAACUACAACUUCAAUUGUGUCUUUUGGCAAUUGCAUGAUGAGAGGCUCAAAAAUUACGCAUAUCUUUUAUAAUUUAAAAAAAUAAUUGAGAUCAAUUCGGACCAAAUUAAUAUUUUCAAAACUUGUCAUUCUUUUCCAAAAUAUAAAUCAACCCAUACAAAUCAUCCAUUUGCAAGAAAAAUAUUUCAUCAUUUCAAAUCUCUAGUUCUCACUCUUUUCUCUUUCUCACUCAAUUAUAUUGUAUAGACAACAACUACAACAACUCAACAAAUUGCUCUACCCUUCAUAAUAGAUCAAUUUUCUUCUCAUUUCUGAUCACAUAGGUGUUAUUUUUUACUUUAUUCUUGCUUGUAUAAAUCAUUUUCUCUGUCUUCAUAGGUAACAGAGUUCAAGAAGAGUUCUAUGUUUGUUAUUUUUUUUCUAAAAAAUAAGGUAUUUUAAGUUAAUGAUGAAAAAAAAACUUUUAGUUGUAUUAUCUUUUAGAAUGGGUUUACAAUUUUGAGUUUUGACAGUAAAAUCAUAGGAAGAACCCGAGAAAGACCUAGUUUCUAUCGCAGUGUUCUGUUGACUAUCAUGGUAUUGUUGGAUGGUGUUUGUGGUAUUUGUGGUGGUGGUGGUGAUGGCGGUAGUCAUCGCCAUUAUCGUGGCACUGGUGAUGGCUAUUGGUGGCAUUGGUUGGUGGUGUUUGUCGUAGCUGUCCGAGGUGUUGGUAUUCGUGGUGUUUGUGGCAUUGGUUGGUGGUAUUUGUGCUCGUGGUGGUUGUUGGUGUGUUGUUAUUGGUGGUAUUUCUAAUGUAUUUUUUAAAAUUUACGCAUACAUCAAUUGUAAUGUAUUUUUUGUUUUUCUGUUGUUUGUAGGUAAAACAUGUCUUCCAAAAGAAAAGAAAGUAAAAUUGGAUCAACGUCUGAGCACCCUAAAAAAGGCUACAGUAUAGAGGGAUUUGAAGAAGCUUCCUGAACAAUCUCAUUCAGGGAAACAAAGUAAAGCUGAGAAGAGAUAUAAAAACAUUAAGGGAGGUAGACAAGGGUCUAUAAAAAGUGAUGAAGAAAAUAAAAGUGAGAAAGAGAAAGAGCAUGAUCAUCAACAUGAUGAUAAUGGAUCACCAAUGGGGUGAGAAUUAAUAUCGACAUCCCAGCAUGAUCCUGUCAAAACUUUUAGUAUUGACAAUUUUCAAGUUGCGAUGCCGAUAAAUGAUAAAAGCAGAAGAAGAACUAACUGGUCAAAUUGUACUUAAAUGUCAGAUGGGGAGUAAAUUUACUAAUUUUAGGAAAAUUAUAAAGGACGAAAACAUAGACGGACUUUUUAAGAAGGAUUGUUUUAGACGCUUUCUUAAGCUGGCUGAGGACGCCCCUGCCUGUUUCUCAAUGGGGAUGGUAUAUGGUCUUCUCAAGGUUAGGAUCAAGUACGUGGGGGCAAAAAAAAGAUGGAUGAAAUCUGGAUCAACUACUGUGGCAUGCCGGUUUAUUUUGGCUUACAAGAGUUUGCCAUAGUGAUGGGCUUGAGAUGCCAUCGUCCAAAAGAACCACCUAUCACCAAGGGAACACCCCACAAAAGAUCCAAAGCAAGAAAAUACAAGAAAAAAAUAGAUGGGUUUUUUGACAUUACUCGACGUGGCUACAAAGCAUCGAAUUUGUUGACAGAUCUCAUGGAUAAAACCAUACCUAAGAAUUAUAGGGAGCAAUUAUGCUUAGUUUGGUUUGCCCAUUCGGUUAUAUUGGCAAGAGACGUCAACAAGGUUAUAGAAGAUGAUUUAUUGGCGCUUGCUGAGGAUUUUGAUAAAUUCAACAAUUAUCCCUGGGGAUAUGACAGCUUCUAUUUGACUUUCCAAUAUUUACUAACAAAGCUAACCUCAGGGACGACCACAUUAUAUGGCUUUCCUUGAGCUUUCACGGUAAAAUUAAUCAUUAUUUCAACUCAUCCAUAAGUUAUAUUGAAUAUAGUUAUUAUGACUUUUUUUUGCUUGCUUUCUGUUUAUAUUUUUUAGGCAUGGGAAUUUGAAGCCAUUUCUACCCUCCAAAAGCAGGUAAUGGAUUACUCGGAUGAGGUUUCUCGUCCAAGGAUAUUUAGGUGGUUGGCUGCAAAGAACAACACCAAAAUUAAGGAGGUUGAUCUUUUUAACCCUCCGGAUGAUGCAGUACUUCUUCUUCAAGUAAAAUAAUUUUACAAGUAAAAUAAUUUUACUCAAUGAAAGAUAUUGAACAGAUGUUAUAUCUAGUGCAACAGAUAUUAUAUCUGAUGCACCAGAUUUUACAUCUGAUGCAGCAGAUUACCCGUUCUGUGCCAACCGGUGCAAUAGAUGGAUAAUAUGUUGCAACAGAUGAUUGAUAUCUUGAAUCAGAUUACCUAUCUAUUACUUUGGUUCUCUGAACUUGACUCCUAACAAAUUAACCAUCUACUGCAAAUUAUGAAACAGGUGUGUAAUCUGAUGUAACAUAUUAUUAAUACACAUACAGAUCAUCUAUUGCAUAACAUAUAACCCAAUAGAUUACCCAACUUAUGCAAUUAGUGCAACAGAUGGGUAAUCUAUUGUGACAGAUGAUUGAUAUUUUGCAUCAGAUUAUCCAUGUGUUCCUCUGGUUCUCUGAACCCAACCUAAAUGAAUUUUAACCAUUUACUAAAAACUAUGCAACAGAUGUAUAAGCUGAUGCAACAUAUUGUUAAUCUGUUGCAGAAGUUGACUAUUAAAAUGUUAACACAACUGUAAAAAUUAUUAUAUUAUAUGAUUUAAAUAUAUCUGUGUUUUUUUCUAGGUUGUGUAUCCACGGAUCGUGUCUAUUGAGGAGGAGUCGUUUAUGACUUCUUAUAUUACUCUAGGUCAUGUUGAUACUAUAGCAGGCCCAACGGUAGAGUUAAUAAGAAAGGAAUUGGCUGGAGCAACAGCCAUAAGAAGAGCAGUUAGGCAAGGUUAGCCUAAUGCUGAGGCUCUUUAUGACCAACCUACUAAGGCAGAUCCGAGUGCUUCUUCUGGUGGAGUUGUUGGUGUUGGUGGCAGGCAUGCUGACGCUGCUACCACUCAUGAUAUCAAGCAUGUUGAUGCUCAAGAAAAAAUAAAUAUGUUUGAAAACACCCUUUUUCACCCUUACACAGGUCUCUUUCAUCCCUCUUCACCCUCAUGUUAUCAUUGCAAAUGCGAAGAAUACAAGGACAGCCAGGAUAAACUCUGUAAAAAAGUAGAGGCUAUCACUAAAGUUAUUGAGGAAUUCAAAUCCAAGAGGGGUUUCAUACCAUCCAAGAAGUUUAGGGAGCGAUACACUACUACAUUGGUUAGGAGAAAGAAAAGAGCAAUAACCAACGUACUCUCCUAUUGAAAAUCAAAAAUAAUUACAACUCCUCCCUCUCAAAAAGUUGUUAAAGUUUAAGGUUCAUUCAAGAAGAAGGUGGACAUAUAUGCGGAACUUAGCGCCAAAGAGAAGAUGGAUAUGUGACAGGCCAAGAAUGCCAAGCCACGCACACCAGAUUACCCCAGGCCUCCUAUUUCACCCCAAGACUUCUAGACAAUGACAGAUAUGUGUAUGCAGUAUGAGGAAAAAGCAAGUUUACUUUUUCUAAACUUUUCCUAACCUAGCCUUCUAAUCUAAUCUACCCCAUGAAGAAGAAGAUACACAACAGAUGUGAAAUCUGUUGUAACAGCUGGGCAUUCUGGUGCAAUUGGUAGUGGUUUAGUUACAAGUUACUAUCCAUCUGUUUCAUAAGUUGCGUUGGAUUAUUGAUUCAGAGAACCCUAUGCAGCAGAUGGACAAUCUUUACAAUUACUAACCUAUUUAAAAAUUGUCUUCUUAUAUCACAGCAUGUUGACAAAAAUUUUUGCCUCAUGAGGGAAAGGCAAUUAACGUACCCAGAAGCUUAUGACGCUGUCGAUAGGAUUAUGGACCUCGAAUUCUGCAAGAAGCUCAAGGAUAAGUACGAUCAACUCAAUAAUGUCGCAUUAGACUGUGGCGCGAGAUUUGAUUUCUUAGCUUCUACGUUGGACUGGGAUGAAGAACAAAUAAUAAAAUAUGUUAGAGGAGAGAGGCCAAAUCCACACGGCAAGAGUUGGACCGAGGCAAAGAGGAUUCUUGUAGUCAUUAGCAUGAAGGUCAUACAUUAUUGGGUUGUUGAGAUACUACUUGGGGAGGAAAAGAACAAUGUUUAUGACUGCAAUGAACCUCUCAUCGAUGAUGUCAAUCUUUUUCUCCUCGUGGAGCCACUGAUAGAGUUGUUGCCCAUCUUGUUGAGGGAGAGUAAACUGAUGAAUCAUUUUCCAAAGGAAGCAUUGAUGAAGAAAUCAUGGGAUUAUAGAGGUCAAAACAAUGGCAUGAUUCUUCAAAAAAAUGAUGUCGGUUACACGAGUGGCUCGCACCCUCUUGCACACAUUGAAUAUUUGCUGACCGGCACAGAAAUAGUUUAGCCAACGACCUUUCUGUGUGAUAAUAUUGUGGCAAACCUACAAGAGGUCUGGGCUUAUGGGGUACUAACUGGACGCUUGAAGCCUGUGUAUAUAGAAGGGCCUGUGAAAUAAUAAUUUUUUAUUUCAAGUCACACUCCACUUUACUUUAAAUUACAUGCACAUGCAAUGGCAAUAUUUUGUUUCUGAUAGAAUGAAAGUUGAGUUUUUUAUAAUGCAAUAGAUUGUCAAUCUGUUGUAAAAUAUAUUUUAUCUAUUUUGGCAAAUAGUUUAUCUGUUGUAAUAGGUUGGUCAUCUGUUACAUUAUGCCGAUAUUAUUUUUGUCUAAUCUAAGUCUAAUCUGUUGCAACAGAGGGAUUACCUAUUUGAUAAUUUCCAAUAGAUGACCUAAAUUUUACAGCAUGUGCCUAAAUCUAUUUGAUAUUUUGUAGCAAUUACAUGCUUGAAUAUCCAUGUACUCGACAACACCAAAUCAGUAGCAAAUACACCACCAUGAAAAUUUCAGCAAUUAGGCUUGAAAAUCCAUGUGCCCAACACCACCAAACCAGUAGCAAUAACGACAACAAUGCAGUAUCUUCUUGCUCGAUUUUGUUUCUCUUCAGGAGCCUUGACUUUCUUCAAUAAUCCCAGAUUGCACGAUUUGUUUGUGGAGGGUGUCGUUCUUCAUACCAAUCAAAAUAAUCAUAUUCACCCAAUUUCUAUAAAAACAAGAAUACAAUUAUAAAAUAAUUACAAGUCAAUAAUUAAUCAACUAAUUAAAUAAAAGAAAUAUUUCCUUUGAAAUCUUACAAGUAAAAAUCCUACGACCUGAAUUUUGUUGAGUCCAAGAAGUCUUCAAUAGAGCUUCAUGAUCGCACUUACAAUAUCAAAAAUCGUUAUCACAAAAAAGAGUGGAAUAUGCACUCAACAUUGUCAAGCUCAGUUGGAAAAAAUAAAAAAAAUGAAGAAAAAAAAGAACAAAUGCAAAUAAUUUGAAGAAUUUGAAUAGAAAAAAAAUAAUGACAACGAAGAAGAUUUGGGAAUUUAGGGUUAAAUUUUAGGAAGAAGAUGAAUAUAUAAGACAUUGGGGGAAAAUGACCGUUGGGGGCAAAAUCAGACGCCAAGUCAGCAAAAAGUGCCAAGCUGACACAUUUGUGCCUAUUUUAUUUUAUGUGUUUAAAAUGAUAACAGUCUACUUGAUGCCUACUUUAUUUUAGGGGUUUGAACUAAACACUGUCGAUGGAUUCUGCUUUUUUUAUUUCAAUUCACUUUCACUUUUUCACAUGUUGUGGCAAUUUUUUAUGUCUAAUGAAAGUUGAAUUUUUAUAAUGCAAUGGAUUCUCCAUCCGUUGUAACGGAUAUUCUACCUGUUAUGACGUAUAGUUUAUCUGUUGCAAUAGGUUGGUCAUCUAUUGUAUUAUGUCGGUGUUUCUAUCUAAGUCUAUCUAUUGUAGCAGUGGGAAGACCUGUUUGAUAAAUUCCAACAGAUUACCUACCUGUUGCAAUAUAUGUCAAAUAUAUUUGAUAUUUUCCAACAGAUGUGAUGUCUGUUGCAACAGAUACAUUAUCAGUUGCAAUAUUUAAAUUUAGUAUUCCAUUUCAAUUAAUAAGUUCAAAUCUAAGGAAAAAUAAAAUUCAUAGACAAAAUAAAAUGAAUCGAAGCCUUAAGAAAUUAGCUAAAAUAAAAUCAACAAAUAAAUGAAUAUAAAAAAAUUGUUAUGGGUACAGAUCUCAACAAAUACAUCAAUAAUUUAAGUAUUAAUGCCAAGAAGUCCUAAGGAGGGGUGAGUUUAUUACUUUGACAGACUCAAGCUAUAAAGAUCUACUCAAUAUGGACAAGUUGUUCUUCAUCCAGCGCAAUGGAAUUUGGCAUUGCUCAUCGUGGAUCUUUAUUGUCGCUUACGUACGGUUUCUGCACUUUCUGUUCUCCAUAUUUCCAUAAAAAGAGUAUAGCAGCAUAUUGUCAAUGUUGUUCAUUAGUAGCUUCUACAUCCACCUGGAAAGCCAGAAUUGGUCAAUGCUAACAUACAACAAAAUGAAAAAGGAUAACUCAUCUGUUCUAGCAAAUCAAAUAGGUCUUCUUUCUGUUUUAAAUUAUCCCAAACAAAUUAUAUUUCUUUUGCAACAAUGAAUCAACUGAUGGAUCAAAUUUCUAUAUGAGAAAGACCUGUAUGAUAAUUUUCAAUGGAUAAACCAUCUGUUGCAACAUAUGACUCAUCUAUUGCAGAUAGGUCAACUAUUUGGUACAAAUAAAAGCGGUACAAAGAGCUGUUUAAUUUUCUAAAAUAGACGACACAUAUGUCGCAACAGGUACUUUAUCUGGCGCAACAAGUUAGUCAAUUAUUGCAACAGAUGCAUAUAUCUGUUUGAUAAUUUUUAGCAGAUGUGUCAUGCGUUGAAACAUAAAUAUGUUUAUUUGUUAGUUGGAAGACAUAUAUAUCCACCUUGUUCAGCUCUUGCUGCUCUCCUUUGACAUUGCUCAGUGCAACACACGGACAAAGGAGUUGCAAUUUUGCUCUUUUGGAUGAUUGAUAAUGCCUUGGAAAUCACCUCCCUUCUCCUCUUAGCUUUAAUCUCUAAUGGAGUGGAUAGAAAUAAAAUUCUCUUUGAUGGAAUGACACCCUUCUUAGAUGUCAAUUCCUUUACAGAAGUAGUUAAUGCAUUAAUAGCAUUAAUCACUACAUCAUGUUUCGCCUUGAAGUCUUGACAUUUGCAUGCAGAACAUUCGCUGGUGGAGGCAAAAUCUAUAUAACCAAUAUUAUCAUACUCAUAACGGCUUGUUUUAAAUACUGUAAGAGGAGCAUCAUUAACACCAACAGUAGCACCACUACCACCACCAACAGCUCUAUCACUACUAAUACCAUCAACAACAACAAGCCCACCCUCCAAAAUUAUUUUUCUUGCAAUGGUUGUUGCUCUAAACAAUUCUAUUUUUAGUUUGUCGAUGACCUUAGGGUUCGAUAAAGUUUACACAGACCGUAAAGUAAGAAAAAAUGGCAUCUUUAACUCCCGAUUGGUCGAAACUAGCGACGGAUGUAUAAUCUAACAUAAAUCAUUGGAUAUAUUAGAAUGAUGAUUAGAUCAUUCAAAACAAUCAUUAAUUAAAAUAAAAACUUAAUUAUAAUUAUACUUACUGCAUCCUUCGGGGGGUUGAAGAGAUCAAGAAAUUUUGCAUUUUUAUCAGUUUUAGAAGACAACCAUUUUACGAUUCUUGGACAAGAAACUUCUUCCUGGUAGUUCACCUGUUGUCUCAAAUGAGGAAUGGCUUCAAAUGCCCAAGCAUAUACAAUAAUGCCAAUAAAUCAAAACUAUUAUUGAGUGAAAAAAUGAAUGAUAUCAUAAUAAAAGAAAGAAACGAAACAUUUACCAUGAAAUUCCAUAGAAAGCCAUAUAGGUUGACUGUCUUUGGCACUAACAGAGUCAACAAAUAUUGGACAGUCAUUUUAAAGCUUUCAUAACCCCAAGGAUAGCUGUUAAACACCUCAAGAUCCUCGGAGAGCUUUAUUAAACCAAUGUUUAUGUUGUUGUUAACGUCUCUCGCCCAAAAAAUAUUAUGUACAAACCAAACCAAGCACAACGACUGCUUGUGCUUCUUUGAAAGUUCUUUACCUUUCAAAGCUUCUAUCAAAUUUUUGUUUUUGAAGCUUGGACCAACAAUGGACACCAGGUCAGCACGAUCACACGACAAGCCUUUGCCUCUUUUGGAUGUUCGGGGUACUUUUUUUGGGGUUAAAAUAGGUAUAACUUGAGAAGGAGGAUAACAUUUUAGUCCAGUAACUAUGGCAAACUCCUUUCAACCAAAACAAAUAGGCAUGCCACAGUAAUUUAUCCACACCUCAUCCAUCUUAUCUUUAUUUUUAUACAUAAACCUACGCUUGAGAAGUUCAUAUAACAUUUUCAUUUGGAAACGAGCAUUGUUGUCCUCCGGUAAAUCAAGAUAUUUCUCAAAGAAGUUGUUCCUAAAAUAAGCAUCCAACUUUUUGUCUCGAAGUAUUUUUCUGAACGCGUCGAAAGAUUUUCCCAUGGCUGACUUAACGAAGAAAUCACCUAUUAAAUUUGUGGCACCAUCACACUGCAUUCUCACAGGAUAAUAAUCGAUGGUGAAGGUUUAGACCAACUCUUCGGUGGAAGGGCUCUUAGCAUUUGGAUCAUCUCUUUUGAAAUAUUUCUCCUCCCCGUUUUCAUCAUAUUCUGCUUCUGAUUGAGAUAAUGCUUGUAAAGCAAGCUCAUAGAGUGGUGGAUGUAGCCUAGCUGCUUCACUUGUUUCUUUACUUGGACUUGAUUCCGCUUCUGUUCUUUUGGGAGCCAUUUUAUCUAAAAUUAACAGAAAUAUAAAAAAUAUAUGAUAGUUGAUUAAUGCAUCAUUAAAAAGGGAUAACAAUAAAUCUAACAAGCAAAAUAGUAAAAUAACAGUUCCAACAGAUCAUUUAUCUAUUGCACUAAGUAGUAUAUCUGUUGCAGUAUAUAACAAACCUGUUGUAGUGGAUGAGCAAUCUUUUCCAAUAAUACAAAAUGUAUCACUCAUUUUUUAAGACAGAUGAAUAGUUUGUGCAACAGAUCACAUAUUAUUGCAACAUGAGUGAUCUGUUAGAAUAGUUAAAUAACCUGUUGCAGUGGAUGAGUAAUCUGUUGCAAUAAUAAAAAAUAUAUCACUCACCUAUUGAGAAAAAUGAAUGGUUUGUGCAGCAGAUCAUACAUCUGUUGCAACAUAUAAGUGAUUUGUUAGAACAGUUAAAUAACCUGUAGCAACGGCUGAGUAAUUUAUUGCAACAAUAUAAAACAUAUCACUCAUCUAUUGAGAAAGAUAAAUGAAUGGUCUGUGCAACAGAUCACACAUCUGUUGCAAUAUUUGAGUGAUCUAUCAGAAUAAUUAACUAACCUACAACAAUGGUCAAGUAAUCUGUUGCGAUAAUACAAAUUAUAUUACUCAUCCAUUGAGAAAGAUGAAUGGUAUGUGCGAUAGGUCACACAUCUGUUGUAACACAUGAGUGAUCUAUUGGAACAGUUAUCAAUGAUCAAUAUUGUUUAGAUUUCUUCAAACAUUGGGUCGUCUAUCGCUGCAGAUGAAUGAUCAGUUAGAAAAUCAUGUCUUGGACAUGUCCUAUUGGAAGAGUUGAUAUGAUUUUAUCCAACAGGAGCUUCAUUUGUUGCAUCAUAUCAUAAAUUUGAUUGUUCUUCCAUUGCAUCAGAUGGUUAAUCAGUUGCAUUAGAUUUUUUUAUCCGAUGCUUAAUUUGUUGCAAUAUGUGGUUAAUCUGUUGUAUCAGAUAGUUAAAUUGUUGCAUCAUACAAUAAAUAUGUUGCAUCAGAUGAUUAAUUUGUGAUAUCAGAAUUAUAAUCUGAUGGUUCAUCUGGUGCAUUAGAUGGUUGAUCUGUUGUAUCAUCUAACAAGUCUGUUGCAUCAGAUGGUUAAUAUGUUGCACCAAAUGAAUAAUCUGUUGGAUAAACAAAAAAUAGUAGCACAAUUUUUUCAACAGAAAAACAACAAUAUCACCAUUUUUACCAAGAACAAGAACAGAACAAAUCAUUUCAAAUCAUUGUUUUAUUUUUAUAAACACAAACAACAAAAAUCAAACUUCAAAAAAAGGCAAUAAAUAAUAAAAAAUCAUAAUUCACUUCUAAAAGAAAAGAGAAAAAAUACAAGAAAUUAGGGUUUUGUUCAGACCAUAUUUUAAAUUAAAGGAACAAAUAUUGAAAUUGAUAAGAGAAGUUGGCUCAAAUUUUUCAUUUUCUUCAAAACUAAAAAGGCCAUAAUUUUUUACCUGUGAAAGAAGAAAAGAAACGAUGAUGAAUUCAAAGUUGUUGUGGCCGGAGAGUAAGGCUGUUAUGUCGAUUGAACGUUGAAGAAUUCAAAGUUGUUGUAGCCGGAGAGCAAGGCUAUCACGUCAAUUGAAGGUUGAAGUCGAAAAGAAACUCGAAACCCAACUAUUUAUCGUCGGCUGUUAAAGUCUUCGAGGAUUGAAAGGAGAAAUUUGCAGAACUAUUGGUUGGGAGAGAGUUGAGAGAAGGUGUUGAUUGAGAAAGAGGGGUAUGGGUUGGGUUGACUUGUAUUUUUGAAAAAAUUAGAAAGUUUUAAAAAUAUUAAUCAAGUCCACAGUUAACUUAAUCAAGUUUUCUAAUGAUGUUUGACCCUUUAAGUUUUCUAAUGAUGUUUGACCCUUUAAGUUGGUCAAUGUCACCAAUCCUUCAUUCAAGACUUAAAAGACACAUUUCCUUCAAUUUGAUGAUGUUGUGGUCUUAAGUGAAAUAUAAGUGAUAUUUGAAGAAAAUUUUCAAAAUUUGAAUGACUAUUUAAAAAAUUCACUCGGUCUUUUGGCCUAAUAGUCAGUAAAGUGAAUUGAAAAUUUAAAGAUCCCAAAUUUAAAUUCUAGCAAAAGCAAUAAAAUAUUAGUAAUUCUUCUCAUGUGUCAUAGCCAGUUGCGUGAAAGGAGACUGGACACCACUAUUAUAAAACAAGUGCUUUUUCUCAAAACUGAGUCUUAAAAUAGAAUCUAUUUAACAUCAUAUCCUCUCUUGUAAAGUUUUAAAACCAAAAGGUGAUAAAUAACUCACGACAUUCUUUUUUUGAUAUAUGACGUAACUAAACAUAUAUUGAAUUUUGUCAUUUUCUAAUCAAAUCUAUAUAUAAUAUUAGCUUCGUUCGCCUUUACUUGUCGCUAAUUUCUUAAUUGAAUGUUUAUUUUUACUUAUCAUUUUUCACAUAUCAAGAAAAGAUAACUUUUUUUUAUUUUACUUUAUCCUUAACAUUAAUUUUUUUUUUGUAAAAUUAAUUUCAAGUCACAAUAUAAGCAUCAUUUAAUAGAGCUACCAUGUUAAAAUAAUUAUGUUAUUAAUUAAUUUUUGUAAUAGAUAUAUCGACUCAAAGAGUGACAAGUAAAAUUGAACGGAGGGUGUAUAAAUGAAGGUAACAGAAAAGCUGAUGUCAAGAAAAGAUAACUUUUUUUUAUUUUAUUUUAUUCUUAACAUUAAUUUUUUUUUGUAAAAUUAAUUUCAAGUCACAAUAUAAACAUCAUUUAAUAGAGCUACCAUGGUAAAAUAAUUAUAUUAUUAAUUAAUUUUUUUAAUAGGUAUAUCAACUCAAAGUGUGACAAGUAAAAUUGAACGGAGGGUAUAGAAAUGAAGGUAACAGAAAAGGUGAUGUAAUCCUUUUCUGUAGCCUUCAUUUACAUUUUUCUUUUUCCAAAAUUUUUAAGGGAAUUUUACUUUUUUUCUCAUAUAAUAUACUAACAAAAAAAAUUACUAAAAGUUUCAUCAUACAAAAGUAGAAAUUAAUAUUCAUGCUUUUUUAUUUCUUUGUAGUCUUUGUUUCCCCUAUAAUUAAUGCAAUUAAUUGCAUUAAAUGUAUUAGUAAAAAUAAAAAGUUUUCCCUCUCCACGCUUGGGAUUAAUAACUUCUUUCUUUUUUAUUAUUUAAAGAGAUCACCUAGUAUCAAGUCUCAAAAGUGUUCCAAAUCUUUGAGUUUACAAAUUUUUAAUGUUAUCUUCAGUCUUGAAGCUUCAUCUUCGGCUGAAAGUCUUUUUAUUUGUUCUCUCUCUUUCCUAGUUUCUUAUGCUUCUGAUGCUUAUUAUAGUUAUAUUUUAGUUCGACUUAGAGAAUAAGAUAAAGUCUAUUAAAUUAUGAUCAACUUAUGAAAAUAGAUAUCGACAAAAACUUGAAAAAAUUAUAUAUUGAUUUAACUUUUUUUUCUUUUAUUUUUAAUGAUUAAGAUGUAAGAAUAACAUUAUCCUAUCCUUUUUGUAUAUUUACUCUAUAAAUUCUCUUUAUUUUAUAUUUUAUAUUAUAUUUAAUAAAAUUAUUAAUAUUUUAUAUUUUUUUAUAACCGCAUUCGAAUAAUUCUACUAUAAAGUAACUAAUAUGAAUUUAUUUUAUCAUAUCAUGAUUGUUGGGAAUUAUGAAAUUAGGUAUUCAUAAUCAUAAAUAGAUAUACCUAUUCGGGUAGCUUUGUUAUUUCUGAGUUUUGUUGUUCCAUAGCUUUUUCCAUUGGAAUAUGUUUAUCUAAUUAACUGAGUAAUAUUUUUUGUGGAUUGGAGAGAGAGCAANNNNNNNNNNNNNNNNNNNNNNNNNNNNNNNNNNNNNNNNNNNNNNNNNNNNNNNNNNNNNNNNNNNNNNNNNNNNNNNNNNNNNNNNNNNNNNNNNNNNNNNNNNNNNNNNNNNNNNNNNNNNNNNNNNNNNNNNNNNNNNNNNNNNNNNNNNNNNNNNNNNNNNNNNNNNNNNNNNNNNNNNNNNNNNNNNNNNNNNNNNNNNNNNNNNNNNNNNNNNNNUUUACAUUAUUGUACCGUAAGAAAAUUUUGUACAAUAAGUCAAAAUAUCUUCCGUUGUUGUAUCUGCUCCAUUAUUGUUCUUUUAUCUUAUCUUUCCAGCUGGCAUUUUGUCUUCUUUAUUCUAGAUGUACCUCUGGAAUAAUAUUAUCUUCUCCAUUGCACCUCGAACAUUGGUGGUCUGGAUAUUUAUGUCCAAUUAUUUUACAGUAUCUUGUUAGCAGUCCUUCUGAAAUAAAUCCCUUUUUUAUUGCUCUCGCGGUAGAUUGUUUUUCUGGGUUAAGUAGCGUCAUUAUCCAUUGUCUUACGUCUUCCAUAUCUGCUUGUCGUAGCUCUUUUGAAUUUGAAUAUAUCAUUUGAUGAUCUCUUGAAUAGUAGCUCCAUAUUGGGUUUCCGUUAGCAUAGUUAUUUGCUAGUUCUUGAAUGAUCGUAGCUAGUCCAAUAAGUCUUUUAUUUGCAUAAAAAUCUGGUAUCUCGAUUCUAGGUAUCUCCGGUUGUUGCGAAAUAUCUUCUGGUAUAAUCAUAUCUCUUGUUAAUCCUAUCUUUACAACUUGUAUAACUGGUUUUAUUUCGUCAUAUAAUAUCUCUGCUGGUGCAGUAUAACACUUUAUAUAAAAUAAAUUUCCUUUUGUUAUUCUUUUAUAGGUAGUGAAUAUCUUAUAUAAUUCUUCCAUGGCUGUUAGCUCUUCUCCGUCGUGGGUAUAUAUGGUAUUUAGUAGUCCAUAGUCAAAACAGGUUUUAACUAGGCUUGGGUUAGUUUUGGGUAGUGCGAUUAAUUUAUUGUAUCCUUGUAGUUUUUGGGUUAUAUAAUUGGUAUUUGGUUCUUUGAUGUCUGUAGCUCUGGGGUUAUGGUUUAGAAAGGUUUGUACUCUGUAUAUAUUUUCUAUGUAUUUCUGGGCGGUGUAGUUGUAUACUUUUUUGUCUUGGUUUAGGCUAUCUCGGUAUGUGUUAACUUGUGGGGGUAUAAAUAAAUGGUCUUUUU